UAACUUUCCUGGCAGCAUUGAACUUGUCAUACAACCAACUUGAAGGGAGCAUACCACAAAGCAACCAAUUCAUUACAUUUACAAAUGAUUCCUACCGUGGGAACCCAAAAUUGUGUGGGCUGCCAUUGUCAAGGAAAUGCAAUGAAGUCGGUCUUCCAGUGGCACCACCUCCACGGCGAGAUGGAGAAUCAUGGUUAUAUGCUAUGUCUACUUGGAAAAUUGCGUUGAUAGGUUAUGCUAGUGGAUUAGUCGUUGGGCUAUGUAUUGGAUAUACAGUGCUGAAUGAGUUGGGAAACAAAUGGGUUGACAAGUUCAAAAAGUGUGGGAAAAGAAAUAGAAGAUGUAGGUGACUCCAUCAGAAUUCUUGCUUCAAAAUUAGCUGGUAAGCAUUUGUCUUUCUAAUUUGAACAGAUAGUUGUUGAUAUAUAUAUAUAUAUAGGUUUUCAUAACCUCAUUUUUUGCUGUCUUUACCAAGUUCACUAUCAUAUCGUACUUGUAAUUUUAUGUUACCAUUGAGCAAUGCAGGAGGUAUACUUGAAGCAGGACAUGGAAUGCACAGUUGUGAGGUACAUGAAGAAUGUAGGCAAUUAAUGAUCCUAACAAGAUCAAUCCACUGGUUUGUAAUUUUGCUUUAUAUGCACUUUUUUCCUGUUGUAGUUUUCCAUGAGUAUAAAUAAGUGUUUAUUCAUUUUGCAUCCAGGUCCCUGUGGAUUUGGGGGAUGCAAUGUUUCACUGCUACUGAAUUUCCAUGCUAAUAAUGAUAUUAUAAACAUGGCUGCCCAAGCUUUCUUUUAUAUGCAAUUUACUUUUACUUCAAUUUUUUUUUUAUCUUCAGAAUAUUUAUACAACUGAGGAGAUUUGAUGGCAUGAUGUUGAUGAAAGCCAUAUCUGAUGGACAUUGGACUGAUUGUGUAAAGAGACGCAGAUGCUGCUACUCUAAUCCUUUGCUCUUCCAAAUAGACAUUAGCACGCGUUAGGCUUUAAGACCGGGUGUAAAGGGUGGACCUAUUGGUUUGGGUUUUGGUUCAACCCGACACUUAUUUUUAUACUAGUUUAUUUAUUCUUUCAAUGAUAGUUUUAUUAAUUUCAAAAAUAUGGUUGAAUUAAGUAAUAAUAUGAUAAAAAUAAUUAAAAUAAUUAAAAUAUAAGAAAGAAAUGAUGCCUUACAAUGUGGUGUGGUUUUUAGUAUUAGCAAACAAUCUAAAACAUUAGAAAUAAAAAAAAUAUAUAUUUCAAUUCUCUUAUUGUAAAACAUUUAUAAGAAUUUAUUUAAGGGAAAGGAUGGUAUCAAAUUGUGAUUUCACGUUAUCUCUUAGUACAUCCUCGCACUUAUUUUGUACCAAUCUGUUUCGCGAAAAUUGUGUGGUCAUCAUAAUUUCCACUCCAUAUCCCCAUCAAUCCAUCUCAAGAGCAACCCAACUACGGUUGGUCAAAGUUAGAAGGGAAAUUACGAAGAUAAUGGGUGAAAUGCAUUCAUCUUAGAACUUAUACGUGUUGGUUGUUAAACCUCACCAAACCAGCAAAUACCAUAAUUUUUGUUCUUAUCGUCCAUUGCAGCACCUAUGGGUUUCUUCAUCUUUAAUUCUGCUAAAGAAGACGGGAUUUUUAUAGCUUCAAUUGUUUUAUCAAACCCAAAGUCCUCAUCUUUUACAAUCUUCUUCACCACUCUCCCUACUUCCUUCUUUAACUUUGUUUCUUCCCUUGUUUUUACUGACUCCUUUUUCUCAGCCGUUGAAACAAAAUGGUAGCUUCUUUAGGAACAGAAAGGAACAAGAUUUUGAUACCCAAUGAAGAGAAACAAAGAUGAAAUCUUUCUAAUGCAUUUUCUGAUGCAUCCUUUCUAGGAUUCUAACUAGGCAGAGAGAAGAAAAAUAAGUAAAUGAAAAAUGGGAGUGAAUUUCUUUUUCUUAAAAAAUAGUAUUCGUAUAAAAAAUUGGGUAUUUUACUAAGAAAAAGAGAGCCUAUUUCCAACAUUAUUUACGGAAUGGGCCACUUAAAACAUUAUUUACGGAAUAGGCCACUUAAAACAUUAUUUAUAGAAAUAGAUCACUUAAAAAAUAUUUACUGAAAUGGUCCAAAAAACACAAAACCCACCUACGUAAAAGUGUUUUAAGCGGAAAUUUUAGAAAAGCAACUUCUCGUGGGAGCGUUUUUGCCAUGUCAGCAAAAGCGGGUUGACAUGGAAGUGCUUUUGCUGACAUUGCAAAUAACAUACAAAUAACCUAAAUUCCCUAGAAAUAACACGGGCUAAAGAGCUCCCAUGAGAAAGCGCUUUUCUGAAAUUUCCCUUUAAAAUGCUUCCACGUAAGUCCACGUAGGUGUAUUUUGAGUUUUUUUUGACUCAUUCCAAUAAAUAAUCUUUUAAAUGACCCAUUUUUGUAAAUAAUAUUGGAAAGGGUUUUUUUUUUAGUAAAAUGUUCUAUAAAAUCACCUAUAUAAACUAUUUUCAUCAAAAUUUAAUUUCCAAGAAAUUCUCUUUGUUGCCAAAAUUUCAAAGCAUUUGACAUUUUAAGCAAUGAUGAUCAAAAGUAAUUUCGAAUUCCCAAAAUCUUCUUCUACCAUAAAUAUUCAAAUAAUUGGAAAUUUCAUUAUUUAUGAUAACUCAGUCAACAAACUCUUUAAUCCUAUUUGGUUUGAAAAAAUAGAUAUAUUUAUGAUCAUAAAUCUUAAGAAUAGAAUGAUUUUACUAUAAAAAAUUUCAGGUUUAUAGGACUUUAUCAUCAAUGUAACUAUUUUUAAUGUGGUUAUAGGAGAGGGUGUGGCUGAAUUAUCAUUAGCUAAUCAUGGUCGAGCCAUAGUUGCAGACAUGGAACCUGAAUAAUGUGCAACCAUGGGUUGUCUUUCCUGUGGAUCAUACAGCCUUGCAAUUCCUUAAAUUAACCGGCAGGAGUGGUGACACAGUUCAUUCUCUGCGAGGUGAUGACUCCAACAAGGUUUUAUGUUAUUAUUGCUACUAUUUUGUCUUUUUAAUAAUUUAGAUAUAAGAAAAUUUUCAUAUAUAUAUAGAAUAAGGAUGAGACAGAAAGACCAAAAUAUUGGCAUCAAUAAGAACACUAAGACCAAUAAAAUCUCAUAUUUCAAAAUUAGAGUUGAAAAAAAUAGAAAAAAUUGAAGAUGCAAAGCAAAUUAAGUGUUAAUUGAAAACCUUAAUGCUAAGACUAAGAAUAAAUAAUUCAUCCAUUAAGACUAAUAGCUUCAUCAUCACCCUCUGCUGUGAUAUGACUCUGGCUUGAAUUUAAAGAAGCAAAUAUGAAGAACUCAUCAUGGUCGAGCCAUUAAGACUGAUAGCUUCAUCAUCAUCCUUUGCUGUGAUAUGACUCUGGCUUGAAUAUAAAGAAGCAAAUAUGAAGUACUCAUCAUGCGAGAGAAAAUUACUUAGCUAAGAGAAGAAAUCAUUUACUUCAACCAAACUAUCCCCGGUAGAAAUAAAAGCCAAAAGAAUUAAAUUCAUUCAAAACAAAUAUUGUAGGGAUUAGUUUUAUAAUUCUACUUAAAUUUUCAUUUCAACAGGAGGACGCAUGUUCGAGUACAUUGAAGUGCAUUAUCCUCUUAUUUAUGGGUUGGGGAGAGACUAUGGGUAGUUUUAAGGCAUUGUAUCAAAAUAAUAGAUUUAAUCAAAACCUAUAAUGUAAAAAGUUGCUACUAAAAAGUUUAAAAAAUAGAAUUUUUAGUUUCCUUUUGUUUAUUUAUUUAUUUUUUUCAUAAUAUCUUUUAUGUAUAUUUGAAGUGUUUUGGGUUUGAUUUUUAAUCAUUAUAAUCAAAAACCCAAUUUUGUACUAAUAAAUCACACCAUUGUUAGUUUUUAGUGUUAUCUUUUGAGGUAUUAUAUAUUUGUAUUUGACCUAUGUUUAUAAUGGUGAUCAGACCCGUUUUUGAUAUUUUUGAGACCCUAGGCGAAACAAUAAAUCAAGGUUUUGUUUAAAAAAUUAUUAAAUGUAAUACAAAAAAUAAAAAAAUUGAGCCUUUUUUAUUUUAUAUUUUUUCUGCCUACAAUACUAAAGAAGUUAAAAGAAUUUUCACGUUAAAAAUUAAAAAAAGAAACUUUUUGAGCUCUGGACGGCCACACUCCAAAACUACCCUAAAGUUGGGCUGACUCCAACAAAUUCCAAUCAAAUCUCAAGCUCCAAAAUUGGAAUUAACAAAUGGAAAAACAAAAAGACAUUGGUAAAGCAAAAUAAGUGUGAAACAUGAAGAGUAAGAAGAGAGUAUGAAAAAUUUGAAAAUUGUAAAUUAGGAUGACGUUAAAAUAUGGGGAAGAUUCAUGGGUUUGAAAUCAAUGAUUUUGCAGUUUCUCUUUGUUGAUUUGGUGGAUGUUUCCCACUACUUUUGCUUUUAAUGCUUCCUAUUAUAUACUUGGAAAUUGGGAUUACUUUUCCCACUCAUUUCUCAUGUUUGUUUGGCCAAUAAAAGAUUAUUUGUAUAAAGCAACAAUGGGGCAAUAGGCUGCAAUAUUUCCACAUGCCUCUCAAACGUUUUACUCCAAUUUUAUGUAUUUUUUUAAAAAAUUAACAUAUUUUUCUACCUUUCUUCUUUCUCUUCUCAUCCUCUCUUUCUCAAUCUCACCUCCCCAAAAAAUGCAAAAAUAAUAAAAAAAAUUAUUUUAAUUUUUAAAAAAUAUAAAUUUUGGAAUUUUUAUGAAUAUUUUGAAUUUUAUUUUAAAUUAUUUUGUAAUUUGUGUUGAGAGAGAUUAAUUUGUUAAAUUUUAAAAUUGACAGGGACCAAAGGAGCAUGUACACCAAUUUAUUGUUUGAAUUAUUUGAGUUAUUUAAAUUAUAAAAUUCAUCUCGAAACUAAAAUUAUAAAUAAUUUUAAUAUUAUAAAACAUAAAAAUAUUAAAAUUAAAUAAUAAUAUAGAAAUGGAAUUUUUUUUCUCCAAAUUUCUCAUCCAAAUAUAGUCUAAGAAAGCUUGAAAGCUGAAAUUUAAAAAUAUUUCUAUCAAAAGUGAACAAUUAUAUAUUGUAUCAUCAAAAUUUUCAACAUGAAAAUAUUAAAAUUAAAUAAUAAUAUAGAAAUGGAAUUUUUUUCUCCAAAUUUCUCAUCCAAAUACAGUCUAAGAAAGCUUGAAAGCUGAAAUUUAAAAAUAUUUCUAUCAAAAGUGAACAAUUUCUCAUCAAAAUUUUCACUCAUUGUGUCCAUCAAUCUAGCUAAGAAACUUACUAUAAUUUUGUCUUUAUAAUGUGACUUGAUUUGUACACAAUGGUUGAACGUUGUUGAUAAUACUCUGAAAUGACAUAUUUUUAUGUAUUAAUUAUGUAUUUAUUUUGAGUAUGAACCCACGAAAUUGAGCUAUUUAUGGUUUUUAUCUUGUAGGGACUAAAUUGAAGGCAAAAGGAAAUUUAGGGGAAAAAUCAUGAAUUUUAAGAUAAAAUGGGUCAGGAUGCGAAGAAGGAAUGAAGUGGUGCCGAAAAAUGCAAAGUAUGGAAGACUUGGGGGCAACCGUUCAAAGGAGAGAUUUUAUAAACACAAGGCUCUAUUUAAAUUUUAAUUAUAUUAGGAUUAUUGUUAAGAUUAUUAUUUAGAUUUAAUUUUAGCUUUUAUCUUUAUUUAUCUUUUAGAAUUUAGAUAGGAAUAAACUAGGUUUUUUGAGUACUAUAAAUAGGGGAUGGAGUGACACAAAUUUAACUCAUCUUUUCUAUAAAAGCUCCCUCUCCCAAAAAGCUCUAGCUUUCAUAUAUUUUUUUCAAUUAAACCAAGAAAGUUUAAAAAGUUCAAUCUUUUUCAAGUUGUGUUGAAAUUGCACUGCUUCUCUACUACUUGAUUUAUAUAUUUCUGUGGUUUUUAAUGAAACUAGCAACCCUGGCAAUCGGGUUAUUUAAGAGUACAAUCGUCUAGGAUUAAAAGGGGCUUAAAUAUAUAUAUUUUUUCAGUUAUUAAUGUAAGGAAAAAAAAUUAAGUAAAAUAAAUUAAUUAAAUACAUAGGGUUUUCUAUUUUUCACUAUAAAUAUUUCAUCUCCUAGACCGCAAAAUAUGUCCAGCUUUUAUUGCAUUACAUUUUAUAUAAUUUUUUAAAAAAAAACCUAAUUUAUUAUUUGUCUGAAACCCAAAAAUAUUAACAACUGGCCUGAAAAUUAGUAGAACAUAAUAAUUAAGUAAUGACCGAACAAUAGGAGUCAUUUGCAAGUAUGCAUGGCAAGACUAAGUCAAAGAUUAAAUUUGAUAAAAACCCAUGCAUAGUAUCGUUUCUCUGUUAGUUCUACACUAAAAACAUAUAAUUUCCAAAAUAAAUCUAUGAGCUUUGUCUCUAAAUACAUUGUGUUGUUCUACACUCAAUGUCGAGCUUUGUGGAGUUUAGGAGGGAUUUUAAAUUAUUGAGAGAUAAAUUUUCAAUGAAUUGAACUUGAGAUGAAUAAUAUGAUUACAAUCUAAUUGAUUCAAGAUGAUCAGUUGAGUUCCACCAUUCAGCUGUGUUACGAACUAUUAAAGAAAUUAUUCAACGUCUUUGGAUGAUUAAGGUGACAAAUGUAUUCAAAUAAGGUAACUGAGUAGUCGAUGGACCGAAAGCAAUGAUAUUUUCAAGGCGUCUAGGCAUGUAUAGUUAUAUGCAACCCUUGGAUAAAUUUCUUCAAAAGUUAUAUGAUUAUUGCUCUGGAAUGACCUGGCCCGACUUAAUCCAAUUAUGAUUUUAUGUUUGUUCAUGUAAAAAGGAAGAAAGAAAGAUAACGAAUUUAAAUAAUUGAAGAGAAUAAAAAUUAAUUAUGUAAAUCACCGAUAAAAAGAAUCUAAUUUUGGACUUAAAAAACUAUAUGGUGGUUGCAUUUCAAUUGGUUGGACAAACUUUGAAAGUGUAAAGGAUUGAAAAGUAGCUAAUAUUAUAAGACAUUUCAACUAAGCUCUGAUCAUCAUUUUCAAUCAACCCAAAAUAUAAAUUUUGGAAUUUUUAUGAAUAUUUUAAAAGUUUUGUUGAGAGAUAAUUUUUUUAAGUUUCAAAAUUUAUAGGGAUCAAAUGAGUAUGUAUACUAAUCUGUUGUAUGAAUUAUUCAAAUUAUUUGAGUUAUUCAAAUUUUAAAAUUUAACUCGAAACUUGACUUAUAAAUAUUUUUAUGUUUUAUAUUUAAUAAUAUAAAACAUAAAAAAUUAUUUAAAUUAAAAAAUAAUGUAAAAAUGAAAGUCUUUCUCCAAACUUCACCCAAAAACACUUUAAGAAAAUUUCACUCCUUGUGUCCAUCAAUCCAUCUCAACCAACUAACAAAUUUACUAUAAUUUUGUCUUUAUAAUGUGACUUCACUUGUGCACAAUGGUUGAACGUUUGUUUUUGUGCAAUCAAAAUUUGGACGUUUGUAUGCAACGCCAAAGACUUAUGAUAUUUCAUACUAUCAUUUUUUUCGAUCCAAAAUUAAAGAUAUUAAAAAUUUCAAAUUAGAACAUUAUUUACAAUUUGAGCACUUAAUAAGAACAUUAUGAAAUCUAGAUACUUUAAAAAAUUUUAUAAUUUUUAAAAAUAGAUUUUUUAAUUUUUAAAUUUUAAAAAUUAUUAAAUGAUGAGGUGUCAUCCAUGUGACAAUUCAUGUGUAUGCCACAUUAGCAAAGUUAAAAAAAUCGUUAACAUUUCUAUCCAUUUUGGGAGAUUUGAUAAAAACACAAGUUUAAAGAUUAAAAAACAUAAAAAAAAUAAAUGAAUGACUAAAAUAACUUUUUUUUUGUAAAACUGGAGGCCAAAUAAGUCAUUACGACAAAAAAAUUAAAAAAGUAUUUUCUCCUCCAAAAGUAGAAUCUGAAGUUAAGUGGAUAUUAAAUAAUAAUAUUUACAGACUCGAACAUCAAAAAUGUAUGAAAUUUAUUGUUGUUCAAUAAAUUUAUUGUUUAAUAAUUACUUUUGUUUUGGCCAUUGGGAAAACUUACUAGCCCUUAUAAUAUAUAUAUCCAUAUUAUUGGAUGUGCUUCUUUUAUUCAAUUACAUUGCCUAAGGUUGCUUAUUGCGAUUAUGGUAACUAGAUGUAUCAUCCCCUGACUAAAUCUUCUCAUUUUCAGUGUUAGAAUCCUCCUCUUUAAAAUUUGGGACUCAUGUUGCUUUUUGAGCAUCACUAUACCAUUCUCCUCUUAAACACGUCGAAAAAUCCAGUAGGAGCUUCUACUUCCGAUUCUGGAGAAGUUGCCUCCCUUGAACUCAACAAAACCCUAUCAGCUUCCGGAGAUGCUAUACCUCAUCAAAAGCCUUCUCCACUUGUCCUACUACGAAUUGGAUUGAGAACACCAAAGCCAAUGAGAACACAACCAAAAAAACCUUCGCCAUCUUUUUUAUUUUCUAAAAAGGUUAAGAAAUAAGUAAAGAUAUAUUUUUAUUGAUGCUUAAGGAUGAAAAUGAGAUAAAAUUUAAAGAGUUUAAAAUGAGAUGUUUUGGGCGAAUUUAUGGGUCGUUGAUCAGUCUAGUGCCUAAUAGUCAUAACAACAAAAAUACAUAUAAAUUCUCUCCCCAUUUUCAGUGGCCAUGUUUAUCACUAUUAUUUUCGGGUUCAAUUUACUUCACUUUGCUUGACUCAAAGACGUUGUGGGUGAUCGAUGAUGUGUUUUAAAAUCAUUCUGACCUUCUCUGUUUGCAUCACCUGUACCAAUCAAAAACACUCAUCCUUUUAUAGUUUAAUGUAUUUUCCAUGAAACAACUUCGAACGUCAAGCAAAAUCUAAAUAACUAUCUUCUUCUAUAUCGGAUACUGACUGUUAAAUUACCUUGGAUUUAAAGUAUGUUCUUCUACUUGUCUAUGGUUAUCGAUCAUAAUACCGAUUGCCAAAUCGUCGCUUGGAGCUUGCUACCUAGGCUUUUCAAAAGAAAAAAAAUUAAUAGCCAAAUGACCAGGCCAGUUCUUGGCAUUUUUGGGGCCCUAGGCGAAUCAAUAAAUUGGGGCCCCAGAUUAUAAGAUGUAAUACAAUAUAACAAAAAAAAUUGGGGCCUUUUUUUUCUGCAUGCAAUAAAUCAAAAGAUUUAAAAGGUUGAAGAUUUUUAUUUGAGACCCUUCCAGCCCUGGGUGAUUACACUCUGAAACUACCCUUAGGGUCGAGCCUGCAAGUGACGUAAAUAAAAAUCUUCUGAAUAGUUCAGUAAUCAUUUUUAAAGUCAAGUAAAUAAUUAACCGUAAUUCUUCAGAAAAAUAUUUGAACAUAAAAUUUAUGAAUUUUUCUAUAAUACAUUAUUACAUUUUUUUCACAUUUUCAAUAGUUAUAUAUACAAUGAUAAAAUGAUAAUUUAAUCUCGUGGAGUGGGCAAGGUAAUAAUUUACCAUAAUUGCUCCAUACUUGCUAUUUUAAAAAAAAAAUCCACCUCGCCUUGCUCUACACCCACUUUUGAAAAAAAAUCCUCUUUAUCUGUAGUGGAUUGAUUCGGGAUCCAUAGAGUGGUUCGGGUCUUACCAUCCCUAGUUACACAUCUAUACUAUUAUUUUAAUCUUAUUGGAACCAAUCUCAUUGCCCAACCAAAAGGACCCAAAAGGCUUUAAAUGAUAAUAACAACAAUGGUAUAGAUAAAUGGAUUUAUACGUGAAUGUGGUUUUUUUUAAAAGAAAACUGAAAGUGACAAUAUAAGUGCUAUAUUCCUAUCUGACAUAACUCAUCUUGUCAAUUGAGUUUUAGUUCGAUUAGUAUCAUUGCUAAUUGCAACAAUCAAGAAAAUGUUGGUUUAAGCACAACUAAGUAAGUGUAUUUUUAAUCUGAUUUAAGAGUUAAGGGUGAAUUAUGAGUAGGAGUAAUGAUAAGUGAUAAAAGUAACAUAUUUUAAUCUCGUUCUUAAUGCGUUUUUGGAUGAUUAUUUAUGCAAAUUGGUAAAUUUUAUGCUCCUGAUCCUUUAAAUUAAUGUUUUUAUACUUAAAAGAGCAUUUGGGAGCAAAAGGAGCGAAAAAACAAGUAAAAAUCAGACAAAUAGAGCAUAUUUCAAGAGCCACAUAGGCUAGACACACGACCGUGUAAGCCACACAGGCUGGCACACGGCCAUGUGCCACACAGGCUGGCAGACUGUGUCAAUUAUGCGAUUUGUAUCCCAAACAUGCGGAAAAAUGCAAUUUUUAUGAUUUCGUGGCAUUCUAAAGUCUAUAAAUACCAAAUAUAAUAUGAGAAGUGGGGGAGAUCAGAGAGUAUUGAAGGAAACAACUCGAAGAACUCUAUUGAAGCCAACUUUGAAGUAGAUUUCUAUCAAGAUUGAAGAUCUUCUUUUAAUUUCUUUGAAGCUUUUAUGAGUUUCUUUAUCUCUUAUGGUUAUAUUGACUUUGAGAUUGUAAUACCCCGAAAAUUUCUACAGUAAGAAAGUAAGAUAAUAUCUAUGAUAUAGUAAAAUAAGGAAAUAAAUUGAUAAAAAGGGUAAUUUUGAGAUUUGAUGGCAUGAUGUUGAUGAAAGUCAUAUCUGAUCGACAUUGGACUGAUUGUGUAAAGAGACGCAGAUGCUGCUACUCCCAUCCUUUGCUCUUCCAAAUAGACAUUAGCACGUGUUGGGCUUUAGGAGCGGGUGUAAAGGGUGGACCUGUUGGUUCGGGUUUUAGUUCAGCCCGACACUUAUUUUUAUACUAGUUUAUUUAUCCUUUCAAUGAUAGUUUUAUUAAUUUCAAAAAUAAGGUUGAAUUAAGUAAUAAUAUGAUAAAAAUAAUUAAAACAAUUAAAAUAUAUGAAAGAAAUGAUGCCUUACAAUGUGGUGUGGUUUUUAGUAUUGGCAAACAAUCUAAAACAUUAGAAAUAAAUAUGUGACCUUAAUUAAAAAAAAAUCAAUUCUCUUAUUGUAAAACAUUUAUAAGAAUUUAUUCAAGGGACAAUUCUCUUAUUGUAAAACAUUUAAAAGAAUUUAUUUAAGGGAAAGGAUGGUAUGAAAUUGUGAUUUCACGUUAUCUCUAUCCCCUUCUUAAUAGGAGGAGAAUGACAAAUUAAAUUUUUAUUCCUUUGAUUUGUCUGAUUUCUAGCAUUUUUAAUUGGGUUUGAAUUUUUUCAAGAAUUGAGAAAAAAACUUUUGAAAUUGAAAUUAGUUUUUUCAAAGAAUUAAAAAAUUGUUAAUAAUAUAAGACAUCUCGUCAGUCUCAUUUAUCUUUGAUAAUUUCAAUUAAAUCUAAAAAAAUAUUUGUAACACCCCUAACUCGUAUCCUUCGCCGAAUUAGGGUUACGAGGCAUUACUGAACAAACACAACCAUUUUUUUUGCAACCAAACAGAUCACAACAUGAAAAUUUAAUUACUUUCGACUUUCCCCGAUCUAAUUCUGUUUUCUUCAGUUCGCGAUCUAAACAUAUUCAAAUUUAACCCUCUUAUUCAUCAAAUCAUUCAAUUUUAUCCAAAAACACAUAAAUUGGCAAAUUACCAUUUUGCCCUAGACAUUUUACACUUUUUGCAAUUUAGUCCCUAUUGCGUAAAACACAAAUUACACAAAAUCUCACAACACCAUAGUUAGGCCGAAUCUUCAUUGUAUUCAUACAAGUCCAUGUAUUUCAUUUAUUUCCUAUUUUAGUCCCUCAAAAAUUUAUUUUCACAAUUUAGCCCUAAAUACUCAAAUUCAUCAAAAAUCCCAAGACAAAACAUGUUAAUCUAAGACAUAUCUUCCAUUAUUCAUCAUCAAACAUCACAAAACACAAAUAUUCAUCAAUGGCACAUUUCAAAAUCAUCAACAAUUCACAAAAUUAAUACAUGGGUUCUGAAGUAUUCAANNNNNNNNNNNNNNNNNNNNNNNNNNNNNNNNNNNNNNNNNNNNNNNNNNNNNNNNNNNNNNNNNNNNNNNNNNNNNNNNNNNNNNNNNNNNNNNNNNNNGUAAAAAUUAUCAAAAACCGAAACAAUUUCAUACCUUAAUCAAGCUAGCAAAGUGCCGAAACCCUAAAUGCCAUGGAUGUUCUCUUUCUUUGCAACAUUCGGCCAACAAAAGAGAUGAUAAUGGCUUGUUUAUGUUUUGUUUUAUUAUACUAUACAUUAUUUAUUAAUUUACUUAUUUAACCUUUAAUAAUUAAUAAACAAAACAUAUAUAAUAAGGUUAUAUUAGUCCUUUGCCACCCACUAACUUACAUAGUGGACUAUUUGCAUUAUAAAACCUCUAAGUUAUAAAGACAACAACAAUUAGGUGCUUUUUAAUUAACCCCUAAAUUUUCAUUUUACGCGAUUAAGCCCUUUUAUUAAAUCGGACACUUAAACGACGAAAUUAAAACACGAAAAUUUCACACAAUCACAUACACACAAAAUAAUAUUAAUAAUAUUUUUUUAAUUCAGAUUUGUGGUCCCGAAACCACUAUUCCGAUUAGGGUCAAAACCGGGUUGUUACAAUAUUAAUGUGGAAAUUUAAAUAUGUUUCUUUCAAAGAAAUUACUAAGAAGAGGAAAACUAAACAUUAUAUCAUCAAAAUUGCCACUACUUGUGCCCAUCAAUCCAUCUCAACUACCUAAGAAACUUGCUAAACAUUGUUUUCAUGGGGUAAAAAAGAUUUAGACGUCAUUUGCAUGCAGUGCCAAAUGGCUAAGACUAAGUCCAAUAAUAUCUCAUUCCAUAAUUUUCUAUUGAUUCCAUACACUUUAAGUUCAUUGAAAAGUCAUCAAAGUUAUGAGAUAAUUUAGUCUUGGAGCCAUCAAUCUAUCUCAAUCAGUUAAAAAAAAUCACCACAACUCCAUUUUUUUAUUAAUUGACUAAAAUAAAAUUAGUGGUACAACAUUAUUUUGAUGCAGUAGUGAUCGGGCUUAGUACAAAAUUAAAAAUAAUGUAUGGAAAGUACAAAUUUGUGUAUAAAUAAGUUGUAUGCAUGGAAACAAUCCUCCUUCACAGCCAGCAAACAUGAAAACCAUAUCUGAUGGACAUUGUACUGAUUGUGUAAAGAGACACAGCUGCUGCUGCUACUCCCAUCUUUUGCUGGCAUAUUGGGUUUUUAUUUUAUCAAACACAUGUUGGGUUUCUGUACAGCCUCGAACUUAUUUUGCACCAAUCUGUUUCGCAGAAAUUGUGUGGUCAUCAUAAAUUUCACUCCAUAUCCCCAUCAAUCCAUCUCAAGAGCAACCCAACUACGGUUGGUCAAAAUUAGAAGGGAAAUUACGAAGAUCAUGGGUGAAAUUCAUUCAUCUUAGAACUUGUUGGUGCAACAACAGAAUCAAGCAGACUCAGCAAGUAUCUUGUCGAGCAAGCCUCGAAACUUGCUGAGCAAACAAACAAUUUCGAGUUAAAGAAAGAAGAGAAUAAGCUGGGGAAAUUUGAGAGAAUAUUGAUGUACAAAACUGAUUUGAUUCAUACAAAAAAAACAAUGGCUUGAAGCCAGUACAUAACUCAAGCAUAAGGCUUGUCAAAAUCAACAAGUAAUUACCUACCUCCACUAAUUACAUAGAAACUUGAAAUCUUAGCUUGUAAACUUAUACAAAACUGUGUUUACAGCUCAUACAUAAGCUAAUUACAUCAAUCAGAAAGCUAACUUAGUUAGAAAUGAACUAACNNNNNNNNNNNNNNNNNNNNNNNNNNNNNNNNNNNNNNNNNNNNNNNNNNNNNNNNNNNNNNNNNNNNNNNNNNNNNNNNNNNNNNNNNNNNNNNNNNNNUCAUUGCAACAAUGCAAGAACCUUGAGAGCAAUCCUACAGCAUACAUUAUGUCUGGUCUAGUGGCAGUUAAGUAUAGCAAACAACCAACUAGACUCCUGUAGGUAGUUUCACAUACCUUCUCAAAGUCUCCUUGGCUCGAUAGUUUUUCUCCAACAGCAACAGGUGUUUUAGUUGGUUUGCUGUUUUGCAUGGAGAACUUGGUCAGAAUCUUUGUGGCAAAGCUCUUCUGACUUAAAAAUAUCCCAUUCUGUGCUUGAGUCACCUCCAUUCCAAGAAAAUAGGACAUCUCCCCAAGAUCAGACAUUUCAACACUCUUGCAUCUUGGUCUUGAAAUUAACCAGCACUGCUCGAUCUCCUCCUGUCACCAGCAGGUCAUCAACAUAUAGGGACACAAUGAGUUGUGUUUGUGUCCCUUGCUUCUUAACAUACAGUGUUGGCUCACUCUUGCUUCGAUUGAAUCCUAGAUCAGUCAAGUAUCCAUCGAUUCUGCUGUACCAGGCCCUUGGAGCCUGUUUUAAGCCAUAUAGGGCCUUCUUCAAUUUGUAGACCAUAUGCUCUCUCCCAGCUGUUUCAAACCCUUGUGGUUGUUCAACAUAGAUGUCUUCAUCUAAAAAACCAUUCAGAAAGGCUGAUUUCACAUCGAGUUGAUGAAUUUUCCAUUCGAGCUGGGCUGCUAAGGCAAUCAGCAGUCUGAUGGUGUCGAGCCUGGCCACUGGUGCAAAGGUCUCCAGGUAGUCCAAGCCAUACCUCUGACUGAACCCCUUGACAACCAACCUUGCUUUCAAUUUGUUCAAGGUUCCAUCAGCAUUCUGCUUGGCUUUGUACACCCAUUUCACCCCAAUCACCUUCCUUUUGACUGGCCUUUCAACCAAUUCCCAGGUCUGGUUCUUCUCAAUCAUGCUGAUCUCCUCAGCCAUUGCCUGCUUCCACUCUUGCUGAGCUUCAGCCUCUUCAAAGUUACUUGGUUCAGCUAUGGCUAUAUGAGCCCUUUGAUAAAUCUCAGUCAUUGAUCUUGUUCCUCUGACUGGUUCAUCAUCAAUGUCCAUUUCAGGAACACUUUGUUCUGGCUCAGCUUGUUUUGCUGUAAGUUCUUCAGAAACUUCCUCAGGUUCAUGCCUUUCCCAGUUCCAACAUGACCUUUCAUCAAAUACCACAUCCCUGCUUACUGACACUUUGUUUGUUGAAGGAUCCAAGAUCCUAUAGCCCUUCUUAACAGUGCUGUAGCCCACCAGAAGACCAGGUCGAGCCCUUUCAGACAAUUUGUCUCUUUUAACAGCAGGUACAUGUGUGUAACAUAUGCAUCCAAAGACCUUCAGAUGAGCCAGUGAUGGCUUGAAGCCAAACCAGGCCUCGAAUGGAGUCUUCUGAUCCAAAGCCUUGGUUGGAAGUCUAUUUUGAAUGUAUGUUGCAGUGUUAACUGCUUCUGCCCAUAGUGCUUUAGGCAGAUUCUUCUGAAUCAUUAAGCACCUGGCCAUAUCCAUUAAGCUCCUAUUCUUCCUUUCACUUACACCAUUCUGUUGAGGUGUAUAAGUGUUGGUAAGCUGGUGUUUGAUGCCUGCCUUAUCACAGAAGGCUUGGAACUGAGCUGAGGUGUACUCAGUCCCAUUAUCAGACCUUAUGGUCUUAAGCUUGCAGCCUGUUUCUGUCUCAGCAGCAGUUUUAAACUUCCAAAACACAGUGGCCACUUCUGAUUUCUGUUUUAAGAAGUAAAGCCAGCAAUAUCUAGAGAAAUCAUCAAUAAACAGUAUGAAAUACCUGUUUCCACUUAGUGACUCAGUCCUCAUAGGGCCACACACAUCAGUGUGCACCAGUUGGAGUUUUUCAGAGGCUCUCCAGGCUUGAUUCAUGGGAAAUGGCAAUCUGGCCUGUUUUCCUAGCUGACACACUUCACACACAUCAUCAUGGUCCACUGAGUUGAUGAAGUUUUCAGCCAGGUCUUCUCUGACCAUUCGGGCCAUCGAUCUGAAGUUGGCAUGUCCCAGCCUUUGAUGCCACAACUUAGAUUCAUCUGAUGUGGCUGUGUAGGCAAUGUCUGACUUCUUUGUCCAGUCAACCACAAGCUCUUAUCAGCCAUAGGGACUGCCAUCAGUUUGGAUCCACUUGGAUCAUUGAUUUGGCACUGCUUGUCCUUGAACACCACAGAGUAACCUUUCUCUAGCAAUUGAGCUAUGCUGAGUAGGUUUCUGUCAAUUUCAGGCACCAGGAGCACAUUUGAGAUCAUUUUGGCACCUGUGGGAGUGCAUAUCAGCACAUCACCUUUGCCUUCAGCUUGAAUAAAGUGCCCAUUACCAAUUUUGACUUUGGUUUUACAGUUUCUGUCUAAAAACUUGAAGAUUGCAGCAUCAGGUGUCAUGUGAUUGGUGCAUCCACUGUCUAGGAGCCAACCAGAUGAGAGCCUUUCCUGAGCAGCUGAGCAUGACACAGCAAAGACUUGCUCCUCUUGGUCACUGUCCUCCUUAGCUACUCGAGCCUCAGCUUUCAUCUGUUGAGACUGGUUCUGUCUUGAUUUGGUCUUGCUCUUGCAAACUCUCUCAACAUGACCCUUCUUCUUACAAUGCUGACACACAACAUCUGGAUUGAACCAGCAUUUUUCUUCUGGAUGACCAGCCCUUCUGCAGUGCUUGCAAGUUUGACCUUCUCUUCUCGCAGCAUCAUUCUUUGGCUUGUCUCUCCAGGCCUUCUUGCCUUUAUAGGCAGUAUUUGUCCUUGCCUGAAAGGCACCUUCUUGAUGCUCUUCCAGUCUACUUGCUCUCCUCUGCUCUUGAGCAUAUAGAGCAUUGAUCAACUCAGUCAGGGGAAUGGUGGACAGAUCCCUUGAGUCCUCGAGAGAUGAGAUUUUUGCCUCAUACCUCUCAGGCAGAGUUGCUAUUACUUUCUCCACUAUCCUAGCUUCAUUAAACUGCUCUCCAAGGAGCCUGAUGCUAUUAACCACAGCCAUAAUCCUGUCAGAAUAUUGCUUGACAGUUUCUUCUUCCUUCAUCUUUAAAUUCUCGAAAUCUCUCCUCAAAUUCAGUAACUGUUGCUGCCUUGUCCUCUCUGUCCCUUGAAACUCUUCUUGCAACUUAUCCCAGGCCUGUUUUGGUGAUUCACAGGCCAUAAUCCUUGUGAAAAUCACAUCUGACACUGAGUUCUGAAUGCAAGACAUGGCCUUGUGCCUCUUGGUCCUCUCAUCAGCAUGCUGCCUGAUCUGAGCCACUGUUGGAUUGCCUCUAAGUGGUUCUGGUUCAACAUCUGAGUUGACCACCUCCCACAGAUCAUANNNNNNNNNNNNNNNNNNNNNNNNNNNNNNNNNNNNNNNNNNNNNNNNNNNNNNNNNNNNNNNNNNNNNNNNNNNNNNNNNNNNNNNNNNNNNNNNNNNNNNNNNNNNNNNNNNNNNNNNNNNNNNNNNNNNNNNNNNNNNNNNNNNNNNNNNNNNNNNNNNNNNNNNNNNNNNNNNNNNNNNNNNNNNNNNNNNNNNNNNNNNNNNNNNNNNNNNNNNNNNNNNNNNNNNNNNNNNNNNNNNNNNNNNNNNNNNNNNNNNNNNNNNNNNNNNNNNNNNNNNNNNNNNNNNNNNNNNNNNNNNNNNNNNNNNNNNNNNNNNNNNNNNNNNNNNNNNNNNNNNNNNNNNNNNNNNNNNNNNNNNNNNNNNNNNNNNNNNNNNNNNNNNNNNNNNNNNNNNNNNNNNNNNNNNNNNNNNNNNNNNNNNNNNNNNNNNNNNNNNNNNNNNNNNNNNNNNNNNNNNNNNNNNNNNNNNNNNNNNNNNNNNNNNNNNNNNNNNNNNNNNNNNNNNNNNNNNNNNNNNNNNNNNNNNNNNNNNNNNNNNNNNNNNNNNNNNNNNNNNNNNNNNNNNNNNNNNNNNNNNNNNNNNNNNNNNNNNNNNNNNNNNNNNNNNNNNNNNNNNNNNNNNNNNNNNNNNNNNNNNNNNNNNNNNNNNNNNNNNNNNNNNNNNNNNNNNNNNNNNNNNNNNNNNNNNNNNNNNNNNNNNNNNNNNNNNNNNNNNNNNNNNNNNNNNNNNNNNNNNNNNNNNNNNNNNNNNNNNNNNNNNNNNNNNNNNNNNNNNNNNNNNNNNNNNNNNNNNNNNNNNNNNNNNNNNNNNNNNNNNNNNNNNNNNNNNNNNNNNNNNNNNNNNNNNNNNNNNNNNNNNNNNNNNNNNNNNNNNNNNNNNNNNNNNNNNNNNNNNNNNNNNNNNNNNNNNNNNNNNNNNNNNNNNNNNNNNNNNNNNNNNNNNNNNNNNNNNNNNNNNNNNNNNNNNNNNNNNNNNNNNNNNNNNNNNNNNNNNNNNNNNNNNNNNNNNNNNNNNNNNNNNNNNNNNNNNNNNNNNNNNNNNNNNNNNNNNNNNNNNNNNNNNNNNNNNNNNNNNNNNNNNNNNNNNNNNNNNNNNNNNNNNNNNNNNNNNNNNNNNNNNNNNNNNNNNNNNNNNNNNNNNNNNNNNNNNNNNNNNNNNNNNNNNNNNNNNNNNNNNNNNNNNNNNNNNNNNNNNNNNNNNNNNNNNNNNNNNNNNNNNNNNNNNNNNNNNNNNNNNNNNNNNNNNNNNNNNNNNNNNNNNNNNNNNNNNNNNNNNNNNNNNNNNNNNNNNNNNNNNNNNNNNNNNNNNNNNNNNNNNNNNNNNNNNNNNNNNNNNNNNNNNNNNNNNNNNNNNNNNNNNNNNNNNNNNNNNNNNNNNNNNNNNNNNNNNNNNNNNNNNNNNNNNNNNNNNNNNNNNNNNNNNNNNNNNNNNNNNNNNNNNNNNNNNNNNNNNNNNNNNNNNNNNNNNNNNNNNNNNNNNNNNNNNNNNNNNNNNNNNNNNNNNNNNNNNNNNNNNNNNNNNNNNNNNNNNNNNNNNNNNNNNNNNNNNNNNNNNNNNNNNNNNNNNNNNNNNNNNNNNNNNNNNNNNNNNNNNNNNNNNNNNNNNNNNNNNNNNNNNNNNNNNNNNNNNNNNNNNNNNNNNNNNNNNNNNNNNNNNNNNNNNNNNNNNNNNNNNNNNNNNNNNNNNNNNNNNNNNNNNNNNNNNNNNNNNNNNNNNNNNNNNNNNNNNNNNNNNNNNNNNNNNNNNNNNNNNNNNNNNNNNNNNNNNNNNNNNNNNNNNNNNNNNNNNNNNNNNNNNNNNNNNNNNNNNNNNNNNNNNNNNNNNNNNNNNNNNNNNNNNNNNNNNNNNNNNNNNNNNNNNNNNNNNNNNNNNNNNNNNNNNNNNNNNNNNNNNNNNNNNNNNNNNNNNNNNNNNNNNNNNNNNNNNNNNNNNNNNNNNNNNNNNNNNNNNNNNNNNNNNNNNNNNNNNNNNNNNNNNNNNNNNNNNNNNNNNNNNNNNNNNNNNNNNNNNNNNNNNNNNNNNNNNNNNNNNNNNNNNNNNNNNNNNNNNNNNNNNNNNNNNNNNNNNNNNNNNNNNNNNNNNNNNNNNNNNNNNNNNNNNNNNNNNNNNNNNNNNNNNNNNNNNNNNNNNNNNNNNNNNNNNNNNNNNNNNNNNNNNNNNNNNNNNNNNNNNNNNNNNNNNNNNNNNNNNNNNNNNNNNNNNNNNNNNNNNNNNNNNNNNNNNNNNNNNNNNNNNNNNNNNNNNNNNNNNNNNNNNNNNNNNNNNNNNNNNNNNNNNNNNNNNNNNNNNNNNNNNNNNNNNNNNNNNNNNNNNNNNNNNNNNNNNNNNNNNNNNNNNNNNNNNNNNNNNNNNNNNNNNNNNNNNNNNNNNNNNNNNNNNNNNNNNNNNNNNNNNNNNNNNNNNNNNNNNNNNNNNNNNNNNNNNNNNNNNNNNNNNNNNNNNNNNNNNNNNNNNNNNNNNNNNNNNNNNNNNNNNNNNNNNNNNNNNNNNNNNNNNNNNNNNNNNNNNNNNNNNNNNNNNNNNNNNNNNNNNNNNNNNNNNNNNNNNNNNNNNNNNNNNNNNNNNNNNNNNNNNNNNNNNNNNNNNNNNNNNNNNNNNNNNNNNNNNNNNNNNNNNNNNNNNNNNNNNNNNNNNNNNNNNNNNNNNNNNNNNNNNNNNNNNNNNNNNNNNNNNNNNNNNNNNNNNNNNNNNNNNNNNNNNNNNNNNNNNNNNNNNNNNNNNNNNNNNNNNNNNNNNNNNNNNNNNNNNNNNNNNNNNNNNNNNNNNNNNNNNNNNNNNNNNNNNNNNNNNNNNNNNNNNNNNNNNNNNNNNNNNNNNNNNNNNNNNNNNNNNNNNNNNNNNNNNNNNNNNNNNNNNNNNNNNNNNNNNNNNNNNNNNNNNNNNNNNNNNNNNNNNNNNNNNNNNNNNNNNNNNNNNNNNNNNNNNNNNNNNNNNNNNNNNNNNNNNNNNNNNNNNNNNNNNNNNNNNNNNNNNNNNNNNNNNNNNNNNNNNNNNNNNNNNNNNNNNNNNNNNNNNNNNNNNNNNNNNNNNNNNNNNNNNNNNNNNNNNNNNNNNNNNNNNNNNNNNNNNNNNNNNNNNNNNNNNNNNNNNNNNNNNNNNNNNNNNNNNNNNNNNNNNNNNNNNNNNNNNNNUGUGAUAGCCUUCUCCAUUGAAUACUUGAGGUGCAGCUGGUGAAAAGCUUGAUGAAGCCAUGGUUUUGUAUAACAGGUCCCUUAAGAAAUAAGCUCUAGAUACCAAUUGUUGGUGCAACAACAGAAUCAAGCAGACUCAGCAAGUAUCUUGUCGAGCAAGCCUCGAAACUUGCUGAGCAAACAAACAAUUUCGAGUUAAAGAAAGAAGAGAAUAAGCUGGGGAAAUUUGAGAGAAUAUUGAUGUACAAAACUGAUUUGAUUCAUACAAAAAAAACAAUGGCUUGAAGCCAGUACAUAACUCAAGCAUAAGGCUUGUCAAAAUCAACAAGUAAUUACCUACCUCCACUAAUUACAUAGAAACUUGAAAUCUUAGCUUGUAAACUUAUACAAAACUGUGUUUACAGCUCAUACAUAAGCUAAUUACAUCAAUCAGAAAGCUAACUUAGUUAGAAAUGAACUAACACUCAUUUCAUCAACUAAAUAUAACAAAAUGAACAAAAUGAGCUUGCAUCAGCAGCCCUUGCAUCUGUUCCAGCUUUGCUUGGUCUUCAUGGCCUGUAUGGAAUCGAGUGUUGGCUUCAUGCUGACCAACUUCAACAGAACUUAUACGUGUUGGUUGUUAAACCUCAACAAACCAGCAAAUACCAUAAUUUUUGUUCUUAUCGUCCAUUGCAGCACCUAUGGGUUUCUUCAUCUUUAAUUCUGGUAAAGAAGACGGGAUUUUUAUAGCUUCAAUUGUUUUAUCAAACCCAUAGUCCUCAUCUUUUACAAUCUUCUUCACCACUCUCCCUACUUCCUUCUUUGUUUCUUCCCUUGUUUUUACUGACUCCUUUUUCUCAGCCGUUGAAACAAAAUGGUAGUUUCUUUAGGAACAGAAAGGAACAAGAUUUUGAUACCCAAUGAAGAGAAACAAAGAUGAAAUCUUUCUAAGAACUAUGAAAAAGAAAAAGGUUGAAAAAGGAGUCUGAUCUAAUGCAUUUUCUUAUACUUUCUUUCUAGGAUUCUAACUAGGAAGAGAGAAGCAAAAUAAGUAAAUGAAAAAUGGGAGUGAAUUUCGUUAAAAAAUAGUAUUCGUAUAUAAAAUAGGGUAUUUUACUAAAAAAAAGUCCAUUUCUAACUAAAAUAAAUUAAUUAAAUGUAUAGAGUUUUCAAAAUUUCACCAUAAAUAUUUCUUCUCCUAAGCUGCAAAAUAUGUUCAGCUUUUAUUGCAUUACAUUUUAUAUAAUUUAAAAAAAUCUAAUUUAUUGUUUGCUUGAAAUCCAAAAAUAUUAAGAACUGGCCUGAAAAUUAGUAGAACAUAAUUGAGUAAUGACCGGACAAUAGGAGUCAUUUGCAAGUAUGCAUGGCAAGACUAAGUCAAAGACUCCAUUUGGUAAAAACCCAUGCGUACUAUCGUUUCUUUGUUAGUUCUACACUAAAAACAUAUAAUUCCUAAUUAGAAAAUAAAAUGAGCUUUGUCUCUAAAUGUGUUGUUAUACACUCAAUGUCGAGCUUUUCGGAGUUUUGGAGGGAUUUAAAUUUAUUUAGAUAUUAGGUUCUCAAUAGAUUAUGCUUAAAAUGAAUAAUAUAACUAUAAUCUAAUUUAUUCAAGAUGAUCAAUUGAGUUUCAUCAUUCAGUUAUGUUACGAACCAUUAAAGGAAUUAUUCAAUGUGUUUAGAUGAUUAGGGUGAUACAUGUACAUGUAUUCAAAUAGGUUAGCUGAGUAGUCGAUGGAUCGGAAACAAAGAUAUUUUCAAGGCGUCUAGGCAUGUAUAUAUGCAACCCUUGAAUAAAAUUUUUCAAAAAUUAAAUUAUUAUUGCUCUGAAAUGACUUGACCCGACUUAAUCUAAUUAUGAAUUUAUUUUUGUUCAUGUAAAAAUAAAAAAGAAAGAUAAUAAAUUUAAAUAAUUAAAGAUAAAAUAAAAAUUAAUUAUGUAAAUCACUAAUAAAUAGAAUUUAAUUUUGGACUUAAAAAACUAUAUGCUCAUUGCAUUUCAAUUGGUUGGACAAACUUUGAAAGUGUAAAGGAUUAAAAAGUAGGUAAUAUUAUAAGACAUUUUAACUUAUCUGUGACCAUCAUUUUCAAUCAACCCAAAGUAAAUUUCAGAAGAACCCCACACUGUUUAUCAUCAAAAUUUCCACCCAUAAGUCAUAAGUGGUGCCCAUCAAUCCAUCUCAUGCAGUAUUGAUCGGGCAAACAGACUUAACUAUUUUUUAAACUGUUAACAUUAGUAUUUUUAAAUUUCUUUUUCCAAAGGUGCCUACAGCCUACAUUGUUAAAUUUCUUUAACAAUAGUAAUUUACUCUACAGUAUGGACACAACUUUCAAAAUACCAACGCUAUGGAUUCCAAGGUGCCUACUGCCUACAUUGUUUUCUCCUCCACAUUUCUAUAUCAUUUCGUUGAUACUGCCUUUUUUUGCUCUUCUCACAUGCUUAAGAUAUACUGGGUUGGGGGUCUUCUAGUUGGGGUUUGAAAAUUACAUCUACCUAAUGCUUUGAUUCUAAGGGAAUGGCUGCUUUUCAUUACGUCUUCUCUGCUAUUCAUUCCUCUCUACGUGUCCAGUAGGAAGCAAAGUUGGACUAAUUCUAUAUCCAUCUUUUUUCUAACUUUUUUUAUUUCUUUAUACAAUACUUGACCUUCAAAUAUUUUACUCUACUUGUGACUUCCACUUUAUCCUUGUUAAUUUCCUACUUAUUUUCACAAUUUUUGCUUUUGAUUUUGAUUUUGAUUUUGCGGUUUUAAAUAAAAUAUAAGUGGUAAGAUAGGAGAAUCAUGAGGGCGAAGGUCAAGAUACGGUACAGACUGUAUAAGAAAAAUCUUAUGGUUUAAACAGAGAAAAACAAAGGACAAAGCAAGAAAGGAAUAAAUAGAAUGAAUUAAAAUAUUUGCUGGUACUCCAUUUUCUUUUUCGAGUUUAAAAUUAUGGUGUUGGAUAAUAUUUAAAUUAAUAUAUUUUGACUAUAAUUGGUAGCAGAUAUGAAAGAAAAAAUUAAGACUAGGGCUAAUAAAAUCUCAUAUUAUCAUUUUCCAAAAUUUAAAAAAAAUUAAAAAAUUGCAAGUUAAACUAAUUUAAGGAUUUAAUUAAAAUAUUUUAAAAAAUUUCUAUACUUUUUUCCUUAAUUUUGUAGUUUUCCAUGAGUACAAAUAAGAGUUUAUUCAUUUUGGAUCCAGGUCCCUAUUGGAAAAUUAAAAUACUCCACCACUAUUGGAACAUUAUUUAUUUAUUAGUCCAAAAUAUAUAUAAUUUCUAAUUAGAAAUUCUUGGAAAAUUAAAAUGCUCCACCACUAUUGGAAUAUUAUUCAUAUAGAAUAAAGAUGAAGAAAAAAAAGACCGAAACAUUGAAAUUAAUAUGACUAAUAAAACCAAUAAAAUCUCAUAAUCCCAAAUUAAAAUUAACAAAAUGACAAAAGAAAGAUGUAAAGCAAAUUAAGUGUGAAUGGGACAUAAGACUAGGAAUAAAUGAUUCAUGCUUUAUGACUAAGAGGUUUAAUAUAUAUAUAUAAAUCUAUUAUAUAAUAAGGGUAAAGUUGACCAUCAAAUCACUCAAAUUUGAUUUCAAUAACAAAAAAAUUUAUUCAAUUUUCGACUAAUCAUUCAAUUUUCAAAAAAUACCAAAUCAGUAUUUGUAACACCCCCUAACCCCAAACCGUCGCCGGAACAGGGUUACGAGGCAUUACCAGACAUAUCAAACAGUUUACGAAUAAUUCAUAAUAAAAUAACAAUUGUAAUAUAAUUGUAUAACUAAAUCCAUAUAAUAAACUUUUGAAGUUCAAAACAUGAAUGAAAAAGUGAAAUGAAACUCGUUCAAAUACUCCGAGGUUUUUUUUUUUUUAAAAUUUCGGCAGCAUUUCGGCUUAUUUUUGCAUAAUACCUCCUGCAAUUAAAACCAUAGUAUUUCCAAUCUCAACCAAUCCAACCAAUUCAUUUCACAUUCUCAAUUCCUAUUCUAAUUACCUUCUAAUCAACUUAAUCAACAUAACAUCAAUUUAAAUUUAACAAUGUAAUAAAUUAAAUAAAGAUCGAUAAACUUCUUUCAUUAUAAUUCAUAAACUUAUACUACUAACAUUUUUAAUCAUUCAUACUAAAACAUAAUAACCUUUAUACACAUCCUAUGUACAUGCCACAUUACUAAAGAAAAUAUACAUCACCAAAGUUUGCUAAAGUCGGGUCUGGCUUUGGAUGCUGGUUCAGUGCUUGACUUCUACAACCUGCGCACGGAAACAACCGUACGCUGAGUAUGCAUAUACUCAGUGGUAUCACUAUAAUCCAAUUUAUAAUUAAAUACAUUAAAUCACACACAUACUUUUUAUUACAAUUAUCACUACUAAUAAACAAUUCAAUCAUUUAAUAUUAUCAAUUAAUUAUAUAUAUUUAUAAACAUCAUUCUUAUUUCUUUAUUUCAAAUUUCACCUUUUACAUAUACCAUAUCAUUUAAGUAGUAAACUUAUUUCNNNNNNNNNNNNNNNNNNNNNNNNNNNNNNNNNNNNNNNNNNNNNNNNNNNNNNNNNNNNNNNNNNNNNNNNNNNNNNNNNNNNNNNNNNNNNNNNNNNNUUGACUCGGACUCGACGGAUACACGGAUUCCAACCAAACACACCAGUAUACAGUAAUCAAUAACAGUAACAGUAACAGUAUUCAACACACAAAGUGUUGAACCUGUAACAGUAACGGUAACAGUAUUCGACACACAAAGUGCCGAGUCAGUAACAGUAACAGUAUUCGACACACAAAGUGCCGAAUCAGUAACAGUAACAGUAGUCGGCACAUAAGUGCCUGAUCAGUAAGCCGGCAAAUACCCCGUACACUUCCAUAUCCUAUGGCAUGCCAACUAUAUCCGACUAGCCCGACUAGUUAAUAGGGUAUUUAAUUCACUUUUCAGUAUAAAUUUCCAUCUUAAUUCAGUAUCAAUUAUAAUUCCUUAAUUCAAUCGGUUUCACAGUAUUACAGUAAUUCUUUACUUCAGUAAUUUCACAAUUCAAUGCAUUAUACAUAACAAUAUUCAGUAUUUUCACAAUUCAUUCAGUAAUCAAAACAAUAUCCAGUAUCCCAUAAUUCGGUUCAGUAUCAGUUUCAAUUUCAUUACUACAUUAUAAAUUUAUUAUUUAUUACACACUUACCUUAAAAUACUUACCACACAUAAUUAGCAAAUUAAACACUUAAUAAUAAUAAAGUUUGAAUUAUAGUGAUACAAACUGUAAUUCUCGUGUCUAUUCCUCGUCUACUUUUUCCUUUCCUUUCCUCGUGGAUGCCUCGGGUGCAAUAUUAGCUACGAAAAAAAAUAAUAAUUUAUACUAUUAAUUACAGCACUAAUUAUAAUAAAUAAUUAAAUUUCUAUUCAAUUUCUUCCUUAUUCUCAAUUUAAUCCUAAUUAAAUUCACUUACUUUCCUAAUUCAAUUCACACUCUAUUUCUAUUCAAACUUCAUCCAAACUCAAAUUUAACUAUCAAAAUUUCAGCAUAUUUUCCAAAUUUCGAAUUUUCCUCAAUUUAGUCCCUAAAACAUAAAACUUAUAGUUUCUUUUACAAUUUAAUCCCUUUUUCAAUUCUAACUUAAAAUUCAUGCUAUUUAAUCCCUAAUUCAUCUCUUUUGUUCAACAUAAACUAUACUUGAAAACCUAUGAACUUACAAAACAUCAACUUAAUCCCAUCAAAACUUUGUUUUAAAGCUUUUAAAACAUUAGAAUUAAGAGAAAAGGGCUAAUUUGACUUACCAAAUUAAAUUUCAAGCUUCAAAAACCCUAUUUUCCCUAUUUUCUUCUUUUUCUUCUUUCUCCCCUGUUUCUCCCCUGUUUCGUCUCUUCUAUUCUGUUUCUUUCCUUUCUUUUGCUUUGUUUUUAUUUCAUUUUAUUUCAUUUACUUUAUAUUAUAUUAAUUAAUUAUAAAUAUUACAAAUGUAUGUAUUUUAUUAGUACACUUGCAUUAAAUCAUUACCAUACACUUGUUUCAAUCUAACUAGCUUAUCAAAUAAAAAUCUCAUAAUAUUAUUAUUUAAUUAACAAUUAUCUUUUACUAAAUUUUCAAGUAAAUAAAUAAAUAUAAUACACUUGUAUUUUAUUUUUACCACACACUUGACAAAAUCAUAAUUUAUUAUUACCCAAAAAUCUUAUACUAAUUAUUUAAUUACUAAAUAUCUUUUAAUUUAAUAAUAACUAAUAACUAAUAAUAAAUAAUAAAUAUCAUUAAUUAUAUAAUAAACAAAUAAAUUCUUAAAUUUUAUUCCUUUAUGCCGCCUCAAUCAUUUUAAAUGGCUUAAUUGCCAUUUUAGCCCUUUUUACUUUCUUUUAAUCUAUGAUUAGAUUUUCACUUCUAUUGUAAUUUAAUCCCUUUUGCUAAUUACUCUUAAUUGAGCCAAAUUCACCUAUCUAAAACCUAAUUAAACACACAACUAAUCUCGUAAGUAUUUCUAAUAAUUAUUUAUGACUCAGUUUACUAAGACGGAGGCCCGAUAAUACACACUUUUCUGGUGCCCACAGAUUUUGGGUCGUUACAGUAUUACUAAUUAUUUUUCGUUAUAGAUAUAACGAAAAUGUGACCUGUCAUUUAACCGGUCACGUUGGAAUCAUUAUUGUCAUUUAAUUGACCAUGUUGGAGGGUUUAUUGUCAUUUAAACAACCCCAAUUAAGAACCCUAGCUAGGAAGAAGAAGAAGAAGAAGAAGCCAAUUUCCUUGUAAGAGCCCAAUUUUCCUCGGGCCUAAUAAUAAAACAAUAGCAGAAAGAUAACAGUCCAUUUAUAUGGCUUGAGAGCCCAAAAAAUUAUUACAGGCCCAAAUACAAAGAGAGACCUAAUGGCCUAAAAUCCUAAUCUAUCAGCAGAAACCCUAGUUGCCCUAACCCCAAGUCGUGCCGCUCCCCGGCAUGUCAGCAGAAGCAAUGCCCAAAACCUUCCCCUUGCACCAAAACGACAGCAGCAACCUCAUUGACUUCCACCGCCUCUGCAAGAAACACAGAAAAGGAAAAGAAGCAGAAACAAGCAAUCGAAAAAAACAUAUAUUAUAAUAUUAUUUUAGUUAUAAAAACCGAUCUUUGUAACACGAAAAGGGGGACCGAAUACAUUGAAAUAAAAAAAUGAAAUCGAAAUACAAACAAAUAUAUUAGAAUAAUCGAAAUAAAAAUACCACAAAGUUCAAAAAGGUAACAUUUUAUUGUUUAUUAUUAUUUUAUUUUGAUUCUUCUCUUUUCGAAACAAAAAAAAGAGAGAGAAACUUUACUUGUUUUUCACUGUCAUCGGAGGUCCCCUCCGACUCGAGAAGACUCAGACCCCUUAGGGCCCAUGGAAGGCAUCGUAGGAGAGAGUAGAAAUCAAAAGGUUUCUCCCAUUUUUUAGGAUUUUGGCUAAGUUUUCAGCGAUUCUGACUCCAGAUUAUCAAUCUACGCUGAAAAGGAUUCAGGGGAAAUUUUGAUCUUCGGCCAUCGGAGGUGACAGUCUCCGUCACCUGUGACCGAUAGCCACAGCAAGGACUUAUUGGCCUCGUGGCCAGACUUGAACCCACUUCAGAAACCCUAAAACGACGUUGAUUUGACUAAUUUUCUUAUGGAUAUGUUUGACUAUUUUCAUGAACAUCGCAAACACAUUUAUUUAGUUUAUAUGAAUAAACGUGAACACAAAUAGACAAAAAAAAUAAACUGACGGAUCAAACUUGAUUCAUAAACAAAACCAAAGAUAUGAGAAAAAAUUCUAGUGGCAGACUCCCUGUUUAUAAAUCUCCUGAACCAAAUACAGUUGUUGAAUCUAGAUAGUUAGCCUACAGGUUUGGAAUUCGUAUUUGGAUUCUAAUCCUUAGCUUUCUUGCAUUUAGUUUCGUACAAGAAAGAUAAAAAAAAAUAGAAGAAGAAGAAGACGAAACAAAAGUAGAAUUAGGAGGGUUUUUAUUUUUUAAUUGGAGGUUUAUGGACAUUUUCUAUGUGAAAAGUUGCUAUAAAAUGUUUAAGAAAUAGUUUUUUUAGUUUCCUUCUGUUUUUUUAUUUGUUAUUUUUUUUUCAUAAUAUGUUUGAGUUUGAUAUUUAAUCAUUAGAAUUAAAAAUUCAAUUCUCUACUAAUAAAUCAAAUAAUUGUUUGUUUUUAGUGUUAUUUUUGAGCUUUUAUGAAUUUGUAUUUUACCUGUGUUUAUACUGGUGACAGGUCAAAAUUAUAGACUAUAUAAAAAACAUUAUGGUGUGAAAUUGUUUGAUUUAAAUUAAAAAAUUAAACAUGUUAAAUUAAAAUAUUAUUAAAAUAUAAUUAAUAUUUGAAAUCAUAAAUAUUUGAAAACUGUUUCAAAGCAAAAUAAUAAUAAAAAUUAUUAUAAUUUUUACAUAAUAUAAAUUUUAGUAAUUUUAUGAAUAUUUUGAUUUUAAAAUUUAUUUUAAUUAUUUUAUAAUUUUUGUUGAGAGAGAUUAAUUUGUUAAUUUUUAAAGUUGAUAGGAAUCAAAGGAGUAUAUCAAUCUGUUGUUUGAAUUAUUUGAGUUGUUUAAAUUAUAAAAUUUAACUCGAAUCUUGAAUUAUAUAUACUUUUAAUAAUAAUUAAAUAAUAAUAUAGAAAUGAAAAUAUUUCUUACGCUCUAAGAAAGUUUGAAAGCUGAAAUUUAAAGAUGUUUCUUUCAAAAGUGAAAAAUUAUAUAUAUUCUAUCAUCAAAAUUUCCACUCAUUGUGUCCAUCAAUCUAUAAGGUGACUUGACUUGUACACAUUGGUUGACCGUUGUUUUUGUGCAAUAAAAACUUGGACAUUUGUAUGCAAUGCCAAAGACUUAAGGCUUAAAAGGCUAUCAUUUUUUUUGGUCCUAAAUUAAAGAUUUUAAAAUUUUUAAAUUAAAAUGUUACACAUAAUUUGAGAACUUAAUUAAAACAUUGUAAAGUUUAGAGUUUAAUUUAAAAUUCGAUGUAUAAUUUUAAGAUGUAAGGUGAAUUAAUCAUUUGAUAAAUCAUUACAUAUUUACAAGUUGGAUACUCAUUAACAAAUUGAUUUUAUAUUAUAAGUUCAAUUUUAUAUUUUUGGUCUUUUAUAUUUUUGAUAAAGUGCUAUAAUUUAGUCUUUUUUAACGACUUUGAUUUAGACGAUUAUUUAUAUAGAGUAAGGAGUGGGCAAGAAAACUACAACCUUGGCAUUAAUAAGUUAAUGAGAUUGAUAAAAUAUUAAAAUCUCAUUUCUUCAAAAUUAAAAUUAACAAAAACGAAAGACGUAAAAGGCAAAUUAAGUGUGAAUUUAACAACUUAUUUCUAAUACUAGCAAUAAAUAAUUUAUGCUAACAGCUUUACAUAAUAAAUUAUUAUCCCUUGCUUUUGCAUGUUGGAAAAAUUUACCAAAAAGAAUUAACUAAAGUGGUGGAACAGUAUUUUGAUGGAGUCUUGAUUUGGCAAAAUGACUUAGAAAUUGCAUGGCAUGCAUUGCCAAUCACUCAUAAACAUUGUUCCAUGGAAACUACACACUUGUGUAUAAAUAAGUUGUAUGCCAAACACAAUCCUCAUUCACGCCCACCCAACAUGAACACCCUUCAUUCCCUUAUUUCUUCACUCUUUCUCUUCUCAUGCUUCCUUCCUCUUCUCUUGUCUUUUUCACCUCCUCAAACUCAUCUCCCAAUGCAAUGCCUUGAUGACCAGAGAGCUCCACUCCUGCAAUUGCAGCAUCAUCUUUACUAUGCCCCUAAUUUUACUUUCUCUUCCAAAUUUGACCUCUGGGAUGUCAACACUGAUUGUUGUUCUUGGGAAGGAGUCACUUGUGAUGCUUAUGGUCAUGUCGUUGGCAUUGAUCUUAGUUACAGAAACCUUUCAGGCAGCUUCCACUCCAUAUUCAAUCUCCAUCGUCUUCAACGCCUUAAUCUUGCUGGAAACAACUUUAAUACCACUCUGUUUUCCUAUGGGUUUCACAAACUCCAAAAUCUAACCCAUCUCAAUCUUUCAAGCUCAUGUUUCCAUGGCCAAAUUCCAGUGGAGACCUCAUUCUUAAAAAGGUUAGUCUCUCUUGAUCUAUCCAAUCAAGAUUCUUAUUAUUUUAGAUAUUACAAAGUUCUCUACCCUGGCUUCUACAACUAUUACGAACCUCAACAGCCUCUUAAAUUAGAGAAUCCAAACUUCAAGACAUUAAUCAAGAAUUUGAGGUUUCUCACAGAGCUUUAUUUGGAUAGUGUGGACAUUUCAACUCAAAGUGCUAAAUGGUGUGAAACCACAUCUCUUGUACUUUCCAACCUGCGUGUGUUGAGUCUGUCAAACUGUGGCUUGAAAGGUCCAUUAUGUUCUUCACUCUCAAGACUCUCUUUUCUUUCCAAACUUAUACUUGAUGGGAACCCAAUCUCUCAUUUACCUCCCAAUUUCUUGGAAAUUUCCUCUCGUUUGGUUUGUCUCAGUUUGAGCAACUGCAAUUUGAGUGGCCAUUUUCCAACUGAAAUUCUGUUAUUGCCAAAAAUUCAAAGCGUUGACAUUUCAGCUAAUGACCAACUUAUGGGUCAGUUGCCAGAAUUUCCAGCAAACAAUGCUUUACAGAGUUUGUCGCUUUUUUAUACAAAUUUCAGUGGAAAACUACCUCAAUCAAUUGGUAAUCUGAAGUUCUUGACAGAUUUAGAGCUGUUUGGUUGCAAUUUUUUUGGACCCAUUCCAUCGUCAAUUGCAAAUCUUAGUCACCUGGUGAACUUGGAUCUAAGUUCAAACAAGCUUUCUGGAUCAAUACAUUCUUCUUUAUUUACUCUUCCAUCGUUGAAGACCUUGGAUCUUGGAGAAAAUCAAUUGGUUGGGAAAAUUGAUGAGUUCCCCAAUGCAUCUUCUUCUUUGAUUGAAGUACUAUAUAUAGGCAAUAAUUAUUUAACAGGACCAAUCCCAAAGUCAAUCCUUCAACUUCCAAGGCUUGAAGUGCUUUAUAUCGGAGGCAAUAGCUUCAGUUCCAUGAAGCUUGACAUGUUUGUCCAACUCAACAACUUAAGGACUCUCUGGCUAAACAAUAUAAGCUUGUUAAUUGAAAGCGACAACAGAAGUCUUACUUUUCCCCAAUUAGAGAGGCUAAGCCUAAGGUCAUGCAACCUUACUGAAUUUCCAAAAUUCAUUAAAAGGCAAGACAAGUUGGUUCACUUAGAUCUUUCUAACAAUCAUAUCCAUGGCGUUGUGCCUAAUUGGUUGUGGAAGAGCAGUCUUUCAUCCUUAGACCUUUCUUUCAAUAUGAUUGAUUUUCCAAAACAACUUCCUUCAAGUGAUUCUGUUAAGUUUAGUUCCCAUGCAAAGGUGGCCAUGCACGACAUGCAAAGGUGGUCAUGCUCGAAGAAAUAGCAGCAAGCAGUGGUGCCAUUGUGUGCAGCAACUGAAGUUUGAAGCUGCCAAUCCACUUGCUGUUUUUAGUUCCAUUUUGAUUGUUUUGUAAUCUAGUUCAUGUUGAACUAAGUAGGUAAAUGUUUUUGAUAUUGAUUGACUGAAAAGUCAGCAAUGCAAGUUGUACAAGCUAAUCUUGUAAGUUUCAAUGCAAAUUAGUGGAGUUAGGUAGUUGAUUAGGUGAUUACUUGUUUGUUUUACUUGUUGACUAAAAUAUGUAAUGGCUUAAUGCCUUGGUGUGUGUUAAUGAAAAAUAUCAGCUCAUUUUUCAUUCAUUCUUCUUCUCUCUUUUCUGUUAUUCGCUUGCUAGUUUCAUUUUCUGUUUUUGCUUCUGAGUUUGUUUCUUCACCAAGGCUCGAGGCUUGCUAUUCAAGCAAGAUACAAAACAGCCUGUUAUUGUCUCUUUGUUCCAACAGAUUCAAACUUCUCUUUCCCAAUCUUGAGGCGAUUGCUUCUGGGAUCUUGUAACAUAAGUGCAUUUCCGGAGUUCUUAAAGAGUCAAGAAAAUUUAGAAGCAUUCGACGCAUCUUCUAACAAUUUGAGUGGCCCAAUUCCAAAUUGGUUAUGCAAUAUGAGUCAACUUCACACUUUCGAUGUAUCUUUUAACAAUUUGAGUGGUCCAAUUCCAAAUUGCUUGGGCAAUAUGAGUGCUCUGAGUUUGUUGGGUUUGCAAGGAAAUAACUUCAGUGGAAUGAUACCAAAAUUUUCAAAGGCAACCCAACUGCGAUUUCUGAAAGUUAGUGAGAAUAGAUUGGAAGGGGAAUUGCCCAGAUCAAUAGCUGAAUGCACUCAGCUUGAAGUUUUGGACGUGGGAAACAACAAGAUGAAUGAUACAUUCCCUUUUUGGUUAGAGAAAUUGCCUUACUUGAAGGUUCUAAUAUUGCGGGAAAACAGAUUUUAUGGUCAAAUUAAACAUUUCAAACAUAAAUCUGUUUUCCCAACUUUGGAUGUAUUGGACAUUGCUUCAAACCAGUUUUCUGGUGAACUAUCCAUUGAUUUCCUUCAACCAACUCGACUAAGUUUUGCUAAGAGAUAAAAUUUUUAAGUUUCAAAAUUAAUAGGGAUCAAAUGAGUAUGUAUACCAAUCUGUUGUAUAAAUUAUUCAAAUUAUUUGAGUUAUUCAAAUUUUAAAAUUUAACUCGAAACUUGACUUAUAAAUAUUUUUAUGUUUUAUAUUUAAUAAUAUAAAACAUAAAAAAUUAUUUAAAUUAAAAAAUAAUGUAAAAAUGAAAGUCUUUCUCCAAACUUCACCCAAAAACACUUUAAGAAAAUUUCCACUCCUUGUGUCCAUCAAUCCAUCUCAACCAGCUAACAAAUUUACUAAAAUUUUGUCUUUAUAAUGGUUGAACGUUAUUUUUGUGCAAUCAAAAUUUGGAGAUUUGCAUAUAAUGCCAAAGACUUAAAAUAUUUCAUACUAUCAUUUUUCCCGAUCCAAAGUGAAAGAUAUUAAAAAUUUCAAAUUAGAACGUUAUUUAUAAUUUGAGAACUUAAUUAGAGUAUUAUGAAAUCUAGAAACUUAAUUUAAAAUUCGAUGUAUAAUUUUGAGAUGUAAGGUGAAUUAAGCCUUUGAUAAAUCAUAAUAUAUUUAUAAGUUUGGUACUCAUUAACAAAUUGAUUUUAUAUUAUAAGUUUAUUUUUUUUUUUGGUGCUAUAACAAAAUUUCCUUAAAAGAUUACAUUCUUUUUAAAUGACUUAGAUAUAUAGACUAAGGAGUACUGGGCAAGAAAACUAAACCCUUAGCAUUAAUAAGAAAAAUGACAUCAAUAAAAUAUUAAAAUCUCAUUCUUCAAAAUUAAAAUGACAAAAAAGAAAGACGUAAGGCAAAUUAAGUGUGAAUUUAAAAACUUAUUUCUAAUACUAAUAAUAAAUCAUUUAUGCAUCAUCACUAACAGCUUUAAAUAAUAAAUUAUUACCCCUUGCUUUUGUAUGUUGGAAAAAAUUGACCAAAAAGACUUAGAAAUUGCUUUUAUAUGGGAACUACACAUUCGUGUAUAAAUAUGUUGUAUGCCAGACACAAUCCUCCUUCACAGUUCACACCCACCCAACAUGAACACUCUUCAUUCCCUUAUUUCUUCACUCUAUCUCUCCUCAUGCUUCCUUCCUCUUCUCUUGUCUUUUUCACCUCCUCAAACUCAUCUCCCAAUGCAAUGCCUUGAUGACCAGAGAUCUCCUCUGCUGCAAUUGCAGCAUCAUCUUUACUAUGCCCCUAAUUUUACUUUCUCUUCCAAUUUUGACCUCUGGGAUGUCAACACUCAUUGUUGUUCGUGGGAAGGAGUCACUUGUGAUGCUUAUGGUCAUGUCGUUGGCAUUGAUCUUAGUUACAAAAACCUUUCGGGCAGCUUUCACCCCAUAUUCAAUCUCCAUCGUCUUCAACGCCUUAAUCUUGCUGGAAACAACUUUAAUACCACUCUGUUUUCGUAUGGGUUUGAUAAACUCCAAAAUCUUACUCAUCUCAACCUUUCAAGCUCAUGUUUCCAUGGCCAAAUUCCACUGGAGAUCUCAUACUUAACGAGGUUAGUCUCUCUUGAUCUAUCUAAUCAAGAUUCUUGUUAUUUGCGAUACUACACCAUUCUUGACCCAUAUAGUGGCGUCUACUACUACUAUGAUCCAUUGCCUUACGAACUUCAACAGCCUCUUAAAUUAGAGAAUCCAAACUUCAAGACAUUAAUCAAGAAUUUGAGGUUUCUCACAGAGCUUUAUUUGGAUAGUGUGGACAUUUCAACUCAAAGUGCUAAAUGGUGUGAAACCACAUCUCUUGUACUUUCCAACCUGCGUGUGUUGAGUCUGUCAAACUGUGGUUUGAAAGGUCCGUUAUGUCCUUCACUCUCAAGACUCUCUUUUCUUUCCAAACUUAUCCUUGAUGGGAACCCAAUCUCUUAUUUACCUCCCAAUUUCUUGGAAAUUUCCUCUCGUUUGGUUUCUCUCAGUUUGAGUGGCUGCAAUUUGAAUGGGCAAUUUCCAACCGGAAUUCUCUUAUUGCCACAAAUUCAAAGCAUUCACAUUUCAUCUAAUGACCAACUUAAGGGUCAGUUGCCAGAAUUUCCAGCAAACAAUGCUUUACAGAGUUUGUUGCUUUCUUAUACAAAUUUCAGUGGAAAACUACCUCAAUCAAUUGGUAAUCUGAAGUUCUUGACAGAUUUAGAUCUUUAUUAUUGCAAUUUUUUUGGACCCAUUCCAUCGUCAAUUGCAAAUCUUAGUCACCUGGUGAACUUGGAUCUAAGUUCAAACAAGCUUUCUGGAUCAAUACAUUCUUCUUUAUUUACUCUUCCAUCGUUGAAGAUCUUGUAUCUUGGAGACAAUCAAUUGGUUGGGAAAAUUGAUGAGUUCCCCAAUGCAUCUUCUUCUUUGAUUCAAGCAUUAUAUGUAGGCAAUAAUUAUUUAACAGGACCAAUCCCGAAGUCAAUCCUUCAACUUCCAAGGCUUGAAGGGCUUUAUAUUGGAGAAAAUAGCUUCAGUUCCAUGAAGCUUGACAUGUUUGUCCAACUCAAGAACUUAAAGGGUCUCCACUUAUCCAACGUAAGCUUGUUAAGUGAAAGCGACAACAAAAGUCUUACUUUUCCCCAAUUAGAGAGCCUAAGCCUAAGGUCAUGCAACCUUACUGAAUUUCCAGAAUUCAUUAAAAGGCAAGACAAGUUGAAAUAUCUUGACCUUUCAAAUAAUAAAAUAAGUGGUGCAAUACCAAACUGGGUGUGGAAGAAAAGUUUGUGGUAUCUGUUUCUUGCUAAUAACCAUCUCUCAUCUUUGGACCAACUUUUACCCAAUCAGAGUUCACCUUCUUCACAAACCUCCUUGACUAGACCUAUUUGCAAUUUGAGUCAACUUAGAAAUUUCAAUGCAUCUCAUAACAAUUUGAGCGGCCCGAUUCCAAAUUGCUUAGGCAAAAUGAAUGAUCUCAAUUUGUUGGAUCUGCAAGGAAAUAGCUUCAGUGGAAUGUUACCAAAAUUUUCAAAAGCAACCCAAUUAUAUAUUCUCAAAGUUAGUGAGAAUAGAUUGGAAGGGAAGUUGCCUAGAUCAUUAGUGGAAUGCACUCUGCUUGAAGUUUUGGACGUGGGAAACAACAUGAUGAAUGAUACAUUCCCUUUUUGGUUGCAGAAAUUGCCUUACUUGAUGGUUCUAAUAUUGCGGGAAAACAGAUUUUAUGGUCAAAUUAAACAUUUCAAACAUAAAUUUGUUUUCCCAAAUUUGGAUGUGUUGGACAUUGCUUCAAACCAGUUUUCUGGUGAACUAUCCAUUAAUUUCCUUCAAACCACUCGACUAAGGUCACUCAAAAUAGGUGGGAAUAAAUUAGAAGGGAAGUUGUCGAGAUCAUUAGCCAAUUGUAAAGCACUUGAGGUUCUGGACCUUGGAAAUAAUAUGGUUCAUGAUACAUUCCCAUUUUGGUUAGAGAAACUGCCUUCUUUGAAGGUUCUCAUUUUGCGAGCAAACAGAUUCUACGGCACAAUUGCAGAAUUCAACACAGAACGUGGGUUUCCAAAGCUACGCAUAUUGGACAUUGGUUCCAACAAUUUUUCAGGCAACUUGUCCAUUGAAUUUUUGCUAAGCUUGAAGGCAAUGAUGCAGUUAAGAAAUGACGACAAAGCUAAGCUGGAUUACAUUGGAGAGGAUUAUUAUCAAGAUUCAGUAACAAUUUUCAACAAAGGGAUUGAAAUGUUCUACCAAAAAGUCUUGACAAUUCUUACUUGUCUCGACCUUUCCAACAAUAGUUUCCAUGGGAGAAUACCAGAAGAAAUACAAAUGCUGAGGUCACUCAAAGUGCUAAACUUGUCCUAUAAUAGCUUCUCCGGUGAAAUCCCGGUAGCACUUGGAAACCUAAAAGAUCUCGAGUCUUUGGAUCUCUCACAGAAUGAGCUGUCAGGGAAGAUUCCUCCACAACUUACAAGUUUAACUUUCUUAGCAGCAUUGAACUUGUCUUACAACCAACUUGAAGGGAGCAUACCACAAAGCAACCAAUUCAUUACAUUUUCAAAUGAUUCCUACCAUGGGAACCCAAAAUUGUGUGGGCUGCCACUGUCAAGGAAAUGCAAUGAAGUUGGUCUUCCAAUGCCACCACCUCCAAGGGGAGAUGAAGAAUCAUGGUUAUAUGCUAUGACUACUUGGAAAAUUGCGUUGAUGGGUUAUGCUAAUGGAUUGGUCGUUGGGCUAUGUAUCGGAUAUACAGGGCUGAAUGAGUUGGGAAACAAAUGGGUUGACAGGCUCAAAAAACACGGGGAAAGAAACAAAAGAAGAUCUAGGUGACUCCAUCAGGAUUCAUUUUUUUUCAAAAUCAGCGGUUAUGCAGUGCACCACCUUAUUUCUUUUUUAUCUGUGGACAAAGUUAAAUAUCAUAUGGUAUUUGUACUUGUAGCUUGUAACAUUGACAUUCGUUUUUCAGUCUCUUCUAAUUUAAUGUUACCAUUUCGCAAUGCAGAAGGUACUUAAAACAGACAGGCUCAAGCAAAAAUCUUUGAUGAAAAUGGUAAAAGUGCCUAACAAAUAUGAGCAUAUUUUUCCUUAAAAUUGUCUUUUUCUUGACAUUGGCUUUAUAUUUUAUCAAACACGUGUUGGGCUUUAGGUCUGGGUGUAAAGGGUGGACCUAUUGGUUCGGGUUUUAGUGCAGUCCGACACUUGUUUUCAUGCUAGUCAAUUUGUUCUUUCAAUGAUAAUUUUAUUUCUUUAAAAAAUACCAUUCAAUUAGACAUUGUAUGUAAUAAUAUGAUAAAAUAAAAAUUAAAACAUAAUUGAAAGAAAUAAGUCUUAGAAUCUGGUAUGCUUUCCAAUGUUAGCCAAUGGCCCAAAAUUUAUAAGUUGGAUCCUCAUUAAUAAACCAGGACUAAAAAAUACGCAUAGUUAAUUUAUUCUUUUGGGGUGCUAUACCAAAGUUUAAUUAAAAGAUGUUAAUGGUGCAUUUUUAUAUUUAAAAAUAAUAAAUUAUAUAGAAACAAUUAUGAUAUAAAAUGGAUCAUAAUUUGCGAUAGAUUAGUUCCAAACCCAAAUAUUGCUAUAAUUUUAUUCCUACUUCAUUAUUUGCUAAUUUGAGCAAUUUGGUCCUCAGGGACAACAGGCAUUCCUGAAGAAUUAGGAAGCUUGAAAUUAUUGAUUUUUCUAGAGUUGACUCAAUGGUUGUAUUCCAACUUCAUUUGCUAAUUUGAGUGUCCCAUACCUCAAGAAAUUGCUAACUUCGUGAAAAUACGGAUGCUGAAUCUACUUGGAAAUAGCUUCAGUGGAACCUUACCAAAAUUUUCAAGAGCAACCCAACUACGGUUGGUCAAAGUUAGAAGGGAAAUUACGAAGAUCAUGGGUGAAAUGCAUUCAUCUUAGAACUUAUACGUGUUGGUUCUUAAACCUCAACAAACCAGCAAAUACCAUAAUUUUUGUUCUUAUCGUCCAUUGCAGCACCUAAACAGCUUCAAUUGUUUUAUCAAACCCAUAGUCCUCAUCUUUUACAAUCUUCUUCACCACUCUCCCUAGUUCCUUCUUUAACUUUGUUUCUUCCCUUGUUUCUACUGACUCCUUUUUCUCAGCCGUUGAAACAAAAUGGUAGCUUCUUUAGGAACAGAAAGGAACAAGAUGUUGAUACCCAAUGAAGAGAAACAAAGAUGAAAUCUUUCUAAGAAGACUAUGAAAAAGAAAAAGGUUGAAAAAGGAGUCUGAUCUAAUGCAUUUUCUUAUACUUUCUUUCUAGGAUUCUAACUAGGAAGAGAGAAGCAAAAUAAGUAAAUGAAAAAUGGGAGUGAAUUUCGUUUUCUUAAAAAAUAGUAUUCGUAUAUAAAAUCGGGUAUUUUACUUAAAAAAAGCCCAUUUCAAACUAAAAUAAAUUAAUUAAAUGUAUAAAUUUUUAAAUUUUCACCAUAAAUAUUUCAUCUGUUAGGCGGCAAAAUAUGUGUAGCUUUUAUUGCAUUACAUUUUAUAUAAUUUUUUUUAAAAAAAAAGUCUAAUUUAUUGUUUGCUUGAAACCCAAAAAUAUUAAGAACCGGCUUAGAAAUUAGUAGAACAUAAUUAAAUAAUGACCGGACAAUAGGAGUCAUUUGCAAGUAUACAUGCCAAGACUAAGUCAAAAGCUCCAUUUGAUAAAAACCCAUAUGCAUACUAUAGUUUCUUUGUUAGUCCUACACUAAAAACAUAUAAUUUCCUAAUUAGAAAAUAAAUCUAUGAGUUUUGCCUCUAAAUACAUUAUGUUGUUAUACACUCAAUGUUGAGCUUUGCGGAGCUUUGGAGGGAUUUCAAAUUACUUAGAGAAUAGGUUUUCAAUGGAUUGUGCUUGAGGUGAAUAAUAUGACUACAAUCUAAUUGAUUCAAGAUGAUUAGCUGAGUUCCACAUUUAGCUGUGUUACGAAUUAUAAAGAACUUAUUCAACAUCUUUGGAUGAUUAGGGUGAUACAUGUAUUCAAAUAGGGUAAUUGAGUAGUCGAUGGACCAGAAGCAAUGAUAUUUUCAAGGCGUUAUAUGCAACCCUUAGAUAAAAUUCUUCAAAAAUUAUAUGAUUAUUGCUCUGGAAUAACCUAACCCGACUUAAUCCAAUUAUGAUUUUAUCUUUGUUCAUUAAAAAAAAAGAAAGAUAGUAAAUUUAAAUAAUUGAAGAGAAAAUAAAAAUUAAUUAUGUAAAUCACCGAUGAAAAGAAUCUAAUUUUGGACUUAAAAAACUAUAUGCUCGUUGCAUUUCAAUUGGUUGGGUAAACUUUGAAAGUGUAAAGGAUUGAAAAGUAGCUAAAUUAUAAGACAUUUCAAGUAAUCUGUGAUCAUCAUUUUCAAUCAACGUCCCAAAAUAUAAAUUUUGGAAUUUUUAUAAAUAUUUUAAAUUUUUGCUGAGAGUAAAUUUUCUAAGUUUCAAAAUUAAUAGGGAUCAAAUGAGUAUAUAUACCAAUCUGUUGUAUGAAUUAUUCAAAUUAUUCGAGUUAUUCAAAUUUUGAAAUUUAACUCGAAGCUUGACUUAUAAAUAUUUUUAUGUUUUAUAUUUAAUAAUAUAAAACAAAAAAAUAUUUCAAUUAAAUAAAAAAUAAAAAAUAAUGUAAAAAUGAAAGUCUUUCUCCAAACUUCACCCAAAAACACUUUAAGAAAAUUUCCACUCCUUGUGUCCAUCAAUCCAUCUCAACCAGCUAACAAAUUUACUAUAAUUUUGUCUUUAUAAUGUGACUUCACUUGUACACAAUGGUUGAACGUUGUUUUUGUGCAAUCAAAAUUUGGACAUUUGCAUGCAACGCCAAAGACUUAAGAUAUUUCAUACUAUCAUUUUUCCCGAUCCAAACUUAAAGAUAUUAAAAAUUUCAAAUUAGAACGUUAUUUAUAAUUUGAGCACUUAAUUAGAACAUUAUGAAAUCUAGAAACUUUAAAAAAAAAUUAUACUAUUUUUUUAUAUUUUUUAAUUUUUUUAUAAUUUAUUACUUUUUUAAUAAUUUUAAUUUUUAAAAAUAGAUUUUUUUUAUUUUUAAAAUUUUAAAAAAUAAUUAAAUGAUGAGGUGUCAUUCAUGUGAUAAUCCAUGUAUAUGCCACAUUAGCAAAGUUAAAAAAUAGUUAACAUUUCUAUCAAUUUUGGGGAAUUUGAUAAAAACACAAGUUAAAAAAUUAAAAAACAUGAAAAAAAUAAAUGAAUGACUAAAAUAAUUUUUUUUUGUAAAACUGGAGGCCAAAUAAGUCAUUAUGGCAAAAAAAUUAAAAAUUUAUUUUCUCCUCCAAAAGUAGAAUCUAAAUUUAAGCGGAUAUUAGAUAAUAAUAUUUACGGACUCGAACAUCGAAAAUGUAUGAAAUUUAUUGUUGUUCAAUGAAUUUAUUGUUUAAUAAUUACUUUUGUUUUGGCCAUUGGGAAAUUUUUCUAGCCCUUAUAAUAUAUAUCCAUAUUAUUGGAUGUGCUUCUUUUAUUCAAUUACAUUGCCUAAGGUUGCUUAUUGCGAUUAUGGUAACUUGAUGCAUCAUCCCCUGACUAAAUCUUCUCAUUUUCAGUGUUAGAAUCCUCCUCUUUAAAAUUUGGGUCUCAUGUUGCUUUUUGAGCAUUACUAUGCCAUUCUCCUCUUAAACACGUCGAAAAAUCCAGUAGGAGCUUCUACUUCCGAUUCUGGAGAAGUUGCCUCCCUUGAACUCAACAAAACCCUAUCAGCUUCCGGAGAUGCUACCUCAUCAAAAGCCUUCUCCUCUUGUCCUACUACAAAUUGGAUUGAGAACACUAAAGCCAAUGAGAACACAACCAAAAAAAAACCUUCGCCAUCUUUUUUAUUUUCUAAAAAGGUUAAGAAAUAAGUAAAGAUAUAUUUUUAUUGAUGCUUAAUGAUGAAAAUGAGAAGAAAUUUAAAGAGUUUAAAAUGAGAUAUUUUGGUCGAAUCUAUGGGUCGUUGACUAGUCCAGUGCCUAAUAGCCAUACACGACAAAAAUACAUAUAACUUCUCUCCCCAUUUUCAAUGGCCAUGUUUAUCACUAUUAUUGGUGGGUUCAAUUUACUUCACUUUGCUUGACUCGAAGACGUUGUGGGUGAUCGAUGAUGUGUUUUAAAAUCAUUCUGACCUGUUCUAUUUGCAUCACCUGUACCAAUCAAAAACACUCAUCCUUUUAUAGUUCAAUAUAUUUUCCAUGAAACAACUUCAAAAGUCAAGCAAAAUCUAAAUAGCUUUCUUCUUCUAUAUUGAAUACUGACUGUUAAGUUACCUUGGGUUUAAAGUAUGUUCUUCUACUUGUCUAUGGUUAUCGAUCAUAGUACCGGUUGUCAAAUCGUCGCUUGGAGCUUGCUACCUAGGCUUUUCAAAAGAAAAAAAUUUAACAGCCAAAUGACCAGGCCGUUCUUGACAUUUUUGAGGCCUUAGGCGACACAAUAAAUUGGGGCCCCAAAUUAUAAGAUGUAAUACAAUAUAACAAAAAAAUUGGGGCCUUUUUUUCUGCAUGCAAUAAAUCAGAAGAUUUAAAAGGUUGAAGAUUUUUAUUUUAGACCCUUCCAGCUCUGGGUGUCUGCAGUCGAAACUACCCCCAGGGUCCGGCCUACAAGUGACAUAAAUAAAAAUCUUCUGAAUAGUUCAGUAAUCAUUUUUAAAGUCAAGUAAAUAAUUAACCGUAAUUCUUCAGAAAAAUAUUUGAACAUAAAAUUUAUGAAUUUUUCUAUAAUACAUUAUUACAUUUUUUUCACAUUUUCAAUAGUUAUAUAUACAAUGAUAAAAUGAUAAUCUAAUCUCAUGGAGUGGGGCAAGGUAAGAAAUUACCAUAAUUGCUCCAUACUUGCUAUUUAAAAAAAAAAUCCACCUCGCCCUCCUCUACAUCCACUUUUGAAAAGAAAUCCUCUUUAUCUGGAGUGGAUCGAUUCGAAAUCCAUAGAGUGAUUCGGGUCUUACCAUCCCUAGUUACACAUCUAUACUAUUAUUUUAUUCUCAUUGGAGCCAAUCUCAUUGCCCAACCAAAUGGACCCGAAAGUUUUAAAUGAUAACAACAACAAUGGUAUAGAUAAAUGGAUUUAUACAUGAAUGCGGCUUCUUUUUUUUAAGAAAACUGAAAGUGACAAUAUAAGUACUAUAUUCCUAUCUAACAUAACUCAUCUUGUCAAUUGAGUUUUAGUUCGAUUAGUAUCAUUGCUAAUUGCAGCAAUCAAGAAAAUGUUGGUUUAAGGAUAACUAAGUGCAUUUUUAAUCUAAUUUAAGAGUUAAGGGUGAAUUAUGAGUAGAAGUAAUGAUAAGUGAUAAAAUAACAUAUUUUAAUCCGGUUUUUAAUGCGUUUUUGGAUGAUUAUUUAUGCAAAUUGGUAAAUUUUAUGCUCUUGAUCCUUUAAAUCCAUGUUUUUAUAUUUAGGAGAGCAUUUGGGAGUAAAAGGAGCGAAAAAUAAGUAAAAAUCAGACAAAUAGAGCAUAUUUCAGGAGCCACAUAGGUUGGACACAUGACCGUGUGAGCCACACAGGCUGGCACACAGCCAUGUGCCAGACCGUGUCGAUUAUGCGAUUUGUAUCCCAAACACGUGGAAAAAAUGCAAUUUUUAGGCUUUUGUGGCAUUCUAAAGUCUAUAAAUACCAAAUAGAAUAUGAAAAGUGGGGGAGAUCAGAGAGUAUUGAAGGAAAUAACUCGAAGAAGACCAUUGAAGCCAACUUUGAAGCAGAUUUCCAUCAAAAUUGAAGAUCUCCUUUUAAUUUGUUUGAAGCUUUUAUGAGUUUCUUUAUCUAAUCUUAUAGUUAUACCUAAUCUUAUAGUUAUACUGACUUUGAGAUGUUUUUAUUUACAAUUAUGAACUAAUCCUUUAGAUACUUAGUGGAGAUAAACCCUAUGAUGAAUUCUAUUAUUUAAUUUCUGUUUUACGCAAUAAAUACUUGAAUCUUGUUCUCAAUUUUGUGUGAUUAAUUCUUAAUUUGAUACUUCUAGAUUAUUAAUCCAUGUUUGAUAUGCUUAAAUUUGAGGAGGAAAAGUCUCUGUUUAAUAGUAGAUCUAGCAUAAUUGAGUGGAGUUGCAUGCAAUCCUAGAAAUAAAAUGACAUAAAUCUAUUAGAUUAGAGUCAAAUCUAAUAAGGGAAUCUAUAGGUCGAGUUAAUGCGACAAUAUGAGUUUUAAUUAGAAAGAAAUUUCAAUUAAUUAAUCUAGAGUUAGUUGAUCUUACUCUCAAAAAAGAUAUUAGUAUAAUUUAGGGGAUUCAAUAUGAUAGAUAAAGUCUAGGUGGAUUAUUUCCUAGGUAUCAUUUAGCUUCUUGGUUAUUAUUCAAUUAUUUUCUUGAUUUAUUCUCUGUUGAGUUCUUUAGCUAAUUAAUUUAGUAGAUUUUAGCUUAAACCAAUCACUACAAUUAGUUGAUUAAAUAAUAAGAAAAUGGUAAUUACUAGUACUUUUAGUCCUCAUGAAUACAAUAUAUUUACUCACCAUAACUAUACUAUUUAUCAAUAGGUGCACUUGCGUUUAUCGUAUUUUUAGUUAGUUUCGUGACUAUCAAGUUUUUGGCUCUGUUACUAUGAGGAAAACUUUAUUUCUAUCAAUUUAAUUAUUUUUAUUUUUAUAUUUUUGUUUUAAUUUAAUUUUUACAUUUUAAUUUUUCUUUUGUUGUUUCUAGCAGGUUUUUUUGGUCUAUGACUAGAGGAAAGCCGUCGUGACCAUUGCUUUUUGAUACUGAGUUUGAAAGUACUGCUCGUAGAAAUCGUAAAGAGAUUAGAGAAAUAAGACAAAAUCAACAGAAUAUAGUAUACUUAUUUUAAGCACGUGCCCUAUACAAAAUUUUGAAUAUUGAUUAAUGUUAAUUAAUGUUUUAAAACAUUUUCCUCCAAACGUUUAAAUACUAAAUAUUUCAUAUAUCUCAAGAGUGAUAGUUAUAGUUGUGCUAUUAGUACGAUGAUACUUGUUCUUAGAGAAUAUAUAAAACAACUUAGAAAUCUAAUUUAAAAAUAGAUAUUUGAGUGUGUGACAAAUUCAUAACUCAUAUUCUGAAAAAAAAAAAAAAAAACAAUACCAUCAUACUGGUAUUAAAAUUGUUUUUAUUGUUUUCGAUUCAAACUCAAAACUACAACAAUAAUUGUAAGCUUCAAAACAUUUUAUUAAAUCCUCAAAGCUUUUAGUAUACAUCGAAUAAGUAUUCUGAUAGCCUAGCUAUUAACUUGGGUUUAAAUGUUAGCUCAAAUUUCAUGUGAAUUAUAUCUAAAAUAUGUGGAUUGAUUUGAAUAUAUAUGUAUACUUAUUGCAUGGAUAGUUAGAACCGAUAAGUAACCAAAAAAAAAGUUUAAUCAUGCUUUUAAUCUUUAUAUUCUUUGGAAAUUUGAAAUUUAGUCCCUUUGCUUUUAAUUAUAGGAGUUUAGUCCUUCUACUUGUCUAAUUUAAAAAAUAAAGUCCAAUUGAUAAUAUUAUUAGCAGACUUCUGUUCAAUUUGAAUAUCUAGCAUUCCAAUAAUCAAAUGCUCUGAUUUAAAAACUAAAGUCCAAUCAAUAAUACAUAUUAAUAUUUAGUGGAUGCAAAUUAAUAACACUUUAAAUUGGUCUUUAAAUUUUAAAUCAAAUAAGGGACUAAAUUCUUAAAAUUAAAAGUAGAGAGACUAAACUUCAAAAAAGUGCAAAAAGUACAAUGAUUGAGGGCGUAAUUGGACCCAAAAAAUAGUAUUUCUAAAGUUUUAUUCAGACUAUUUUUUGUGACACGUGGGAUCUAAAUUGUUCAUACGGUAAGUAAUAGCGUGUUUAUAUUGAUCAUUGCAUUUAAUAUAUGUUGGACCUCACAUUCAAGCUAGCACUUAUCCCCUAAAUUUGAUUAAUAUAAUAUUGAUAUUUAGAGACUUAAUUAAAUUAUUUUAAAAUUGAGGGAUCAACUAAAAAUUUAAGUGAUAAUUUAAAAAUAUUUGAUGAAAUUAAAUCAAUAAAAAAAGUAAAAAAAAAAAAGAACAACAAAGUAGCAUGUGAUUUGUUUAAAAAAACAACAACAAAGAAGCAUGUGAUAAAAAUAUUUAAUUUCAUAUUGUCGUGUAAGAAACAUGGGUCUAGCCUUAUAAUUCUAUAUGCAAAUAUAUAAAUAUAAAAAAAAUUUAAAAAAGUUUACUAUCAAUACAUCUCACAAAAAUAUAUAUAAUUUUUAUUUUAUUUUAAAAAUUAUAAGUUAAUUAGAAUAAAAAUAAAUGAUAAAUUUACCCAAAGUCAUUAAACUAUUAAUAAAUUUACGUUUUAGUCACUUAACUUCAAAAAGUUAUAAAUGAUCACUUUUUAUACGAUCUGUACUAAUAAAAAACUUUAUUUCCUUUUUCUUCUAUAGUUUAGUUUUUUCUAUGAAACUUCUUCAAUUUCAGAUACUAAUUGUUAAAUUAACUUGGAUCCAAUGUAUGUUUUUUUAUUUGUCGAUGGGUAUCGAUCACAAUACUAAUAAUUAAAUUGUCACUUGGAACUCGUUAAUUAGAUUUUAUAAAAAAAAAGUUUAACAAUCUAGUGAUCAUUUUGUAACUUUUUUAAAAUUAAAUGACCAAAUCAUUACCAUAACUAAAGUUUAUAGUUAGGUUAAUGGCAAAUAAAUAUUAUAUGGAAAAAAAUUAAAAGGGAAACGCGGUUACCCAUCAAAAAAAGAAAGUGUUGAUUUCAUUACAUGGUAUGAGCUAAUCAACAGCUGUAUAUUUUGGUGGUAUUCCCAUUUAAUUUUAAUUUUUUUUAACUAAAGAGGUUUAAAAUAGAAAAAAAUAAUUUUUUUGAGAUUUAUUUAUUCUAAAAUAAUAUUUAUAAAAUUUUAAAAUAUUAUUACCAAAUAAAUAAUAUUCACCCAAUUAAAAAUCUGAAAUCACGGCAUAAUAAUGGGAGAGUCUUAACUAAUUAAUUUUGGUCAAGUCGUAAAUUCCCUUUAUAUAAAAAAUUAAAAAUACAGCUAAGAUAUUUUCUUUAAAUGGAAAAUUAUUUCAUAAAUAUUAAUAUAAUUUUUUAUUAUUCCGAUCAAAAAUUGAUUGAUAUAACGAUUAAAACAAAGGGAUUGAAUCGAUUCUUUAACGAAAUAUUCAAAAUUGAUAAAAAAUAAAAAAUCGAGACAAAAAAUUUAUUUUAAUAUAUAUUUGUAAAAACGUAUAUAUAAUAUUAAAGAAAAAAAGGGGGAAUUCAUGAAUGUAAUAAUUUCGGGUCAUAAAAUUCAUUUAAUUAUAUAUAUAUUUUUCUCUUUCCCUCCCAACUACUAUUAUUAUUAUUGCACUUUUUCUUCACUUCGAUCUUUGUACCUUCCAAUGGGAAACAUCGACCACCGUCACUUCCUUUACCCUUUCCUCCUCCUUUCCGCCGUCCUCUGCGCCGCAGACGAUGGUGCCGUCAUUGUAAAGCUAGCUUCAUCCCUUAGUCCACUUCCGAGAGGCUGGUCUUCCACCUCUUCAGACAACUACUGCAACUGGUCAGGCAUCAAGUGCGCAUCCAACCGCGUUACUUCCAUCAACUUAGCUUCCAAAUCCUUGUCCGGUUCACUCCCUGCCGACAUCUCCACCUUGUCGGAACUCCGUACCGUAUCGCUUCAACACAAUUCCUUAUCUGGGUCCAUCCCAUCUUUCGCCAACCUUUCCAACUUACAAAGCAUUUACCUCGACGGUAACUCGUUCACCUCGGUCACACCCAACGCGUUCUUCGGGUUAACCAGUCUUCAAACACUGAGUUUAAGCGAAAACACGAAGCUGAGUCCAUGGACAUUCCCAGAUUUAUCCCAAUCAACGAGUCUCGUCGAAGUUCAACUCGACAACACCAACUUAUACGGCACUUUACCCGAUGUGUUCCAAUCUUUGAACAGUUUACAAAGCAUAAGGCUGUCUUACAACAACUUGAACGGCACAUUGCCGGCUUCUCUCGCCGGUUCAAUGAUUCAAAAUCUUUGGAUCAACAAUCAGAAUGUUGGGUUCACAGGUACUUUAGAUGUUUUAUCUAACAUGACAGAUUUGCUUCAAGUUUGGGUUCAUAAAAACAUGUUCACUGGUCAGAUCCCAGAUUUGUCUAAAUCUAUGGGUAUCUUUGAUAUUCAGCUUAGAGAAAACUUAUUGACCGGCCCAGUUCCGGGAUCUUUAACUAAUCUCCCUAGUUUGAAGAACAUUUCAUUGUCUAAUAACAAAUUACAGGGUCCAUUUCCGAAAUUUCCCAACACAGUUGAAAACAUUGCUGUUAAUGGUACUAAUAAUUUCUGUAAUAGUAAUGGUGAUCCUUGUGAUCCUCAAGUUACUACAUUGCUUGAGAUUGCUGGUGGUUUUGGGUACCCUGUUUUUCUCUCUGACGAUUGGCCUGGAAAUGAUGCUUGUCAAUGGGUUUUUGUUCGUUGUGAUUCACAAGGCAAUGUGAUUACUGUGAAUCUCGCAAAGAAAAACUUGGUCGGAACGAUUUCGCCGGCAAUUGCGAACCUCACGAAGUUGAAGAACUUGAAUCUGAAUGAUAAUAACUUAACAGGUUCAAUCCCUGAUGGUUUGAUUAAGUUGAGUAGUUUGCAGCUUAUCGAUGUGUCUAACAACAAUCUCACCGGUGACAUUCCAAAAUUUUCGGCUUCGGUUAAGUUUGCUUAUUCAGGGAAUAUUUUACUAGGAAAAUCUAGUGGUUCUGGUGGUGGAGGAACUUCAGGUUCCGGAGGAUCUAGUGGAGGUUCGAGUGGUAGCUCGAAAAGCGGUAGCAAUGGUAAGAAUUCUGUAGCUUUGAUUGUCGGUAUCGUCAUUGGUGUAGUGGUUUUCGUUGCUGUUGUAUGUUUUGUUUCGUAUAAGUACGUGAUGAACAAGAAAUAUGGGAAAUUUGGUGUGAUGGAUGGUAAUGCUAGUGAUGCUGAGAAGGGAGUAGUUAAGAACAGGGAGAUGAAUGGUUAUGGAGGAUUGCCUAGUGAAAUGCAGAGUCAAAGUAGCGGUGAUCAUAGCGAUUGCUAUUUCUUUGAGGAUGGAAAUGUGGCGAUCUCGAUACAUGUCCUACGAGAGGUGACUGAUAAUUUCAGCGAGGCUAAUAUUUUAGGAAGAGGGGGUUUUGGGAUCGUGUAUAAAGGUGAAUUACAGGAUGGCACGCAGAUUGCUGUCAAGAGGAUGGAGUGUGCAGCUAAAGGUACUAAAGGUUUGAACGAGUUUCAAGCUGAAAUUGCGGUACUUACGAAGGUUAGGCACAGGCAUUUGGUUGCACUUUUGGGUUACUGCAUCAAUGGCAAUGAGAGGCUCUUGGUUUACGAGUAUAUGCCUCAAGGUACUCUUGGUCAACAUCUCUUCGAAUGGCGAGAAAAUGGGUAUGCUCCACUUACUUGGAAGCAACGAGUCACCAUUGCACUGGAUGUCGCGAGGGGGGUCGAGUAUUUGCACUCUUUGGCACAACAAAGUUUCAUUCACCGGGAUUUGAAGCCUAACAAUAUACUACUCACCGAUGACAUGAGGGCAAAGGUUGCGGAUUUUGGCCUUGUUAAGAAUGCACCUGAGGGAAAGUACUCUCUGGAGACAAGACUGGCUGGAACAUUUGGAUAUCUUGCUCCUGAAUAUGCUGGUAAGUCAAUCCUCAUCUGGUAGCUCGAACCUUUCAAAGUAAUUUAGGUGCAUCUUUAAUUUUUCAAUGUGUUGGUGUUUGAAUUCCCGAGUACUAAAAGAUAUUAGCUGUUAAUGUGGUGGAGUUUCUUUACUCGAACCCAAACAACAAUGCGAUAACAUUUGAAGUUUUUUCAGGUUCGAAGUAGAUCAUAAUGUUCUACAUCCUGUUAUAGUUUGAUAAAUUUUGCUAACUUGAACAGCUAGAAAUAAGUUUAUGUUUAGUACCUUGUAUGUCGAUCUUACAGGGAAGAUACAGGCUAUGUUAUCUUGGCUUUUUAUUUUUUCGUGAGGUACCCAUGUUUGAUGCAUAUCUGGACAUUAGAAUGGGAGUACGAGCUCCCAAAGAUCCUCCAAAUACAUAGAGAAAUUUAGAAUCCGAUACUUAUAUCUGAGUUUGAAUAACAUAGAAUAUGGAUUAUAUACUUAUUUUCUUUUAAUCUUGACAGCAACUGGACGGGUGACAACGAAGGUGGACGUGUAUGCAUUUGGUGUGGUCUUGAUGGAGAUAAUAACCGGCAGACAAGCUUUAGACGUAACCUUACCCGAUGAGAAAUCGCAUUUGGUCACAUGGUUCCGCAGGGUUCUAGUCAACAAAGACAACAUUCCCAAAGUGGUUGACGAAACAAUCAACUGUGACAACGAGGAGACAAUGGCAAUGAUCUUCAAGGUAGCCGAGUUAGCCGGUCACUGCACCGCUCGCGAACCGUAUCAAAGACCCGACAUGGGGCAUGCCGUCAACGUGCUUGGCCCUCUCGUAGAGCAAUGGAAACCUACAACCCAAGAGGAUGAUGGAAACACCGGUAUUGAGCUUAACAUGAGCCUCCCUCAGUUCCUACAAAAAUGGCAAGCUGAUGAAGGUACUUCAACGAUGUACGGUGAUUUCUCGUACUCCGAGACCCAAACAAGCAUCCCCGCAAAGCCCUCAGGAUUUUCAGCUACAUUCAGCUCUUCCGAUGGCCGGUGACGGAAAAUGAUAGCUAAAUAGUGUUUUGGUAAUAUAAUGUUUAUCUUUGUUGUUGUUUCUUCAAAAGCUAGCCGAUUGCUUUGUUUUGUUUGGUGAAUUUAUUUAUAUAUUAUUUCCAUGGAAAAAAGACAGGAUUUUUGGAGGGAGAGAGAAAUUGUAUAAUAUAUUCAUAUUCUUUUUUAACUUUUUUCAAUGUAAUGAUAAUUAUUAUUUAAAAAGGUUAAUGCUCUUUUUUUUUUAAAUAUUAAAAUUAUAAUUUUUAUAUUAGAGUUUAAAUUUUUAAUAAAUAUUAAUUUGUUUAUUCAAAUAUAUAAUUAUAUUGAAUCUAAACUAGUUUACUUGAUAAAUGCAUUUUAUUUUCACAAUUUAUAUAGCAUAAUAUUAAAAAAAUUAUGCAAUAAUUUACAAUUGUUUUGUCGAUGCAAUUAAAUAAUAAUUCAAAUUAAAACCGAACAAACUACAAAAAAAUUCAACAUCAAAUCCGACUCAAUUUUUACCAUUUCAAGCAUCUAUUGGUAAACUCAAAGACAAUGUCAAAAGAAAAACAUAUAUUCAACCAAAGGAGACAAGAACACACCCCACCUUGUCCUAACUUCAUAAUCUUUACCUUUUGAUAUACAAAAUCUAUAAACCAACAUUACAUUAAUCAUUAACAUAUAAUCUUUUGUUUCAUGUCCUUUUUCUUGAUUGUAAUAAAUUAAAGAACUAAUCUUAUCUACUUUCCACUUAAUUUACUCAAUUUCUCCUCUUUAUAAAGCAACCACUUUAGAGCCAAAUCCAUCACAUUACAACACGCAGAAACUUGUAAGAAUCAACAAUGGCGACGGCUCUUCUUACAACAAUCCUCUUGUCUUCUUUCCUUGUUGUUUCAUGUAAGUCUUUCAAUGUCCAAAAAUGGUGAAAUUUUGUUCUGUUUUUUAAUUAAAGAUUAACCCUUUUUUUUGUGUGUGUGUGUGUGUUCGGUUUUUAACAGCGGCUGAAAUCUCGAGCAAGAUUGGUAUAAACUAUGGUCGAAUAGGAAACAAUUUGCCAUCACCAUAUCAAACCAUUGAGACCGUGAAAUCGAUGAAUGCCGGGCGUAUUAAGCUCUAUGAUUCCGACCCUGAAAUAUUGAAACUUUUAUCAGGGACCAACAUUCAUGUAUCUGUUAUGGUACAAAACAAUGACAUAAUCCGUAUCGCUUCGAGCCAAGCUGUUGCCGAACAAUGGGUACAAGACAAUGUCUUGGCUUAUUACCCCGACACGAUGAUUCGGUUCGUGUUAGUUGGUAACGAAGUCCUUAGCCACCAAGAUCGAAGAAUUUGGCUUAGUCUUGUCUCUGCCAUGCGUAGGAUCAAGAACUCGUUGAACACGCACGAUAUCAAGAACAUUAAGGUCGGUACGCCAUUGGCUAUGGACGUAAUGCAAUCAACUUUUCCACCGUCGAGCAGUAGGUUUCGGCCCGAUAUUACUGAUACGGUCAUGGCACCGUUGUUAAGAUUCUUGAAUGGAACCAAAUCGUUCUUUUUCAUUGAUGUUUAUCCUUAUUUAGCAUGGUCAGCUAAUCCGAAAAACAUCAGUUUAGAUUUUGCUCUCUUUAGAAGCAGGGUGAGCCAAACUGACCAUGGAAGUCACUUGGUUUACACCAAUCUAUUAGACCAAAUGCUCGAUUCGGUCAUUUUUGCAAUGAGAAAACUCGGAUACCCCGAUAUCCGACUUGCUAUAGCCGAAACCGGGUGGCCAACCACAGGUGAUAUCGAUCAAAUAGGUGCUAAUAUCAACAAUGCAGCCACUUAUAACCGAAAACUAGUCCAAAAAAUGACUGCUAAACCACCAUUAGGGACACCAGCUAGACCUGGUUCAGUCAUACCAACAUUUAUUUUCUCCUUAUAUGAUGAAAACCAAAAGACAGGUCCAACAACCGAAAGACAUUGGGGCUUGUUACGUUCCAACGGAACAUCGAUUUAUGAAAUCGAUCUCACCGGUAAACGACCUCUCUCGAGUUACAAACCAUUACCCGCAGCUAGAAACAACGUACCAUAUAAAGGUAAGAUAUGGUGCGAAGUGGCACCGGGGGCUGACGCGAUGAACUUAUCGUUGGCAUUGUCGUAUGCCUGUGGCCAAGGUAACCAAACUUGUGCUGCAUUGAACCCUGGUAAACAAUGUUAUGAACCAGUAUCGGUUUUUUGGCAUGCAAGUUAUGCAUUUAGUUCGUAUUGGGCUCGGUUUCGAAAACAAGGUGCAACUUGUAACUUCAAUGGCUUAGCUCGACAGACCAGAGCUAACCCAAGUAAGUUUUUUUGUUUGGUCUGAUCAUUACAAGCUUGAAAUUUUGUCUUGAAAAUCUUUAAUUUGGUUCCUUUUUCAGGUCGUGGACACUGCAGUUUCCCAAGUGUGACACUCUGAAGAUGAUUUUAUUUUCAAGUUCAAGCUUAAGGUUCCUUCUAUCAAGGACUUGCAGACACAGUGGUGUCAAUUAAUAUAUAUAUAUAUAUACAUACAUAUAUAUAGUAUGAACUUACUUUAUCUUAUGUUUGUUGUAAGGGAGUAACAGUGUUUUAUGACAUAAUUACAAGAAAAUAAUUGUCUUUGUUUUGCCAUCAAAUUUAAAGAAGUGAAAAUUUCUCAUUUUCAAGUUCUUCUUUGUUUUUCCCUGCAAAUCAAUCCACAUGGAACAUUGUGAUGUAUCAAUUGUUACUUGCCACCAUUAACAUGUAUGAUUAAAAAAUUUUAUGAUAAAAUAGCCUUAAUUGAAUACUAAAUAUAUAGGAGGUACUAAAAUUGAUAUUACUCCACUUAAUCCAGGGAUCUAGACCCAUUCUACCCUUGUAGCUGCCCUUGUAGCUAGAGCUUGAUUGUUGAAGUAUGCGAGAAAUUUUAGGCUCAAUUCAAUUUAAUGUUUUUGAAAAAAAAUUAGUGGUCGAAUUAAUUAAUUAUCAAUUUUUGAUCUCACUAAUCGAUUUAGUUUUAAUUAAAUAACUUAUUAAAAAUUUAUAAAAUUAAAAGAAAAUUAUGACCAAAUGUAGCCCUAAAUUAUACUUGGAUUUAUUUCUUACACUUAAAUGCCCAAAAAAGAACCGCUUCUUUGAACCGGGUGGGUUUGGCUUCAAGUCAUCAACAAAGGCUAAUGUAUGCCAAUUCUUCACUAUCUUCACCAACUCCAAAACUGUGCCAAGCACCGUUCUAUCGUCUCCACCAAACAACUCCAUGCCCAUUUCAUCAAACUUGGCGUAACCCAGUUUCUCGCUUUAAGCAAUACUCUUUUAAAUGUCUAUGGCAAAUGCAGCCUCCUUCAAGAUGCUCUCCAACUGUUCGACGAAAUGCCACAAAGAGACCAUGUUUCAUGGGCUACCUUUCUUACUACUCAAAACCAAGCCAACUUACCCGACAAGACCUUAUCUAUGUUCCCUGCCAUGUUUUCACUUGACAGGUUGCUGCCUGAUGAUUUUGUUUUCGCUAGCCUUGUCAAGGCUUGUGGUAGCUUGGGUGCUAUUAAACAAGGUAAGCAAGUUCAUGGCAACUUUUUAGUAUCACCCUAUUUUGAUGAUGAUGUUGUUAAGUCAUCUUUGGUUGAUAUGUAUGCAAAAUGUGGAUUACCUGAUGAUAGUCGUUUAGUUUUCGAUUCUAUUAAGUUGAAAAAUAUGGCUUCUUGGACUGCUAUCAUAUAUGGCUAUGCUAGAAAAGGAAGAAAAGAAGAGGCUUUGGAGUUGUUUUUAAGGGUUCCCCUGAAAAAUUUGUUUGCUUGGACUGCUUUGAUAUCUGGGUUAAUACAGAGUGGAAAUGGGGUUGAUGCAUUUGGCUUGUUUGUUAAGAUGAGAAGGCAAGGGAUUAGUAUAAUUGACCCUCUUGUGCUUUCAAGCAUUGUUGGUGCCUCUGCUAAUUUAGCGAUGUUGGAACUAGGAAAGCAGGUCCAUGGACUCGUUAUACAGCUUGGAUACGAAUCUUGCGUGUUUAUAAGCAAUGCUCUUGUGGAUAUGUAUGCAAAAUGUAGUGAUAUGUCGGCAGCAAGGGAUGUUUUUAGUAGGAUGUCACAAAGAGAUGUUGUUUCCUGGACGUCAAUUAUAGUUGGGGCUGCUCAGCAUGGACAGGCCGAGGAAGCGUUGUCCUUGUAUGAUAAUAUGAUUUUGAAUGAAGUCAAGCCGAACGAAGUGACCUUUGUUGGAUUGAUUUAUGCUUGUAGUCAUGUUGGUUUAGUGAAUAGAGGCCGUGAACUUUUUAAGUCUAUGGUUGAGGAUUACGGCAUUCAUCCUUCCUUGCAGCAUUACACAUGUUUGCUGGAUCUUCUUGGUCGAUCUGGACACCUCGAGGAGGCUGAAAGUGUUAUAAACUUGAUGCCAUUUAAGCCUGAUGAACCUACAUGGGCAGCAUUGUUAAGUGCAUGUAAGCAAUAUAGAAAUGCCAAAAUGGCCAUUAAGUUUGCUGACCAUCUAUUUAGCUUGAAACCUGAAGAACCUUCAACAUAUAUUCUAUUAUCUAAUACAUAUGCUAGUUCCGGUUUGUGGGAACAUGCUUCGAAAGCAAGGCACUUGCUGGAGUCUCUGGAAGUUAGAAAAGAACCCGGUUAUAGCUACAUCUAUUUUGGCAAAGAAAGCCAAAUGUUUUACGCCGGGGAAACUUCUCAUCCAAUGAAGGAUAAGAUUUUCGGUUUGUUGAACGAGUUGGAUGUAGAGAUGAGAAGGAGAGGUUAUGUUCCAGAUACCAGCUAUAUUUUGCAUAACACGGAUCACCAAGAGAAGGAGAGGCAACUGUUUUGGCAUAGUGAGAGAUUAGCCGUUGCUUACGGGCUUCUUAAAUCCGUUCCGGGAACCGUCAUACGGAUAGUGAAGAAUCUCCGUGUGUGUGGAGAUUGUCAUACUGUCUUAAAACUCAUUAGUGACAUAGUGCAAAGAGAAAUCGUCGUCCGAGACGCCAAACGAUAUCACCAUUUUAAGGGUGGGAAAUGUUCGUGCAAUGACUUUUGGUGACUCUGUUUUCAAUUCCAUUGUUUCAUCUUUAUAUCUCUGCCACUUUUGGAAGUUUCUCUAUGUUAAGUAUAUGAUCUUUUGGGUUACAUCUUUACAUCAGUCAAAAAAAUUUUUAUUCAACUCGGACUUAGCUAGUUAUCAUUUUGAUCACUUAACUAAAAAAGUUAUAAUUUAGUCAUUAAAUUUCAAAAUUGUUUUAUUAUCAGUUGAACAUUAAUUGACACUUUUUUAAUUUGUAUAAUAAUAAUUUUAGUCCUCAACUUUUAUAUUUUCUAUCAACAUGACCUUGAUUCUAUAUAAAAAAAUAUAAAAUCAUUUUUAAAAGAUAGAAAAUUCUAUAUAAUAAUUCUAAAAAAUAAAACCUGAAAAAUGUCAUUAUUUUAAAACUAAUAUGUAUUGGGAAAUAAAGAAAAUCACCGUUCAAUAGAAUUUAAUAACAAAUUAAAAUCAUAAUAAAAAAAAAGUUAGAUCAUUGCAUGUUUUUUUAGUAUUUCUCAAAACCAAAUUAAUAAUAUAUUUUAACUCAAGUUCCGUGCCUCUGAAAAACAUCCAAAAUCGAACUAGAUUCUGCAAACAUAGGAAAAUGAACUACGUAAAGAAACCUUAAUGUUAUUUCUGUUUUGUUUGCUUAGUUACUCAAAAUAUCGAGUCGUGAUGACCACUUCAGUCUAUAUACAGAUACAUGUUAAAAAGGUCAAGUAUUAAAUAAUAUAUUAAACUUAAAAUAAUAAUAAAAUUUUGGAAGAUAAAAAUAGGUUUAUAUAAUUAGAUAAGUUAAAAAAAAAAAAAAAAAAAGCCAGGGGGACCAGGGCCUUUUCCUUUGUCCCAUUUAUAGUUUAUUUCCACCGCCUCCCACUAUUUCUAAAAGGUUAAAAUUGGUCAACUUUUAGAAUAUUUUUAUUUUGGUCAUUUAAAAAUAAAACCUUUAUAAUUUCACCACUUAAUUUUUAUGGUGUUUUUAUUUUAGUCAUCCAUCAUUAAAUUUCUAAUGACAGUUGACUUGUACAUGCCAUAUCAUGUUCACACUUUCAUUUUGAUCACCCAAAAAAUAUCUUUUUUUUUCUGUAAUAUUGAUCGGAGUAAAAAAAUUAGUGAUUAAAGUGAAAAAGCGGUAAAAACUAAAAUAAUGCUUUAAAAAUUGACAAAUUGUACUUGUUUCCCCAUUGCCGAAAAUUGUUACUUUUUUUCAAUAUUGAAAUUUUAAAAUUCAAAAUAUCAAAAUCAAUUAAAUAAGUUAUUGAAACUUUUUUUCUCUCUUGAUAAUAUUAACCGAUUUGUUACUAUAAUAUUAGUGCCUUUUAAAACUUAAAAUUUUAUUUUAUAUUUCCAAAUUAAAAUUAACUCAAAUAAAGCAUCUUUAAUAAUUGUGCAUGAAACCCAAAGUUCUUUCGAUUAUAUAAUCUUGAGUAUUUCAUACUAAGCUAAAAGUAAAGAAAAAUCCUUACAAUUAAUUUUAUCUUCCAUGCCAAACAAAACUUAGAACUUUUUUUAUCACUUCUUUACCCAAACAAAGAACAAGCAAUUAAUUUAAUUAAUUGGAAUAAUUUUUCUUUACUUUUUAGCUUAGUAUGAAAGAUUCGAUAUUAUAUAAUAAAAACUUAAAUUUCGUAGAAAAUUAUUAAAUAUGAGUUAUUGAGUUAAUUUCAUUAAAAAUAAUAUGAAAACAUAAAAUAAAAAUUUAAAUUUAGAAGAUGAUUAAUUUAAUUAAUUUGAAUAUUACAGUAACAAAUCGGUUAACAUUAUCAAAAAAUAAUAUUUUUAAUAAUUUAUUUAUUUGAUUUUUAUAUUUUGAAAUUUAAAUUUUCAAUAUUGAAAAAAAAAAGAAAUUUAGAAUUUUCGGGAAUGUGAUAAACAAGUACAAUUUAAUAAUUUUUUAAUGAAUUAUUUUAGUUUCUACGACUUUUUCACUUUAAUCCUUUUUUUUUACCCCAAUCAAUACUUUAAAAAAUAUAUAUUUUUGGGUGACUAAAAUGAAAGUAUAAACAUUAUGUGGCAUGUACAGUUAAUCGCAUUAGGGAUUUAACAGUUGGGUGACUAAAAUAAAAUUGCCCUAAAAUUUGAGUAACGAAAUUGGAAGGAUUUCAUUUUGGGUGUCCAAAUAAAACCACCCUAAAAGUUGAGUGACCAACUAGGUAGUUUACCUUGUUAAAAUAAGUCUAUAGUUCCUGUACUUUUCAAAAAUUAAGAACUUAGUCCCUAUAAGCUUAUAUUUCUAAUAAUAUAGUCUCUUUAUUUUUCAGAUUUUAAAAUUCAAAUAUAACUGUUAUAGCAACAAAUUUAGUCAAAAUGUAGUAUUAUAUUAUACUUUUGACUUUUAAAAUCAAUUAAAAUAGCUCAGAAACAUGAGGAAGACAAUAGAGGUGAUCGGGUGAAUAUUUUUUUUCUCAAUUUUAGUUCAUACGAUGAUACGAUUGUCAUGCCUUCAUACGAUUAAAAUUGAAAAAAAAAAUCAAAUUCCAAAAUUAAUGUGCAUAAAGAAAAAGUUCAAGGACUAAGUUGAUAAAAGAUUUCAAAUUUAAAGACUAAAUGUUAUUUUAUUUAAAAAAAAAGUAACCCAAGGUGGUUGUAAUAUCAAAAUCGAAAUAAUUGAAAUAUACAUUUACCAAUUUCAACGCAUUUGAGAAAAAAAGAAGAAGAAAGAAAAGAUAUUUGAACUCACGGUUAAUAUAAUGUCUAAAACUAUCUAUAGUUUUUUCCUAAUUCUUAAAUAAAAAAAUAAUGGGUUUUAGCGCCAUUGAACUCACGUCCUCCUACAUUAACAAUAAUACUAAUAUCAAUUGAGUUAAGACUUAAUUGACAAGAUAUUAUAUAUAUAUAUAUAUAUAUAAUAUAUAUAUUUAAUGGGUCCAAAUAUACAAAUCAAUUCAUAAAAUCAAUAAUUGAAUCACGUUUUUUAUUCACAAAUUACUUUGCACAUUUUAUUCAUAAAAUCAAUUGAGUUAAUCUUCAAUCACUUUUUUUCUACUUUACAUAUUUAAUUCUUGGUUAAAGCCAACUUCUAGGAAGUAAAGUUCAAUUUUAACUUCUCCACUUCAAAAAAAUCAAAUUACAUAAAUUAAAAUAUUGUAAUUUGAUUGACUUUAUUCAUGAAUUAGACCGCGUUGGAUCAAAUUGAGUGAAUUUUUUUUUGAGUUAAUCAAGUUUAUGAUUUCUAUUUUACUAUCUUAAUUCAAUUUUAAAAAAAUUUUAAUCAAAUCGAGUGAAAAUUUGAGUCAAGUCUAAUAAAUUGAAAUUGUUCGAGUUGAAUUAAAAAACUAAACAUGUUAAAUUAAAAUCUUGUUGCAAUAUAAUUAAUUUCACGUUAGAGCAUGUAAAUUUGAAAACUUUUUCAAAGAAAAAAAAAGAUACUUCAGUAUGAUAAGUUGAAUCAUUAAUUAACUUAUUUUAGGUUCCAAAACUAUUAUUUUAAAAAAAAUUUAAACAUUUAAUUUUCUUUAGAAUUUUUUAAAAACUUUCAUAGUUUUUUUUUUAAAUAUAAAUGAAUUUUUAUAAUUAUUUUUUAUUUUUUAUUUUUGAAAAUUAUUUUGUAAUUUUCGCUGAGAGAGAUCAAUUUGCUCAUUUUCAAAAUUGAUAGAGACUAAAAGGGUAUUUACACCAAUGUAUUAUUUGGAUUGUAAAAUUCAACUUGACUCGAACCCAAAACUAGAAUAACUCAACCAACUCAAUUCGAUUAACUUGAAAUUCGAAUCUUUUUCUGAAUCGAAUUGAGUUUUGCUCCUCUAAUUUUAUUAUUAAAAAAUUAUUAUAUUGAUAUUAAUAAAGUAUUAGAAAAUAUAUACUUAUAUUAAUAUUUAUUUUAUAAUUUAAAAAUAUUUUUAUUUAAGAUUAAUUAAAUAUAUAUUUACAUAUCAAAUGAAUUAGAAUAAGCUAAAAAAAUGGUCGUGAGAAUUUUUAAAAUGAAAACUGUGAAAAUCAAAAUAACUUUAGCUAUUAAAUCAAAAUAAAUAAAUUAGAAUAGUGAAUUUAUUGAUCAUUAAGAAAUUAAAAAUUGAAUAAGAAUUUAUUUUAUAAUAUAUCAAUGUUUAUUGUUUAUAAAAAUUCUUUAAUAAUAGGAAAUUUUUAUUUGUACUAUAUUUUAAUAGUUAAAAUAAUUAUAUAUUUUAAUAGCAUUCAUUAAUUAUUAUUUUAAAUAAUGAUUACAUGAACUAAAAUUAUAUUGUAUAUUAAAGUUAUAAUUUGAAUUUUUUAAAUAUUAUUAAAAAAUUAUUGAUUUAUAAAAUAUCAAUAUUUUAAUAUGAUAUUUGAAUUUUUUAUUAUAUUUAAAUUUUUAAAUAAGUUAAUUAUUUUUUAAUUUUUAACCAUUUGAAUAACGAAUUAAAAUUUUAAUUAUAAUAAUUAAAAAUAUAUUAUAUAAAAACUAAUUAAAAAUUAAAUGUAUAAAAUCACAUUAUAACCAUUAAAAGAUAGUUAUAAAUUAAAAGCAAAAGAUAUAAACAUUUUUAAAAAAAAAAUUAAAAUAAAUAAUUUCUAAUUUGUGACCCAAAAAAGUUAGGUACCCAGGCAUUCAUAUGCCCCCACAGCUACACAAAGAGCCUAUAAAUACAAAGGAAUUUCCCAUGCUUUUCACUACCAAAUUACUCAUACAAACCCAUUUUCUAAAGAUAAAGUUUUUUUCUCCUUUUGGUACUUUGUGAGUGGAGAGAGAGAGAAUUUGCCAUGGGUGAAGAAGUAGGGUGUUGCAAGAGAACAGGACCAGGGUAUGGAACUCCAUUGGAAGCCAUGUCUGGUCCUAAAGAAGCUCUUAUGUAUGUUACUUGUGUUUAUAAUGGUAAUACUACUUUUCUUUCAUUUUCUUUGAAACCAAACAUGUUUUAAGUAAUUACUUAUGUUCAUCUAUGUAGGUUUCUUUUUUCUUUCUCUUUUUUUUUUUUUUUUAGUAAUGGAUUUGUAUGCAUCUAUAUAGGAACUGGAAGAGAGAAGCCAGAUUUCUUGGCAACAAUAGAUGUAGAUCCCAACUCACCAACUUACUCUAAAGUUAUACACAGGCUAUCUUUGCCAUAUAUAGGUGAUGAACUACAUCAUACAGGGUGGAAUGCUUGUAGUUCUUGUCAUGGUGAUCCAUCAUCUGAUCGACGGUUUCUAAUCCUGCCUUCGUUGCUGUAAGAAACUGUAACAUGUCUAAUUUUUUAGGGUAGAGUAAACUAUAGUUUUCAAUUAACUUGGUUCAGAGGAGCUGGUUUUGAUGGUUAAGACAGUUUUGUAACCGAUUAAAACAGGUUAUAUCGGUGGAUUAGAAAUAUUAGAUUAUGGUUGACUAAUUACGUGAAAAAAAUGGUGAAAUUUAUAAAGUUUUGUGUUGAAAUCUUAUUUCAUAUAUAUAUGUAAAAGAUAUAAACGAAAAACCCUCAAACUUGAGUGAGUGUUAAAUUUGAAUAAUAUAGCACAACUCGAUUGAAUUUUAAUUCGAUUGGUAUGGAUAUUAUUAUCAAUAUAGGAAGACAUGAGUUUGAAUGUGUUAAAGGGUAACCUUAUCUUAAAAAGAGAAUAUAUGUAUAGCAGAAGUAUAUUAUGAGUAUUUUGCUUGUUUCAGCUCUGGUCGUAUCUAUGUGAUCGACACACAAAAGAACCCCAAGGCUCCCUCGUUGCACAAAGUGGUGGAACCUGAGCACAUCAUUGAGAAAACCGGCUUGGCAUAUCCCCAUACAUCUCACUGCCUUGCCAACGGCGACAUAAUCAUUUCAUUUCUCGGCGACAAAGAUGGAAACGCCCAAGGCAACGGAUUCCUUCUCCUCGAUUCCCAGUUCAACAUCAAAGGGAGGUAAAUGCAAAAACAAAAACAAAAACAACAAUUUAGACCAUGAAAACAAUUGUCAUUAAGCUUAAGCUGUUUCACUUCUUGUUGUUGGUUUUUUUAAGGUGGGAAAAACCAGGGCGUAAAGCUGAGUUUAGCUACGAUUUUUGGUACCAACCUCGACAUAAAACGAUGAUCUGCUCAUCGUUUGGUGCUCCUUUGGCAUUCACCCAAGGUUUUAACCUUAAACAUGUCGAAGACGGUUUCUAUGGAAGACAACUGUUUGUGUAUGAUUGGCCUGAUGGUCGGCUCAAACAGACAUUGGAUCUCGGUGACAAUGGUCUUAUCUCCGGAGAGGUAACUUUAAGGGUUAAUUAAACCAAAUCUUUAUUAACUACUAUACUAAUCACCUUAUUUUAUCGGUCUAAUUAAUACUCACUUUGAAAUAUAUUUAAAAUAUGUAUCAUAUUAUAAAUUUAUAUAUACUUAUAGCCAAUAUUACCAAAACCAUACUUGUGGCCAGCAUCUACUUUCUUAGCCAAUAUUUACUUCAUAUUUUGUGUAUGCAAAAUGCAAUAAAUCCUGCUUUCUUAGACUUGGAAUUCGCUAUAUGCAUGUAUAUACACUGAUGUGUUUUCUUUGCAGAUAAGAUUCUUGCAUGAUCCAACCAAAGACACAGGGUACGUCGAGUGUGUCCUAUCAAGCAACGUAGUACGGUUUUUCAAGACCCAAGAUGGAUCAUCAUGGAGUCACGAGGUGGCUAUCUCAGUGAAACCAUUGAAGGUACAAAACUGGAUUCUCCCCGAAAUGCCCGGACUCAUAAUCGGCCUUUUAAUCUCUCUCGACGACCGGUUCCUAUAUUUCGUCAACUGGUUCCACGGCGAUGUCCGACAAUACAACGUUGAAGACCCCAAAAACCCAAUCUUGGUCGGCCAAGUAUACGUCGGAGGAUUGCUUCAAAAGGGCAGCCCCAUAACAGCAGUCACAGAAGAUGGAAAAACAUGGCAAGCCGAUGUUCCUAAAAUCCAGGUCUUGUUCUUUCAACAUUGAUAUAAUAACAAAAUUGUCGGAUUAGGCCUAUCAAUGGCGAUAUUGAUGCUGAACAUUGUUUUUGUUUGUUUUUGUAGGGACAUUGUCUCAGAGGGGGACCUCAUAUGACACAGUUAAGCUUAGAUGGGAAGCGGCUGUAUGUGACGAACUCGUUGUUUAGCACAUGGGAUCGACAGUUUUACCCUGAUGUUAUAGAGAAAGGUUCACAUAUGAUACAGAUUGAUGUGGACAUUGAGAAUGGUGGUCUGAAAAUAAACCCAGAUUUUUUUGUUGAUUUUGGAGCUGAACCUGAUGGUCCUUGUUUGGCUCAUGAGAUGAGAUACCCAGGUGGUGAUUGUACCUCAGAUAUUUGGAUUUAAAUCAUAUGAAGAAAAAAACAGUUUCAGUUAUGAAGACAAAACAAUCAAUGUAAUCUUGUUGACUGUUGUGAAUUAAAAGAACACGUGUUCUUGGAGGAGAUAAUGUAAUAAUAUCAUCACAUCCACAUGUACCUUGGACUCUCAAUGUUCUAAAACUUGGCCGUUGUUGCUCAUUGUUGAUAUGAUUUGGACUUUGGAGUAUCCUAAGAGAGGUCCAAAAGGUGUCAACUAAAUAAAGCAAAAAAGUACAAUGGGUAACAAACUUAAACCCAGCUCACAAGGUGUCCUAAGCCCAUAGGAACACCGACUAGCAAGGGUUUGGAGUCAUCCCCAACAACCGUUGGAUCACUGUGAAAACAAAAGAGAUGAAUAAAUAUCGAGACAAACAAUCAUUCCUGCCUUCAUCCACCAAACCUUUAAAUCUCUCAUCGCAUUCCAUUGGUGACUCAAAGAGUAGUGAAGGAACUUAAAGAAACAACUUGUUCGGGGUUCGUUCGGGAUUCCAAUAGGACUUGGAAAAAGCAUUACCCCUUCCGGGAAAGGCAAGCCAACUCCAACUUCAUUAAGCCAUCAAUAAGCAUGGUCACAUCUGACAUACAUCUUAUUCAUGGUUAGUUGUUUUAGUAAUAUUAUUUUUAGAGUUGGAACUUAAGUUAUCUCUUUUGAAGUAUAAUGUGUUUUAACAAAACAUUUUAUAUUUAUUAAUUAAUUAAUAAUUAUAUCUUUUAACGAGUAAUGUGAUAAAAUUCGUUAAUAAUGUAUAAAUCUAUAUAUAAAAAGUUGAUUGAGUCUUAGAUCAGUUGAUAUUGAUAUUAUUGUCAAUAUAAAAAGACAUAGGUUUGAAUGUGUAUAAAAACAAUCUAUGUCGAAGACAAUGGUAGGAAUUUUAUAUUAGAGUAGGAUAAUAUUAUAAAAUUUUGAAACCUAAAGCUAAGAUUUCUAGGUUAAGAAGCUUAAAUUGUUAAUUUUUGUAAAGGACCAAAAAAUAAUUUUUUUUUUUUAGAAUUAGAACUAAAUUAACAAAUUUUGAAGGCUAAAUUUAUUGAAUUUUUUAGCAUUCAAACUAAAAUGUCAAAUUUUGUGAACAUUGAGGGCUAAAUUUUUGUUGAAUAUUUUCUAUUUAGGACCAAAUUAAUAUAAUGUUUAAACAUUAGAGGGCUAAAUUUAUUAUUAGACCAAUAAAAAAAAAGGCUCAAAUCAACUUUAAAUUAACAAUUCAACAAACAAAAUAGAAUAAAGACAAUAGUUUAAGGAUCAUUUGAUUGUUUAACCUUAAUAAAAUCCAUAUUCAAUUAUUUUUUGAAAGAUAUAUUACCUUUAAAAAAAUACAUAUUUAUUUAUUAUUUAUAAACAUUAUACAUAAAUAAAUUUAAUAUAUAUUCAUAAAAAUAUUUACAAAUAUGUUGGUUUAAUGUUUACGAAGAAUUUCAUUUAACUUAAACAAAUAUAUAUAAUUUGAAAUAAAUAAAUAGAAACAUAAUUUUGAAACAUUUAACAUACAUGAACCGACCACAGCUAUUUUUUUAACAGUAAUAUUAUUAUAGGUUAUUAUCAUAUUUAAUUUUUUUGAUAUAAUAUCUAAAAUUAUUCAUAGCAUCUUCCUAACAUUUAAAUAAGAGGAUAAUGCGCUGCAGCGCACUCGAACUCAUGUUCUUCUACACUAACAAUAAUACCGAUAUUAAUCAAACUAAUACUUAAUCGACCGAACACCAAUAAUAUUAAAAAUAAAGGAAUAAAUAUAAACAAAAAUUCAUUUGUUGAAGAUGGGUUGCUCUGGAGGGUUACAAACACCAAUUUCAACGCAUUUGAGAAAAAAAGAAGAAAUAAAAGAUAUUUAAACCCACGGUUAAUAUAAUGUUUAAAACUAUCUAUAGUUUAUUCCUAAUUUUUAAAUAAAAGAAUAAUGGGGUUUAGCGCCCUUGAACUCACGUCCUCCUAUAUUAACAAUAAUACCAAUAUCAAUUGAGUUAAGACUUAAUUGACAAAAUACUUUAUAUAUAUAUAUAUAGUGGGUCCAAAUAUACAAAACAAUUCAUAAAAUCAAUAAUUGAAGAAUUGGACUCACACAUUUGAUCAUCCUCCGUCAAUGUAAACAUCAAUUCCAAAUCUAAAUUCUUGGUUAAAGUCUACUUCUAAUAAGUAAAGAUCAAUUUUAAUUUAACUUCUCCACUUCAAAAAAAUCAAAUUAGAUAAACUAAAAUAUUGUAAUUUGAUUGAAUUAGAACGCGUUGGAUUAAAUUGAGUGAAAUUUUUUUGAGUUAAUCAAGUUUAUGAGUUCUAUUUUAUCAUCUUAAUUUAAUUUAAAAAAAUUUCAAAUCAAGUCGAGUGAAAAUUUGAGUCAAGUCGAAUAGAGCGAAAUUGUUCGAGUUGAAUUAAAAAAUUAAACAUUUUAAUUAAAAUCUUGUUACAGUAUAAUUGAUUCCAUGUUAGACAUGUAAAUUUGAAAACUUUUUCAAAGCAAAAAAAAAAAAAAAAAUACUUCAGAAUAAUAAAGUUGAAUAAUUCAUUAACUUAUUUUAGGUUCCAAAAUUAUUAUUUUAGAAAAUUUUUAAAAUUUUAAUUUUCUUUAAAUUUUUUUUAAAACUUCCAUAAUUUUUUAAAAAAUAUAAAUGAAUUUUUAUAAAUAUUUUUAAUUUUAAAAUUAUUUUUAUUUUUGAAAACUACUAUGAAUUAUUUUGUAAUUUUUGUUGAGAGAGACCAAUCUAUUAUUUGGAUUGUAAAAUUCAACUUGACUCGAACUCAAAACUCGAAUUACUCAACCAACUCAAUCCGAUUAACUUGAAAUUCAAAUUUUUUUCCGAAUCGAAUUGAGUUUUGCUCCUCUAGUUUUAUUAUUAAAAAAAUUCUUAUAUUGAUAUUAAUAAAGUAUUAGAAAAUAUAUACUUAUAUUAAUAUUUAUUUUAUAAUUUAAAAAUAUUUUUAUUUAAGAUUAAUUAAAUAUAUAUUUACAUAUCAAAUGAAUUAGAAUAAGCUAAAAAAAUGGUGGGAAUUUUUAAAACGAAAACUAUGAAAACCAAAAUAAUUUUAGCUAUUAAAUCAAAAUAAAUAAAUUAGAAUAGUGAAUUUAUUGAUUAUUAAGAAAUUAAAAAUAGAAUAAGAAUUUAUUUUAUAAUCAAUGUUUAUUGUUUAUAAAAAUUCUUUAAUAAUAGGAAAUUUUUAUUUGUACUAUAUUUUAAUAGUUAAAAUAAUUAUAUAUUUUAAUAGCAUUCAUUAAUUAUUAUUUUAAAUAAUGAUUACAUGAACUAAAAUUAUAUUGUAUAUUAAAUUAUGAUUUGAAUUUUUUUAAAUAUUAUUAAAAAAUUAUUGAUUUAUAAAAUAUCAAUAUUUUAAUAUGAUAUUUGAAUUUUUAUUAUAUUUAAAUUUUUAAAUAAGUUAAUUAUUUUUUAUUACUUUUUAACCAUUUGAAGAACGAAUUAAAAUUUUAAUUAUAAUAAUUAAAAAUAUAUUAUAUAAAAAUAAUUUAAAAUUAAAUGUAUAAAAUCACAUUAUAACCAGUAAAAAAUAGUUAUAAAUUAAAAGCAAAAGAUAUAAACAUUUUUUAAAAAAUUAAAAUAAAUAGUUUCUAAUUUGUGACCCAAAAAAGUUAGGCACCCAGGCAUUUAUCUGCCCCCACAGCUACACAAAGAGCCUAUAAAUACAAAGGAUUUUCCCAUGCUUAUCACUACCAAAUUACUCAUACAAACCCUUUUUCUAAAGUAAAGUUUUUUUUUCCCCCCUUUUGGUAGUUUAUGAGUAUAGAGAGAGAGAGAGAGAGAGAAUUUGCCAUGGGUGAAGAAGUAGGGUGUUGCAAGAGAACAGGAACAGGAUAUGGAGCUCCAUUGGAAGCCAUGUCUGGUCCUAAAGAAGCUCUUAUCUAUGUUCCUUGUGUUUAUAAUGGUAAUACUACUUUUCUUUCAUUUUCUUUGAAACCACACAUGUUUUAAUUAAUUACUUAUGUUCAUCUAUGUGGGUUUUUUUUUUCGUUCUCUUCUUUUUUUUUUCUUUUUUUUUAUAUAUAUAAUGGAUUUGUAUGCAUCUAUAUAGGAACUGGAAGAGAGAAGCCAGAUUUCUUGGCAACAGUUGAUGUAGAUCCCAACUCACCAACUUACUCUAAAGUUAUACACAGGCUAUCUUUGCCAUAUAUAGGUGAUGAACUACAUCAUACGGGGUGGAAUGCUUGUAGUUCUUGUCAUGGUGAUCCAUCAUCUGAUCGACGGUUUUUGAUCCUGCCUUCUUUGCUGUAAGAAACUGUAACAUGUCUAAUUUUUUAGGGUAGAGUAAACUAUAUAGUUUUCAACUAACUUGGUUCAGUGGAGUUGGUUUUGAUGGUUAAGACAGUUUUGUAACCCAUUAAAACAGGUUAUAUCGGUGGACUAGAAAUAUUAGAUUGUGGUUGACUUAUUACGUGAAAAUAGAUGGUGAAAUUUAUAAAGUUUUGUCUUGAAAUCUUAUUUCAUAUAUAUAUUUAUGUAAAAGAUAUAAACGAAAAACACUCAUAGUACACUUUACCUUAUAAAACAAUAUCCACUUAUAAUCUAUUAAACCUAUUUAUGGGUCGAACAAAAAGGUUUAGCUAAAAAUAUUAGGUUCGAAAAAUAUUUAUGUUAUACAAACUUGAGUACGUGAGUGUUAAAGUUGAAUAAUAUAGCACAACUCGAUUGAGUUCUAAUUCGAUUGAUAUAGAUACUAUUGUCAAUAUAAAAAGACGUGAGUUCGAAUGUGUUGAAAUACAGUAUCUUUCUAUUUAUGAGUUAGGAAACCGUAACGAGUAACCUUAUCUUAAAAAAGAGAAUAUAAGUAUAGAAGUAUAUUAUGAGUAUUUUGCUUGUUUCAGCUCUGGUCGUAUCUAUGUGAUCGACACACAAAAGAACCCCAAGGCUCCCUCGUUGCACAAAGUGGUGGAACCUGAGCACAUCAUUGAGAAAACCGGCUUGGCAUAUCCCCAUACAUCUCACUGCCUUGCCAACGGCGACAUAAUCAUUUCAUUUCUCGGCGACAAAGAUGGAAACGCCCAAGGCAACGGAUUCCUUCUCCUCGAUUCCCAGUUCAACAUCAAAGGGAGGUAAAUGCAAAAACAAAAACAACAAUUUAGACCAUGAAAACAAUUGUCAUUAAGCUUAAGCUGUUUCACUUCUUGUUGUUGGUUUUUUUAAGGUGGGAAAAACCAGGGCGUAAAGCUGAGUUUAGCUACGAUUUUUGGUACCAACCUCGACAUAAAACGAUGAUCUGCUCAUCGUUUGGUGCUCCUUUGGCAUUCACCCAAGGUUUUAACCUUAAACAUGUCGAAGACGGUUUCUAUGGAAGACAACUGUUUGUGUAUGAUUGGCCUGAUGGCCGGCUCAAACAGACAUUGGAUCUCGGUGACAAUGGUCUUAUCUCCGGAGAGGUAACUUUAAGGGUUAAUUAAACCAAAUCUUUAUUAACUGACUAUACUAAUCACCUUAUUUUAUCGGUCUAAAUACUCACUUUGAAAUAUAUUUAAAAUAUGUAUCAUAUUAUAAAUUUGUAUAUACUUAUGGCCAAUAUUACCAAAACCAUACUUGUGGCCAGCAUCUACUUUCUUAUCCAAUAUUUACUUCAUAUUUUGUGUAUGCAAAAUGCAAUAAAUCCUGCUUUCUUAGACUUGGGAUUCGCUAUAUGCAUGUAAAUACACUGAUAUGUUUUCUUUGCAGAUAAGAUUCUUGCAUGAUCCAACCAAAGACACAGGGUACGUCGAGUGUGUCCUAUCAAGCAACGUAGUACGGUUUUUCAAGACCCAGGAUGGAUCAUCAUGGAGUCACGAGGUGGCUAUCUCAGUGAAACCAUUGAAGGUACAAAACUGGAUUCUCCCCGAAAUGCCCGGACUCAUAGUCGGCCUUUUAAUCUCUCUCGACGACCGGUUCCUAUAUUUCGUCAACUGGUUCCACGGCGAUGUCCGACAAUACAACAUUGAAGACCCCAAAAACCCAAUCUUGGUCGGCCAAGUAUACGUCGGAGGAUUGCUUCAAAAGGGCAGCCCCAUAACAGCAGUCACAGAAGAUGGUAAAACAUGGCAACCCGAUGUUCCUAAAAUCCAGGUCUUGUUCUUUCAACAUUGAUAUAAUGACAAAAUUGUCGGAUUAUGCCUAGCAAUGGCGAUAUUGAUGAUGAACAUUGUUUGUGUUUGUUUUUGUAGGGACAUUGUCUCAGAGGGGGACCUUGUAUGACACAGUUAAGCUUAGAUGGGAAACGGCUGUAUGUGACGAACUCGUUGUUUAGCACAUGGGAUCGACAGUUUUACCCUGAUGUUAUAGAGAAAGGUUCACAUAUGAUACAGAUUGAUGUGGACAUUGAGAAUGGUGGUCUGAAAAUAAACCCAGAUUUUUUUGUUGAUUUUGGAGCUGAACCUGAUGGUCCUUGUUUGGCUCAUGAGAUGAGAUACCCAGGCGGUGAUUGUACUUCAGAUAUUUGGAUUUAAAUCAUAUGAAGAAAAAAAACAGUUUCAGUUAUGAAGACAAAACAAUCAAUGUAAUCUUGUUGACUGUUGUGAAUAAAAAUAACACGUGUUCUUGGAAGAGAUAAUGUAAUAACAUCAUCACAUGUAUCUUGGACUCUCAAUGUUCUAAAACUUGGCUGUUGUUGCUCAUUGUUGAUAUGAUUUGGAGUAUCCUAGGAGAGGUCCAAAAGGAAGUACAAUGGGUAACAAACUUAAACCCAGGCCACAAGGUGUCCUAAGCCCAUAGGAACACCAACUAGCAAGGGUUUGGAGUCAUCCCCAACUACCGUUGGAUCACUGUGAAAACAAAAGAGAUGAAUAAAUAUCGAGACAAACCAUCAUUCCUGCCUUCAUCCACCAAACCUUUAAAUCUCUCAUCGCAUUCCUCUGAUGACUCAGAGAGUAGUGAAGGAACUUAAAGAAACAGCUUGUUCCGGGUUCGUUCAGGAUUCCGAAAUGACUUAGAAAAAGCAUCACCCCUUCUGGGAGAGGCAAGCCAGCUCCAACUUCAGUAAGCCAUCAAUAAGCAUGGUCACAUCUGACAUGCAUCUUAUUCAUGGCUAGUUCUUUUAGAAAUAUUAUUUUUAGAGUUUGAAUUCAAGUUAUCUCUUUUGAAAUAUAAUGUGUUUUAACAAAACAUUUUACAUUUAUUAAUUAAUUAAUAAUGAUAUCUUUUAACGAGUAAUGUGAUAAAAUUCAUUAAUAAUGUGUAAAUAUAUAUAUAAAAAGCUGAUCGAGUCUUAGAUCAGUUGAUAUCGAUAUUAUUAUCAGUAUAAAAAGAUAUAGGUUUGAAUGCGUUAAAGCACAUUUAUCCUAUAGGAAUCCCACCGAAUUAAAUCUAUAGCUCGGGCUGUUUUAACAAUUUGGCUCAGUAAGCUUUUGUUGGAUUAAAAGUUAGAACUUGGGAUUACCCAUACUGAAAUUUUUUUAUUUAAUGAGUUUUAAAUUUUGUUUUUAAUAAGAGAAAAAUAUAUUACAUAAUUUAGAUUCGAAUUUUAAGUUUAAUGUAAAUUAAAUCCUUAAAUUUAACAAUAAUUUUUUAAUUAAAUGAUAAUAGCAAUUUAAUAUAUAUUUGUUAAUUAGUAGUUGAGUCUGUAAUACCCCCUACCCGUAUUCGUCGCCGAAAUAGAGUAUGAGGCAUUACCAGAUUUUACCGAAUUUUUUUUUUCAAGAUAGAUUUAUCAUAUUCAUAAGAUAAUUUCAUCACAUACCAAAACCAAAAUUUGUUAGCCAUACCAAUGGCUAACCAUACAUUCAUUUCACAUUAGCAUCUAAUUUACUAGCUUAUACAUGCCAUUGAUUUCCAAAAUAAAGUUCCUUUAUGUACCGAGAUCUCGAGAUUGAUAGUGUGAUGUGUCUCCGACCAAAUCCGACUUCCGAGCUCUUAACUCUACAAACAGGGGAAAAAAAACAGGGUAAGCACUUUGUGCUUAGUAAGUUCAUGCAACAGGAAUUAUACUUACCAUACUUAUACAUCCAUCAUUUAAUAACACAAGCACACAUCCAAUUCACAUAAACAUAUACCUAUCACAUACAAACUCAACCUCAUACAAAUUCAUUACAAAGAUAAAUGAUUGAUGAGCUCAUCAAUUCCAUGAUUUCCAUUUCCUUGUUAUUUUUCCAUAUUUAUCCCGUUGAACUACUUGGAAUUUCGAUGGAUAUUCAGGGUACACCUAAGUGUACAAAUCGGGGUCCGUCAAUUCAUAUUCAUGUGCGCACAUUUCCAUUUCAGAGAGCACACUCCCGCGAACCUCAUCCUUACAGCGGGAUUACCAAUCCAGGCUAAAUCCCCUGUAAUAUAAACUCAUAGAGUAUUGUCGGGAUUACCAGUCCAGGCUAAAUCCCCUGCAACGACAAUUACUCUAAUGAGCUUGGAUCUGAAUUACCAGUCCAGGCUAAAUUCAGACCCUAAUUCGGAUUACCCGUCCGGGCUAAAUCCAUUUUCCACAUAUUCUUCGGGAGGGCUAUAUCAGGAUAGGAUCACCCGUCCGGGCUAGAUCCUUUUUACCGUCAAUUCCUUUUCAGAGAUCCAUCGAACUUUCCUUUCAUUCAACCGGGAUUUAUUUCCUCUUUUCAUCAAGUAUAUCAAUACUUCAUCAAUUAUCAUACAAUAAACAUCCAACUCAUAUUCACAUCAAUAACAAACAUUUCAAGCAUUUAUGAAUAUAAUUCAAGUUACACGAACUUACCUCGAUACUUGUUCGUAACCAAAAAUCUACUAAUCCCAAAAUUUUUCUUUCCCUCGAUCUUGCUUCGUAUUUGAAUUUUCCGGAUCUAAAUAAAUAAAUUUAAUCAUUAAUCUAAUACAUUUCAUGUUCAUAUGUAACUUUCUCUACAAUUCCAUUAUUAUUUAUAGUGCAUUCAAAGCUGCCUCACUGAGUCACAGUCACUAAAUUAUUUAUAUCUUGAGCUACAGAACUCUAAAUUAAGAUCCGNNNNNNNNNNNNNNNNNNNNNNNNNNNNNNNNNNNNNNNNNNNNNNNNNNNNNNNNNNNNNNNNNNNNNNNNNNNNNNNNNNNNNNNNNNNNNNNNNNNNAUUCUUUAAAGUUUCCCCUGUUUCACUGUAUGACAGUUCUGACCCCUCUUCACUAAAAAUUAAUAUCUCACUGUACAGAAUUAGGAUGAUGCUUCCCUUUAUUUCUUCAGAAAAUAGACUCAUUAAUGAUUCUAAGCAUAUAAAUUAUAACUCAUAAUCAUUUUUGUACAAUUUUUAAUGAUUUUCCAAAUUCAGAACAGGGGAACCCGAAUUCAUUCUGACCUUGUCUCACAAAAUCUAUUAUAUCUCAUGAUUUACAAUUCCAUUGCUUACACCUUUUCUUUUAUAAGAAACUAGACUCAAUAAGAUUUAAUUUCAUAUUUUAUUCAUCCUCUAAUUCGAUCUCUACAAUUUUUGGUGAUUUUUCAAAGUCAGAGUACUGCUGCUGUCCAAAACUGUUUUAGUGCAUGGUGUUAAUUACCAUUUUUCCCUUAAACUUUCAACAAUGAUAAUUUCGUCCCUGCUCAAUUAACCUCUCAAUUGAGCUGAUUUUUCUCAAUAAACACUUUAUUAUAUCACUUUAAACUACCUUAUAACCUUUGAAAAUCAGAAUUUCAGCACUAAACUUUAAUUCCAGACGUUUUCACAAUUAGGUCCUACAAAUCAAUUUCUAUUGGAAUUACCUAAUAAAAUCAUCUCAUAAACAAAUUAAAGCAUCAAUUUCAUCCUAUUUCCUCAUAAAAUUCCAGCACAUAUUCAUAUCAACUUUCAAUAUCAUUCACAAAAUCAAAAACUAAUGAAUUUAGUAAUAGGACCUAGUUGUAAAAGUCUUAGAAACACAAAAAUUACAAGAAAAAGGCAAGAAUUAACUCACUUGGUGCAAAAAUUAUGAAAAAGCCAGCUUGAAGAAACCCUUAGGACGUUUUUGGCUGAUGGGAAUGCAGAAAAAUAAAGAGGAAUCUAGAUAAUUCCACUUUAGUCCUAACUUUUAAAGCAAAUUUUGUAAUAUUCCAAUUUUACCCUUAUUUCUUCAAUUCUCCUGAUUUUUCUCAGCGUAUGCCGCCCAAAAUAUCUCCUUUUGGGGUUAUUUUCAAUAUAUGUCCCUGCUCAUUUCACAAUUAAGCUAUUUAAUCCCUCUAGUAACUUUUACACCUUUUUCAAUUUAGUCCUUUUUACUUAAUUGACUACCCAAACAUUAAAAUUUUCUAACGAAAUUUUAAUACCAUAUUACUAACACUUCAUAAAUAUUUAUAAAAAUAUUUUUGACUCGGUUUUACGAGAUCGAAGUCUCGAUAUCUCAUUUUUACCUAAUUUCUUCAAUAAUUUCUUUUUCUAACUAACUGCUUAAUCAGUAAAAUUUUUCUAUCGAUAUUUUCAUACGAUUUUUCCUAUCAUAUCAAUAUUCAUGCAAAAAUAUUAAAAUAAAUUUCUCUUUAAAUCGGAUUUGUGGUUACGAAACCACUAUUCCGAUAAUUUUGAAUUUGGGCCAUUACAGAGUCCUUCGGUUUAUUGACUAAAGGCGGUUACUCUAUAUGUCGCAUGUUCCGAUAAAUUAUAAAACUGAUCAUUAAAUUAUUGUCUUCAGUUUAUUUUUUAUCAUUGAACUAUUAUUUUUUAUUUAAUCACUAAACUUUUCGAAAUCAAAUAUUUUAAUUUGAAGUUGAUUUGAGCAUUUUUUUUAUUAGUCUAAUAAUAAAUUUAACUCUCCAAUAUUUACACAUUUUUAUCCUAAAUAUAAAACAUUUAACAAAUUUAGCCCUCAAUAUUUAUAAAAUUUAUCAUUUUAGUUUGAAUUCUAAAAAAUUCACAUGGCUUUACCUAUAACUAAGCAAUCCAUUUCCUGUAAUAUUAUCUUCUGUUUUGAAGUUGGAGAUGACAACUUGAGCUCACUUCUAUUUUAGGUAGUGUUGAAUUCCGUUAUUUGGUGAUGUUUUUUUUCCUUAUUAUAAGCUAGUUGGUUAGUUGUUGUAGACUUUGUCGAAGAUUUGCAAUCAACUUUCUUUCAUCAAUUGUAACGUUUUAAAUAUCAUUACUAUGUGGUGUUCUUUUCAUUCCUUUUUUUUCUCUAUUCCAUGUGUUGGGUUGGUAAACAAGGUGUAUAAAAACAAUCUAUGUCGAAAUUUUCUAGGUUAGGAAGCUUAAAUUAUUAAUUUUUGUAAAGGACCAAAAAUUAAUUUAUUACUUUUUUUUAGAAUUAGAACUAAAUUGAAAAAAUUUUUAAGGCUAAAUUUAUUGAAUUUUUUAGCAUUCAAACUAAAAUGACAAAUUUUGUAAACAUUGAGGGCUAAAUUUGUUAUUUUAUAUUUAGGAUCAAAUUGAUAUAAUGUUUAAACAUUGGAGGGCUAAAUUUGUUAUUAGACCAAUAAAAAAUGUCAAAUCAACUUUAAAUGACUAAAACAUUUGAUUAAAUCAGAAAAAUUAACAAUUCAACUAACAAAAUAGAAUAAAGACAAUAGUUUAAGGAUCAUUUUAUUGUUUAACCUUAAUAAAAUCCAUAUUCAAUUAUUUUUUGAAAGGUAUAUUACCUUUAAAAAAAUACAUAUUUAUUUAUUAUUUAUGAACAUUAUACAUAAAUAAAUUUAAUAUAUAUUCAUAAAAAUAUUUACAAAUACGUUGGUUUAAUGUUUACGAAGAAUUUCAUUUAACUUAAAAAUAUAUAUAUAAUUUGAAAUAAAUAAAUAGAAACAUAAUUUUGAAACAUUUAACAUACAUGAACAGACCACCGUUAUUUUUUGAACAGUGAUAUUAUUAUAGGUUAUUAUCAUAUAAUACUUAAAACUACUUAUAGUCUCUUCCUAACAUUUAAAUAAGAGGAUAUUGCGCUUUAGCGCACUUGAACUUACGUUCUUCCACACUGACAGUAAUAUCGAUAUUAAUCAAACUAAUACUUUUAUAACAUUAAAAAUAAAAAAUUAAAUAUUUGUUGAAGAUGGGUUGCUUUGGAGGGUUACAAAUACCGACAUGGAUAAUGAAAAUCGAGGAGAGAUCUGGAAACAUCGUGCACCUAAAAAGAUUGGAUGAAGACACAAAAGGCCCAUUGCUCUCACUAACAGCUCACUACACCAUACACGUCAACCUCAUCUAAAUAUUAAAUUUCAUAUAAAUUAAAAAAAUAAAUAUUUUUAUUUUCAUUAAUUUAGUUCUUCUAACUUUUAAAUUUCAAAAUUCACGUCUAAUUAUUGACAUUGUUAAUUUUUAAAAAUUUAAAUUAAUUACAAUGGGUUUUUUUAAAUUACAUGAGCACCAACUGAACAUCAAUAAAUUUAAUCAGACUUAUUUUUACUAUUAUUUAUUAUUAAAAAAUCUUAUAAUUUUUACUAUUAUUUAUUAUUUUAGAUAAUGAAUAUUAAUAAAACUUAUUUUAUUUAAUCAGACUAUGGGUUGAUUUAUUAAUAGUUUUAUUAAGUUUUAUUAAUAUUUAUUAUUAAAAAUCUUAUAAUUUUUACUAUUAUUUAUUAUUUUAGAUAAUGAAUAUUAAUAAAACUUAUUUUAUUUCAAAUUAUAUCAUUAUAAUUAUUAUUUUAGAUAAUAAAAAUUACUAAAAUGUGUUGGCAUUGAUUUAUUGGUACAAACAUUCUUCAUACAUCCAUGGCUACUGUCGUGCAGUAAAAGACGAGGGGAGACAGAAGAACAGAGAAAGAAGAACAUACUUACCCAGUGGACAAAGUGCUCUUCAAAUAAAUAAUAAGAUAAUAAUAAAAAAGUAAAAAUUAUUUAUUAUUUAAUCAGGGUAGCUCUAAAUAUUAUAUAAAAAAAGUAGAUAAUUGUAAUCAGACUUAUUUUUACUAUUAUUUAUUAUUUUAAAUAAUGAAUAUUAAUAAAACUUAUCAAUAGAAAUUCAAUAACAACAUUUUUGUUAGAAAAAAAAUUAUUAAAAUCUUUUAAAUAGUGAUUUUAACAAUUAAUCAGGAGUAAAACUCUUAAAUAAUAAUCUAUUAUUAAACAAUAAAUGCAAAAUUAGGAUUUACUAAGUAAAUUUCAUAUCAAUAUAUCAUUAUAAUUAUUAUUUCAACUUUUUAUUUUAAUUAAUUUUGUGAAAAUAAAGCUAAUUUUAUAACUGUAUAAUAUCCAAAUAAUAAAAAAAUAAGAGUGACAUAAUAACGAGAUGACAAUAAAAUAAAAAAAUAAAAAAUAAAAAUAAAACAACAAUUUUUUUAUAAAUUUGGUCCAUAAGUCUAGUCCUACCAUGACAGAUAAAUUUUUUUAAUAAUUUAUUUAUAUAAAUUAAAAUUUAAAAAAUUAAAAUUUUAUAUUAAUAUUAUUUUUCAAUAAAACAAUCAAUAAAGUAAAGGACUCUACACUAAUUGCACUUACUAAUAUAAAGUCCUAAAGUCGAUCUUAUCCUUGUCAUCAGCUCUCAGCUUAAUCCAACACCGCCACGUGGACAAGUCUGGGUCAGAGUUGACGUGUGACGCAAAACGGUGAAUGUGAUCGAAAGGUCCCUCUAUUAUAGGGACCUGAUCAAAUUAGUCUCUGGUGGAUCAAUUUAAUCUGUGUACUAACCAAAUUGGAAUAUAUUUAACAUUUAUUUUUUAACGUAGUUAAUAAUAAAGGAUAUAAUUUGAACAUAUUAAUUUUUUUAAUAGCAUAAGGAUUAAAUUGAUCCAUUUAAUAAUAAAGGGACUAAUUUGAUCUAACUCAUAUAAUGCAAGGAUAUCUCGGGUACUUUAAAGGACCAAAAACACAACUGCAAAUCUCAUCUCAGUACAACACGCGUCAAUCUGAACACAGUCCGAUGUGAUAACUCCCGAAUCUCAAAGCCCUUGGGACCACAUGGAGAUCAAAAGAGGAAACACAAUAUUGGUCGUAAGUUUAGUUAGGGAAAAUUAUAUAGAGGGUCCCUGUAGAUAUUCUUUCACAAGCUUAAAGUUUGUCUGAUAAACUAAAAUUUUAAGUAUGGAAAAAUUUAAUGGUAAAUAUAAUUAAGCUAUUUGAUAAAAAUAAAUAUUAAUUUUUAAAAGAUUAUUUAUUUUUAAUUUUAAUCUUAUUAAUAUAAUAAUUAUAUUAGCGAUAAUUUGAACAUUUCAUUUAAAAAAAAGAAAAUAUUAAAUAGUAGCUAUCAGUAGUAUAUAUAAAAGAAAAACAACGAAAUUUUUGUAGGAAGAAAGAAGAGGAAAAAAAGAAAGAGAGAAAUUGCGAUGGGUGAAGAAACUGAGUGUUGCAGAACAACAGGACCAGGAUAUGAAACUCCACUGAAAGCCAUGUCUGGUCCUAAAGAAGCUCUUCUUUAUGUUACUUGUGUUUAUACUGGUAAUGAUUUUCUCUCUUCUUCUUCUUCUUCUUCUUCUUUUUGUUUUGGUUUUUGGCGUGAUGUCUGCAACCUUUUUUUUUUUCUGGGAAUUAAUUUCAUUUGAUCCAUUUAUUCCUUGAAUUAUAAGUUGUUAUGUGUUCAUGUUUAUUUUCAUAAAAUUUUAGAGAAAAUUCAGUGGGUGUUUUCUUUUUUAUUUUCUAAAAAAAAAGAAAAAAAACAUAUAUUUAGCUUUUUUUUAAAAUAUUAUAAAUAAUCUAUCUCACUGUAGAUUUUACUCCAAAAGUGAAACAUUAACUUUUAGAUCUACUUCUUAAUUAUCAUAUAAAAUAAUAUAUAUAGAUAUAUUUAAAUGGAUUUGCAUGAUGUAUGCAGGAACAGGAAGAGAGAAGCCUGAUUUCUUGGCAACGGUUGAUGUAGAUCCGAACUCACCAACUUAUUCUAAAGUCAUCCACAGGCUAUCUAUGCCGUAUGUAGGUGAUGAACUACAUCACUCUGGGUGGAAUGCUUGCAGCUCUUGCCAUGGUGAUCCGUCGGCCGAUCGACGUUUUCUGAUCCUUCCUUCAUUGGUGUAAGUGGCUAUAUGCCUGAAAUUUUGUUUAUGGAGAGUGAGAUAAUAUUAUAAAAUUUGAAGGGGCAUAAGUUAAAAAUUUUGUAUUAAAAAAGUUUUAAUUAAAUUAUUAAUUUUUCAAAAUGGUUAUAAAAAGGAUUAAAUUGAAUCUUUUAAUUUUAGGAAGGGACCAUAAAAUAAUUUUCCUAUUGAGCCAGGGGUCCUUGCCUUCCCCCUUUGGCUAACCCUGCUUACGAGGAAAAUGAGGUUUUCAUGUAAUGUAGAACAAUGUGGCAAACCAUGUAAUAGUACAGAAAUGUUUAAUACCAAUGUUCUAUUCGGUUCAGAUCGGGUCGUGUCUAUGUGAUUGACACACAAAAGAAUCCCAAGGCUCCGUCGUUGCAUAAAGUGGUGCAGCCGGAGGAUAUCGUUAAGAACACCGGUCUAGCGUAUCCGCACACGUCUCACUGCCUUGCUUCCGGAGAUAUAAUGAUUUCGUGUCUCGGAGAUAAAGAUGGGAAUGCCAAAGGGAACGGAUUUCUUCUCCUUGAUUCCGAAUUCAACGUUAAAGGGAGGUAAAGCCGAUAAACCGAAUGAACAAUUAGAAGGUAAAAUGAUUGGUGACUUGUUGUUACUCAUUGUUUCUUUAGGUGGGAGAAACCGGGGCAUAGUCCUAUGUUCGGCUACGAUUUUUGGUACCAACCUCGACAUAAAACAAUGAUCAGCUCAUCAUGGGGUGCUCCUGUUGCCUUCACCAAAGGUUUCGAUCUUCAGCAUGUCACGGAUGGUCUGUAUGGGAGACAUCUGUAUGUGUAUAGUUGGCCUGACGGUGAACUUAAACAAACAUUGGAUCUCGGUGACACCGGUCUCAUACCCUUAGAGGUGAUUGAUUACAUGUUACUACUUCGUUUUUUGCUCGGUUUUGCUCGAAGGCGAUACUUAGUUUUGUUUCAUUUUCAUUGCAGACAAGAUUCCUGCAUGAUCCAUCUAAAGAUACAGGGUACGUUGGGUGCGCCUUAACAAGUAACAUGGUUCGGUUUUUCAAAACCAAAGACGGAUCAUGGAGUCAUGAGGUGGGAUCAUAUAAUCUUGCAUUACCAAUGCUCAUAAAUUUGGACAAGCCUUAUUAUGUACAUUUUAACUUCUGCAGGUGGCAAUCUCAGUGAAACCAUUGAAGGUGCAAAACUGGAUUCUUCCCGAAAUGCCCGGACUUAUAACUGACUUCCUAAUCUCUCUCGAUGAUCGUUUUCUGUAUUUCGCCAACUGGCUGCACGGAGAUGUCCGACAAUACAACAUUGAGGACCCCAAAAACCCGGUCUUGGUCGGCCAAGUAUGGGUUGGAGGAUUGAUCCAAAAGGGAAGCCCUGUAGUGGCUAUGACAGAAGAUGGUAAAACAUGGCAAUCCGAUGUUCCGGAAAUCCAGGUUUGUUCUAACAUUCAUAUCAACUUGUUCAGAUUAAUCAUAUCAAUGGCGAUCGAUGAACAUUGUUACAUCCUUUUACAGGGACAUCGCCUAAGAGGAGGACCGCAGAUGAUCCAAUUGAGCCUAGACGGUAAACGAUUAUAUGUGACGAACUCUCUAUUCAGCUCAUGGGAUCGACAAUUCUAUCCAGAACUCGUGGAGAAAGGUUCCCACAUGUUGCAGAUCGAUGUCAACACCGAGGAAGGCGGUCUUAAAACAAACCCAAACUUCUUUGUCGAUUUUGGAGCCGAACCUGAUGGACCUUCCCUGGCUCAUGAGAUGAGAUAUCCAGGUGGUGACUGCACUUCAGAUAUAUGGACUUAAACAUCUCAAAAACCAGUUUCAGCCAUGAAGAAAAUCAUCCUUUUAAUUUUGUAGGACUAAAAUAAAAAUCAGUGCAAUCUGUAUGUGAGUCAAUUUGAUAGAUAAUGUAAUGUUAAGGGGUUAAUUUAGCAAUAUAUCUUAAAUUUAAUCGACUUCCUGUUAAACGCCUUUUAACAUUGGACUUAAUUUAAAUUAACUGGCAGCUUAUCCAACAUUGACACGCGUUCCAACGAUGAUCCCACUAUACAUUCGGAUAAGAUACCAUUGGACAAACACAAAUGUCUCCAGUUCUCAAAACUGUAAGACGCGUGGCAAUCUAUCCACCGUCAGUUGAGAUUAAUGCUGACAUGGUAAGGAAAAUCGAUAAUCUCAAACACCGCGCCCAUAGAAAAAAUUGAUAGUUAUUUAUUUUUGAUAAUUCCCAUGUGACAUUUUCAUUCGAAGGGCAACAUUUUCUCCUCACAAUGGUGGACAUUUAUGUAAAAUAAAAAUAAAGAUUUGAAUCCCAAAGAUUCGGUUUGAUUUGUCGAUUAAGUUUUAUGAUGAUUGGUACGGGUAUUAUUAUCAAUGUAAGAGGAUAUGUGUUCGAGUGCGUUGAAAAAUAUUAUCCUCCUAUUUAUAGAUCAGAGAGGAACUAUAAGCAAUUCUAGAUAUUAUGUUAAAAAGAGUUGAUAUAAUUAAAACCUAAUAUUAUUAAAAAAAAUAACUUUAUGAAAGUUAUGAUAUUUUCAAAAUUUAAUACGACAGACAUAUUAUCAUAUCUGUAAUGUUAUAUCAAUUUAUUAUUUUCACCUUACUAAAAACUCAAUUAAUAGAUUAACAACGGUGAUUUUCGUCAAGAACAAAAUUCAAAUUUUGAGAAGUCUAGGAACUUAGAAUGAUCCUUUUGGAGAAUAUAGACUAAAUAUAUAAUUAUAUGUAUAAUACAAAACUAAUAAUUGAAUUUAACUAAACAUAUUUAAGCGUUAUUGUUUGAGUCAGGAUUAAAAUUGACCGAUUCAAAAAAUAUAAAGACUGAAAUUAAUUAAAUUGUGGGGACUAAAUCUAUAAUUUUCAUAAAUUACAGAAUUUAACCUAUCGAACCUAAUCCCAAGAUUCUGCCGUAUAGACCCAAUAGCCUAUAAAUUACAGAGGAUUUUCCCAAUGUUUUUCACUAACUAUUAGAAAAAAAAAUUAAUAUUUUUGUAAGAGAAAAAAAAAAGAGAGAAAAUGGGGGAAAAAAUGGGGUGCUGUAAGAGAACUGGACCUGGAUAUGCAACUCCAUUGGAAGCCAUGUCUGGUCCUAAAGAAACCAUUAUUUAUGUUAAUUGUAUUUAUAAUGGUACUUUUUUCCUUUUUUUUCUUUAAUGAUUUUCUGAUCUUUAAAAAUGAGUUUUUUCAAUGGAUUUGUAUAAAUAUAAUUGCAUGAUGUAUGCAGGAACGGGAAGAAAGAAGCCUGAUUUCCUAGCAACAGUUGAUGUAGAUCCAAACUCGCCAACUUAUUCUAAAGUCAUCCACAGGCUAUCUAUGCCAUAUAUAGGUGAUGAACUACAUCACUCGGGAUGGAAUGCAUGCAGCUCUUGCCAUGGUGAUCCAUCAACCACUCGACGUUUUCUAAUCUUGCCUUCCGUCGUGUAAGCAAUUAUCCCGGAUUUUCAUAUUAUAUCGAUGGAUAGGGACAUAUCUAUGUCGUUAAGGUACCAAGGUGCUGCUUGUUCUUAGGUCUGGCCGUGUGUAUGUGAUUGACACACAAAAGAAUCCCAAGGCUCCCUCUUUGCAUAAAGUGGUAGAAUCCGAGGAUAUCGUCGAGAAGACCGGCUUAGCGUAUCCGCACUCGUCGCAUUGCCUUGCUUCCGGGGAUAUAAUGAUAUCGUGUCUCGGUGACAAAGAUGGAAAUGCUAAAGGGAAUGGAUUUCUCCUCCUUGAUUCCGAAUUCAACGUCAAAGGGAGGUAAAUACGAUAAACUGAAACAAUGUAUAAACGAAUUGUGAAUAACCGUCACUUGUAAAAAAUCAUCAGGUGGGAGAAACCAGGGCAUAGUCCUCUGUUUAGCUACGAUUUUUGGUACCAACCUCGACAUAAAACCAUGAUCAGCUCGUCGUUGGGCGCUCCGGCUACCUUCACCCGAGGUUUCAAUAUCCAGCAUGUCAAAGAUGGUUUGUAUGCUAGACAUUUGCAUGUGUAUAGCUGGCCUGAUGGUGAACUUAAACAAACGUUGGAUCUCGGUGAAACUGGUCUCACACCCUUAGAGGUGAUUAAUUACUUGUUUCGACUUUGUUUUUAACUCGGUUUUGCUCGAAGACGAUACAUAGUUCUGUUUCAUUUCAUUGCAGAUGAGAUUCUUGCAUGAUCCAUGUAAAGAUACAGGGUACGUUGGGUGUGCCUACACGAGUAACAUCGUUCGGUUUUUCAAAACCGAAGACGGAUCAUGGAGCCAUGAGGUCGGAACUUGGAACAUAUAAUCUUGCGUUGUCAAUGCUCAUAAACUUGGACAAGCCUUAUUCAUUAACUUCUGCAGGUGGCAAUCUCAGUGAAACCAUUGAAGGUACAAAAUUGGAUACUUCCCGAAUUGCCUGGAUUUAUAACCGACAUCUUAAUCUCAAUCGACGAUCGGUUUCUGUAUUUUAUCAACUGGUUGCAAGGAGAUAUCCGACAAUAUAACAUUGAGGACCCCAAAAAUCCGGUCUUGGUCGGCCAAGUAUACGUUGGAGGAUUGGUUCAAAAAGGAAGCCCUGUAGUAGCUGUGACAGAAGACGGCAAAACAUGGCAAUCCGAUGUUCCGGAAAUCCAGGUUUGUUCUAACACUCAUAUCAACUUGUCGGAUUAAUCAUAUCAAUGACAAUCUAUGAACGUUGGUUACAGGGACAUCGAUUAAGAGGGGGACCGAAUAUGAUCCAGUUGAGCCUAGACGGUAAGCGACUAUAUGCGACGAACUCGUUAUUCAGCACAUGGGAUCGACAAAUCUAUCCGGAACUUGCGGAGAAAGGUUCCCACAUGUUGCAGAUCGAUGUCGACACCAUGAAAGGCGGUCUUAAAAUAAACCCGAACUUUUUCAUCGAUUUUGGAGCUGAACCUGAUGGUCCUUGUAUGGCUCAUGAGAUGAGAUAUCCAGGUGGUGAUUGCACUUCAGAUAUUUGGAUUUAAAUCAGAUGAAAAAAACCGCUAUGAAGAACAAUCAAUGCAAUAUGCAGAUUCUUCUGCACAUGUUAUGUAAUAUCAUCAUGUCAAUGUGAAAUCAUAAACAGCUCAAAGUAAUACAUACAUACAUACAUACAUACAUACAUUUUGAAUGUUACAUUGUGAACAUGUUAUGUAAUAUCAUCAUGUUAUGUAAUUUCCUUAUGCUAAAAUUUGUGUUGAGUUUGAUGUUAAUCUUGAUAUGCCUAAUUCAAUCAUAAAUCCCUAUCCUAAAAUGUGUGCUCAUCAAUGAUCAAUGACACAUUUCAUCUUGGGCAUGGCUAAUUUUAGGUAACCUCAUGACAGCUUUAAACGUGAAGACUAUCAUCAGAUCACUUCAUCACAUCUUAAUAAACGAGUCAUGUCUCUAUAAACAUCUCAUGUAAAAUAACGCAUCAUUCCAUUAAGACUCACAUUAGAACUUCUCCAUCAUAAGAAGAUAAGAAGCUCUCGAAGUACUAUCAAAACUCUUACCAAAUCUCUCCCAAAAAAUUCUCUAAUCUCACAAGCUUCCCGAAAUCAAAAUUCUCAAUGGCUCUUCACAUCUUCUACUAUGUAACCACACUCAAUUUUUGUGCACUACUAUCCAAUACCAUCAAGGAUUAUAGAAUUGCACUACUAACAGAGACAAAUUUUGAAUGAACCAAGCUUGCAUGUUGAAGAAUUUAUUCACCAAUACAUCAUGAUAUAUUGAGAUAUACAAGAAGGAAUUAAGAAAUAGGUUGAUUUUGAGUCUUAAUUAACUUCAAAAUAACUUUAUAAGCUUCCCCUUUUUUCCUACGAACAUCCAACAAUUGCCUCUUCAAAGAAGCUAUACUCUUCUUUACACCAUUUAUUUCACUCUUCACCACUUCUAUUUCACCUCUAAUCUGCAUAUGCUGCUUCCUAUCUUCUUCAUUUAAAGCCUCUUCCAUUGCCUGUAUUUUACCAUAAUCAAACCAAUGCUUUCAUAUUUUACAAAAUAGGUAACUAGAUCAACUUUUGAUAUUUGAACUUGACAACUAUCUUUAUCUUGGUACUUGAAUUUGAAAGAAUAUAAAAAUUUGAUAACGUGACAUUUUGAGAUUGUAUCACAUCAUCACUUGAAAAUUUUAAAAAUUAUAUAAAAUUUUAGGUGAUAAUGUGAUACAAUCUUGGAAUGUUAUACAGUAUUCUAAUAACCAGUUCAACUGUUAGACCAACAAUAAUUAAAAAUUCAUAAAAAUUUUAAAAAUAAAAAAAAUAUUUAACUGUUUCACCAUGUUCAACUAUCUGUUAUUGUCCAAGUUUUCGAUUUUUAUCGUUUUCAAGCAAUUUUAAAUUUAAUCGGUUCAACCCCUUUGUUCGAGCCAAUAUACCGAUCGGUUCUCGGUCCCAUCGAUCCGACUGACCAAUCUAGUCUUAUUCUAAAAAUAUUAGUCACAUCAUUAAAUCUUGACGAAAUACAAGUUUAAAGACCAAAAUAGAUUUAUUUGCCAAAUUCGAGUAACAAACUGGACCGAAUUGUCAAGUUUUCCUUUACAAAGAAACAAUAUGAGGUUUACGAGCUUAGUUCGUAGCUUAACUCGACUCUGACUCAGGAACAUUAGUUAAAUUUGUUACCUUAAUUUGUUGUUUGAUGACAUUUUUUGAAGGCAACGAAUUCCAAAUCUUCCCCUUUACAGGAGCAUUAGCAAAGGCUUUAUCUCUAGCCCAUUUGAGCUCAUUAAUCUCUUUAAGAACUUGUUGUUCAUCAACCCUUAUUGCAGGUCUUGGGAUGAAAUAGUUCCUUCUAAUGUCCCACCUCAAUCUCCAUAUCUGUUUUCACAACAAAAAUGAAUUAAAUAUGUUUGGUGUUAAUCAUUACCGACCCGCUACCCGCUUAGUCAACUGGGACCAGCCCGAUUCUCUUUACUUCAGUAGUAAUCGCCACACAGUUCACAUCAUAUGAGUUCGCACGUGAUGGGUUCGCAUCAUCAUGCAAGCAAACUCACACUUAGAAAACACGUGUUAAUUUUAGAAUAGAGUACGUGUUGGCAUGUAUGGAGACCUACCUAAGCCGUCACAUCCAUGAACCAUAUCAUAUAAAUAUUCAAACAUACUUACCCGAUCGGAUAUCUCUUCGACCACUGACGGACCCGAAUCGUUUAAUCCCUUCUGACCAGCAUUCACCUCUUUCAAGAGCUUCUUUUCUUUCACCAUAUUGCCAGUUUCAUGAUGCAUUCGGAAACACAAAUUCUAGAAUCGAAACUUUAUAUCAAUCAAUCAAAUUACUUUUCACGAAAACCAACAUCGAAAAAUACAAAAAAACAUGCUUACAUGGCUAUUAAUCUUGCCUUGUGUGUUGAUAGAUCUCUCCUUAUAAGCACCAUUAGCAAAAGUAAGCUUAUCGAGAUCUCGUUUCAAAGCAGCCAUUUGCUUCCCUUUAUUUGUCCACAUACUUCUGAAUCCCUUCUCUUUAUAGUUCAAAUCAUAUAACCUAUUAUAAGCUUGGCGUUCUUCGAACUGUUCAUCAUAAUACGAUUUUCUGAUUCUCUUUAUCGUUGAUAUUCAUCGUAAUUGAUAAAAAUUUAAAAAGGUAAAUGUAGCUAGGUACCUGUUUUUCGUGUAUCGCCUUUGUGAUUCGAAAUAAUUGUUCAUUCAAGCAUGUAAGUGACUUCGUAGCUUGUUGAAUCCCAGAUUCUGGAUUUGUGUUUUGCUGAAGCAUUGUAAAAAUCAAGUCAUUGAUUGGAUCCUUCUUGGCUUUGCUCUUAACAGCCUGUAACUCUUCAUUUUCUGGUUUUGCAGUAGCCAUGUGAUAGUGUGCCUAUAUCAAGUUGAUACAAUAUAUAUAUGUGUAUGUAUAUGAUUAUAAAGGGUAAUUAAAAUCAAAUUCUGGCAUAGAAAUGAAAAUUUUGAAUGCAUAAAUAAAAGAGAAAAUGCAAGGUGACGUGAUCCACAAGUCAAAUGGACAUUCAUGCUACUUAUUGUGAGGCCUUGCACCCCACGGCAGUCUUUAAGUCAACCCAAUCCUUGAUAAUAUAUAAGUAUAUAGAAUGGAUAAAUAUUUAAUGUAUUGAUACUGUUGCUUGCCAACUAUGCCUUCAGGGGUAAAGUCAAACAUUUUAGGGUUGAAAUUUAAUUAUAAAAUUUUGGGGGUCAAAACAGAUAUUUUACUAUUUUAAUAACUAUAGUAUUAUAAAUUUUAAGGACUUAAAAGAUAAUUUCCCCUAAAUCAAGGGGAGUCAGGGCCCUUGCCUUUGGAUCAUAGUUGUUAGGUCCAAUGGUUCCAUAAAAUCAUAAAAUCAGAGGAGUGAAUUAUUGUAAAAUGGAUUGAAUCGGGUAAAAAGUCAUUUGAACUAAAUCUAAGUUGAUCUAAAUUUUAAUUUUUUUUAUAAUUUAUAAAAUGAAUGUUUAGAUUUUAAUAAUUUUUAUUUAUGUUUAUUAUUUUUUUAAUUUUUAUGAAUGUUUAAAAUUUUUAAUGAGUUCUCAUUAAAAUAUACCUCAUUUAUGAGUAAAAAUAUUAUGGCUGAUGGCAUACACAUGGAUUGCUAUGUGGAUGAUAUGUCAACAUUUAAAUAUUUUUUAAAUACUAAAAAUUACUUUUCAUAUUUUAAAUAAUUUUAAUGAUUUUAAAUUUUAAAAUAAUUUUUAAAAAUAAUUUUUAAAAAAUAAUUAAAUACUAACGCGUCAUCCAUUUAGCAAUCCACAUGUAUGUCACAUCAACAAAGUUAAAGAAUAUUAAUUUUUCUAUCUAUUUUGAGAUAAUUUGACAAUAAACGCAAAUUUAAGUACUAAAAAAGACGAAAAAUUAAAUAGAGGUUUAAAAUAACUAUUUUUUAUAAAGUUAAAGAGUCAAAUAAAUCAUUAUGUGAAUAUAUUACGUGGAUUCAACAUGGAACAAGCAACAAAUAAAAUAGUUUUUCUUGAGCCACUCGGUUUUCUUCUCUUUUAAAAGAUUUCCAUUUUCACAAGGAAAAAAUUAUAAUUUUUUUAAUUUAGGGUAUCCACCACCGAUAAUAGUAACUAAUUUAAAAGAUAUUUUUUUGUUAUUAAUCCUUAUAUUUUGCACUGUUUAUGGAACAAUACUUUCUUGCAUAUAAAAAUACAUUGAAAGGUUAAGUUUUGUUAUUAGCCCUUAUACUAUCCACAAUUUGUGGAUUUAGCCCCUAUAUUCUAAUUUGGUUAAUUUUAAUCAAUGUAUUUUUCGAAUUUUGACUUAAAUAGUAGCAAUUAAAUCUGCUAAAUCAAAUUGUGCUAUUAGUCUCGUACUAGGCCUAAGUUAUAGAUUUAAUCAAUAUUUUCCAGUCUAAUUAUUUGUAGCCUCUAUACUUUUUGAGUUUUGGAAUUUCCAUUAAAUCCAUUAAUUAAAACGAUAUGGUUUUUUUUAUUAGUAUUAUAUGCAAAUAGCAAGCUAAUAGUUGUUAAAUUUGUUAGAUCAAAUUCUACUAUUAGUCUCGUACUAUGUAUAAAUUAUGGAUUUAAUUUUUGUUCUCUAAUUUGAUAAUUUUUAGUUCCCUAUACCUUUCAAUUUUUAAAAUUUUAGUCCUGAUUCAAACGAUGUAUUAACUAAAAUGAUGCGACUUUUUUCAAUUUAAAUAAUAAUAUAUAUUGGGUGGAUUAUUAUUAUUAUUAUUAUUAUUAUUAUUAUUAUUAUUAUUAUUAUUAUUAGAUACUACAAAUAUUUAUUUAAGAUUUAAACUUUUUUUAAUAAAGUACCGUUACAAUUCAUCCAAAUGAUUAAAUAUAUAAUAAAACAUUAAGUUUGAAUUUGACUUCUUCAACAUUGGGUCGAAUUUCUAAAAUAAUUGAAUUAAGGGUAAACUACACCCAUGGUCACUUUUGUUUACCUUAGGUUAUAUUUUAGUCACUUGUGUUUGAAAUGUUACGUUUUAGCCACUUACGUUAUCUUGUUGUAACAUUUUAGCCAUUAAGCCGUUAAUUGCCGUUAACGGUGUAACGGUAAGCUGACGUGGCACGUUAAAUCAUCAUUUCAAACAAAAUUUUAGGUUAAAUUAUAUAAUCGAUUCCCAUUUUUUUCAAAUUGACAGUGAAGAAAGAAGUAAGAAGUUGAAAGUCAUAAUUGCCUAUAACCAAAACCCAUAAACCCAUACCAUGCUUCUUAUUUCAUUGCCAAUUUGACUUCUUGAUAUGUUAAAAGAAAUGGAGAAGGUAGGAAAAUAAAUGGAGAAGGUAGGAAAAUAAAAGGAGAAGUAGAAAAUAAUGGAAAAUAAAAAAAAAGUUAAAAGAACAUAAAAGAAAAAAAUUAAAUUGUUCAAGACGAAAAAAUAUAGGGACCAAAUGUAUAAUUUAACCUAAAUUUUUUGUUUAAAAGGAUUAUUUAACAUGCCACGUCAGCUUACCAUUACAUUGUUAACAGCAAUUAAUGGCUUAGUGACAAAAAUGCUACAACACGAUAACGUAAGUGACUAAAACAUAACAUUUCAAACAUAAGUGACUAAAACGUAACCUGAAGUAAACAAAAAUGAUCAUGGAUGCAAUUUACCCUUGAAUUAAAAUAUAGUUUAACUUUUUGGACAUUCGACCAAAAUUGCGGGUGGUAGGCACACUUAGAUUUUAUAAUGGUCUAAUUAGGGUUUUAUAUCCCUCUACUUUAAGAAAAUUAAAAAGCUAACUCCUCUACUUUAAUUUAUUAGAAUAUAGUCCUCACGCUUUAUAAAAAAUUGAAGAGUUAAUCUUGCAGUACUACCAAACUUUGUCGUUAAAUUGUUAACAUGGAAAUAAACAGUUCAACAAAAUUAUAUGAAUUAAACUAGGGGUGAGCAAAAUUCAGUUUGACUCGAAAAAAUUAAAUUUUUUUUAAUUUCAAGUUAAACAAAUCAAGUUAUUCAAAUUAAUCAAAUUAUUUGAGUCAACUCAAAUUUUUUUUUCAAAUUUUGAGUUCGAAUCGAGUUUGAUUUUCAAAUUUGAAUAAUUCGAAUAAAUCGAAUAUCAAACUAUAAUAAUUUACAUUAUUACCCCAAACACCUAAACCUCUUCACUUUCCUCCCAAAACUUUUACUCCCUCCCACUUUCCCCCAUAACUUUUACUCUCCUCCCAUCUUACCCCCUUCUACCCCAAACCCAUCCCCCCCAAAUUUUACUCCUCCCAUUUAUUCCCCCCCCCCCAAUUUUACUCCCUCAACAUCUAAAACGUUUUAUUUUCCCCCUAAAUGUUUACUUCUCAUCCUUUACCCCUAAAUAAAAAAUUAAAAUCAUCCAAAAAAAUUUUGUAAACCUAAAUAAUAAUUUUAUUUAUAUAUACUAUUUAUAUUAUUAAAUUAAAUUCCAUAUUUUAUACUAUUUAUAUUAUUGAAUUGUUUUAUCAUAUUGAAUCUUUACAAAUUUUUACAAAAAUUGAAUUAUUGAUGAUGUCAUAAAAUAUUCGUGUUAAAAUUUGAUGUUGGUAUGAAUUUCACAUUUUAUCAUAACUUUUAUUAAAAAAUCACAUUUUUUACAUUUAAUAUUUUUUUUAAAUUUCAAAAUACAUAGUGACAAGAAUCAGAAAAUAAUUGAAGCAACUAAGCAAGCAAAGAAGUUAACCCGUAUAUAAAAGAUUAAUAAAUAAAUUAUAAGGAGAUUAAAGUUAAUAACAAAUUUGAUUACGGUGGAUGACAGUGAUUACAAGGGCCUAAAAUACUUUUUUUUUAAUUUAACUCGAACAAAUAUAUUCGAUUCGAUUCGAAUUCUAUCUCACUCGACUCGAUUCGAGAAACAUUCAAAUCGAAUUAAGAUGAUAAAAUAUGAUUCGUCAAAUCAAUUAACUCAAAAUUUUUUCAUUCAAUUCAAUUCAAUCUGAUCGAACACUCACCCCUAAAUUAAAAUACUAAAAGUUAGCUAUUUAUAUAAUAUUCAAAUUAUAUUUUUCUUUUUUUUUACAUUAUAUAAUAUAUUUUAUCGAUUUAAUCCCCAUAUUUAAAAUUUUAAAAUUUAAAUCUUUUAUUUUUUCGAUUUAAAAAUUCUAAUUCAACCAAUAACACUACUAGUAUUUUUCGUCAAAAUUUAUUAACUUAACAUUUUUUUUGUCAAUCAUAUGACAUCUCAUGUGAAUGCAAUCUAAUCAACACGUCAAGUUGAUAAUAUUUUAAUAAAAAAAUAAUGAUUGGACUAAUAUUUUAAAAUCAAAAAAAUAAAAACUUAAUUUCUAACGUUUUAAGCACUAAAAUUAAUUUUCAAAUUUUAUUAAAACAUAAAAAUUAAUGACAUAUUUAACUAAUAUAAUGAUAUUAUGUUUACCUCUAACAUAAACCAUAAAAAAUAACAUGCAGGGUUGAACCACAGUGAAGUGACAUACAAUUUGUGUGUAAAUAUUCGAUUCAUAUCCGUUUCGAAUUUGAUGCUUGAACAACCCUUACCCUAUGUCCCUUAAAUAAUAAUGUUUUUUAUGUGUGUUUUAUAUUUAUUUUAUGAUUCAUAUUCCGAGUUCAUACAUCUCUCAAUAUGUGGUCCCCAAGGUCUUAUCCCUCAAAUCAUAAUAAAAGAAAAUUACACUAGUAGUCACUAACUAUUAGUAAAAGUCUUUUUUUUUUUUGGUCACCCAAACCUCUAACACUAAAUGCAAAAUCAAAAUGAACUUAAAUGAUUCAAUUAAUGUUGAUGUGUCUUUAACACAAGUAAGGUCAAAGAAACGCUCCCUAAUAAAGUCAUCUCUAUCAACAAAUCUCAAAACAAGAGUCAUUUGUUCUUCUUUAAAUUCAUCACGAUAUUCAUCAACAAUGAUGCAAAAUUCUGAGUCUCCAGUAUCUUCACGAAUCUUCUUUUGCACUUUAUUAGCAACAACGUGCAAAAAUUCCUUUUGAAUUGAAGGCUGGAUUUAGGAGCAUUUUCCAACACAAUAUUCUUAACAUCAUUGUUAUAAGAAGCUAAAGGUUGAACCAACUCGAUAAAUUUACCACAAUUUUUUGUAUCAAGUGUUUCAUCUUGACCUCUCGAAACAUAAGCUUGAAAUGCAAGCCAUCGAACAACAUCAAUAGAAGUCUUAAUUCGUAACUUAUUAUUCAAAACUUGUUCCGAACUUUGUUGAUGCAUUACUUUAUUAUGCCCAGUUUGCUUCAUCAAAUUUGCAUAAGACUUGAUGACAUUAUUAUAUGGUCUACAAUAUGACUAAGGGUGAGUUUGGAUGGGCGAUGUGUUUACCUGCGGUUAGUGUAAAAACAGCGGUGGCGGUGGGAUUAGAUACUGUAGCGAUAUGCACGCACCCAAUCGCCCAUCCGAACCCACCCUAAAAAAUACAUAAUUCUUUCGAGAAAUAUUUUUUUCCCAACUUAGUUGGAGAAUGCUCAAGUCAAGAAGAGAAUUGAGUAAACCAAUAUUAUUGAAGACGCUUAGGAUGCUUUUCUAGUGAAUAUGGAUAAAAUGGAUGUGGAUCUACUCUCAAGUAAGCUUCUUGAAUUUCAUUUCAUUGAUUAAUAAUUAAUAAAAAAUUUGAAUAGUUUAGUAAUUAAAUUAAAAUUUUAUUAUUAUUUAAUGAUCAAAACAAAAACACGUGAAAAAUUUAAUGAUCAUUUAAAUGAUGUAUUCUUUAAAAAUUGUACGGACAAAAUUCAUUGAUUUGACAUAUAUAAAUAUACAUAUUAAUUAAAUAACUUUACCCUACAUAAUCAUCUACCUCCGAUGAAGCGACAAAUAACUCGUGCCUAAAUAUUUGAUAUCUUUCAUAUUCAUUUUACGAUACGAUGACAUUGGCUGCCCCUCACCAAUGUCUAUUAUCCCUCAAAAAAAAUAAUAUUUUGACCAAAAACAAGGUCAAAACUGUAAAUUUUCUCCAUUGGCAACUCGAGGCUUCAACAUAUGACACUUUUGGCUUUUCCAUAAACUCCCUUUCUUCACCAAAACCCAAAAGGAAGCAACUCGGAAAAUGGACCCAACUGCACCCUCCGCGUCGGUCGUCGGCGGCGGUGGCGGCGGCGGAGGAGGGCCGGCACCUUUCCUUAUGAAAACAUUCGACAUGGUGGACGACUCAUCGACCGACGACAUCGUUUCAUGGAGCUCUAACAAAAAGAGCUUUGUGGUUUGGAACCCUCCUGAUUUUGCUCGCCUUUUGCUUCCCACUUAUUUCAAGCACAAUAAUUUCUCCAGCUUCAUCAGGCAGCUUAAUACCUAUGUGGGUUUCUUUUCCUUUCUGGGUUUUUUGUUUAAUUAAUGUAUCUUUGAUAAUUAGGGGAAAUCAUGUUUCUUUUUUAGCUUUUAACUUCAAUUUUUGAUGACAGAUUUAUGGAGUGAUUUUGGUUUUAUGUUUUUGUUCCUUGAGAAUGGACAAUUUCUCCUUUUUUGUGUGUGUGUCCUUUUCUACUGAAUUAUGGGUAUGAAUCUUUGCUAAAGCCAGCACAUAAAUUUAAGGUCAAUCAAUGUCUUCUGCUGUGAUUCAUAAGGUAAAAUUCUAUGAGAAUUGGGGUGUUUUUUAAGUCAAUGAUUUUGACUUUGAAAUUUAUAAAUUUUCUUCGUAAUUGUUUCACAUUUUCAUGAUUUUUCUUUUGCAUUCCUCAACUAAAAUGGUCCUUAAUGAAGAGUAUCUAUUCUUCUUUAUCUUUGAUGCAGGGGCUGUUGAAAGAAGAAUUAAGAGUAUCUAUUCUUCUUUAUCUUUGAUGCAGGGGCUGUUGAAAGAAGAAUUAUACUUGUUUAUGGUUUGCUUAGGUUUAGAUGUAUGAAGAUGGAGUGUCUAAGCAUGAUCUGAUUGCAUAUGAAUUUAAUUUGUUGACAGGGGUUCCGGAAGAUUGAUCCCGAACGAUGGGAAUUUGCCAAUGAAGAUUUCGUGAAAGAUCAAAGGCAUCUUCUUAAGAAUAUUCAUCGAAGAAAACCUAUUCACAGCCAUAGUAAUCCACAGGGUUCUUUGAUAGAUCAUGAAAGAGCUGGAUACGAAGAAGAAAUCGAAAAGCUUUCACGUGAGAAAGCUGCACUUGAGGCUGAUGUUUUGAGGUCUGAACAAGAGCGGUCAGCUUUGAAGCAUCAGGUGGAAGAGCUGACACAACAAGCUGAUCAAAUGGAGCGUAGGCAAGACACUUUGUUUAACUUCUUAGAAAAGGCUUUACAAGACCCUGCUUUCGCCGAACAUCUUUUUCGUAGAAUUGAAUCUAUGGAUGAUGUUGUGGCAUAUAAUAAGAAAAGGAGACUGCCUCAAAUUGAUCAAACCAAGCCAGUUGGUGACCAUAGUCUUUUGGACAACAAAAGUAGUUCUACACCCGAGUUUGGAAAUGUUGUCCACCUCGAUUUCUCGAACAAGCUUAGACUAGAAUUGUCAUCAGCUGUUUCGGAGAUUAACUUGGUUUCUCAAAGCACGCAAAGUUCUAAUGAAGAUGGAGAAAGUCCACAGAGAAGGGUUUCUCAAGGAGAACCAAAAGAUGAUAAUAUCAGACCUCAGGGGCUUUUAUUCACACCCGAAACAUUAGACAUUUCAGAUACAGGCACAUCUUUUACAUUCAACAUGGAUUCAUCUUUCUCUCAAAGAGUAUCAAUGAAUGAAAGCCCGGCAGUGCAUUCACUGCAACAGAGAUUAAGUUCCAAUGAAGAACCUGAUAGUCAUAUUUCCUGUCAGUUAAAUCUAACUCUGGCAUCUUCUUCAUUGCAAGUCAAUAAAAGUCCCAGCUUAACUAGGAUGUCCCAACCAAGUUGGGAAAUCGGAAAAGUCUCCGAGUCAAGGUCUAAUGCCAACAGUAAAGACUCUGAUUCUGGACCUUUCCAUAAUAGCAGAAACAUGAUUGAUGGGGAAACAACAUUAUCGUCAUCGAAAGAAGGCCCUAACACAAAUCAAGAGCCUGCCGCUGCUCCGGUUAGAGUAAAUGAUGUAUUCUGGGAACAGUUCCUCACCGAGAGACCAGGUUCCUCUGACAAUGAAGAGGCCAGUUCCAAUUAUCGAGCAAAUCCAUACGAAGAGCAAGACGACAAAAGGUCAGGCCAUGGACUAGCAAGGAAUACCAAGAACAUCGAGCAGCUUAGUCUUUAGCAGCAAAGUUGCCUUGCCGCAAAUCCAUUGAUAAGUCUACAAAGGUCUCUCUUGUUCCUUCUGUUUCUUCGUGUUAUUUAUAGUUACUUCGUUUAUAGGAUACGAUUUUAUACAUAACUGCCCAAAAUUAGUUUGAAUAAAAUCAUGUUGAAAUUUGAAUUCCACUUGGUAGGUUCUUGCAUUGGGGAUAUAGCAUCCUUUUUUCACUGAUAAAAUAGAAAGUUAUGUAGCUUUACCGUCUAGGUUUCGAACUGUCAGUAACCAAGCAAUGAUGUUCAUCUUGCAAAAAUGACGUAAUCUGUGUAUUCUUUUUCCCGUAUCGAAACUGAAGUCUCCUCUUAGUGUUUUCAGUGCCCAUCUAACAAUUCAUCUCAUAAUAAUACAUUGUGGUAUUGUUGUUUUUUCUUACAUCAAUCCCGAGUUAUCACAUUUAACUUCGUGCGUUUCAACUGAUUGAUGGGUAGAUUAUUCAUUAGUUUGUGCAGUGAAUGUUAUGCAUGAUAUAAGACGUUCAUGUUUCUUAAGAAAGUAGGGUUCAUCUGAAAAAUCACUAUAAUAUUAAGACAGUGAUAAUGUGAUUAGUAAAAUAGAAAAUGGAGUACUACCUUUGCUUCCGUUUGUGUUGGAGUUUUGAGUGAAAGGGUGAUUCAUCAAUGGAGCUCAGUAGUGAGUUGAGUCGUAAGGAGCUUAGUGGCCCUUAAGUAUGGUCAUAGUUUUAAAGUCAUGUGAACGGGGAACAGACGUUGAGAGAGCUUUUCUCCCAUUUGAGGUCUGGCCCGGUUUAACUCUAGAUAAUUGAAGCCUAAUGUGCCUACUAGAUACCGAAAAAUCAUAGAGGAAAUAAAAUACCUAGAGUAAGAUAUUGUGAAAAAGUAUGCACUCGACAAGCGAAAUGAUCGCCAUGCUAAGCAUUUCACAAAGUAGGUAGAGUGCUUCAAUCUCGGGAAGAUUUUCGGGCAUAUAAGCUCGAGUGCUAUGCUUCCUGAUAAGCUGGUUUUGGAGGAAGGCGGUGAUGGUUGCAUGACACAGUGGUAUUAGAGCCAACUUUUAUGAAUAUAAAGUAACAAUUUCAUUAGCCAUUGGGUUAGUUACUCGGAGUGAUUGAGAGUUCAAUCCUUACAUUGGAUAUCGAAUAGUUUUAAAAUUUAUGGUCAACAUCUACUCUUUAAUGGUCCUAUAGAAUACGAAAGAUUUAUUACAGGACUCGUUUCGGUGGAUAUCUUGAGAACCAAAAAGAAAUUCAUUAAUCAUAGGGUGCAUUAAUUAAUUAAUUUUGAAAGGUUCAUUUGGUUUUAUUUAUUUAAUAUUGAGCCUUAUUUAAUAUCCCACAUUUGCUUUUUUUCUUUUUCAUCCAAAAACAGAGGGAAAAUGACAAAUCAAACCAAUUUACAUCAAUUAUUAUUUUUCUUCACGAGAUUAAUGAAGCCAAAGUUUUAUUCACGAGCAUAAAGACCAAAAAUGAAAAAAAAAAUCGUUAAUAUUAUGAGAAAAGGUCCUUGUCUUAUAGUAGAAAUAUUUAAGGUAAAUUAUAUCUAAAGUGAUUAAAUUAUUAGUAAGUUUACGUUUUGAUCAUGUAACUUUAAAAAAUUAUAAAAUAGUCACUGAACUAUUCGAAAGUUUUUAUUUAAGUCGUUGAACUAUUCAAAAAAUUAAUACAAGUCAAUGAGUUAAGUUUUUUUUUUUAAUCUAAAUAGUGAGCUCUAAGUGAUGAUUCAACAAUCAAUAUGGUGGAUCAAUAUCCAUCACUGAGCAGGAACAUACUUUAAAUCUAAGUCGAUACGAUGAUCAAUGUGGAGAUUGAAGAAAAAAACCUAUUUAGAUUUUGGUUCGCAAAUUCAUGAUAUUCAAAACUAUUUCAUGAAAAAAAAUCGAAUUGUAGAAGUGAGGGGGAAGGAGAGCUUCCGAUUGAUAUACGCAGUGCAAACAGAGAAGGCCAUACAAUAACGAUUUUAAUAGCUCAAUGAUAUAAAUAAUUUUUUUUACCAUUUUAUAACUUUUCAAAAUUAAUUGACAAAAACAAAAACUCACUAAUAAUUUAAUGACAUUGAGUGUAAUUUACCCAAAUAUCUAUAAGUUGGACUGAUCCAUUUUCUUUUACAAGCUAUGAGCUAUCCGACCAUGAACAAAUCUAUUUAACAACUCCACUAUUCUCAAAUAAGUCAUCGAAAUUUCACAAAUUGAUAAUGAAGUUUAGUAUUAAUAUUUGGAAUAUUAGUAUUAACAACGUGGUUCAAUCCCUGCCCAUGAGAAUGGACCAUAUUUCAUGGGCAGUCGUUUUUCUUUUCAAAAAACACCCACGAUAAAAAGAAUAAUCAUUACUACGAACAAUGGAUACCCUAAUUUUUAAAAAAAAAAUCAUUUUAGAACUAAUUAGUUAUUAAAUUGUUAUAUUAGAUAUAUUAGAUAUAUAUUUUUUCUUACAUUAAAUGCAUUACAUUUAUUAUACAUAUACUUUUGGCAUUGGAUUUUUAAUAAGCAUUAAAUUAUACCAACACCACUUCAAUAAUUUUCUUUGGAAAUCUAUGGAUUAUUUUUAGAUAAUUCUUUGAAAAUUGCAAAAUAGGUGUGACAUGUUCUACCCCAUAAUAAUAUAUAUAAUUAAAAUCAUAUUUAAAUGACAAUACAAUAAAAUAAAUCAUUAUUUCUUAAAUUUAAUAUAUUAAAUUAAUCAAAAAAUUUAAGUUAUAAAUAAAAAUAUUAUAUUUAUAGUUUUCUUAUUUCCUUUUUUUUUAAGUGAAAAAUAAUACUAUAAAUUCUUUUUACUGAAAAAAGCAAUUAAAUGCUACUUAUAAGCCAACUGCCUACUACUCCCACAAUUUAUAGUGUUGGCCUAAUUCGAUAGCGAAAUCAAUAAAAAGAUAUAAUGAUAAAUUUAGUAUCUAAUAUUUAUAUAUUUUAUUAUUUUAGUCCUAAUUUUAUUUUUUUAAACAUUUUCUUUAAUUUUUAAAAUUAAAUUAAAUUGACAUUUUUUUAAAUAAAAAUGACUCAACUAUUAAAUUUUAUUUUAUAAAAAAUUCAAAAUAAUGAAAGUUAUUAAGAAUUCAACAAAUUUAAAAAAUUAUAAAAAUAAACAAAAAAUGGACGUAACAUAUAGACUAUCACAUGGGUUGGUAUAUCAAUGACAUCAAAAUUUUAACAUUUUAGUAAGUUUUUAAAAAAAGUAAUUUAAUUAAUUUUUAAAAAUUAAGAGCUAAAAUGAUAAAAAAAUAAAAUAAAAUUAGGAUCGAAAUAACAAAAUGAGUAAAUAUUAAAUGCUAAAUUGACUAUUAUGCUCAAAUAAAAAAUUAAUAGAGGGUCAAAUAUAUUUUCUCAAAAGAAAUAAUAUAAUUUUUGGCUUCUGAAUUUGACAAUUAAGUUUCUUUUAGUAUCUAUAUUUUUUUGUUCAUUUUGGAUCUUGAACUUUAUAAGUAGGUCCAUUUUGAUCUCCGAACUUGAAAACAUAAGAGUUUAAUGAUCAUUACUUGAAAAUUAAAAAAAAUUAAUAAUUUUUCGAGUGAUGAUGUGGUACAAUCUCAUAGUGUUACAUUUUAUGUUUUAAUAACAAGAUGGGUGGUUGAAUAGGUUAGACCAUUAUUUUUAUUUCAACCAUCCAAAAGCUUUUAAAAAUAGAAAAUUAUUAAACAUGUUCAAUAGUCGAUUUUUGUUUCGGUUUUCAAUUUUUAUUAAUUUUAAAUAGUUUUCAAGUCAUUCAAUGCAACAUUUUUAUUCGGAUCGUUAUAUUAAUCCGUUUUCAAUUAUCGCUCUUGUUCUUUUGUUUUUUGGACCAAAAAAUUAUUUUAUUUUUUAAAUUAUUAAUUUAAUAAUAUUUUUUCACUAUUUUAUGAACAAUGGAUAUAAUGUAAUUUGUGAGACAAAUGUAUACCCUACUUUACUGUAUUUCCAAGCAAAGUGGGAUAAUUUGGGUGUGAACAUAAAUACAUGGGAACCUUGUUCUGUUUCAAUGUCUUGUCUUCAUCCAUCACUUCUCCAACUACCCUAUUAUUUCUUAUUUUCACUCCCCUCCAUGAAAGCCAUAGCUCCAAAAUAGCUUCAAUCCCUCCCCCCCAAAAAUGGCUAUUCUCAAACUGAUCUUCAUCACCCUCACUCUACCCCUUCUUUUCCUUCAUUCUUAUGUUGCUGUCUCAAUUUUAGAGCUCCAAAAUGCACUGAAAACCAGUGAAAUUGAUGCCACGGUGAGAAGGGCUUGUUCCAAAAAGCUUGAAGAUUGUUUGGAAAGUGAAGAUAUGGAAUCAGAGACCCAAAGGAGGUUGCUUUUGAUGCAAAGAAGGUACAUUAGUUAUGAAACAUUGAGGAGGGACAUGGUUCCUUGUCAAAAACCAGGUUCUUCUUAUUAUGAUUGUGGUGCUGCUCAAGCUAAUCCUUAUAGUAGAGGUUGUGAGAUUAUUACAAGAUGUGCUAGAGGUAUCAAAGGUACUAAAACCUGAAGAAGAAGAAGAAAAAAGAAGACCUAAAUUUGAUGUCUUUUUUUUAACUGUUAACAGCUUGUUUCUGCAAAUGCUAAUGUGUUUGAGCUGUUUUGUAUUGUAUAUUAGAGAACCUUUACCUUAAAUUUCCUAUAUAUAAAUCCAUGUUUAAUCUUUAGGAGCUCUGGGGCUUGCUUGUUAAAAUCUGGGUUUUUGAAGAUGCUCUAUGUUUGAAUCAGCUAGUUUAAUCUAAAGUGGAGAACAGUAGGAAAAGGUUAACUCACAAUUAAGACUGAACUGUCAUUUUCUAAUGUUCAAUCUAUCCAUGGCAUCAUCUUUUAGCUCUAUACCCUUUUCUGUAGAUGUUUCCAAAAGUAUCACAUGGCUUAGCCUACCAUUAUUUAUUUCUUGUCUUCAUACGUGUUAUGUUGGGCUUUUGAGAUUAGGUAUGGGUUUUUAACAGUAAAAAAUGGAUAGAAUAGUUUGUUCAAAUAAAGAUUAACUUGAAAAACCGAAAAACCAAAGUUCAAACACUGUUGUAGCCAUCCCUUUCCCCCAUUUGUAAUGUGUAUCAGUAUAUAUAUAUAUAUAUAUAUAUAUAUAUAUAUAUAUAAGCAAUGUGCAUGUAUAUACACAUUACAGAUUUCCACUACAAUGGUUGAAUGUGCAACGUGCCAACUUGUCUUAUUCUUUAUCCAACUUGUCCUCACCUUUCCCAUUGACUGAAAAUAUAAACUUAAAGUCAACCAAUCUAAAACUCUCAAAAUCCCCAUUUUUUUCUCUCAGUUUCUUUUCCAUCAGAUUAAGCUCUUUUCAUUUUCCAUACCUGAAGAUGGCAAACCCACGGCAAACCAUGGAUUCAUCGAAGCUUUCAUUGCUUUUAUCCAUGGUUUUUUAUGUUCACUCAGUGAUUCUCAUCUCUCAACAUUUCAGUCUCUCAUACUUUUCCACAUUGUCAGCAUCUUUCGCAUCAGUCCCUUGUUGUUUCUUCAUCAUCUGUAAUUGCCUACAAAUGGAGAAGUCAUUUAGCAAUCUAAUUUGGGACCAUUUCCUGUUCAUCUGUGCUCAUCUUUCAAGUAUUUGUGAGCUUAGCAACAACGACUUAACAAGAGGGUACUUGUUCUUCUUCAUGGGGGUCUUGCUUUUAUCUCUUUACACCAGUUACAUUUGGUAUCAACAUCAGUCUUCAAAUGGUGUUCAUCUUGUGAAUGUGAUGAUAGAGAUCUCAUUUUCGUUUAUCGGCAAUGGGAUCGCCUUGAUCGGAAGAUGGUUCGUUCCAUUAGACAACCUUUUAUGGUUGGUGAUUGGAACAUGUACAAUGUUUUCAAUUUGUGUUGUUUUGUUUUGUUAUUACCUGUUUUCUUCAGGCAAAUUCAAGAAGCCAUAGCCAUGUUUUUAUUGACUACUUUGAGUUGUUUAUAAUAAGAUAACAUGUUCUUUAAGAAUUUGCAUAUUGCAUUCAUUGUUCUUUAUAGCUGAAACUGGUUUCUUCAUAUGUUUUGAAUCCAAAUAUCUGAACUACAAUCACCACCUGGAUAUCUCAUCUCAUGAGCCAGGCAAGGUCCAUCAGGUUCUGCUCCAAAAUCGACAAAAAAAGUUCAGGUUUAUUUUAAGACUGCCUUUCUCAGUGUCGAUGUCAAUCUGCAACAUGUGGGAACCUUUCUCCACAAGUUCUGGAUAGAACUGUCGGUCCAUUGUGCUGAAUACCGAGUUCGUCACGUAUAGCCGCUUACCGUCUAAGCUUAAUUGGAUCAUCUGCGGUCCCCCUCUUAAUCGAUGUCCCUGUAAACAACAUAAUGAUGAUCAUAGCUUGCCAUCAAUAUGAUUAAUCCGACAAGUUAAUAUGAAUGUUAGUAUUUAGAAAAGACCUGGAUUUCCAGAACAUCGGAUUGCCAUGUUUUACCAUCUUCUGUCAUGGCCGCUAUAGGGCUUCCCUUAUGAAUCAAUCCUCCAACCCAUACUUGGCCAACCAAGACCGGAUUUCUGGGGUCCUCGAUGUUAUAUUGUCGGAUAUCUCCAUGCAGCCAGUUGGCAAAAUACAGAAACCGAUCAUGAGAGAGAUUAAGAUGUCAGUUAUAAAUCCAGGCAAUUCGGUAAGUAUCCAAUUUUGUACCUUCAAUGGUUUCACUGAGAUUGCCACCUGCAGAAGUUAAUCAAGUACAUAAUAAGGCUUGUCCAAAUUUAUGAGCAUUGGUAAUGAAAGAUUAUAAGAUCCUACCUGAUGGCUCCAUGAUCCGUCUUCAGUUUUGAAAAACCGAACAAUGUUACUCGUCAAGGCUCACCCGACGUACCCUGUACCUUUAGAUGGAUUAUGCAGGAAUCUUAUCUGCAAUGAAAAUGAAACAGAACUACGUAUUGCCUUCGACCAAAACCGAAUCUUAAAAAUGAAGUUGUAACAUGCAAUCUAUCACCUCUAAAGGCAUGAGACCGGUACCACCGAGAUCCAACGUUUGUUUAAGUUCACCAUCAGGCCAGCUAUACACAUGCAGAUAUCUCCCAUACAGACCCUCUGCAACAUGCUGAAGAUGGAAACCUUGGGUGAAGGCAGUCGGAGCACCAAAUGAUGAGCUGAUCAUUGUUUUAUGUCGAGGUUGGUACCAAAAAUCGUAGCCGAACAUAGGACUAUGCCCCGGUUUCUCCCACCUAAAGAACAAGAAGUGACGGUUAUUCCCCAUCAUUUUACCCUCUAAACAUUCAUUCGGUUUUCGGCUUUACCUCCCUUUGAUGUUGAAUUCGGAAUCAAGGAGAAGAAAUCUGCUUCCUUCGGCAUUUCCAUCUUUAUCUCCGAGACACGAAAUCAUUAUAUCCCCGGAGGCAAGACAGUGAGACGUGUGCAGAUAUGCUAGGCCGAUUUUCUUAAUGAUAUCCACCGGCUGCAACACUCUAUACAAAGAGGGAGCCUUGGGAUUCUUUUGUGUGUCAAUCACAUAGACACGACUAGACCUAAAUCAUGCAGAACAUUAACUGUAUAAUGCAACUUUGGUACCUUAACAUAUUGUAUAUGUAGAACAGUUAAAAUAUGUUUAUAUUGUAAAAUAUCGUCUCUAUCAUUAUACUAUGAUCUUCCAAAUAUAUAAAAAAUACAAUUUUGGCAUGUAUGUAUGUAUAGUCCCUUACAGAAACGAAGGCAGGAUCAGAUAUUUCAGUAAUUUAACGAUAUUUAAGUAAUUUUAUUUUAUGUAAUUCAUACAUAAUUUUGGUAAUUUUUUAAUCUAAACUUGGACCUUUGAUUCAGGGUUCGAAUUUUGGAUUCCGAGUAAAAAAAUUACCAAAAUUAUGUAUCAAUGCAUCAAAAAAAUUACUGAAAUAUCACUAAAUGAUUAGGAAGGAAUUUAGGAUGACGUAGCCACUCUGUUUCUUGCAAUCCUUUCUGUUAGGGAAUAUCUCAUCUUUAUACUUUAAAUUUUUUUUUUUAAAUUUGUCUAUAAAUAAAUAAAAUGAUUAUUUUUGUAAUAAUUAAAAAUCUAUUAAUUUUAAGAGGUAGGCUUAACUAAAGUAUAUAAUAUUAAUUUAAAAUAUGAUGUAUUUUUUGUAAUGUGCAUGACAUGUUUAUCUUAUACAUUAUAAUAUGAUUUACACCAUUAUAUUUAGUUGGUGAUCAUACAUAAUAAAAUGUGUAUAAAAUAUAUAUAAUCCUCCAAAAACCAAUUAAAAUACAUAAAAAUCUUAAUAAAAAUUCAACCAAAUCCACCAAACAUAAUUAAAUAUUAUUAAUAAAUAUUUAAUAAACAAGUGAAAUCAAAUUACUUCUAUCAGAUGCAAUAAAACUGCAUCAAUGGCAACUAUUAUGAUUUUAUCCCAAUACCUUAUUCAAAACUUUCCCAAUGAAAGACAAUUACCCCCAAAACUUUCCCAUCACCCAAACAAAAACUCCUACAUUAAUCAAAAACCUAACAAUCUAACAAUAAUUCAUAUGAUAAAAUGCAAUAAUAAUAAAAACGAUGGAACCGUCGGAAUGUGCCGUUUUCGUUAUUGAAUUCUGCCUCAAAUUCUCUCCUCAGUACCUGUAAUGAGGAGGCUUAUAAGGACCCUCAAUUGGGACACUAAUGUAGUCAGCUUGGUCCUUGGUAAGCUUAGUGAGCUUAGCCCCAAGUUUCACAAGGUGAAGAGCAGCGACUUUCUCAUCGAGAUGCUUCGGCAAAACGUAAACCUUCUUCUCGUAUUUUCCGGUUGAUUUCUCCGUCCAUAGCUCGAGCUGUGCAAUCACUUGGUUCGUGAACGAACAAGACAUCACGAAGCUAGGAUGACCGGUAGCACAUCCUAAGUUCAUGAGACGUCCUUCGGCUAACACGAUGAUACCUGUCUUGGUAUCGGGGAAUACCCACCUAUCGGUUUGAGGCUUGAUGGUGAUUCGUUUGACACCUGGAUAAUUCUCGAGGCCUAACAUGUCGAUCUCGUUAUCGAAAUGACCGAUGUUGCAAACGAUGGCGUUGUUUUUCAUCUUCUUCAUGUGAUCAACCAUGAUGAUGUCCUUGUUACCUGUUGUGGUGACAAAGAUAUCAGCUGUUGAAAGAACAUCUUCAAGAGUUAGGACUUGGAGUCCUUCCAUAAGAGCUUGAAGGGCACAGAUUGGAUCAAUCUCGGUCACGAUGACACGAGCUCCGGCUUGUUUCAAGGCUGAGGCACAACCCUUGCCGACAUCACCGUAACCACAGACAACGGCGACUUUGCCGGCAAUCAUAACAUCGGUGGCUCUCAUUAAACCAUCAGGAAGAGAGUGGCGGCAACCAUACAAGUUAUCAAACUGUUCCAUAUAAUCAAAUCAUAACUAUACAAUUGGAUCAUUAUACAUAAAUGACAAUUAAAAUCAUAAUUCCAUUAAUUAACCAAGAGUGAGUGAGCAUAUAGGAGCCGAAGUAUCUUAGAAACUUAGGGUCCAAUUCAAAAUCCGGUUGAUAGUUUAGGGGGCUUAGCUGGAAUUAACCCAAAACAAAAAUACUUCUAACGGUGAAGAAAACAUCAAGCAAAUAGCAGACUCGAUCACUCAAAGCAAUUUGAAAUGGUUUUCAAUAUAUCUGUGCAUCAUAAAAUAAAACCAGAUCCACUAUGAAGAAAAUAAAUUGGGAAAUUAAAUCAGAAAUAAAAGAAAUAUAUACCUUGCUCUUGGUGACAGAGUCAUUGACAUUAAUAGCAGGGAACAACAAGGUUCCAUUAGCCUGCAUUUGAUAAAGCCUUUUAACCCCAGUCGUGGUUUCUUCAGAAACACCAACCAAUCUCUCCUUCAUCUUCGUAUAUUUCUUCGGAUUUGCUGUCAACCCAUCUUUAAUUAUCGUCAAUACGAUCUGAAACUCAGCGUUAUCGCUCGACGUCGGGUCCGGUACCUUCCCGGUUUUCUCAUAAGCUUCCUCAGCUUUAACCCCUUCAUGGAUCAACAUCGUAACAUCCCCACCAUCAUCAACAAUCAAAUCAGGUCCACCACCGGCACCCCAAUCGAGGGAUUUCUCGGUACACCACCAGUAUUCUUGGAGUGUUUCGCCUUUCCAAGCGAAUACAGAAGCGGAGUCACGAGCGAUGACGGCGGCGGCGUGGUCUUGGGUUGAGAAAAUGUUGCAAGAACACCAACGGACUUCGGCUCCUAAUGCGGUUAAGGUUUCGAUGAGGACGGCGGUUUGGAUUGUCAUGUGAAGUGAACCGGUGAUUCUGGCUCCUUUGAAAGGUUGAGAAGGGCCGAAUUCAGUUCUACAUGCCAUUAGACCAGGCAUUUCGACCUCGGCUAAAUCGAUCUCGAGACGGCCAAAAUCGGCUUGAGACAUGUCUUUCACCUUGUAUUCACGGCCGCCGGAGGUUUUAUCCACUGAAAGAGCCAUUGGUGGAAGUAAAAAGUGAGAACAAAGCACACAAAAUCACCCCUGGUAAAGAAACGAUCAACGUAGCAAUGAUAGAAAAAGAAAGGCAGAGUGGUAAAUGGCAAUGGGAUGUGCUUAUAACCAAUGCAUGCAAAUAAAUAGGUUGAAGAAGAUAUAUUAUAGGGUUAAUUUCAUAAAUGUCCCUAAACUAUUUCUCAAAUUUUAAAUUGAUCCUCAAACUUCAAAACAUUUUAAUUGAAUCCUCAAAGUAUUUGUAUUGUAUCGAUUAGACCUAUAUCUUUUUUUUAACACCUCAGUCUUAAGUUAUUCAUAACAUAAAAUACGUACAUGUGUCUUAAGCUAAUGGUAAGAGAAAAACCCAAUUAAUACGAUAUUAAUACUUUGAAGAUUGAGAUCAUUUUAAAAUUUGAAUCAUUAUUUAGGGACAUACGGUGAAAUUAACCCUAUUUUAUAAUUAUAUAAUAAAUUAUAUAAGGUUAACUAUAAAUUCGCGUUGACAAUUUCCUAUUUUAUUUAUAUAAUAGCUGUGUAACAUAUUUUUACGUUUAACUCAUUAUUUUGUUUUUAUUUUUUUUAAUAUAAUGUAAUUUGAGUAAAUGAAAUGGUGAUGCGAAAGGCACGCAACAGGAAGCGGAAUUAGUCUAAUUAUAUAUUUUUAUCAUUUAAGUUAUAAAAUUAUAUUUUUAUUAUUAUUUAAUUAUAAAAAUUUAUAAAAUAUUUAUUUGAUUAUUAGAAUUUUUGUCACCCAAUCAUGAAAAUUUAUAAAAUGGUCACCAAGUAAAUAUGAAAACAUAAAAAUUUUUAAGAUAAUUGGGUGAUAAAAAAAAACAAAAUUAAAUAAUUAAAUGACCAUUUUAUAACUUUUCAUAAUUGAAUAACCAAGAAAAAUAUAUAUAAUCGAGUGAUUACUAAAGAAAUUUACCCCUAAAGAAAUGUGUAAUUCUGGGUUAAAAAACUUAUCUAAAUAGUUAGUCAAAUUACUAUGUUGAUAAUUUUUGUGGUACAAUCUAUAUUUUUUUUAUUGAAUUACAAAAAAAAAAAAGAGAAAAAUCUUAACAGCAAUACAACUAAUAAAACUCGUAUCUAAGCCACAUCUAAUACGAAAAACACCCUAACCAUUAGACCAACACAUGAAUAUAUGUAAUAACAUGUAUUAUUUGUAAUUUAUAUUAUACUUAUAAAUCCUUCAAAAGAAUAAAUAAUUUGCUUUAUUUUAAUUUAACUAUAAAAGUAUUUUCAAUAUUUUUGGAAUUAUAAAUUCGGUUAGAUUCGGGCUUCAGUAAAACCUUGGAGAAGAAAUCGGCCUACGGCCCGACCAAUCUGAAGAACAUUUCACAUUCACAAUUUUGUGAAAGCUUUCUAUAUUUUUCACUGAUUUCUACAUUAUGCUCCACUGCUACUAAGUUCAAAAAGCAUGCACUGUGCCUAAACAGAAUCCUACAGUGGUUUUUUUUUUCUUUUUGCAUUUCCAUGGCAAGAAUUUGAAAUACAGAACCUGAAUGACAGGGAAAAUGGAUAAUGUAUUUAGUUGCUACAUUUAUAAACUCUACAUAUAACAAACAAACCCCUCACUUUGAUUUCAGGAGCAGCAUCGGGUUGCAUGUACAGAUUCAAUCUCGAUGAAACGGUGCUUGGGGGAUGAAGUAUCGAGGACAACCCGUUGAAAGAAUCAAUCAAAUAUCUCCUGGGCUUCAAUUAUACUAUGCUGACUGAGAAAAUGAGGCAGAAAAGAUGGUUUGAAUCAGAAAGAUUGGAUAUUACAGAAAAAGGUAAGAAACUUAGAAGAAUAAACAACAAAGCCUUACUGGUCGUCUUUUGCAACGCGAUAAUAUUUCUCUGCGUGUUGCCGUUGACCGAUCAAUUGAGCAAAACGUUCGUCAUGAGUGAUUACUAUCAGCUGAAAAUUCUCCUGGCCUUUUCUGUCCUCCAUGAUUCUGGACCAAAGAGGAAAUGGAAUAAUUGGUAAUUGGUAUAUGAUAAGGCACUGCCUCAGUGAAAUAAAUACGAGAAGGAAAGACAAAAGUGAACAUACCUAUGGAGAGCUGCAGCUAGACUCUCUGCGUUUGGGCCGUCCAAAUUUGUGGUUGGUUCAUCUAAUGCUAAGAUUCCACAGUUGAGGCAAAAUGUCUCGGCUAAAGCCAACCGUAUGAUUAGAGAAGCAAGGACCUGAAACAAGCAGUAAAUUCCAUGAUGUUUCAGUCGCUCAAUGAUGCAAAUAAAGUAACUAAUACAUUACAACUUAUUUUUCCACACAACGACUGAUGAUCACUCACCUUUUGACCCGCACUACAUCGUCCUCUCAUUUCGAGCUCAGCAUCACCGGUUUGCAUAAGAACCUGUUUGGAGGGGGCAAAAGGUAUGACAUAACAAAAUUUUGGAAAAAUAAAAAUAAAUAAAUGAAAGGCCUUACCUUGUAGCUGUAAGAACGAGUUCCAGCACCCUCAGAAUCCGAAUGAAUGCUAAUAUAAUCUAUAUCUUGUCCUCUGUAUGUUUGCUGCCACAAUUCUCUUAUAAUUUUGUUUAUUUCCUCCAUUUUCAUAGAAUGGAAGCGCAUAAGUGCUCUGCAAACAAGGAAGUGGUGUCCAAAAAGAAAACAUGGUUAUUAAAAAGCAAGAACAGAUUUUUGUAUUUACACUUAACAGAUGAUUCACAGUUCUUUAGCCUGGUAGCAAUUAAAGAACUAUUCUUGAACAUUUUUGGAAAGAAUUCACAAUCUAAAUUUCUAGUUGCGCAUGUAAUUAGAAAGACAAAUCGAAAAUUGAGCAAAUCGCAUACUUGUCAAGUGCAUUGUAGUAUCUGUCAAGAUCCUUGUUUGCCAUCUCAGUUGUCUGUCAUACAGCAUGCAAGUUCAUAACAUAUAAACCCAGUAACAAAGGUUAAAUCAGCAUUAUAAUUAAAAUAAUUGUCACCUUGAGCUGGAUUAGCUGAUCAAAGUACCGCUUGUCAAUGUCCUUGUAUUGUGCUUGUUUAAGUUCAGCUUUGUUCUUUGAAAUAUUACUCUGGUAAACGGACAUUGUUCCUCGGCAUCUGUUGAGCUGUAGAAAAAUAGAUGCAUCUUACAACUCUGAGACAGAUACAUUAAACACUUUUUUUAAAAAAACCUUUAAUAAUAGGGAUGGUGAAGUGAACUCAAUGAGUGAAUGGCAAUAACGCACAAUGAAAGAGACAACAAUAAAUCCACUACCCCUUUUUCACACAUUGAAUGAAAAUGAUGGUAAAGAACUGUAGGUCCACAUCAAUUCAACAGGGCAAAAUCAAUGGCAUGCUAGCCAAAGAUGUUACCUGUGAAUGGACAUAAUGAAGAAGGUCAACAUACGAAGAUGCCAGUGAGAACCACACAUACCUCGGAAAGAAGUCUCUCCCUUUCUUCCGAAAUUUUUCGUAUUUCACCUUCACAUUUGGAAAUACCACCAAUCUCCAUUAUUCUCUCUUGCAGUGACUCAAUUUCACGAGAGAGCACAUCUACUUCAGCUUUUGUUUUCCUGUAAUUUAAGUUAUCCUCAAUGUUACGUCUUAAUUGAUCUUGAUUACGCAUCAAGUCUUUACUUUUGUUUAGCUCAGCCAAUAUUUCCUGUUUCCUAGCAUCAAAGUUGAGAAGUUGAGAUUCCAUCACAGACUGCUGUUCUCGCAGUUCCUUUAGUUUCUCCCCUUUCUUUAAGUCAUAAUACCUGGAAGGAAAAAAAAGACUUCCAUUAAAGUUCAAUGGCACAUAAGAGCAAGCUCAAAUUUCAUGGCUCAGAAAUAUACGCUUUAAUCUUGCUGUUAACUUCAUAUAGUACUUCAGCUUCACGUUGAUACGAGCUUCUAAGUUUUUGCUGCUGCUCAUAUUCCUCUGCAAGUUUUACUUUCAAGCAAUCAUAGUCUUCCAAUAAAGAUUCCUUCUCCUUGAAUAAGGACCUUAGAGACUCUGCUAAAUGCUGAAAGUUCCAAGAACAAUGCAUUAGAAAAAAGCAAUUAAAAAGGAACAAAGUUUGAAUGUAAAUCACAUUAGAAACCAAAAUGUAAAGGGUUUAUAAAUAGGACCAAUUAUCACAUUAAAAAGCAUCAUGCCUAAUAAUUUCAGAGACAAAGCUUGAAUCAACUCUAUUUCAUCCUCAGCUGACCUACCUUGAUUGAAGCAAUGAAGAUUAGCCAGUAGGAUGUUAAGGAGAAAGCUUGCAAAUUUUCCUAAAAGGUAUCACCAAUUCUUCUAUCCAUGGUAAACAUUGACAUUUUUUUGGUAAAAUUUGACUUUCAAGUAAUCAAAGACAACGCGAGCUCCCUAUUGAAACCAAAUCUCUCUAUAGCCUAAAGAACUACAGAAGUAAAGCUUAGACAGCUUUAUGAAUACUAUCCUACAUUAGCAUAGCAUCAGUCAAGGUAUAUUUCAACUUGAUUGAAGAGACCGACACAUAACAGUAGAAUCAGAGAGAAAACUUGUUAAUAUCUUAUGAGAUAAAGCAUACAAGUUAAACUUAUGAGAUUAUCAACCUUCUCCUCAAGAUCAAGUUGACGUUUCUCCUCUGACAAGUGCUCCAACUCUUCUUCCGCCUUUUUAAAAUCACGCAAUGUGUUAGCCACCUCAACUUUUUUCUCCCUUAUAUCGUGCCAGCGUGUCUUAACGCUUUGCAAAUCCUUUUCCAUGUACCUCUGUUCUGUCCUUAAGUCAUCCACUUCCUUAAGUAAAACGUCCCUGGUUAUAAGGAGAAGGAAAGUUGCUAAAUACCAAUAACAAGUCAAUAUUGUCUCUACAAAAUUUUAAAGCUUAAAACAGAUGGAUAACAAGCUUCUCAACAACCUAUAUUUGGGUUAGGAAAAACAAUGGUUGCUACCUUUUGCUUUGCAAAUCGUUUAGCUCCGAUUGAAUAUCUUCCACAGUUCUAGCACCACCUUGCCCUCUAAUGUCAAACUUAUAUUCCAAACCUUCAACUUUUGCUUGCAAACCCUGAAUUUCUUGAAAGAUCCUGUCAGCAGUUUCAACAGGUCCCACCAAGAUCUCAAUAGAAUCCUUAUCCAUCUUUAUUUGGGCUAAAACACCUAACACCUAUAAGAAUAACAACAAUAGUAAAAUAAUAAUGCAUUGCUCAAACUAAACAAUCAUCAUGAAAGGUUCUUUGUUAUUUUUAAAAUUAUACCAUAAAAUUUAAAAUUAUCAGUAAUUAUUUUUAAAUGCAGAGCCAAGAAAAGUAAAUUCAAUAAUUGCUUCUUUGGCAGUUGGCAUAUACAAAUUCUGCACACAUACAGAAAUUCAGGGAACAUAGAAAAGAAAAGAAAAAAAAAAACAAGGUGAAGAAGAAAGAAGAAUAUUCUUUUAGAUUGAAAGGUGUCAUCAUAUUUCACAGCCAAUUAUAACGACUUUCAGAGUUUUCACUUACAUCAUCUCAUUACUUCUUGUUCAAUAACAAAGUGAAAUAGCAACUUCUAAUGAUGAUAAGGACUAACAAACAAUGAAGAAUGGUCUUCCUAUAAAGUGGCAAAUUAUUUUAAUUACAAAAUUAGAUUAUCUGAUCCUAAAAGAUCCAUUUAACACCAAGUUAUUUUUCAUGAACCAGAAAUAUAGUAUACUGAGGAAAAUGUUUUCAGUAAACCUAUUUUCAGCACUAUACGACUGACCUCAGAAAGACUUGGAAUUAAACCUUGUUGCACUAGUAGGACCAGUAACAAUAAAUCAUAGAAUUAUAUAUAAUGAAACAGAUACGUACAUCAUCAUGGGCUUGAGACUUUUGAUCCAGCUCUUCAUUUAGUUCAAGCAAUUUUUUCUCAGCAAGAGGAAUUGCCUCCUUUACAGUUUUAAUAUAUUCCUCAUAAACCAUUCGAAGCUUGUCCAACUGCUGAAAGUAAGACUCAGCAUUUGAUGAUUCCACUGCCAACACCUUCAUAUGUUCAGCCGAACUUGCAGCUUUAACUCUUUGCUGUAGUUUUUUCAAGAAAAUACAACAGAAUUUAGAACUUUAUGCUAACUGAACCAAUAGACACCCUAUUAAGAUUUAAAUAUCAGCAAAUACCCCUGAAAGUUCACAGAAAAAAAUAAUAAGUGGUCAAAGAGCGGUAAGGCUCUGGAAGUCCCAAGUACAGAUCCCCCAACCCCCAAUGUAGACAAGUUUAUCAGUAAACAUCUAAGAAAGAGAAGAUCAAUGAUGAGCUCAAGAGAACUUAUAUAUCAUAAUUCACAACCUUCUUAACAAAUUCAUCUUCUUCUUCAGCAGAAAAAGGACGCUCACAGCAGGGGCAAAUAUGAUGAGCACGGGCAACUCUUUCAAAUGGAUCAAACAUUUGCCUCAUACCAUCUGCAAUGUUGUAUUUGCUGCAAGAAAUGAUCCAGUUAUAUUACUAGCAUGACCAAGAAAAUGAAAGAAAAUGAAUAUAUUCAUACAUAACCGAACAUUGCCUCUAAAAAGUUAGGAGCAAGAACCUUUUAUGAACAUCUUUUUUCUCCUUUGCAGUCUCCAGGACUUGGGGAUAGGAAUCAAUGGUAAAAGAUUGUUUCUCUAAAGAAUUUAGUCUGGCUUCAAGAAAUUUCUUCCUAGCUGAAUUUAGAUGACAAAAGAAAACACAAGAAAAUAAUACGAGUAAACAACCUUGAAAUAUCGCAUUGAUAGCUUGGUUACAUUCAUCUCAUGCUCUUUUGAAGCCAAAGGCUAUGAUCAUGGACUCUUUAUCAGUAGUAAGGUCCUCCCGGUUUAGGGAGGAUGACAUCACAGGUUCAAUAUUUAUUGAGUUAAUUCAAGUUUUGGUACAUUUUCAAUUUCUAAUUUUCCAGGAAUGGACCUCAGUCAUUUCCCUAGGGCUUAUUUUGUGUUCAGUGAAUUCAUCCACUUGAAAAAUGUAUAGGUUAUAAAACUUUGGUGACGCUCCUAAACAAAAAAAAAAUUUAAGAAUCUAAGUCCACGUAUGACGAGUUUGAUUUCACUAGAUAUUACCCCAAGGAUCUUAUUACUAUUUUGCAUUAAUGCAAAAUCUGUGAUUUAAGUAUUUCCUCAUUCUUGUCUCUCAAUGCAUGGCAUGUUGUUGAUACAGUAAGAGUGAUACUCAUAAACUUGCUAAAUCACAUUUAGCAGCUAGCUUUUUCCUUCAAUUCCAGCUAUGAUUUAAGAUAAAAUCACAAUCCAUUUAAACCCUAAAUUAACUCCUAGAUUUAACAUGAAUGUUAAAUCUCCAGUGUAGUAAACCUACACAUCAGAAUCUUCCACACUAUAUAAAAAAAAUCACAACAAGAACAUAGGUAUCAUUAAACACUAUGAAGAAAAAAGGCAUGAAGGCUACUUACAGUCCAUUUCUUUCUUAUGUUUGGAUAAGUUACUAUUAAUUUCAUCUAUUUUCAUCUGCAAAAUGUUUACUUCCUUCUCAGCUUCACUGGAUUUUGUGCUCAAUUCAUCAUACUCCUUUUGAACAGCGCUGCAGAGGGAAUGGCUCAAUUUUGAGACAAAAUCACAGACAAGUAUAUAAAAGCAGGAAAAAGGAAUAUUAUAGUUGCAAGCACCUAAAUAUACAAUUCCAAAGAAUAACUCAUAUAAUCAUCACUCUUGGUCAUCAUGAAUACCAACCCUCCAACCCCCCGCCCCCCCUUUUCCCCUAAAAAGGAAAAAAUAUUCCUUCAUAAUAGCAUGUUAAAAAAUGAACCAAGUAUUUUGGUUUAACUAACCUUAAAGUUCGGGUAACUUCCCUUUUCAAAUCUUUGUCAGGAGGAACCCUCCCUUUUAGCACCACUCUAAUCCUGUCCUUGUACUCUUCAAUUCUGGAAAACAAUAAUAAAGCCAUUAGCUUCAACAAUAAAAAAGUAAUAGACCCAAAACAAAUUAUAUUGAGGCUGAUUAAAGUUGAAAGAUAAAGUAGAUUUACAUCUUUUUGUGCUGUUUCUUCUUAUUCUCCAAUUCUCUCGUACUUAUAGAUAGCUCCAUUCUUUCUGUGGCCUCACCAGCGGCUAAAUCUCUUUCAUGACUAAGGACCUUAAUCUUUUGAUCUAUGGCAAACACCUCAAGUUGCUUCUGUUCUACGAUUUUAUCAUGGUUUCGUUCAUCAAGUUGUCUACUCUUUCUAUCAAUCUCAACUUGCUGCGAUCAGCAAAAGAAAGAUUAUUAUUUUCCAUUUUUCUAAUCAAGAUUUACUAGGAAGAGGUUUUUGAAUCCCAAGCAAAGCUGAAUUUGAAAGGCUAUACUCACCAAAUUCUUUUCCCUGUCAUCAAGGCUAGAAAGAUUGACAUCCGAAAUUUGAAUUUCAAGAAAAUCACGAUUACUUUUCGUCUCUUCUAAACGUUUCAAAAUAGAACCCUGAAUUGUAUCACAUGUAAAUGCCCAUAAAAUAUGAGAAUAAAGGUAGUUGGAGAGUAAGUUACAUAAGUUUUCUAAAAGACAGACCUUGAUUUCUAAUUUUGCCUUCUUCUGAGCCUCAGCAAUGUUGCAACGCUCACUUGCACCCAUGUAGCAAUCCCAUGCAGUCUUCAGCUUCUUGUCAUUUGAUUGCUGAAAUUAUGAGAAGUGAUAUUCAGGAUAGGAACAACAGAUAUCAAACCAUAUUAAUACUGGUGAAAGGAUAAUCUAAAUUUCUAAAAUGCAUCAAUGACAAUAAAUAAUGUGUUGUCCACCAUACAAAACUUAACCCCUUUAAUAGAGAAACAAUAACAACUGCACACAAAACCACCUUUUUCUCAUCCAAAUCUCUUUCAAGCUCCAUUAACCUCACUUCUAUUUGCCUAGUGAGGUUCAAAGCAACUUCAUCACUAAAUGGGCUAUUUGGAGUAGAUCCUAAAUUGAGCCGUGCAAAUAGUUGUUCGAUGGCUGUAUCUCUGUCUUUUUUCGACAGCACGAGAGUCUGCAAAAGUGUAAAAGAGUUAACCAUAAUAAAAAUCACACAAUAGAUGGCAAUGAUUUAAUUUUAAAAAUCUCCUGUCUUUUUGUAACACCUCAGCAUCCCUUUGAAGCUUGCCAAUCUCCCCAAUAUACGUCUCUAAUUUCCUCCGAUAAGCAGAGCUCUCCUCAUUCAAAUCCUGCUGGUUACUCUCCAUUUUCUGAAUUUUAUUAUCCAAUAACAUAAUCCUCUCGUCAAACUUGGUUUUCCAUUCCAUCAACUCUUCAUCAGUAUCUAACAGUACGGUACAAGAAAAUAUACAUAAAAAAUUAGUUAUUCCAUAAAUGCAGGAUUUACAUAGCUCCCACAGAAAGAAAAAAAAAUUAAGAAAGAAUCCUGCUUCUGCUGUUGAAUUGACAAACCUUCAUUUUCCUCAGCAAGAGCAGCAUAUUGUCUCUGCUGUUCCUUGAACAAAGUGCUCCUUUCAGCAGUCUUUGUAGAUUUCUGGUCCUCUAGCUUUCGUAGAUCCUUCAGGGUUAAUUCAGCAUUAUGAAUCUUAGCAUCCAGGUCCUCAAUGUUUUUCUCCAAGACUUGUAUUUGGCUUUUCAAGGAUUCUGUUUUUUCUUGAUCCUGAGCAAUGCUUUCUCGAUGCUGUAUGAAGACCAUAUCAAGAAAAUCCCUUUUAAAAAUAAACCUAAACCCUACUGUUAAUCUUACGGAUUAGCUUCCUGUAAAAAUACCAGCUAUUAGAUUAGCUCCAAUGUUUCCAAUAACUACAUUUCCCCUCAACUUUGCUAGCCUUCACUCACUUCCACAUAUAGUCCUUUUCUUCACAUUCAAGACAUACAUUCAAUAAUUGUUCAAAAAAAAAAAAGGACAUACAUUCAAGAAGGGCAAUCUAGGUUUAGAGACACAAGUGUAAUAUCAAUGUACGUCUUUGCAGUCCCACCAGGACAGAACUUAAGAUUCCCCACAGUUAAAACACACAGAGAGAGAGAGCUGGAAUGCUAAAACAAUGGGCAAACAUGCAUGAAGAUGCAGACUGAUAAAUAUCAUGAAUCAAUGAAUGCCACCCAUAAAGCCCUAAACAAACAUGAAAAACAGAAAACCUUUUCUGUAAACUAAAGCUUAACAUGCACGGAGAUCGUCUUCAAUCAGUUUCCUUCUUUAUUUCUCCUGAUAACAGAAUUUCCUGCAGAUUAUAUAACUUAAGGACAAAGAUCCUUUGUGUUUUCCCUAAAAUAAAAUCAAACCCUUUAAGCCCUUACACUUUUUCUUAACAAAAUUGACCAGCAUCAUUAGGCACCUCUAAAACACAAUCACUUGUUGAAUGACAGCACAGUAUGAGUCUGUUAUGUGGCUUAUGCCAUGAUGUAGACCACAGGAGCUUUAUGAUCCGAUUUACAAUGAGAGAGGAACAACAGUAACUCAGCAGAAAUUAUAAACAAAUAUUAAAUUGGACGAAUAAGAAACAAGAUUUAAAUAAAUGAAAAAGAAAAGAUACAAAAGAAUAACAUAUCCACCUUAUAUGCAGCAUCUUUCAAGGUCUGUAAGUGCUCCAGUUUUAGCUUAUAAGCCUUUAUCUCUUGAGCCUGAUCCUUGUGAAGCUUUUUUAUAACCUCCAAGGCUCUUGUAUAUCUGUUUACAGGCAGCCAUUAGCAAAAGAAUAUCCUAAAACGGUCACAAUAAGAAAACUAAACUUUUAUUGUGGAAAAAUCAGCAAAUUAACUACCACAGUUAAGAACUGUACAUGUGUUUUAGGAAAGACAUGCAAAAUGUAAACCAAAACCAUGCAAGGAAAUCCAUCAUGCUUUACUAAAAGUAAAGAAGUUGUAACAGACAUUAAACAAUAUCCAGAUUUGCAAUUUCAGAUAUAUAAACAUUUUAUCCUGUAACACAAAAGAAAUAUGAAAAUUAUGAUUCAAUCCUAAAGAGAUUGGGCAUUUUCCUUAGAAUAUUAGAUGAAAAUUCUCAACUUGCAACCAAAACCUCAAGGAGAAAAGCACCAUGUUAGUAGGCAGUCUUGCUUCAGAAAAGUUCUCUCGGCCUUUCGUAGGUAACCUUUCUAAGAACCAUUUAGGAGCUUGAAUGUAUCAUAAAAUGAGCCGAAAUCCAUAUGAUUCAAGUCUAAUCUUUCUCUGGUACGGUGAUUACUAUUAAAACAAGAAGGCUUUUGAAAUAAGUAUAUAAGCAAUUUACAGACCUUGUACAGAAAGUAAAUUACUUCAUAGGGGCCACAAAUAUAUAAAGAGAGUUCAAGAGAUGAUGGAAAAAAAAUAUUGGAUUCUUGGCAUAUAACUUGGAGAAAAAAAUUGUGAAUACAAGGGCAUUUGAAAGGAAGGGUGUUUUGUAAACUAGACCUGAUAAAAAAUCCACAAACAUGAUAACAUGAAUAGUUUCACAGAUAACAGAUACCAGGUAGUACUCGGUGGAUUUCAAUAUUGUCAGGCAAAGCUUUUUUCAGGGGAAAAAACAGCAUACCUCGUAGCUGAGAAGAUAUCAUCGAAUUUCUUUUUCAAAGUCGAAGGAUCUUGUAAAGGCCAAUUGGCCUCAUCUUGGUGCACAAAAAUCACAUUCUCCAGAAUAGCUUUCGAGACACCCAUCAAAGCUGGGAUUUCUCUGUCCAUGUCAGCACAUCUAUAGCUGAGGCAAACUUUCUGCAGUUCAUAACCAAACCAGAAAAAUUAGAAGUACAACCAGUGGAUUAAAACAACAAAAUAAAACCACACUACAAACAAGUAGGAACAGUCAAAGAAACAUUGACUACAACCUCUCCGGUAUGAGGAUUUAGCGUCUGAAGAACACUCUCAAUUGCUUUAUACUCCAUCUUCGAUGCCUUUUGCGUCAAUUGGAAUGACCUUAUACAUACCACAUCUUUUCCUGCAGCUGUCUUGAACCGGAGCUUAAUUUGACCUUUUGUCUCCGUUUCCCCUGCAACCUACAUACAAGGUAAACAUGUCCUAUAACAAUUCCUUGAAGUAUUAGAAGUAUUAAAAUUAUAAAAACAAAACACAUGGUUCCCUCAUACUCAAUUUCAUUGCUACAACUUUUUUUGGUUCACCAUUUUCGUUUUACUUCCUAAAAAUUGCACAAAACCAAAAUCAGAUUUCACUGAAGAUAAGCAAAUGGCUAAAGUAUAUUACAUAAUAGAACACAUCUCUUACCAUGUAAGCCAAAUCAUCCAUUUUUCUAAUAUUAUCAAAAGCUAAAAUUUCUAAUUCCUUAAAAACAAUUAUUCACUUUUGCAUCAAAAUGAAACUAUAUGUGUAUAUAUAUACAUAUAAAGAGUGAAUAAGGAUACCUUGGGAUCAUGAAUGAAACUAUGACCAGACCUUGCAUUUGGAGGCAACUCCCCAGUGCAUGAAAGUUUCAAACAUUCUAUAAUUGUCUGCAACACCCCCCCCCCGGCAAAAAUAAAAACAAACAAAACCCAUUAAAGAAAACUUUACAAAGAAGCAAUAUAUUAAUUUAAAAAAUGAAGUGAGGAAUGAAUGAUUACAGUUUUGCCAGCGCCAUUGGGUCCAACGAUUAGGGUUAAGGGUUUAAAGAAAGUGAUGACGUUUUUGUUUUCCGGGUCGAAGCUCCGGAUUCCUUUUAUCAACAUUUUAUCAACCGUGCUCAUCUUCUUUUUCUUUGGGUUUUUAUCAAAUUCUGGGUUUGUGUUUUUAGCUCACUGAUGAUGAAGCAAACUCACGAAAGCUGCAAAAACAAAACAAAACAAAAAGCGGGUUUCAUGCAAAACGAAAAAAAAAGUUAAUGAUUCUUAUAGGAACGUUUAUUUCAGCAGAAGGGGAAAAUACUGAAAACAUAUUGACUCAGAGACCGAGUGACUCUGAAUCAUAGUAGAGAUUGAAGGGAGGCACAAAAAAUGGGGGGAAAUGAGCAUUGAUUGUUACUUUUGUAGACUGUUCUCAAGAAGAAAGUGGAAAGACCGGACCGGACCGGGUUAUUUGGGUAUAUUUUAUUUUGGUUAAAUUCUAUAGGUAGUCCCUGUAUUAAGUGUUGUUUUAAAUGUUACACCAAAAAGCACACUCUUGGAUUUGGAAGAGCUUGGUCCAUGGUAGAGAUGCUUGCAAAAGUGGAGUUGAUGUUGAAAUUUGGCAAGGUAAUCAAUGCAUCAAUAGAAGCCAACUCGUUCAAGCUGUAUUCAAAUGAGCUCAAUUCACCGGUGGAUCGAAGUCUUGUAUCCAAAUGUGAUAUGGCACCAGAAAGUAAGGAAUGUCCCUUUGCACCAGCUUUAUGGUUUGGAUGCCCAUGAAACCUUCGUAUUGAGAAUAUGAAUGGUUAUGGAAUAAUCGAAUGGUUGAAGAAGUUGCUUUAUGUCCUCUCACUUGAUGUGGGUCAUCUGGGAAUGUCGAAAUGCUAAGGUUUUUCAAGGUACUCAACCUAACCCAAUGGGAGCAAUACAAUAAAUCCCUCACUUGGCACAAGGUUUUGUAGAAGUUCAUGAUCCCGGAUGUAUGCUUGUUAACCAUCCACAAAAUCAGAAAGUGGAGUUUCCACUGCAAGUUGAACACUCAUGGUUUAUAUCAGUAGCUGCAAUUAUAACAGAUCAAAUCAUGUUAUGGUAUACUUACGAGGAUACCAACAAUGUUCAUUGCAGACUUCUUCUACUUUGUUUGACAUUGGUUCGGCUAAAGGAGAUGGCAACUGACAGAUGUGUAUGCAAGGACCCUUGUAUGAAAUGGCUUAAUAUUUUGCAGGGAAGAACAGCUAUCUAAUGGCAGUACCAACCUUUAAUGGAGGAUAUCAUCUUGCUGCAAAGGGAGAUACAGCUUAUAGGUGACCAAUCCAGGGGUAUCGUCUAUGGCUAAAAUCGUAGCUUAUAGUUGGCCCUAAUAGUUAGUUAUAAGGUUAUGUAACAAAAACAAACAUCAUGUCAAAUUAUUUUACAGGACGAGAUAUCGAAAAAUUUACAUAUGUGUGAUUUAGGGACGGUCGUAGAAUUAGUAAAUUUGACAUUUAUUUGAGGAAUUUAAAUUGAUUAAAAUAUAUUUCAAGUUUUUAUAGGCUUUGCGUAUUUAGAAUUUAAUCAUUUACUUUUGCUUUUAGGAAAUUAGUUCAUUUGUUUUUUGAAUUUUAAAUUUUAAAUUAAUUUGUUAACACGGUUAAAAUUAUGAUUUUUAAUUCAUUGGUGUAAUAUUCUGAAAUGGAAAAUAUUCACUUAGUUACUAUGUAAUUUAUAAAUUGUGUUAUAAUAAACAUGAAUUUAAUAAAAGAAUUUUAGUAAUACUAACAAUCAAACUUGUAUUUUUAGAUCUGAAAAAAAUAAAAAUAUUAAGUUUCUAAAAAUAAAAGUAGAAAGAUUAAAGUUCAAAUGUAUAAAAAAAUAUAGGGACAUAAAGCAUAUUUUAACCAUUUAAACAAAUCACAAAUAUUUUUUGGGGAAGAUUUUUGAAAAAUGAGUUAAAAUGCCAAUUUACCAUGAAAGUUGAAAUUUAUCACUAUACCUUUUUUUUAUUAAUAUAUGCCAUUAUACUUCGAGAAUUUAAUUAAAUUUCCACACAAUUUGUAUGUAAUUUAAUUUUAGUACUAAACUUUAAAUUUCCUUGAAAUUUGUAAUUAAUUUUUAUUUUAAUUAAAUUUCAUCACUUGGUGAUUUGAAAAUAGGAUUUAACAAAAAAAUUUAUUUCAAGUACUUUAGUUUUAUAAUUAAAACGAAAUUAAUUUAUAAAAUAUUAAAAAUUAAUAACUUGAUUUUUUUAUUUAAUAAAAGAAAGACUCAAAAUAAAAUAAUAAUAAAAAAGCUUACCUUUUCUAUAAAUAGUUAUUAUUAAAUGUUAAUUUUUUAUAAAUAACUUAAAUCUUUUUUUAUAGAAACAAUUUUCAUUAAUUGUUAAAAAUGAAAGUUUUUAAUUAAAUUUUGUCUUUGGCCCCAAACUUACUGGCACCUUCUCUCAAGAUGAUACUUAACGAUUUUUGUGUCCCGAAUUUUAUUCUGUCAAUGAUUUUGUUACUUUUUUAUAGCGCUGUUAAAUUUAAUACAUGUGACACUUUUUAGACCAUCAUGGUAGUAAUAAUGAUAUCAUAAUGAUAAAAGUACGAUAAAUUGAUGGAAAAAUUAAACAAUGUGAUUAGUUAUCUUUAAUUGCUCACAUCCGAAAUUGAGAGCGACUAAAUUACUUCAUUUUUUUUAAAGGAACCAAUUUGUUUAAUAUCAAAUUUGAGACGGGCCAGAGAAAUCAUUUUACCCAAGAAUUUUAAGUCUGGUUUCUUGCAAACAUCGAGGCUUCUCCCAUGUAAAUAUGGUGCAAGAAACAAUUGAAGACUAAACACUGUAAUUGUUUUCAAUAUGCAUCCUAAACCUAUGUUACUCAGAUUCGAAGAUUUCGAAGAUAGAUAUGGAUAUACACUUGACGUAGAUAUCUUCAUUUUUUAUCCUAAAUUCUUUUUAUAUGUAUAUGGAAGAUUUUCACAGGAGAGAAUCGUAUUCCUGCAUAUCGAUGCUUGAAUACGAGUCAAACCGAGUACAGAAAGAAAAAUGAAGAAUCAGAGCAACACUAUCCUAAACACAAUGAGAUACAAGGAAUGACACCAUAGCAAUUUUCAGUGGAUCUUAUAGCUUUCACUCACUAGGUGGAACGUCACCUUUGAGCACCUUCCACGGUCCACCAUAAAAUUUAGGCUUCAUCAGUGGCACUGCUUCCCCAGGAUGAUCUUCCCAGUACUUUUCCUGAUAAAAGAAAUAACACAAAUUCUUAUUAUGAUUAAAAACAUGGAUCAUUCCAAUGACCUUUGCACGAUAUAUGCUUGGCAAAAAUAGUAUGAAAAUAAAUGAUAUUUGCUUGAGUUGCAUGUUCCAAUCCUCAUUCAUGAAUUGGAUGAACAAAUCGACCACUUUGUAUGUUUGGAAAAUCGAAAAUAAACCUGUUUUUAGGCCAGUUCAAUGUCUCCCCAGGUUGAAAUAUUAAAGCAGACAAGACAGUUUUUUGGUUUUCAGUUCAACCGGUCCAAUUCUAGUUACAAAUUGCUAUACAAUCUACUGAGCCUAAUAGUAGCUUGCUGUAAUACAAUUACCAAAUAGCUAAAAGAAGCCUAAAGAAUUAAGCUACUGUGAUUUCAACAAUUCAUAAGCAUUUCACAAUUUCUAAUGUGAUUUCCAAGAUUAUUUAUACAUACAUAUAUAUAUAAACAUUUUAGAAAAAGAAAGGAAAACCCUUUAUCAAUAUAAUGCAAGGAAAUCCAUGGAGAUGGUGGAAAGGAAGUACCUUGUAGAGCUGCUCAGUAAUGGCGGCACCAAUGACACCGGUGUAAAAAGCUGCAACAUAAAUGGUAACGAGAGGCGUAAAAGAUUUGGGUCUUCGAUAAGGCUCUAACAUGUCCCAAAGAAAUGUUCUUUCCCAUUUGUUGUAAACAUAAUCUGCAUAUUUUCUCCAUAGAUAGCUCGCCAUUUUCUUUUUCCUUCCACCUCCCCUUUUCUAGUACUUUUCUUUAUGGUUUGUUGAUGAUUUAUGUUGGACUCACUUGAUUACGGUGGCGCCCGAGAUGUAAUGACUUGGUGUGAGGGAAGUGAAUGCUGAAAGAGUACCCAAAAACCUACUUGAAAGUGACAAUUCAACCAAAAAAAAAAUCAAAUUUUCAAGACAGUUACAGAGAUAUGGAUCUUCAAAGACUUUUAACUACAUGAAAAAACUUUCUAAAGUUGAACAUACUUGUAUUAGACAUUUCAUAAAAAAAAAGGUUUAAGCAAGCCGAACUAGAGUACCCUUAUGUUUACCCUUAUGUUUUACUUGAAUAGCUCACGAGCCUAGUCGAGUUAUUUUUAAUCAGUAUUAAAAAUCUCAAUUCAAACUUGAGCUAAAGUGCAAAUAAUUAAGUUUAUAGCUGAGUAUGAAAAUCGAGUCUAUUUUUACUAUAUAAACUCAAGUUUUAUCUCAAAUCUAGCUCAAACUUCAGGCGAGCUUCGAAUUUCGAAUCAAGCUUGAGCUUCUUAUACUUAAACUCAACUUAGCUUGAAUUAACCCCUAUUUGAAUUUGGUUGCCUGAUCAAGAAUCAAUUACAUAGCUAUAAUCAUUCAUACAACACUGCUAACCUAUAAGGAAGUCAAUAUUCGACAUGGACUCGUAUUUAAUAAGUUUCUUCAUGUACUCGAAGGAUACCGGAAGAUUAUAUCUAUACCAUAUCCGAAAAUGAAUUCAAAAUAAAAAUUUGAGAAAACUCAAAGUGAAAACUGGAAGCUUCCAAAAUAAACUACUGACUGAUACAAUCACAACAAUAUUCAUUCUUUCAGUAAAUUAUAAAACCCUAAGAGUUUUUAGGAUGAUUAAUCGUCAAAUUGGAAGAACUUAUUGACCUAACAAAUUAAACAACAGUCAAUGCUAAUCGAGCCAUUAAUAAAAGCAAAUAAUGGAAAAAGGAUGUAAGACAAACCUGGUUAUUGCGAACCGUACCGCCGUUUUCCUGGCCGCCGAUCAGAGGAUAAGGGAAAUAAGGAGUCGAACUGUGAAACAAAGGCACGAAUUCUUACCUGGGAGUCGAUCUGAGCAAAAAAAAAAAACCAGCAAACGAAGGGAGCUCCGCUCUCUAGGAUGGACUGAAACGGUGGAGUUUAUCGCCGGAGAUAUAUCAAAAUAAGAGAGAUUGAAGGAGAGAGAAGCUUCACUCCUUAGUGGCUGGGUUUCUUGUUUUCUUCCCCACAUUCAUACGGUCCAUUAGGUUAGAAUAAGUCAUUAAGGGCCUAGAGUUGGCUUGUUGGGUUUAUUAUAAAAAAAAGCCCAUUUCAAUUAAAAAGAAACUUUUUUUAAUAAUUUAUAAGGUUAAUGAAAUAUUUAUUUUAAUUUUGGCUCCGUUUAUUUCAACAUAAAAAUUUUUACGGAAAAUAUCUUUAGCCUUACUCGAUGUUUGUUUCAUGUAAAAUAGGAUGGUCAACCUAAAAGAUUUUUCAGUCAAUGUAAAAUUAUCCUUUUAUUCCAGUAAAAUAUCGUACCAAUUUUUUUUCGUAAGACAUUUUCUAAACUAAUAUGGCUCUAUUCAUUAUAACACUCUCAUACCCAAUUCGAACAUCGGGUCAAAGCAUCAGGAUGUUACAUUCUCUACUACGUUCUUCACUUAUCCAAUAUUUUCUUAUAAACUUUCAUAACUUUUCAAUUUAGUCUCUUUUUGUCAGAAAAAUUCAAUAUUCACUAAUUAAUCAUAUUAAAUAAUUUUUCUUUCUUGUUACACUUAUCUCAAUAUCUUGUUUCACAAGUUAAAUUUCUAUGCAUUCACUUCUAUUAUUUCAUCCAUAUAUUUUCUCAAGUUUAAUAAUUUAGUCCUUGUCAUCAUAAUAAUUUCAUAUUUUUCCACACUUUCACUUUUACAACACUUUAUACAUAUUUUAUCAUCUCAUAGCACAUCCAUUCAACUUUUAUUAUAAUUUCCUUAUUCGCAUAUUAAAUUGUUUCACACUUAAACUUUUGUAUAUUUUUCAAUUUAGUCCCUAUUGCCAUGUAAUUUAAUUUUCACCGUAUAAACACUUUAAUCAAAUAAUUCAUUAUAAUACCUUAAUUCACAUAACAAAUUUUCAUGCAUAUCACUUCUCUUGUUUCAAUUAUAAAUUUCACAAAUUUUACAAUUUAAUCCUAAACAUCAUGAAGAUUCAUUAUUUACUAUAACUUCAUCUUCACAUCACUUUGUAAUCAAUUCACUACUUAUCAUAAAUCUCAAACGUAUGUUUGUUUCAUCGAAAACAACUUUUUGUGAAAUAUUUUCAGGAAAUCUACCAAACAACAGAAAAUAUUUUACACAAAUUCAUUCAAACACCAGAAAAUAUUAAAUUUUCCAGAAAAGUGAAACAUUUUUCGGAAACUAUUUUCAGUUAAACAAACGAACCUUUAUAUCCAAAUAUGUAUUCUAAUAACAUAACAAUUUCAUAUUUGUUUACAUCUUUUAUGAAGACAAACGUAAGCUUUUUAAAAAGAAGUUGUACACAGGGACGUAGUGGAUGGUAAUAUAGAGUUGAGCUAAGAUAGAUGAUGAAUCAAAACACACAAAAAAUACCAAAAACACUAUUUUUUUUCUUAAAAAUUGAAAAAAAUAAUAUUUAAUUAAAAAAACGUGGAGAAAGAUUGGUCCCUGUGGAACACCCUCCAAAUUCCCAGGUUGUCAAUUUAGUGAAAAAAAACGAAACAACCCACAUGUCUAAGCACAUGGCCAAACACAUCUCAAUCAACAACAACAUUUACAAUUGGUCCCAUUAUAACAACCCCCCCCCCCCCAUUUUGUUGUCUUUUUCUUUUAAUGUCUAUUUCCAACUUUCCACCUUAUAAUGUUUAGCCACUUGUUUUGGCUUUCCAACUUUAGGUAAAUCAUUAGCUAUUUGACAAAAUAUUUUUCAUUUUUAGCAUAAAAACUCAAAGAAAAGAUUAAAUUAUGUUUUAAGCAAGGUUUAAGAUUGUUGAACCGGUCAGAUCUUCAAUUUUUUAAUUCGAUCUGUUUGUUUGGUUAAAUUUGAUAAUAUAUUGAGAAUUCAUAAAAAAAAGGGAGAAAUUUGAUUCAAUCGGAUCAACUAGAUUUGCCAUGAGCCGAGUCACCUGCUAAAAAAAUGGGAAGGUUUGGACAAAAUAUGAGGGUCGAAAAAUGCGCUUGACUAAAAUUUAAGGCCUGUUUUCUAUAUGGCUUGGGCAUUGGGCAAGAUUUUCUAGCCCAAGCCCGGCUUGAUGUGUCUCGAAUAUGAUGCUAUAAAAAUAUUAUAUUAAUCAUAUAUGUUAAAUAAUAAUCAUUUCCUUUUAUAUUUUUGGCCUAAUACCUGCCAUGGGCUAGGUCACCCGCUCAAAAAAUGAGAGGAUUUGGACAAAAUAUGAGGCUCGAAAAGUGGGCUUGAGUAAAAUUUAAGGCCCACUUUCUAUAUGGCUCAAGCCUUGUAAAAGAUUUUUGGCCCAAGCCUAGCUUGGCCCGACCCGAAUAUAUUAUGUUAUAAAAAUAUUAUAUUAAUUAUAUAUGUUAAAUAAUAAUUAAAUGUUUUUAUAUUUAUAUUAUAUCAGUAACCCAAUAACAAUUAGACCUGUUACCCAAAACCUAAAAAAGAACAACUUAAUUAAAUAACCCAAUCCAAAAUAUAAAAAUUAUAUUUAAUACAAUAAAUAUUUAUUAUAUUUAUUAUAGUGUUUUUAAAUAUAAGUACUUUUUUAAUGUAUAUUUAAUGUGUUAGAAAACUUUUAUUUUAAUUUUUUUUUGUGCAUUUAGUGUACUAUAUUUUUUAAUAUAUAUAUAUUUAAAUAAAAAUUAAUCUAAAAAAAUCAAAUAGGGGUGAGUUGGGUCAAGCCCAAGUUUACCUUUCUUGGAUUUGGCCGAGCUUAGGCAAAAAAUUAAACCCAUUUUUUGAGCCAAGCCUGAGCUUGCAAAAAUGGUCUAGAUGCAUUACAUAGGCCCAACCUGAUCUCAGCUCAUCCUGGCCCAUUAGCAUCUCUAGAUCAAACUGUUAGUUCAACUAGUUUUUUAAUCCAAUUCAACCAGUUCAGAGUGGUUCGUGAGUCAACCAGCCGAUCCAAUCUAAUUUAAACGACAUUGGUUUUGAGUCAUUGUACUAUUUGUACAUUUGGAAUUUAGUCAUUCUACUUUAUUUUUAAGAAUUUAGUCCAUUUAGUUUUUAGAUUUCAAAAUUCAGGUAAACUUAUUAGUUUUGUUAAAAAAUAUAUGGUUAAAUUCGUUGAUGUGAUUUUUUGAAAUAAAAAAGUACUCGUAUGGUAGUUAUGUAACAAAAAAAUGUUGUAAUAAACCUGAAUUUAAUAAAAGAAUUUUAAUAAUGUUAAUAAUUGGAUUUGCAUUUUCAAAUUUGAAAAGUAAAACAAUUAAAUUCCAUGAAUUAAAAAGAAAGGAGAUUAAAUUUCAAGUGUACAAAUAAGGAUAAGGACUUAGAGCAUAUUUUAACCAAAUAAAAAAAUUAUACGAAGGGAGGUUACUCGAGUUUAAGGUCAAGAUUUAUCAUAGACUUUAAAAUCGGCUAAUAAUGCACUAUGCAAUUUUCGAAAUUCAACUUUAAGUAAGGUUAUUUAGUAUACAAGUUGGUUCAAAACGGUCCGUCUACUAUGGACUCAAUUUAAUGCAUGUAUUAGUGAAAAGAAGGGAUAAAUAUCAAAAUUACACAUAAACUUGGUGCCAAUGUGAAAUUUGGUUUGCAAACUUUGAUUUAGUGUAGCUAUACACAUGAACCUUUAGUUGUUAUUCAUGUGUAUACAUGAAACUUUAAUUUUGAUUACAUUAUACACAUUUUGAUUGGUGUUUGCUCGUUGUUAUGAAAAAUGAGAAAAAUGACAUGCUAUUUAUAUUGUUUUUUAAAUGGAUAAAAUGGUAAAACAGCAGAGGAUUUUUUUCAAUAAAAAAUAUUCUGAAAAAAAAUAUUUACGAUAAAAUGAACAAAUUCUAUUCAAAAGGACACACAUGGUACAUGUCGUCAACAAGUGUUGACACGAACAUGGACUGGGCCGAACAAUAAUGACACACAUAUGUUGAGCCCUUAGCCCCUAGUUACUAAAUGAAGGUAAUAGGUAAGACUAUUUUUAAAUCCUUUUAAAAAUCUUUCUUCAAUCAAUAUGGGAUUACCCACUUUAAAUCCUAAUUUUGAUACAAGAUCAAGCUAGAAUUUUAUGGUAAAUUCGACUCAACACAAUUAAAUUUUAAUAAAGUGUGUUCAUUUUAUCUCGAAAUUAAACAAAAAACCGAUGUUAUUUCUGUCUUUAUAUUUAGGUUUUACCAUCUCUAAUAUCACCAACACUUUUCUUCCUAUAGAAUAGAUAGUUUACUUGGCUUAAAACUUGGGAUGGCACCCUUGCUUCCUCAAAAUGGUAAAAUUUAUUCUUAAUCCCUUUAAAAAUUAUAAACUUUUAAGUGAAUAUAAUAGUUAAGUUACAUUUUGCCUCCUAAAGAUGGUAAAAUUUAUUCAGAAUUCUUUUAAAAAUUACAAAAUAAUAUGUUAACACAAUGAUAAAAUUAUACUUUAAAUCUCCUUAAAUAAAUAUAACUUAAUCUUGAUCUCUUCUAAAAUAAUUUCUUGACUUCAUUUCUAUUUAGAACUGUCCAUAAACCAAGCAAUACCACUAUUCAACUUUUUUCUAUUUUCCUAAUUCAAGCAUCUCUGUUCGAGUCAUUGUUCAUUAUAAUAUCGAAAUCCACAAUGAGAUUUUGUCUUAGAAAAAAUCCCAUCAUAUAAAAAAUUAUAGAGUAUAAUUGUGAAAAACUUUUAAAAAAAUUAUAUCAAAAAACUAGAAAUUUGUUUUAUUAUUAUUGGUUGAUGCUUUAUUUAAAUAAUUAGCACUGAAAUUUAGGAUAAUUUAGUAUAUCAAGAUUUAAACCAACUAAAAAUAUCUCACCAAGCUUGAGAGUGACCCACUUCAAUUAAGAGUUAUUAUUAAAUUUUUGAAAAUUAUAAAAGAAAAUGAAUAGACAUCACUAUUAAAGAGAGAAUAAGAUGAAUUAACCUAUAUACUAAUUAGAAUUAUUCAUGAAUCGGAUUAUAUCGUAUUAAGUAAUCUUAAUUUUAAGAUACAAUACGAAUUAAGUUAAUAAUUCAAUUUUUAAAAAAGUUUUCCGUUGAUAUAAAAAUAAAUAAAAUUUAAAAUUACAUAUGAAUUUUGAUUAAAUAUGCAUUAUGAUGCUUAAAUUUUGGUUUCUUACAAAUAUGUACAUAUUAAAAUUCGCCUAUCACAUUAUUAUACAUUUGAUUAAAUUUUUAUGUAUAGUUUUAAAAUUUAUCUCGAAAAUAAAUUUAUAAACUUAAAAUUUUCACUAAAUUUGAUAAUAUCCAAUAUUAUACGUAAGGGCGAAAUUAAAAAAAAUAAAAUUAGAGGGACUUAAUUUAAUAUUUUAAAAAGCUUAAUAAAAAAUUUUCACACGAAACAGAUGUAAUUAAUUAAAAAUUUAAUACAUGAAAAAAAUAUAAAAAAAUCUAAUUGCGACACAUUAAAGAGAAGACAGAAGACAACAUUUCAACGGACAUGCGAAAAAAUUUCAAUACUUUAGAGAAAAAAGAAAAAGAAAGACAGCCCAAUCCAAAGUGUUGAUAGCUUCCAUAAACAGUAAGGAACCCAACAUCGAACAUCAAACAUCAAACUUUUUUGCUUCGAAAUAUGAACCAAUCAAAUCAAUGGUUCUGAUAAUUAAACUGAAUUAACCACAAUUUUUAUUUCCAUUUUCAACAUACAAAAAAUCCGAUGUUUUAAAAUUAAAUUUAAAUUCAUAAAAUUUUAAAUUUCGAUUCAAUUGACUCAAUUCGAUAAAUUAUUUAUUACAAAUUUACAAUAAAAAAAUUUAAAUCAGUAAAUAUGAUGUUUAUUUACCUGAUUAGUAUAAUAAUUGUUACAGAUUCAAAGGACUAAUUUUUAAAUUAAGAAAUUAAUUUUAAGUUGGCAAUACAUUAAUAUGAAAGGCAAGGUUCUCCAAUUUAGUGUUCUGCCGACAAUUUGUGUGGAUGGAGAGAAAGCAAGGAAUAGUGUUUAUUUAUUUAUUUAUAUUUAUUUAUUUUAAAUUCACAUGUGAUAAAUGAAGAGAAUAUUCUAUAUUUAUGUAUUUAAAAUUAUAUGUGUUUGUAUUUAUUUAUUUAUUUAAAUUAAAUGAAUUUGUUUAUAAACUCAUGAAUAAUAAACAAACAAACAAUAAACGAGUGUCAGAUGAGUUUUAAGUGAUCUAUUAAAUGAGUCUUGAAUAAAUAUAAAUGAAUUUGUUUAUAAAUAUAAAUGGUUUGAAUAAAAUUUGUUAAUGCUUUGUUCAUUUAAUAAUGAGUCUCGAAAUUUUUUUUGUUCAUUUAUUUAGCUUGAUAAAUGAACAUAAGCGGAAAAAAAAAAUUGAACUUGAAAGUGUUGAAUAGUUGUUAGUAAAAAUCGAUAUGGACACAUGAGUUUGUUACACGAUUCGGAAACCUUUAAGGUCAACUUACUUACCAAGUUGCAACUAGUACUGUUCAUUGGUUGGGUUGCAUCUCGGUUUUAAAUCUAAGCCUAUUUUUGGCUUCACUUGCCCGAAAAACCCGUUUCACUGUUCAAAAUUAAUAAAAUACUAAAAACAUAUUUUUAUAUUAAUAUUUUAUAUAUGCUAUAAUCAAUUUUAAAUUUUAAAAAUAUUUAAAUUGAGUUUGGGUUGGACUGGGUCGAAUUGAGACAUAAAAAACUUUAAGCUCAACCCAUGUCAAGCCUAGUUGUUCGGUUCUUGAAAAAGUCUAGUUGCAACCUAGCUCAUAUAUUAACUAAGAUCGCUCUUUCUCAUUGAAAACCUAGCUACAAAUUGCGCGUGAAACGAAUAUUCGACUAGUGUGAACGUGACAUCUUAAAAUUGUAUUUCAAUAAGACUCUUAUAUGGCAUCAGACAAGGAAAGAUAUUGAAUCUCAUCAUAUGAGAUAACAUGAUCACACAUAAAAUCUUCAAAUAAACUCCUUGCUCGACUAAUAUGAGAGAAGGGCGAAGGGCAAAGGGCGAAGCUUAAGGAACAAUAUGAGGUUUACACGAAAGCUUAAUAAUCUAAGAGUGUCAUAAAUCCUUUCUUUUGAGUAAGCAAAAUCUUACAUAUACAUAUUCUUAAAUAAGUGUAUUCCUUUAAAUGUCCAUGAAAUGACUCACGUGAUACUGUUAACACGUGUAUCGACAUCUCUCUCUCUUAAACUAUAUAUCACUUCACUAAAUUUUCACAAUCUACGUGGUGAUGAGUCAUCAAACUUUACAAGUAAUAAACAGGAUAUUAUAAAAUUUAUCCAUUUAACCCUUUUUAAAAAAAAAUAUCUGAUUUUGGAUUGAUAAGGAUGGGUGAAGCCACUAAACACAACAACUAAAAUUAAUAUUUCUUUUUUAAGAUGGGUGACUUGAAGAAAACUAAGAGUAACAUCAAUCAUAUUUUUUUUUAUUUUUUUUAAAUUAUGUAAUUAAAUUUGAAGCAAAGAUAUCAUAAUUGGUUGGUAAUAAACAGCUUUCUCAAAUUUUAUUAAUUAUUUUACUUAAAAGGAAUAUUUUCUUUUUCAAUUCCAGUCCUCCGUACUAAAGCAAAGGGACCCAAUUCUAAUCAAGUCGUCAGUGGAUAAGGAUUAUGCUUUGGGAUAGAUUUUAUUGAUUCUUUAAAGAAAAAAAGAAAAGCAAUGAAAGUGAUACUUCUUAACAUGUAUGCUAUUAAUUUGUGUAUUUUGCAAAAGUUGUGAAUUUAGUCCUUAUACUUUCGGAACGGUCAUAUUUAGUAUCUCUACUUUUCGAAUUUUGAAGUUUUAAUCCUCGCCCGAACAGUAGUGGUUAGAUCCAUUUGGUUAAAUUCAAUUACUAGUCACCAUGUGUACAAUUGUAUAUUUAGUCCAUAUUAUCCAAUUGAAUCAUUCUACGUCCCUAUACUUUUUUUUUUAAUUUUGAAAUUUCAGUCUUGAUGCAAAUAACAAUUGUCAAUCUAUUAAUUAGAUUUCUAAUAAGUAAUAUGUAGAAAUAACAAGCUGAUAAAGCAUUAAACAUAUGAUAAUAUGUUUAUCGCAUCAAAAUUUGAAAAUAACAUCACUUAACUUAAUGAAUUUAUCAAAAAUUGCAAGAAAUAAAAAUGACCAAUAACUUUUGUAAAAUAUACGGAUUAAUAGUAAAAUUUGACGUAAACUAAAAUAUUUGAUAAUAUUUUUUUAAUUAUCUAUAUAUAACUUGACCCAAGUAUAAUUUAGCUAGCUCUUAAUUACUUAUAUAAGUGAACAUGUACUUAUAUAAAGCUUAAUAAAAUUUUAUAUUUGGUAAAGUUGGUUGGCCAUGGUAGCAUAGUCUUCACACCUAGAAGAAGUGCCAAAUUGGUCUAUAAUCCCUAUUUCACCUAAUUAUGCUAAUAGCCUUCCUAUUUAGCAAUGAAAUCUUGAUUGAGCAUUGACAUAAUGAAAUAUUAAUCAUAGAUAUAAAUAGGAAUCUCAUGUGAAUCUACCUUACUUGAAAAAAAAAAGUAAAAAAAAAAAAAUUAAAGAGGUGAAGUUAGAUAGGUAAUCUUGUCAACAUGAAUAAAGGGAAAAAGGUUUUUUUUUUUAAAUAAAAUAAAAUUUAUAGGUUCUGUUUAUAUCUGCUAUUGGUUUCUCCCUAACCCAUAAAUAAGAAGAUAAUGUGUUUCAGUGCACUUGAGUCCACGUCCUUUUGCGUUGGCAAUGAUGUUCAUUCCAAUCGAGCUGAAACUCAAUGGACUUAUUUUUAUAUGGUUUUCUCUAAAACUUAUUGCUAACAUCUAUUUUUAUCUAAACCGAAACAAAAACAAUAGUUCAAACUCGACAAAAUAAAAUAUUUUAAAAUUAUUUAAUUUAAAUUUAUGCCAAACAAAACCCAAUCUAAGUAUAGAUCUAACUCACACUUGAAUUUUAUUAAUGUUAUUAAUAUUAUUUACAAUUUCUAGGACUCAUGUGAUAGCACCGCCCUCAUACUAUGAUGAAGGUAAAAGAGUUCAUUGCCUCGCACAAUUUUAUCGUCUUAAAGUUUACUCCCUUUAUACUAAAAAAACAAAACCCUAGUACAAAUGAACAAAAAAAAAAAUACAUAGUACAAUCACAUGAAGCACUCCUAAAAGUUCAUGCAUUAAUCUUAGUAAAUAACUUUGUGCACCCAUUGGAAUUAUCUCCAUCAGUUAACCAAUAUAUUUAUUGUAACAUGUACCCAUUGUUACUUUCUUUUUAAAAUAAUUGUUGAAUAUUGUGAUGGAAUAACCUCACGUUAAGGAUUGUUGUUACAUAUCAUUCACAUAUUUAAUAAUCGUAUCCCAGCAGCUUAUAUUAUCAGUCAUAUAUUUUAUAUUGUCAGACGGUACUUAUUGUUUUUACGGAUAUACUUCUAAAGAUAUCUAACACGUCAUACGCGAUUGUCCUGAAGUUAAAGACAUAUGGUCUAUAAUAAUACCAGAAGAUAAGUUCAAUGCUUUCUCAUCUAGGGAUUGCAUGAUGGAUAGUUGCCAAUUUUUUCAAUAAACUUGGAAUGCAAAUGGAAGGAGUGGAUUGGCAAUGUUUCUUUGGUAUGGUUGCAUGAUGUAUUUGAAAAAAUCGUAAUUUAUCUGUCUUCCAAGGAACGUCGUGAAGUGUUGAGGAGUGGGUCAAAGUUUCAUACAGUUGGGCUAAACAAUACACCUCACUCAAUAAGGCAAGUACCCUGAGACAAUUAGUAUCAAACUUAGUCACACCUUUACUUGAGAAUUGGAUUCAAUUGAAUACUGAUGGUGCAAUUAAAGGGGAGACCGAGGCUGCCUUGAUAGGGGGUUCUAUGAGAUAGGUAUGGGUGUUGGAACCUGGGUUACAAUUGGAUAAUUUAUUGGAAUAUGUUUUAUUUUAGAUGCGAAAUUAUAGGGCAUUUUGGAAUGGUAUGUUGAUUGCACUGGACAGAGGAUUCGACAGGUUGAUAAUUUUUUCAGAUAGUUAAGAUCAGGCGGUACAAGCUCUACAAAGCAAGUCUACAAAAGAUUCAAGUUUAGCUUUGGUCAGAAGAAUUCAUCUCUUAUUGACUAAGAUAGUGCAUUGAUCGAUUCAUCAUGUUUCAAGAGAACUCAAAAGAUGUUGAUAGGCUAGCUAAAAUGACGAUCGGUUACAACGAUGGCCUUCAAUUUUUUGAAACACCUCCUUGGAGGCUUGAGUUUUUAUCUAAGUAGUUCUUUAUAAUGCUUUGUCUCUCUAAAAAAAAAGAGAAUACUCUUAAAUACCUCUUUAAAAUACAAUCAAGAGAAUAAACUAAUUCUCACUCGAAUUCCCCUCCCUUUUCCAACCAGCUAACCUCAAAAGCCUUUUUUUCGACUUUUUAUCCAUCGAGUGAACUAAUUGAACCGUUUUCAUAAUAAUUUAAAAAAAGAAAGGCAAUGGGGAGAAAACCAUGAAUGCAAGCUAAACCCGGAUUUCAAGCAGGGAAAGGAAUCAUUAAAAUUUGAGAAAGUCCCCCACCAAAUUACUUUAUCAAAUAUGAAAUGGCAAAUUUUGGUCAAAAUGUUGGCUCCACACCACUUUAGCAUCUUCCUUUUUAUCUCUGCUAUUUUUAGCUAAAGGAACUUCAAUCUCAAGAUAAAGAGAGGGAUUUCUAAUUUUCAAAGGUGUUUAUACCUUAAUCUUUGACUUUUAUUUUCAUCAAAUUAUGAUUUUCAUAUUGAAAUAACAUCAUUUUACGCUGAUAUAUUAUCUAUACAAACAAUGAUAUUAAUCCAAUCCAAUAUGAAAAUAAAUGUAUUAAUUUAUUUAUUUCUUUAAAUGUGUACAAUUGAACCAAAAUUAAAGUUUCAUGUAUCAAAUUUCACAUUAAACGUUCAUGUAUAAAUUUAAUAUUUAGCCCUAGCAAAGUGAGUUAAAAUUUUAAAAUUGUGUUUUUCCUUUCUUUCUUUUUGUAAUCCACAUCAAUAUUUUAACUUGAAUAAUUAACCAUUUGACUUAAAUAAUGACAUUAUAAACAUAGAGGUGCCAUAUUUUUCCAAAUUAAAUUAUAUAUUAAUCACUUGAUUGAGUCGUUGUCGCGAGUCAACUGAACACCAACUUAGUUAAAUAAUGACGAAUAUACACACACUUCAUCGUUUAAUCAAAGCCUCAUUUGUUAUUGAUAUCAAUUUUUUAUAAAUAUAUUUAUUAUAUAAUUAUAUUUUUCACCCAUAUCGUGAAAUUUACAUAAUAUAAAAUUAAUAUUAUUAAUUCGAAUGAAUUAUUAUAAGUAUUAAAUAAAUAAUUUCAACAAUUAAUUCAACCCAAAUUAAUUAAAAAAUUCGAAUCCUUACGCUUAAAAUCUUAAGACCUCAACCAUACCGACAUUAAUGCAAGUCUACCGUUACGUAAGAUAAGACAUACAUAUCCCAUCUCUUUGUGGAAAUAAUAGCCCACACGCAAUGUUCUCAUUUCAUUGCAUUAUUCAAUACGUACGCAUGCAAUAAUUUUGUCUCAACAUGUUUUUGACCAUGAUUUUCAACCAACGUAAAUAUAUGGAUCGGUUAACAGCUAGGUUAAAUUUUAUUAUUAGUCCUUGUAUUUCAUAAAAAUUGUGAAUUUAGUUUUUCUACUUUUUAAAUUGGUCAAUUUUAGUUUCUGUAUUUUUUUGAAAUUUAAAGUUUUAGUCAUGACCCAAACAGCAGUAGCUAAUUUCGUUGGGUUAAAUUCGAUUAAUUGUGGUUAAAUUCGAUUAAUUGUGUUAUACUAUGCGUACAGCUAUAGAUUUAGUUCAUAUUCUCUAAUCGGAUCAUUCUAAGUUUUUGUACUUUUUGAAUUUUAAAAUCUCAUUCUUGACCCAAAUGAUAGUCAUUAAUCCAUUAAUUAGAUUUUUAGUGAAUAAUAUGUGAAAAUAACAAGUUGACAUAGCAUUACACACGUGAUAAUAUGUUUGCUGCAUUAGAUUUUGAAAAUAACAGAACAUAAUGAAUUUAACAGUUAUCGUUUGCUGAUUAUUGAAAAUUUAAAAUUUCACAACUUUUAUUAUAUUAAAAAAAUUGUAUUUAUAUUUGAUGUAUGGAUCGUGAAUAUAUUUAAUUAGCUGAUAGCGUAUAAAAUUAUAUAAUGUUACAAUGUAUCGAAUAUAAAUUCAAAAAAUAAUAUAUUAAUUAUAUGCUUUUAUAAAUGUUAAUUUAAUCACUAUCAAGAUAUUGAUUAAUAAUUUCAAUUAAAUAAUGUUUUUUUAACUUAAAAUAGUCACAUAAAAUUUAUUAAAAUAAAUCAUACAUCUCAACAAUAAAUGAUUUAGAUUUCUAGUUUUCAUGAGAGGUCCUUUGUUAACCUUAAUUUUGAAUACUUGUACACUCAUGACGACAUGUAUGAACAUCUCUAAUCUCUUUUAAUAAUUAUAUGUCAUGAUCUUAACAAUUAUUAUCAUGCCCUUCAAAAGUUUUAAAUUUUAAUUAGGUCUCUCGAAACUUUUAGAAACUUUUAUUAAACACCCUUUUUUUUAAAGUUUUAAUUAGACCCUUCGAACUUUUUCAACAUUUUAAUUAGGCACCCAAAAUUUAUUGGCACGUUUCACUGUUGUGUAUGUUCGAAGAUAAUGAUUUAAGCAUAGAUAUUUGCAGGCACAUGUCCAAAACUUUUUCUCCUUGAACUUUAACCGAAAAAUGUUACUAUUCAAUCACUUAAUGAGUUAAUGUGUCACGUCAGCAAUCCGUUAAAAGAAAGUAAAAAUUUUAAUGAUAGUGACUAAUUCGCACAAUUAUCUUAUUUAAAAUGACAAAAUUAAAAAAAAAAGAUAUUUGAAAUGAUGAAAAUAGAAUAGCCCCUAAUUUAAAGUGAUGAUGGGUGUAGUUUAGCUAUAUAUAUUACAAUAAUUUAAAGCAAUUGAUACCCAUAGUUCCAAGAAUCAAACAACUUAGUAUGAACAAAUUAACUACUAUAUUUCAGUGGCUUAAGUCAAAGCUAGUGUAUAGUUUAAUACUCACCCAUGAAAAACAAAGACCAAAAGAGAAAAGCAGCAAAUUUUGGAACAUUAGUUUGUAAUUCACUGAGAAUCUUGUUGGGGUAUGAUCUAACAAUCUUAUCCAUAUGAAGGAAUUCAAUGAAGAUGGUCCAUCACCACCCACAUCUCCAUAUUCUCUAUAUUUUACAGUCAAAACACUCUUGUCUUAUUAAUUUAAGCUGCAUUUCUUUUAUAUAUAUAUAUAUAUAUUCGAUUUUGUUACACUCAUAAUGUGAGUGAAAUAAAAUAUUAUAUGUUCGAUCUCUGUAUUUAUAAAUUUAUAAUUGUUUUGUUUUAUUUUCUAUUUUUUGAAUAAUUUCAUUAUAGGUUUUUGAUCAUAUAUAUCUGCUCAUUUUCACAGAAAGUCUAAAACUGCCCAUAGUCCAUUCUUAACCCAUAAAUAGGAGGAUAAUGCGUUUCAACGUACUCGAACCCACAUCCUCGAGCUAAGACUCAAUAAUAAUAUUAAAUUAUAAUUUAAAAGAAGGGAUGGUCUUGUAAUUUCAUAAUUGAGUUGGUAGCCCAAUUAAGGGUGACACCAAUUCAGCAAAGUGCUUAAAUAUAAUAUACUAGAUAUCUAUGUUUAUUAAGUCAAAUGGUAAGAAGUUCGAUAUCCUUUAAGUAAAAUUUUCAAAAACUAAAUUUAUUUUUAUUUAAAGAUCUAGUUUGACUCAACUCCAAACAUAAUCAAAAUUCAAUAUAAUUAUCGAAAAUCAGAGAAUUUCAUAUAUAUAUAUAUAUAUAUAUAUAUAUAAAUGAAACUCUAAAUUUGAAAGCUACUUCCAAACUUAAGACUUUUACAACAUUACAACUUCAUUGUGGUGUAUUCUUAUUUAUUAUAAUGCCCCCCUCGAGCCAAAAAAAAAACAAAACGCGUAAUAUUUCAACUACUAAUGCCAAAAAUCCAAAUUGUGGGCACAUGAAUUUCAACUACUAGUACUUUAAACCACUUUUGUCCAGCUCUAAAUAAAAUCGAGAUUAAAAUCAGUGAUAAAAUAUAUCUAUUGAUGAAUAAACGCGAAUUAUGGUAUUUUUAUUUAAAAAAUUUAAAAUUUAUGUGAUCGAUUCGAAUAUUUAAAUUGGGUUAAAUUAAGUAUUAAGGAAAAAAAAUUAAAAUUUAAGAAAAUUAUAGCAUAUAGUUGUUGACCCUAAAUUUGUUUAUAAUUUAAUCAAAAUCAUUAGUGGAAGUCAGAAGAAUGUGAAUGGCUGUUCAAAAGUCUUAAGUGAAGUACCCAACAUGGAACGGUUGACCCUAAAUCUGUUUGCAAUUAACAUUUGGGUGUUGGCAUAUCUUUCUCUAGAUUUGUUUCCAUUUAUAAAAUUUUAAUCUUACAUAUGUCAUACAGUUAAAGUAUUUAGAAGGUUUCUCUUACCUUAAAUUAGUGAUCGAGGAUUCGAUCUUCGUCCUGGAUAUGAAGCAGUUUUAAAACUCAUGGCCAGCGUCUACCCUUUUAAUGGGUCUACAGAAUGCGGAAGAUUAAUUAUUGGGUUCAGCUACAAAUCAAUUCCUAACAAAAAGUUCCAUUUAUAAAAUCGUAAAAAUUUUAAAAAUAUUAACCCUACUAAACAGUAAAUGUUAACUGUAAUCCAUUUUAUUCUUUCUAAUAGUAUAAGAACUACAUCGAUUCAUUUAAUAAUAUAGGGACUAAUUUAAUCGGAGGGACUUUUGAAAUACUUAAAAAAAAUGGUAAAAUAUUUAUUUUGGUCUCUCAAGUUUUAUUAUUUUAAUUUUUUUAUCUAGUCUUUUUUUAAUAUAAUUUUCUAAUUUCUUAAUGCAUCAAAUUAUAUAUAUUAAAUUUAUAUAUUUUUAUAAUAAAAAAUUGCAUUUAUAUCUUCCCAUGUGACCAGGGGAGGUGACCCUAAAAAGAUAUGAAGAGUGGGCAUUGGAGCUAGGAACCUUCCCAUGCAUUUCCCACUUAGCUUCUUGCACAAUAGGGGAUAAUGACACUUUUGGUCCUGUUUUUAGUACCCAUGUCCUACGUCAACCCUUGCGUGGGUCUCCUUUACAUUCAUUCACUUUGGUCUUUUAUAAGAAUAAAAUAAUUGAGCUAUUCAAAUUCAACUUUUUCUUUUUCUGUUUAUCUAAUAUAUAUAUUUCGGUAUCCGAUAAUUAUAUUAAGUUUCUACUAAAUCUAAUGUCGAGUUAAGAUGGAUCUUUAUUCGAGGGGUAAAGCUUCCAGCAUUGUUUUCUACAUUUACAAAAUUCAAACCUUAGACCAAGGGCGGCGAGAGGGGGAUAGGUAGGGCCUUGACCCCUCCUAAAAUUAAAAUAUGGUGAUUAUUAUCCUUUUAAAUGUAUAAAAUUAUAAAUUAAUAAUGGUAAAAUUGCACUUUGACUCCAAAAAAUGGUAAGAUUUUAAUUUAGCCCUUUAAAAAUUAUAAAUAUAUUAACUAAUACAAUGGUGAAAUUACAUUUUAACUCAUAUAAAAAUUUAUAAUUUAAUUUUGAUCCCCUAAAAGUUUUUUUUCCAAAUUCACCGUACCCUAAACCUUACCAAGAAGCAUCAAACUAUUUACCACUCCACCUAACCAACAUUAGUUUUGUUGCUCUAGCAAUAUCAACAACGGCUACUAACUCGUCUAGGACCAUUUCAAACACUUGCAUAGUUGCAUUACUCUCCGAAACCAAUUUGGCUAGUCUAUCUUGAACUUGAUUUCUCUCUCUAGAAAUAUACUUGAACUCCCAUUGCUCCAUGGUUUGUAAAAUCACAUGGAUUCUUCUAGCCAAGGCUAAAGUUAAUUCAGUCAGAUGAAUACCUUGAAGAGCUUUGACAAUCUCUAAAUUGUCUGUAUGAAUGAAAAUCUUAUUGCGUCCCUCUCUUUCAGUGAAAGUUAGACCAUCUAAAAUUUCCCAUAAUUCAACAUAAAAAACUGAGCAAAACCCCAAAAACCAAUUGUAUCUAGCAACCCAUUGCCCAUUUAUAUUUUAUUAUUUAAGAGUUUGAUUACGUUUGUAUCACCCAUCGACUGAGUUCUAACUCAGUUCUGAAAUUAUUAAAAGCUCAUUAUUUUUACAUAGUGACAAUUAUUAUUUUUGAGGUUACUUUUAUCUUUUUAUAAACAUACAAAUAAUGGGAUUUGAACCUUAAACUUCAUGAUCUUUAUUAUCUCAACUUUACUCGUUCAACCAUAAUCAUAUUUAAUUUUUAUAUUAAAUUCUUACGUAGAAUUUCUACCCACAUCGUAAGGAUACAAUAAAUUAAUUUAUAUAAUAUGAAUAUGACACUAUUUUUCCCACUUUAUAUGAGUAUAUUCCCGUUUUUAUUUCCAAGGAAGGGAACACUUAAUUAUUAAAGAGAUCUUCAAGCAAUUUAUUUAAUAUUGGAUCUACAACAUUCAUUAAGUAGUCAAUUUCAAGCUAAGAAAUCCAAAAUAUUAAUUUACUAGAAUUACAUUGAAUCUAGAUCACGAGUCACCCAUUAAAUUUAGGGUUUCCAAGCCAAAAUCACGUAGUUAAUAUGAAUAUUUAAUUUAGGGUUUCAAAGUCAUUUUUUCCAUAGUUAAUUUGCACAUGAAUUUGUUUUGCCCAAAAAGUCAUUUUCUUGAUGAAAUUAAUUGGGGGUUUGCAUCUGUAAUUAAUCCUUUGUUUUUUUUUUCAAGUCGUUUUUUGAGUGAUAAAUGGAAUUAAUCAUAGGGCUGGAAAUAUGGUUUUCAUUUUCAAACCAAUUUUAGUGUCAUAAUAUUAACUUAUUUAAAAAAAUAUAUUAAAAAUGGUAAAAUUAUGCCGCAAGUCCUUGUUUUUAGAUUACAUUAUUUAGUACCAUUGUUUGACACUUUUUUUAAAAUUUGAUACCUUUGUUUUUUUGUCCACUGAGAUACUUAUUUUUGGCAAAAUUGUAUAUUUUGGUAUCCAUAUGUACUAAGAUCGACUUUUUAGUGUUUAAUUCGUGCUUUAGGAUUUACUUAAUGAAAGUUCAUUGCUAUUAUUAUAUUUGAAUUUUCAUGAUCUUGCUAGUAGAAUAAAUUCAGUUUUAUUUGUGAAUCUGUUUAAUUUCGUGUUUAAUUUGUUAAAUGUAGCAUGAUGUUUGUGAUUAGGAUUGAUUUGAUAAAAAUUAAUAACUAAUAUUAUUAGUUGAUUAAAAAUUUCAUCAAAUCAACCCUACAACCCAAAUUAAACACUAAAAAUUUAACAUUGUUAUCUUUAGGUACCAAAACGUAUAAUUUUACCAAAUACAAGUACCAUAUUUAAAAAAAAAGUAUCAAGCUCACGUACCAAAUAAUAUUUUUAGCCGAGAAAGUUAAAUAAAAACUAAACUCUCUUAUUCGUUUCCUAAUUUAAAAAUCUCGUAUUAUCGUUGACACUGUUAAUAUUAUUUAUUAGUCAAAAUUAAUCAUGUAAUUACAUCAAAAAGUAAAUCAUCGUGAACUUGAUAAGCAAACCUAAUUGGACUAAAAUUUUUAACUUUUAACUUAUAUAUACUAAAUCACAAAUUUUGACCUAAAAAUAAUAUAUUAAAUAAUAAUACAAUAAUUAAUCUCUUAUAAAUUUAUAAUUUAAUUAAAAAAAUUCAGUAGAAAAUAGGAAAGGAAAUAAACGACUACUUUUUUGGAAGAAAAAAAAAACUACUCCCAGCUCACCAAAAAUAAGAAAGGGAAGUCAUGAUUAUGACCACCGACACGGCAAGUUUCUUGUCUUGCAGUAAUAGAAUCUAUUUUUUUUAUAUAUUAAAAAUAAAAUAUUUAAAAUUUUUAUAUAAAAUUAGAGUAAUUUAAUUUUUGAAAACAAAAAUUAGAAUAUGAAUCGAAACCUUAAAUUCUUUGUCGGUCAUAAAUAUACAUUUGAAAAUUAAAAAUUACAAAAAAGUAAAACAGGGUUUUAUUAAUUGUUGACCUAAGUUUAAUACAAGUCAUGAUUCAUGGGCCACAUGGUUGUAGGUAUUUUUAUUUAGUUUAAUAAAAUAUUUUAAAAAAUUAAUCUUAAUUUUUUUUUAAUUUUUAGUUUAAAAUUUAAACCUAACCUUCCCCAGAAAAUGCCUUCUAAAUUUGAUUAUUUAAAUUUUUUUUAUUUUUUCAGUGAAUUUAAUGGACUGCUCUGCCCACAAGUUUUACAUAUGGGUCGGUCCAUUUUUUUAUUUAUUGGAUAAUGAGAAGAUUAGAGUUUUUCUAAAAAAUUUAUAUAAAUUUAACCAAUUUAGUUAUCAAAUAUAAAAUAUAUGAUUAAGCGCACUCGAACCUACAUCCUUUUAUAUUGAUAACAAUAUUAAUACCUGUUGGGUAAAUAACCCUUUAUUAUUUCAACACUAAAACGAAUUGAAAAAUCAAAUCGAGUCAAGUUUGAUUCGAGCUUAACUAUAAUUUUCGAUUUUCAUUAUUACAACAACUAAUUUAAUUUUAGUUACAUCAAUAAAUUUUUACAGUCCAUCUAGAAGUAACAAGAAGUCUAGUAGUUGUUACAUUUAUUUAUGGUAAAAAUUAGAUUUGGUAAUUAAAAAUGGAACAACAACAAUAAUAAUAAAAUAUAUGGGAAAUUGGUCUAAAAAUAGCAACACGUGUGGAGCACAUGGGGAGAAAAUGAGGGUUCCUCAAAACAGCAUAGCUGGCAAUUGCAAAUAUCCCAGUCUCUCUUUUACUCCGCAUUUACAUCAAUGUAUGAUAAGUUAAUGCAUUGAUUUUUCUUACAUUAUCAUAAUUAUUAUUGAAAAUCAAAUACCCAUUUUUAUCAUCCAAUUUAUUGCUCACUUUCCAUUUGCAAUUUAAUCCCCACAAAUCAUAAUGUAUAUUAAUGUCUCUAGUUAAAUUUGGUAUAAUAUGAUUUACAUAAAAACUAAAUCGUAAAAUAAAUAAUAUUUUUUUAAACCCGUAUCGAUUAAGUGUUAGAUAAAUAAUAUAAUGCCGAUUGAGUUUUAGUUCGAUUGACAUAGGCAUUAUUUGAGCAUACUGAAGCACGUUAUAAACUUUCAUAUUCACUCAUUUCACUUUUAAAUGAUAAAUACCGUGCUCGAACAAAAAAUAAUUAUAAACCCUAAAUAAAAAUUAUAAAACAAACAUAAAUAAUAUCGAAAAAACCCAAAAUCGAAACUUUACUUAAAUAGCAAUCGAACUUUCUUAUCACCCGACUCAACAGAUAUAGUAUAUAAUUAUAUCAUAUAUUGUAACAUAUUAUAUUAGUUAAGGCAAAGCUAGUUAAAAAGAACCCAAAAACAGAAAGUGGUUUCCAACCAAUACCAACUCCCUUUCCCCUAAUUUCUAUUUUAUUUUAUUUAUUUUAUUUUCAUUUUCAUUUUCAUUUUCCCCUUCUCUCUCUCUUUAUAAUCUACCCCUCUACACCCUUCACAACUUCAGGGCUCAUCCUCAAAAGAAAAAAAAAAAGGAAAAGAAAAUCAAAGUUAUUUUUCUUUCAAUUGAGCCCUUCAUUUUUCUCUCAGUUUCUUUCUUCCCAAACAACAAAUUUUAAAGAAAAUGCCAACAGAUACAAGCAAGCCCAUGAAAUUAGAACGAUACAAUAGCUAUAUUCGUAAAGUCCAUAGUACGAAGCUGUUGAAUGCUUCAUCUAAAUUUCUAUUUCGUGUUACCCUUCUUAUUGCUUUAGUUUUGAUCUUGUUUUUCACCAUUAAUUACCCUCCACUUUCGGAUAAUACCCACAGUGCACCUCACCAUCACCACCGUCAUAGCUUUCUUUCAACUUCACUGUUCUCCGGUUCUUCCCUCGUUGGUGGUGCGGCGUGGGAGAAACAAGUCCGUCACUCUUCGACUCCACGUAGGGUUAAUGGGUUUUCCGUUUUGGUCACCGGCGCCGCUGGGUUCAUCGGUUCUCACUGUUCACUUGCUUUGAAAAAACGCGGCGAUGGGGUUUUGGGAUUGGAUAAUUUUAACGAUUAUUACGAUCCUUCGUUGAAAAGGGCGAGGCAGAAUUUGUUAAGCAAACACCAAAUUUUCAUCGUCGAAGGGGAUUUGAACGACGGCCCGUUGUUGACGAAGCUGUUCGACGUCGUCCCGUUCACUCAUGUGCUUCACUUAGCGGCACAGGCCGGUGUACGGUACGCCAUGCAAAACCCACAGUCGUACGUUAAGUCGAACAUUGCUGGGUUUGUGAACUUACUUGAAGUAGCCAAAGCGGUGAAUCCACAACCGGCGAUCGUUUGGGCUUCGUCGAGCUCCGUUUAUGGACUCAACACUGAAAACCCAUUCUCCGAACGUGAUAGAACUGACCGUCCGGCGAGUCUUUACGCCGCAACGAAAAAAGCCGGUGAGGAAAUCGCUCAUACUUAUAACCAUAUAUACGGCCUUUCCCUCACCGGACUUAGAUUCUUCACCGUUUAUGGUCCAUGGGGAAGACCCGAUAUGGCUUACUUCUUUUUCACUAAAGAUAUUCUUCAAGGGAAACCCAUUGAUAUCUACAGAACCCAAGAUCAAAAAGCGGUGGCGCGUGACUUCACUUACAUCGACGACGUUGUGAAAGGUUGUUUAGGAGCGUUAGACACGGCGGAAAAAAGCACCGGUAGCGGUGGAAAAAAGAAAGGACCGGCUCAAUUAAGGGUUUACAACUUGGGAAACACUUCCCCUGUUCCCGUCGGCCGAUUAGUCUCGAUUUUAGAAGGAUUACUCAACACAAAAGCCAAGAAACAUGUGGUUACGUUGCCCAGAAAUGGUGAUGUCCCCUACACACAUGCCAAUGUCACGUUAGCUUACAAGGAUUUUGGGUAUAAACCCACCACGGAUUUAUCUUCUGGGUUGAGAAAAUUCGUGAAAUGGUACGUGAAUUACUUUGGGAUUGAAUCGAAACACUCGAAAGAAACCCAACAUUUCGAUGAAUCCAGUUAAGAACAAGCUUUCAUAUUUUCAUUUCCAUGGCUGCUGCCCGGUCCUUUUUAAUUUUUCAUUGUUAUUUAAUGGUUAUAUUGAUGUAAAAAAGAAAACCAAAAAAAAGAAAAGGGAUCAAAAUUGUUGCAAUUCUCGUUCAUGUAGAAUAUAUAAAUUUAUAGAUUUUAUAUAUAGAUUUUGAUGAAAUAUAUAGGAAAUGUGAAGAAAAAAAAAAGGGGGGACACAAUUAUGAAAGGGAGAGAGAAAAGGUUGUAGAUCUGUGGAGAUGAGGUGUAAUAAUUUGGUGGGCUCUGCUUAAGAAAAAGGGCAGGUCUUGACCGUUGAUUUUUCAUAUCAAAAGAAAAGAAUGAACUUGUGAUUGAACAACAAUGAUGACAUAAGAUUCUUUCUUUUUAUGCAUUUCUGUAUUUAUCUUGAGUUUUAUAUCUUAGUCAAGAUUUUAAGUUUUUUGUGUUAUGAAUGUUGUUUUUGUUUUUGGUGAUAGUGGAUUGAAUCUUGGCUUAUUGAUAUUGUUAUCGGUGUAGGAGGAUAUAAUUUGAGUUUGUUGAAGCGCAUUAUCUUCUUAUUUAAGAGUUGAUGAGAAGUUAUCGGUAAUUUUAGAUAUUCUAUUAAAAAGAAUAAAAAUAUUAAAAAAAAGUUAAACAUUAAUUUAGUAACGAUAGGUUCGAAUUUUAGAGAUCAUGAUAUUGUUAAGAGAAACAACUAUAAUUUUAAGCAUAGACCGUAAAGUAGACAUAUAAAAUACUUAAAAAAAAACAAUUGUAAUAAAAAGUAAGAAUCGAUUGAAUUGCUUGAACUAGAGGGAUUCGGACUCAAAUAGAAAUAAAUUAGUCUAGCCUUUCUCGGAGUAAUGAUACUCAAUGAAACGUAACAAAACCCAAACCCCGCACGAAAUGGAGGGUUUAUGUAAUCUUUAUAUUCUUCCGUGUUUAGAUAUUCUUUUAUUUAAUAAUAGAGUUCAAACUGUUCGAUGAAUUUUAAAUUUAUUUAAUUUUUAAAAGGGAAAGAAAAGGCGAGAUGUUAUUUUUUGAAUCUUAUAUAUUUAUUUUUAAAAAAUUAUUAUACAUUAUGCAGUAAACCCUAAAAUAAUUAUGCGGGAUGUUUCUUUUAUGUCUAUAUGUCGAAAUCUACAUCAAACGUAUUAGAAAUAACUAAUCAAUACCAAACAUUACAAUACGGGAAUAUUAUAGAUGUAUCCAACACUCAUAAAAGAUAUUCAAGUUUUAAUUAUUAGGAUAAGUUAAGAUCGGAUCAAAAUAGAGUAUACCAACAAUAAAUCCGCGAUGAAUUUAACAAUAUUUACUCCAAUUGGGUCCAAUUUCUAAAGAUUACAUAUUUGGAUUAAAUACAUGAAAAAGAUAUUCAGCCCCAAAAGGAAGAAAAAUUGAAGGAUGAUAAAGUUGAUUUAAUUGAUUAAUUAAAUUUUCCAAAAGACAAUAAUUGGGUGAACUUUCCAGGGUAGAAGACUUGGGAACCAAGCUUUUUCUCUUUUCUUACCUAAUAAAUUUUAAUUAAUUAAUUAAUUAAUUAGUUAAUAGACAACGAAAAGACCCCCGCUGUCUUUUUUUUCUUUUUUGUCUCUCGUAUUAUUAUUGAUCCCGUAUUUUGGAUACGACAUUAGAUUUUGGCAACCAUGCUUUUGAUCGUGUUAGUGAAGGCUAACAUAUUGAGAAUUUGUAUUACAUUUUUUUGAGAUAAAUUAAAUUUUUUUAUGUUAUAUUAAAGCGUAAAUUGAUUGUUAUACAUCAAUAUGAGGUAAACAUGGCAUGUCACAUGUUAUUAUCUAGUUAUUCCGUCAAUUACGUUAGUUUUUAACGGUACAAAAUGAUUAAAUUUUUAACAAAAAAAAGACCAAUUUACUUUUAAGUUUUAAUAUAACGUAUAAAGACUAAUUUACUCUUUUUCUGAAUAGAAAAGACCUCUAUAAUACUUUCACUAAAACUUAAACAUUCUCGAAGAUAAAUGUAAUAGACUCGAGUCGAAUUCAAAUAGUAAUAAGCUUAAAUCAAAAUUAACUCCUCGAUAUUCGAUACAAGCUCGAUUAAAUCGGUUUAUAAAUUUUUAGCACCGAAAUUCCAUCGAUUUUAAUUGGUGUAAAUGAAAACAUAUCAUCAAUCACAUGUUUUGAUUUAAUUAAGAUUUUAGCAAAUCAGAUAAAUCCAAUUUUUAUUUUAAGAUCUAAAUUUAUUAUUGUCUUAAAUUCACUAAUAUAAAUUUACUAUCAAUUAUUAUUAAUAGGUGAAUUAUCAACCAAAUGGUUUAAUCACGUGUAUCUCAUGUAUUUAAGAACACAAAUAAUGAGAAUUAUUAUUUAUUAUUAAUAAUAAUUCACAGCACAGUUUAUGUAGAUUUUUUUCUUUCUUUUGAGGGACCAUAAAUUAAAGUUGAAGCAACCUUUAAGGACUACACAAACAUGAGUUGUUUUAAAGCAAAAAAACAGAACAUAUUUUGUUGUGUUAAACCCCAAAGGAUUGCUUGUAAUUUACUUUUGUUUUAUUAAUUAAUUCAUUCGUUUAUUCCAUUAAUUAGUUGUAAAGUUGAAUUUGUGACAGUAAAAUACAUUAUAUUCAAAGAUUUUGAGAAUCUACACUGAGAUUUGAGUUUGAAUGUUGAAAAUGAAUAUAUAUUGAGAAUCAAAUUUAUUUUAAUGAAAAAAAAAAAAGUAAGUGUUCGGGUUUGAAUAUUAAGAAAGCGAAAAUAGUAUUCUCUAUUUACAAUUUUUUUUUUUAUUUUCGGCUCACGAUCUUCAAAAUAUAAAGACUACAUCGAAAAAAUGAUACUACUCACCAUCAAGCACCCUGAACAUUCUUCGUAAUCGAGGACAAAACCUUGAAGACAUGAACAUGGAAUCUGAAUGAUAUUUUCCAUUAAUAAACAAAAUAUUUCAUUUACAAAAUUAUAAAAACUUCAAAAAUACCAUUUGCAAAAUUAAAUAAUGUUUGAUUGUAAUAUUAUUUUUUACGCAUGUAUUAUUUUGAAUAUUCUCAUUUUUUACGAGAGUUAUCGCGCAUUUUUUUAAAUUUCAAAUUUACAUUUGUAUUAAUUAUUCCUUAUCUUAUGUCAAACCAUUUGUAAUACAUAGAUAAUAAAUAAGCUUUUUCUUCUUGUGAUUACACUUUUAAAAUAUAAAUGUUAACUAUAUUUCAAUUCGAAAUUAUUUGAUUUCAUUUAAUAAUACAAAAACUAAUUUGAUCAAAUCCCUAAAAUAAAGGGACACUUAAAGUACAUUCACCAAAAAUAAAGCUUCGAUAAUUUAGUUAUAGUUUGAAGACAAAUUAUAUAUCAAUAUAUUUACAAUCGCAUGAGCCCUGAAAUGUCAGUGAACAUCCAUUGUAAAAAGGACAUUCCCCAUAGUUGGUCGAAUACUCAUUAGCACUUUCAUGUGCUCGUCUUUCAUGAGUCGUGCUCGUGCUCACAUCACACCAUCAGAAUACGGGACAGUUAGCCCUAUUUUUAUGUGUAUAUAUAUAGUAGAACAUGCAUUGCCAAUAACUCUCGGAAUGUGAAAUACAUAGUAGAACAGGUAUUUCUUCACAUUUGGCAAAAACUGUAUUUCAUCCGAGGAAAAGAAUCUCCCUUCGAUCAAUAAAAGGGUAAGUUGAUUCGACUUGAAAUUCGAAGCUCAAAAAUCAAGAUCAAUAGGGUAUGAAUCUCAGCAAAUGAAAGAGAUAAAAAACUCACUAAAACUAGGCUGUGACCUGUGAUCUUACCUUUAGUCGUGUCUGCAUUUACCUUAUACUGAAAGCAAACGCCAUGAAAUUCCCCUGCAACGAAAGUAAAGAUACAUGCAAUGAAGAGCAUGUUAGAAUCGAACCAAGCAAUGUUGAAACUAGAAAAGCAAAGCUUACCUUGCCAAACAUAGAUAAUGUGUUGGGUAAAAACAUACAAACAAUUGGCAAAACUAAACCUUAUAAAAUAAGUUAUAAAGUAGUUGCAUAAGUUCAGCAAAUCCUUGAAACCAAAUGAACACAUUCUCAAAACUAAAUGCAUAUUAGCUAUGGACGCAUGUCCACGGACAGAUAAUAAUACUGGAGCCUAGAAACUUGAAUCUUCUCUGGAUCCACCACCAAAGCCUCUACUGCCACCGAAACCACCAUUGUUGCCAAAUGAACGAGGGCCGCUAGGUCUUUCAUUGGCAUAACUUACUCGAAUAUUUCUCCCUUGGAGUUCCUGAAAUUUUCAGUACAAAACGGUCAAUCUGUAGUUCAAAAGAAACAUGUUCUGCAUAUAAGUAAUUGUUUGUUUUCCUCACUUGUCCAUCCAUGGCUGACAAGGCAUUGCUGGCAGAUUCAUCGUCAGCAAAGUUAACAAAACCGAAGCCCCUGGACCUCCCAGUGUCUCUAUCGGCGAUAACCCGAGCUGAUAAUUGUAAAAGACAGAAUGAGAACAAGAAUAGAUACCAUCCUCAAUACCAUAAAAACUGUAAUGAAUUAUCAUUUAACAAUUUAAAAUCUCACCUUCAGUAACGUCACCGAAUCCAGAGAAUGCUUCCCUGAGACUUUGGUCAUCAGUUCCAUAUGAAAGACCUAAGAACCACAGAUUCAAUUCAAGUCAAAUACACAUUACAUGAUGAACAUCUAAUUUCUGACCACCAAUUGAACAUGUCUAAAUACCUCCAAUGAAAAGCUUCUUGGUUGAUGUCGACAUGCAACGAAGUGAAUUAAGCAUCGAAGAUAUCAUUGGGGUUUGCCCAUUUUGCCUAAAAAGGCUUCCAAGUUUGCUAGAGAAUGCCAUUAUAAUGCUUUCACUGUAUCAUUUUUUUUUGCAGCAACAAUAUCAAGCCAAAGGAACAAAAUCAAAACAGCAUGUUAGAUCAAAGCUAGAUAGUUUAAUUAAUAACCAAAACAAAACACACAAUAAAGAAUUACAUAAUGAUAUGAAGUUUCAAAAAUCCCUAAAAAUAAAUCCUAUUAUACUAUAAAUAAAAGGGUUUAUGAUCCCAUUAAAAACUUUAACUUCUCAUAACAUCACUGUUAAAAACAGGGUGAAAUUUUCCAGCUUUCUUCAAUCAUUCCUCUUAUAUGAAAGCAUUUACACCUCAUUAAUUUUUUUUUAACAUGCUUCAUACAUCAUAUGAACAAGAACAAUAUCAUAUAUAAGAAUUUUUCCACGAAGUCAUAGAACAAAGAAACAUGCAACAUAAACAUAAAUGAAAACAUAGAUAAAAUCAACAGAACAAGAUAAAAUUAACUAAAAAAGCUGAAACAUCAAAACAAAUCAGAACGAUAAACCCAGAAUGAAAUCAUCAUCUUAAGGAAAAUUUAGUAAACGGGUAAGUAUAAUUAGACCCAUAUCAUAAAAAAAAGCAAUGAUCUUUACCUUGAAGGGGAAGAAUAACAAGGAAAAUUAUGAGAGAGACACAGAGAUUUAAGGAAGCGGCUAGGGGUUUUGAAACAAACGAGAGAGAGUAAGCAAACAGCUAGGGUUUAAGAGUUAGACCCUCACGAAAUAUCUUUUUAAGCUAUUUUAAAGUCGGGCUCGUUUUUAGUAAAUAAUGGGUAAAUUCAUCCAAAUGCCACUUAACUAUUAUUAAGUUUAUGUUUUGAUCACUAAACUUUGAAAAAUUAAAAAAUGGUUACUGAAGUAUCUGAAUUUUUACAUUUAAGUUACUAGGUUGUUAAAAUCUUUGUUGUACGACAUUUUUUGUUUGCAUUACGCCAAUUGAAAACUCUUCUUUCCCUUCACUUCUAUAGUUUUUUUUCAUCAAACAACUUUCUUAUCUGAUUUUUUACACUUAUUGUUACAUCAACUUGGAUUUAAGGUAUGUUCUUCUACAUGUCGAUGGUUAUUGACCCACUGUACCGAUCAUUAAAUCCUAGCUUGGAGCUUGCUAGCUAAACUUUUUUUUUUAAAAACUUAACAGCUUAGUGACUUAAACAAAAACCUUUAAAUAGUUUAUUGACCAUUUUGUAAUUUUUUAAAAUUUAGUGAUCAAAACAUAAACUUAUUAAUAGUUCAGUAACAUUAAAUAGAAUUUACCUAAAAAAUAUUACAACUUUUCCAAUCAUUAUAAGGUAAACUACAUGAUUAAGUUUACGUUUUGAUCCAAUUAAUGCAAUUUGGUCAUGAUAUUGGUCAUUGCGUCAUUACACAUUAAGAGUGACGGAAAUCACUCGUCUUUCAUGCUAAGUAAUUUAGAUAUUUUUAUGUUUAUAUGGGUUUAAACCAAUACUGAGUCAUCUAAAGUUAUCAAUCUUUAUUUCAUCAUCCUCACUUCUACAAAAUAUUUUUAGUAAAAAUAAUGAAAAUAAUUUCUUUAUUAUUUUCUAGUUUCCACAUUUUUAUUUUUUAAAAAUAUUAAAAUUUUUAACAAAAAUAUAUUUUCUUCAAUAUUUUCCACUUUCUAAAAUCAAACAAAAUCUAGAUAAAUCAAAUGAUAGCAAAAAGAAAAGAAGAAGAAGAAGAAGAAGUAGUUAAAUCCCUUUACUUCCACUUUGCUUAAAAGAAAAAUGCUAUCCAAACAAGAGAAAAGAGGUUGCUUCUCUUACUCGUUAUUUUCUUUUGUUUUUGGUUAAUUAAAAAAGUAUGAAAAAACAGUAGGAUGAUUACAAGUAAUAGUACCGAGAAUUACUACUAGGAAAAUAAAUUAAAGAUCAUUGGGCCAUGCGAGUUCCCUAUAAUAAUUAUGACCCAUACCUCUAGCUAAUUUAGCUCUUAAUACAGGAUCGUUCAAGUCAUGUUUUUUUUGUUAUUAGCAUAGGUGAAUUUUUCUAGAUCCAUCCCUCAAAGGAACCAGACAUGAUAUUUUUCAUCAUCCGGCUCAAGCAAAAGUCAAUCGAAUCAAAUGGAUACAAACGAAUACCUAUAAAAUAAAUCUAUAUUCUAUAUGUUUAAAAUAAAUCUAUAUGUUAUCCCUACAUAUAUGAACGGUUCUAUAUGUAAAAAAAAAGUUACCCGAUUCCAUUUUACGGAGUUGCAAUUAUCCAUUCCGAGAAAUUUUAUCUUUACAGGUAAAUGCUCAAUACCUAAAUAGACAUACAAAGUCAAUCGUAAUCAAGUGUUAUAAUUAUAUUAGUUAUUGUUUAAAGUUCUGACAAAAACAAAUUCAGUGACCCAUAAAUAAUUACAUUAGAAUACGGAGUUAAAACUUAUAUGUAAAUAAAAAUAAUAUAGAUAAUUACUUCUACUUUACAUUUUUCACUUUAGUAUUAUUAUUAACUACAGCUAAAAACUAACUGAAAAUUGUACACUAAGCUUCCUGAAGGCUAUCAGAUGACAGUCUGAAGCUUUCUGUAUUUCAAAAUAUUUUGAAACUAGACUUGUUGGGACUCAUCGACCAAGACGAGCCCUCCAAAAAUUGGCGUAUGCCGCUUAGAACGGCGAGCACACGGUAUUCUUUAGUAAAAGGCGAAAGAAUAGUUCGCUCUGUGCUCACCGCACGGCUCCGUGAUCAUUCCUGGUGUAUUGGCGUUAGUUUAUAUACCUGAAGUUGGAGUGUUGGCCUAUGUUUGUUAUCGAUAUGGGAUACAGCUGCAAUAAAGUACGAUUUUAUCUUUAUUUCUCAGGACUUGAAAUCGAAAAGGGACCACGAGUAAAAUUUGCUAUUUAAUUAUCAUAUAUUAUCAGUACAAAUAAAUUAUUUGAAUAAAAUAUUUGUAAAUAUUUAACUCAAAAUCAUUUAGUCUAGCUCAUAAUAUAUUUUUUUAUUUUUCAAAAUUUUAAUUUAAUAUUUAGUUAUUACAUAUUUGCAUAAUUUUUUAAACUUUUACAGGACUUAUAUUUAAUUAAUUUAAUUAUUAUAUUUUAUAUUCUACUAAUUUAAAUUAUAUUUAUAAAAUUACGAAUUAAUUUAAAACAUGUAAUUAUUUGUUUGAUGGGAAAAAAAAAACACAUUAAAAAUGUAUAUAAGAAAAACAUGAUGUUUUUGAGUGUUCGGUCAUUUGCAGAGGGAACAAUUGUUGGGUUCCAAAGAAAUUGGAGGAUUUUGGGUUUUGCCCAUCUUGGCUAAACAUAAGGCAAACGCCUAUGCAAAGCCCCCCAUUGGGCCCUUAUGGCCCCUUUGGCCAUUAUAUCAAUAAUUAUUAUAUAAAAAAUAAUUAAGGGUAGAUUGAUUGCAUUUCGAUUUCUCUACUAAAAAUAUAUAUAUUUCGAGAGGUGUAAAUUAAUUUAUCUAUUAAAUUUUUCUGUAAAAUGAUGACAUGAUACGUUAAAUUUAUGUUAAAAAUUAUUUUUUUAUGGUUAAAUUAUAAAAAUGGUUUCAACUAUAUUUUUCAAUUUAGUCACUAAAAUUUUCGAAAUUAAAUAUUUUAGUCAUUUUGAGUUAAUGUAAACUUUUUUGAUUGGUUUAGUAACAAAAUUAGCACUGUUAUGUUUACACAUUCUAUUAAUUUGAUCCUAAAUGUAAAAAAAUAACAAAUUUAACCCUUAAUGUUUUCAAGAUUUGUCAUUUUAGUUCUAAUUUUAAAAAAUUCUAUAAAUUUGGCCCUCAGUAUUUACAAAAUCUUUCAAUUAGUUCUAACUCUAAAAAUUUUAAAAAUUAAAAAAUAUAUUUUUAGCCUUUUUUAUAACACAUCGACUAACCCAUGUCAGAUAUUAAAAUGAGAAAAAGAGUACUCUCUUUCAAGUCACUUGUAAUAAUUUCUUUUAUUGUAAUUUAGGCCUCACACCGGAUCAAACCAAUUGAUCUGAAACCUAUCAAGAAUAAUUGGUUGCAUUACUAUCCAAACAGAUAAUAUUAUUUUUAUUUUUAUUUUUAUGUUUUAUCCUAACUUUUUAAAUUUCUUUUUAGACAAUAUUUAAUUAGAAAAAAGAUAAGCUUAAAUUAAUAUUCUUGUUUGGCAAUGUCCAAUAUAAUUUUGUUGUCAACCUUAAAAUUUUGGUAAUCGAAUUCAACUCCUAAAAAUUAUUUUCAGUGAAAUAAAUACACAAUAAAAUUAAAAAAGAAAAAAAAGACAAACAAAUGUACAUAUAUAAUAUGUAAUAUUAAAUUAUUAAACGUUAUAUUUAAGUGAUCAAUAAUUAUAAUAAGUGGCGAAAUUAGGAGGGGCUCGGCCUUGUCUAAAAUGAAUUUUUUUUUCAUAUAGACCUUUUAAAAUUUUAAAAAAUUUAAAUUAAUAAAGGUAAAAUUACAUUUUGCCCCUCUAAAAAUAAAAAAUUAAUUUAAUUCUUUAAAAAUUAUAAAGAUAUUAUCUAUUAAAAUGGUGAUAUUGUAUUUUUUUAUCGUAAAAAUUACAACUUAAUUUCAACUCCCUAAAAUAUUUUCUGAUUUCGCCCCUAAUUAUAAUAUCAUAUAAAUAAAAAGCUAUAUAGUCAUGUUUAUUUUCGAUUUAUUGACUUUGUUAAUUAUUUAGCUUGACUUUAUAAUUGAAAUAAUUUAAUUAAAAAAGAGAAAAAAAAAUUGGAGGGGUGCAAUGGUAAAAGCAAAACCACAUGGGGGGAGAGUCUUGAGAUUCAAUCAUCGAACAUUUUCUUAUUUUUUUGCUUUAAUAUUCUCUUUUUAUAUUCAAUGAGAAAUGAUAGGGUUACAGGUGUAAUAAACAUAUGGAUGAACUCAUAGGCUGGGGUGUUGCCACGUGGUGAUUAUCCACUACUUAAAAAGAAAAUGGCUUUCCUUGCUGUAACUAAACUGACGGGUGAAGGAAGGAUUUGAUACAAAACCUCUCUUAUAAUACAUAUUUUAUAUUUAUUAAUAUUUUAUUUAGUUUAAAUUUUAAUUUAAUUUAGUUGAUAUUUAUAAAUAGUAUAUUUUAAAUCUAAUGUAUUGUUUAUAUUUUUCGAGCUUAUUAUUUUUCUCAAAUUUUAAAUAAAUAUUUAAAUUUAUAUAAAUAAAUCGAUCUAUUAACAAAUCCAUUCUCAGCAUUGCAUAAUUGUUGUUUUAGUCGAGUUCAAUUUUGAUUGUAAGAUUUCAAUAGAUGGGUUGCAAAUUUAUCAUUUUAUUAGUAAAUUAACGUUUUCAACAUCGGAUUAAUUAUUAAACUAGUUUUAUUGAUUCUCUGUUAGAUUGAUUUAAUAAAAUAAAUUGCUUUUAAAAAUUAAAAAUUAAUAUUAAUAUUAAAAAAAAUCAAUCGACUAUCCACUAUUCACAUGUCAAGUAAAAAGUAUUUAUAAGAUGUUUCGAGAUUAAUUCAAAUUAAUUCUUCUACCAUUAAAUUGAUCAAUUUAAUAAGGUUCAAUAUUAAUUAAUUGUAAUAUAUAAUUUAUUGAACCAACUCAAACUUAAUCCAUCCGAAUUAAAAAAAGUUAAAAUAUUAUCAAAUUACAAUUUAAUUUAAUUCGUAUUAUAUAAAUUUUGAUAUAUAUAUAUAUUUGGAUAAAAAGAUUUCUUCACCCCCUCUUAAUUUCAAAAUUGAAAAAAUUGAUUUCUUUAAAAAAAUCGAAACAAUUUAAUUUUGCCAAAUUUGAAAGAGAGUAACUAAGCAUAUUUAAUCACGAUAUUAAUAAUUUAAUAUAGUUCAUCAAUUAUACAUAAUUUUAAUUGGAGUAACAACAAGUUUAGUCCUUAAUAUUUACAUGUUUUGUCAAUUUAGUCAUGACUCUUAAAAAAUUAAAAAAAAUAACCUCAAUAUUUACAAAAAUAUUGCCAGUUAAAUUCAUUAAACCAAAAUAAUAUUGAGAGCUCAAAAUUAUGUGUAAUUAAUAAAAAAAUUAACAUUAAGCUUAAUUACCCUUUAUUUUUGAAAUUAAUAAAAAUUAAAUUACUCCCAUUUUUUUUAGGACUGAUUUUUUUUUUUUUACAAAAUAUUUGGGCCUUUUGUAGCUUUCUUCGUCGGCCUCUCUUAAAUUAAUUAAUUAAAAAUUGUUUUUGUUUGGAUUUGAUUUUCUUGUAAGAUUUUCUGUCUCGCGUCGAACCUCCGAAAAUACAAAUUAAUAAUAAGGCCCUCUUCUUUCAAAGAAGAGCUCUUUUAUAAUUUUCCUUUAUUUUCUCUCAAAACACCCAGCACUUCAAUACCCAAAAAAUUAAGGAAAAAAAAACCCACAAAAAAGAAAAGAAAAUCAUUUAACAGGUAGAAAAAAAAACUGGGAUUAAACUUUACUUACUUCUUCUACUUAUCUCUUUAAUUUGUAUUUUUUAUAAUUAAUUUUUUAUUAAUUCAAGAGCAAAAAAAGAAAAAAAAAAAAGAAAUAGAAAGGAUCUUGUUCCUUCCUACAAUGCCCAAUUUGUUGCGGGCAAGGUAAUAAUCUUAACCUUUCCUCAUUACCCUUCAAAUUCCAUUUUUUGUUUUUUUUAAAAGCUGAUUUUUUGGCUUUGAAUCAAAGAUUUUUUUUUUUUUUUUGGCUUUUUGAUCGAUAUCCAUUUACUAUUAAGGUACUUAGAAAAAGUAAGUUUCUUUCUUUAAAAACCCUUUUUAGGGUUUUUUUUUAAUUUGAUGGUUAGAGAAAAUUGGGGUUUUCUUAAUGUUUUUUCAAUUUUAAUUUAAUGGAUACUUGAUGUUAUCUCAGCUGAAGUUUUUGUUUGAUUGAUUUUUUUUUUGUAGGGUUUUCAUCCGGAUCAACAAAUUGGGGGGAAUUUCCCAAAUUGGGAACUGAUUAGGGUUCUGAUUAGAGUAUAAAUGAGCUCAACCUCUCGUUUUUGUAGUAUCGGAUUGAAGAGCUGUUUGUUUCGAGGUUUAAGUUAUUAAAACAGAUUGCUUAAAGGGAAAUGGUGAUUGAAAAGCUUUUGGACAUGGAAGAAGAUUGCUUUCGUAUAUAAUUGUGUAGAUAGUGAUUCAAAAGCUUGAAGAUUUAGUUGUUUUAGAGAAAUAGGGUAUUUGGGUUUUCAGUAAAAUUUUUAUGUGUUUGAUCUCAAUUUGGGGAUGGUUUUGGCAUUGGAUUAUAUUAUUGGGACAAGGAGGUGAUGAUUCUUUAUUGUGCUGCAGAUAACAGUGAGGGUCAGAUUGUACUGGACCAUUUUUGUUUCUUGAAGAACCAUUUGGUAUACCAUAGUUUUUGAGCUAGAAUUCUUGAUCAAAACAGCAUUUCUUUAAGUUAUAUUUCUAUUUGGGGCAUUAUUGAAGUAGCUUAGGGUAAAGCACCAGUAGGGUUUAGCAGUGAUUGGAGACUUGCUGUGGUGAUUUUAUUAUUUGAAGUGAUUCAGUCAUAGAUAGUUGACUUGGAGUUACAUUUGAGGUUAGGGAGAUUAAGGAGCUUGGUGGGUUUAGGAACUCUUUUUGAGCUAUUAAGAGUGACAGGAGUUUCAUGGAGGAACACUGAAGCUGGAAAUGUAUGCAGGGAUAUGGUGCAUGGAUAGGAGCAUAGUUACUUGUUGUUCCUUUUCCUGGACAUUGCUAUCGGAAGAUAAUCCAAGUGUUUUUGCGCUCAAAAGGCAUUCUUGUUUCGUGUUCUAAACUUCUGUGAAAUGUCGCGUUGCUUUCCUUUCCCACCACCAGGAUAUGAAAAGAAGGCUAGGACCGAUGACGUGGACUUGCUAAAUAAGGUUAACACCGCUUACUUACAUUAUGUAACAUUUUUAUGAUAGAAUUAGCAUUCAUUAGUAUCAUGAGAACAAAUUCCCUGAUCUGAAUUCGACGGUAACAUUUCCAAGUGAUGUUAUAAGGUUUCUUCUAUCUUGUCUCGAUGUAUAUUAUGUAAAUAUAGUGUUCUGUGAUUUUAUUCUUAUUGAUGAUUCAAUAAUGCCUUGCCUUGCUGAAUGAAGAAUUUUUAUAAUUUCAGAUUAGGUUGAUGGGCUGUAUGUUAUGAACUUAUAGCAACUGAAUCAUAUGGGAAUAAAUAGUUAAACUGCAGGCUUAUUUAAAAUGGUAUACUGGGAUUUCUUGUACUAAUUUGUAUACUCACCAUUAGGCACUAGCUGUGAUAUUUAUGAUUGAAUGGAAAUCUCAAGGACUAGUUAGCAUCUCAAUAUCUUAAUUAAUGGCUGAAUGAACAUCUCUAGCUGUGAUAUUUAUGACUGAAUGAACUCUAUUUAGUCUUGAAAUGUAUUCUAUGAAGUCCCAUUUUUUGCCUUAACCAAGUGAAUGCGUGAUUCUAGAGAAAACUGUGUGUUAGACUUAAUAGAGUAACCAUUCUGGUCAGUGCAUGAAAAGUCCUUACUCCUAUCUUUCACAAGAAGGCACCUAUUUCUCUAAAGGAAACAAAAAGAUAAGGCAAGAGUCCCUGGAUCACUGCAGCGAGAAUAAAACAUUUUAUUGAAGUGAUUAUUUAAGCAUAGUUAAUUGGGGGAUAUUUAUGUUGACCAUGACUAUUUGUUGCUUUACUGCAUAAUUUGAGAGGAAGAGUAUUUUCACAUUUGACAUCAAAUAUGUAGAUGAAAGCUGUCUAGAAUUGCAAGUGAAUCUGCAAUUAAGAAAAUGAUGUUUUUUGGUGUGUUUUUCAUGUUUUUCUUUCUCGUGUUUUAGAACACUUUACGUUAGUUUUGUGCCCAUUCAUAAUUUUCUUUCCCCUAUCCCUCUGGCUUGGGUUAUUGUGUGCUGGUGUUGAGAGACUAGAGUCAGUAGAUUAUAUUUCCUUAGUGUAUACAAACUGUUCAGAGCAGAAGCAGCUUCCCCCCUCCUACCCCCCACCUGAAAAGGCAAAUCUAUUCCUCUAAGCCUUCAAGUACAAUGCAUGUAUAUAUGUUAACAAUCAAUGGUGUCUGAAAGUUGAAUGGGACAAUGUGUGUGACAAGUAUAUUGCGCCUUGAGAAUUUCUUGUUUAAAGGAUGGAAUUUCAAGUGAAUAGAUCUUCUCUAGUACUUUGGUCUUGAAAGUGUCCAGGGAUGGUAAUGCUAAUCUCUCUCUGUUUGUUCUCAAUCUCUUCAUUACUAGGAUGUUUUUAAAUGUCAAUGAAAUCCACCUUGCUUUGGUGGCGUAGUGCAUAUCUCCUUUCUAUCAUCUAUUUUGUACUAAUGCCAUGAAGGCUGUGGUAUUACCUGAGUUCCUAUUUCUUAACAGCCUUGUUCUACUGCUUGUAUAUCCACAAAUUUAGGUUGACAACUGCUCCGUGGUCACCCUAUGCACCCAAAAUCUAGAAGAGAUUUUUGGAACAUUUUGGUGUACAGGCAGUACUUUAUGGAUUUGAAUAUCAUUUUCCAUGCUCAAACUAGUAGAAGUUGCUAUUUUUUCCUAGUUGUUUUUGCAUGGUUAAGCUCUUUGGACAAAAACUGAUUUUAUUCAUUAUGUAGUAUGUUAUGUGACGGGUAUUUUGUCUGUGAUUUAAAGUUUGGUAUUUCAUAAUUGUUAUAGCAUAUGACGUUUUAUGGUAGAGGUUUGUGGAACUUAACAAUCUAUUCUAGCUAGUGCCGUCUGUUUGCUGAUUCGUUAUAUUGGUGAAUGAUGGUGGUUCAACCUUGUCUCCUUUAAUUCCCUUCUGUCGUGAUUUUUCAGGAUAGAAUGCAUAGAUUAUCUUCUGCACUAAGCUGAUUUGUUAUAUUGGUGAAUGAUGGUGGUUCAACCUUGUCUCCUUUAAUUCCCUUCUGUCGUGAUUUUCAGGAUAGAAUGCAUAGAUUAUCUUCUGGACUAACUUUUAACUAAUCCUGUCUAUAAUUUCUUGAUGUACAAUUGGUGUGUAAUUUGUUGACUGAGGUAUUUUCUCAGUUGGUAUGCUUUAUUCGGUAUUAAUUGUAACUUGGUGCUAUUGGAUCUUUUAGUGUUACUUUCAACUUUUUAGGCUUACUGAAGAUAUGUUUGGUUGUUUCCGAGUUACGUAAAUGUUCUUUUGCAUUGGAUUUGUGAGACUAUGUUUUUCAAACAUCGUUCUCAAUUUUCAGGAGAAGCAAAAAGAGAAGUCACAUAAGAAGGAGAAGAAGGAGAAGAGAGAAAAGAAAGAAAAAAAGGAGAAAGAUAGAAGCGAUGGAAAGCAUAAGGAUAAGAAAGACAAAAAGGAAAAACACAAAGACAAAGACAAAAAGAAGGAAAAGAGUCGAGAUAAAGAAAAAGAGAGGGAAAGAAGUAAUAACUCGGAGGAAAAGAAGUUUCCUGGUCAACCUGAUGGUCAAAAUGGGGAGAAAACCUCAGAUGAGAAGAAAUUUCUGGAAAAACCUGAAGGUCACAGUGGGGAGAAGUUUAUCCAGAAAGAGAAGGGCAGGGAUAAAGAUCGAAGCAGUUUUUCAAGUGAGAAGAACUUUGCUGGGCACAUUUCAAGUUUUAACCGGGAGAAGAUCGGCCAGAAUAGUCAUCCGGCUCAAGGUUUUAGGGAUUCUAAAUUUGUGCAGGAGUUGGCGGGGAGAGUCAGAGAUGAAGGUGCUGGAGCUGCAAGCCAAUUGGCAGAUAAGUCUAUGGGUACUAACCGGAAAAGAGAUGAGGGAAUGGUCGGGUUUGUGGCUAAGACUGCCCACAAACCGGCUGAAGAGAAAGAAAAGUCCAAGAGAAGUGAUCAUAGGAGGUUCGAUGUGCAAGGGAUCAAGGAGGAGACCAGAGCUGGUGGAAAUGCUAUGGUUCCGAACCUUGCUGGGGCAGUUAAAGCUAAAGUUGAAGGGAUCCCCAAACAAGUGGAGAAUAAUACCGAGAAGCGAGGGGAGGGGAAAGAAAAGGUUAAAGAAAAAGAAGGUGAUAAUAAAACCAAGGAUAGGCGCAAAGAUAAAGACAGAGAGAAGAAAAGUCACGGCAAAGAUAAGGAUAGGGACAAAGCGAAGGAGGAGAAGGCGAAGGCGAAGGCGAAAGGUGAACAUAGGAAUUUGGAGCUGGAUAACUUAAAAGGAAGCAACAAAGAUGGCCCUGGGGGUAACAUUAAUCUGAAAACAUCUCAUCCUUCCAAGGAUGGAAACAAGGGUGUUGUUGCUGAGGAAAAUCUCCGCAAGCGGAAGGACUUGGAGAAAAAUGGAUUUUUUCAUGGUGAGUUUUAUACCAUGAUUGUAUAUACAAUCCCGCUGAUCACUUGAAACUUUUUUGGUGUUAGUUUAGGUAGGUGAUCACUUGAAACUUUGGUGUCUUUUAUCUGUUAAGAAAACCUGUCCAUAAAAUCGAGCAAUUGCUUUCAUGGCAAUAAUUUAUCAAAUUUUUUGUUAGCAGGGGCUAGAAUUGGAAAGCUCUAUAAUCAUCUUGGUAACAAGUUCCACUUUCUUUUUUGCUUUUUUCUUACAGUUGAUGACAUUAAACCCAAUAAGUUGCCCAAAAGUUCUUCCUCUCAACCGUUGACGGGCAAUGGAAGGACAUUGGAACCUUGUCAAGCUCCCAUUCCACUUACUUUAGAUAGCAAGGGGGCAGGAACCAGUCUUAAGGUUGAUAAUAAAGAACGCAAGGUGAAUGGCAUCAUUGAAGCUCAGCUGUUAUCUGUCUCCCCACCAAAGCAAUUAUCAUCAAGUGCACAAGCUAGUCAAAUUGAUGAAGUGUCUAUCAGACCGCCCCAUCCGGACUUGAAGUACUUGAGCCAGGUACUUUCAGUGCCCAAAAUGGAACAAUGGUCUGAUUUUGAUGACCAAUCAUGGCUAUUUCACAGUAUUGAAUCUCAAUCAAAGAAACCCAAGGUGGGAUUUUCAGAGAUUGACGAGCCACCACAAGUAUGGGCCGAGGCUCUGCAGAUAGAGUCGGCUGAUGUUUGUGCUCUCCCGUACGUUAUUCCAUAUUGAUUUAUCUUUAUUUAGUGAGCACAUGGUUAACCCUCCUACACUGCAGCAGGGUUUUGCCCUUGUUGGGGGUGGAUUCUUUGGUUUUAUUCAGCAUUCUUUUGUUGUCAAACUCUAGUGUUGCAGUGAAUGUUUUCGAACAACUGACUGCCAUAUUGAUCUGCCACGGCAACCAUCACGUUGGUCCAUCACGUCAUUCCACUGCUGGAAGUGUAGGGUGCAUAUCUGCGUCCUGGUACCAAGCUACUAAUUCAUUUCAAAGCACACAAACCGAUGAGAGCAACCGAAUGACUGAAGGGUGCCUUAAGAGAAGGUAAUGUAUAAAGCUUGUGCAUAUUCUUAUUUGAAUUGCUUAAAGCUGAGAUGGUCCUUUCUAAUUGAGAUUGUGAGAGAAACUAGCUGUGGUCUUUGCAAUUCCACUGCAAUUUUGAUUUGUAACAUAGAACUCUUAUAUUUACAAUAAAUGUAAGAUAGAGGGAAAAGAAGUAGUGGCAUUCAUUUAUUCACCUCUCCUGUAAGUGUUGUUCAUAUUACCAUUUUGCUUUUUGUAUACAGUUAUAGGUUUUUUCGAUCAGAUUUGAGUCUCACGAAGCUGUCUUGGUCUUGAAAUUAACCAAACCAUUAUUCUGUCUGAAACAUCCUGUUAGUUCUCAUAACCGUCUUAUAUUCAAUCCUCUGCCAGUGUCUGGAUUCUUCAUGCUUGUAAGCUACGUUAUUCCGACUCUUCUCAUUUUUCUCAAAGUAAUCGUGUCCAGACAUGGAUGUGAGGAUAUGACCGUCAAACAUCUUCAUAUACAAAGGGAACUUAGAAAUAUCUGGUUUUACCCAUAUUAGAAUAUAGAUCAGACCAGUUGAUUCAAUUGGGAACUUUUAGGUCAAGUAGUUUGACUGUAUUGAUUUAAUCGAAGAUUUUAAGAACUGGUGAAAACUGGAAACCGGAAAUCAGAUGACCCGGAAAAGCUACGGUGAACUCAAAAUUUGUGUAUUUUUAAAGAACUUAGGGUGCGUUUGGUUCGCUGUAUUGGAUUAGAGGUGUAUUGGAUUAGAGGUGUAUUGGGAUUAGAGGUGUAUUGGAUUAGAGGUGUAAUAGCUAAUCCACUGUUUGGUUGAAUGUAAUGGAAUAGAGGCGUAAUAGUAAUCUUGUGUUUGGUUGAAUGGAAUAGAGGUGUAAUAGCAUAAUGGAAAAAACUAAAAUGACUAGAAUACCCUUAGCAUAAAAUUGUUUUGGUAAAUGAUUAUUGUUAUUGUUAUUUAAAUUUUAAUAAGAUUAUUAUUAUCAGUAAUAAAUAUUUUAAUCAUAUUUAAACAUAAUUAUAAUUAAAUAUAUUUUAAUUAAAAUAUAUAAUUUAAUAAAAUUCUUAUAAUUAGCAGAAAAUUGUUUUGGUAAAUGAUUAUUGUUAAUGUUAUUUAAAUUUUAAUAAGAUUAUUAUUAUCAGUAAUAAAUAUCUUAAUCAUAUUUAAACAUAAUUAUUAUUAAAUAUAUUUUAAUUAAAAUAUAUAAUUUAAUAAAAUUCUUAUAAUUAGCAGAAAUUUGUUAUUGUUAUUUAAAUUUUAAUAAGAUUAUUAAUAUCAAUAAUAAAUAAUUUAAUCAUAUUUAAACAUAAUUAUUAUUAAAUACAUUAUAAUUUUGGUAUAUAAUUUAAUAAAAUUCUUAAUAAUUCAUAUUCUUAUAUGAAUUUACUCAAAUCAUAAUAUAAUGAAAAUUUGAAAUAAUUAAUAUUAAAUAUAUUUUAAUUAAAAUAUAUGAUUUAAUACAAUUUAAAAUAAUUAUUAUUAAAUAUAAUUUCAUAAAAUGUUCUUAUGAAUUUACUAAAAUAAAAAUAUAACUUGAGAAUUAUUUUCUGCAUAAACAUAAUUAACUUAUACUAAGAAAAAGUUAGAUGAAAAUGAAAUUAUACAUCAUAAUCCAUAUGUUAUAUAGUUUUACAACAUCAAAAAGUUUGAACAUUGAUAUUUAAUGGUGAGAAAGAAAUCUUUUGACCCAUUCCAAUCGGGCAACGGAAGGUAAACUAAAGAAAACGAUNNNNNNNNNNNNNNNNNNNNNNNNNNNNNNNNNNNNNNNNNNNNNNNNNNNNNNNNNNNNNNNNNNNNNNNNNNNNNNNNNNNNNNNNNNNNNNNNNNNNUUGAAGCUUUUUCUUCCAUAUUCUCUUCUGACUUGUGCUGAACUACCACCUCGGAGGCAAUACUCCUACUGAUUUUAUCGCCAACGGCCUGGAUUUUUUCCCCCAACAAGGUGGCAGCCUCCUCAAAUGAAGAAUACACAUCAUCACGAGCAUUAGAUUUCUUCUUUCUCUUGUUUGAAGAUGAGGAACCCCCUUGGUCUCUAUCUCCUCGCGAAUCCGUACCAGAAACAUCCAUGUCGUCUAAAGAGACGUCAGCUUCGCAGUCAUAGAAUGUGUUUCUCUCUUCAUUCAUAUCUGUAGUACGUUCAUCCUCAGCAUGUAUUUCUUCAAGAACAUCAGCAGCUGUUUGAGCGUCUUUCCCAGUCGCCCGAUCUCUUGCGUAUAUGGCAGUAAGCUGGUUGUAGUAAGGGAAAGAACGAUGUCUGAACUGAGAGGCUUCUUUGUGACUCUAAAAAAAACGAGGAAAUCAUAUUAGUCCAUGUGUUUUGUAAAAAAACAAAUUAAUACUUGAAAUACAUUUUACCUUAACAUAGGAUUCCCAAACAGCAUCUUCAGCAACAACGAGCUGCCUAUGCUCGUCCCAACCAAAACCGCUGUUGUUCUGACCAUUAAGCAUGUCGUAGACGACUGACCAUUCCCUUUUUAGGCACCUAAUCCGAGAUUCAAUAUUUGGUCUCGCCUUCAACAUUGCUCUUGGUAAAGCCUUUUCUAGCAUUUUCUCUAGCUCGUUCAAAUAACCGGCUUUGAACCCGGUAUCAGCAUUAAAUGUUCCUACAUUGUGCAAAUCCACCAUGCAAGAAAUCAAGGCUGCAUCCUCUUCUGGAACCCAUUUUCUUUUGCUUCCUCGAGAAGCUUGAGAAGAAGCACCNNNNNNNNNNNNNNNNNNNNNNNNNNNNNNNNNNNNNNNNNNNNNNNNNNNNNNNNNNNNNNNNNNNNNNNNNNNNNNNNNNNNNNNNNNNNNNNNNNNNNNNNNNNNNNNNNNNNNNNNNNNNNNNNNNNNNNNNNNNNNNNNNNNNNNNNNNNNNNNNNNNNNNNNNNNNNNNNNNNNNNNNNNNNNNNNNNNNNNNNNNNNNNNNNNNNNNNNNNNNNNNNNNNNNNNNNNNNNNNNNNNNNNNNNNNNNNNNNNNNNNNNNNNNNNNNNNNNNNNNNNNNNNNNNNNNNNNNNNNNNNNNNNNNNNNNNNNNNNNNNNNNNNNNNNNNNNNNNNNNNNNNNNNNNNNNNNNNNNNNNNNNNNNNNNNNNNNNNNNNNNNNNNNNNNNNNNNNNNNNNNNNNNNNNNNNNNNNNNNNNNNNNNNNNNNNNNNNNNNNNNNNNNNNNNNNNNNNNNNNNNNNNNNNNNNNNNNNNNNNNNNNNNNNNNNNNNNNNNNNNNNNNNNNNNNNNNNNNNNNNNNNNNNNNNNNNNNNNNNNNNNNNNNNNNNNNNNNNNNNNNNNNNNNNNNNNNNNNNNNNNNNNNNNNNNNNNNNNNNNNNNNNNNNNNNNNNNNNNNNNNNNNNNNNNNNNNNNNNNNNNNNNNNNNNNNNNNNNNNNNNNNNNNNNNNNNNNNNNNNNNNNNNNNNNNNNCUCACAAUUUGUGUAUCCAGCAUCAACUAGAUAAUAACAACCUAUAAAAUAAAUUGGCUAAAAAAUGAUUAAUUCAGCAAACAAAGUUUGAUCUUAAUGAAUAAUUCAAAUUCCUCUAACUAUACAUUGUACCAUGAGGAACUUUUAGUACCAUGAGGAAUCCUUGUUCAUUUAGUGAAACAAAGUUGUUUUAUGUUUUGGUUUCUUUCUCCCAAUCUUGAUGCUUAUAAAGUUGUAGAAAACGAAAAUUUUAAAGUGAGAUAUCAUGUGCAGUUCAGUAGUGGUUUUAUUUUUUGUUCAGACUUCAGAGGGUUCAUGUGAUUAGGCAGGUUAUUUUUGACUAAUUUUGUUGUUUGUUUGUCUUCCUGAGAUAAAAGUGACUAGUUUUAUAUUUCAAAACAACCAUAAUUGAGCAAGCACUAAAGGAUAGAAAGGAAGUAGAGGGUGAAAAUGUUGCUUAGGAGGUAGAAAUCUAGAAAGAAGAGAACUAAAACACCACAAAAACCUGCUAGUAGGAAAAUGAAACAGCGAGCUAGCAUGUAAGCUAUAUAUAAAACUGUGAAAAGGCUAAACUUAUAUUUAUGAACCAUAACAAUCCAAUCUCCAUCAAUGAAACUAACUGUAGUAAAUGAAUAUUCAUAAAAUUUAAUCCUACUACAGUUGCUAGCUUAACUACUCUUGAACAAUAAACACCAAACAGGUCCAAACCCCAGCAUUAACAAGCACAAAAAAAUAUAUUAUAGAGGGAACAAAUGCCCAUGGAAAGGGUAAAGAAACCUCAUAAAGCCAUCAAGCAAACAACUCGCAACAAGAACCAUUAAUAAAUGGUACAAAUUAACUACCAAAAUUGAACAACAUUUUCCCAGAAAUUUUCCAAGAUGGAUUCUUUAAGAUGUCAUUUGUGCGAAUGAAUUGACUAAAGAAAUGAAUAGCAAACAUGGUAUUUAGCAUUGUUGAUUUUUCAUGAUUUUGGCGAGAAUGAUCUUUCUGUGGAACUUGUAGGUUCAUACAAGUAGAACAAGUCUUGGGGUAUAUAUUGAUUUUGAGAUUGUUGAAUCGAGUACUGAAGAGUUUAGGAGCAACACAACUUGAGAUGAAGAAUGAAUGAAGAAAAAUAGCAAAUGUCCCAAUGACAGAUGAAAGCAAAGACAAAUAUAGGGUAGAGGGGAAUAGAUCACCAGCCAAAUGAAGCACAUCCAAAUGGCGGUAAAAGUAUAAGGAGGCCCUGCAAUAGGAAUCAAAUUGUAUUUUAAAUUAUUCAUUGUCCAUUAGAUCAAAGAACAAAUUAAUCCUUUCUAUUAAAAAUUUCAUUCAUUUGUACUCUUAAAAACUAGCAUAACUAAUAGAAUAAUGUGACACGUGGCAUCUACCUCAUACUAAGGUAUGAAGACUAAAGAAUGACCAGUUUGCUCUUUGAUGUAAUGUACAAAUAUUAAUUUACCUAUUUUUAGUAAAAGAAACAAAAUACAAUCUGAUUACUAAUAGAGGAGCCAGUGUCAAUUUCAAAAAAAGCAAAAGAGUCAAUGAUCAUACCAAACUGAAAUCACAUAUCCAGCACAUCAUCAAUCUCCCCUAACAGCAAACAACCAUUGCAGUUUCAUAACUAUAUUCAAGUAAAUAAACUAACGAGUGAGGCGAUAAGAUCGGACUGUGUAGUCGAAAUUGCCAAUAGCUCAUGUGAAAACAAUCUAGUCUCAAAUACCACAAAGAAAACUGCAAUGAAAAGCAUACACAACUCUGUUCAAAUUCUUCACAAAAAACCUGUUUAUCAAUUAUUGACCAUAGUGGUUAACAAUUUAGAUCAAACAUACAUAAUGUGGAAUGAAUUUAGAACAAACAGAAUCCGGCAAACAUUUCACUCGGAACUGAUUGAUGAUAUAAUUGAAUUAUUGAAUCCAAUCAUAGAGAACUAUUUACCUAAUGAACUAAUCCUACUACAGCUGCUAGCUUAACUACUCUUGAACAAUAAACACCAAACAGGUCCAAACCCCAGCAUUAACAAGCACAAAAAAAAUAUUAUAGAGGGAACAAAUGCCCAUGGAAAGGGUAAAGAAACCUCAUAAAGCCAUCAAGCAAACAACUCGCAACAAGAACCAUUAAUAAAUGGUACAAAUUAACUACCAAAAUUGAACAACAUUUUCCCAGAUAUUUACUCAAGCCCACAUUUAUUUAGACCAAACAAUAUAACUUUAUAUAGGACGCAAUAGAGAUGGAGAGAACCUGAAGGUUAUGGGAUUUGAUAUAGCUCCAGAUAUGCUUAAAAGCAUCGGAACGGGAAGCCUCUGGGGCUCCAAGGAAUCGAGCCAAAGUAGGAGAAACAGGGGUAAGUUUAAAAAUCCCAGAGGGUCGAGUGGUAGUUCGAGGAGUAGCUGGUUUUUCAGUCUUGGGUUUUGAAGCAAUUUACAUUGCUAAUUAAAACAGAGAAAACGAGACAAUUUACAUUGCAAUCGAGUUCCAAUUUCCACCAGCAACAAAAACCUUUAAGAAAUAGAAAUCUACUCGGAACUUAAGCUAAUUAAAAUACAGGAAUCCAUAUAAAUUUGAGAGCAAAAGAGAGUUAGAAAUAUGAAUUUACCUUUCCAGUUGCAGUAAACUCCGAAAAUAAAAGGUUGAGAAGGCCAAGCGUCGAUUCUAUUGUAAUCUUCAGCAAAAGAAAGACAGAAGGAAGAAACAGAAGACGGAAAGGGGAAGCAUGAGGGUAAAACAGGGUCUAAAACUCAAGCAGCACCUAAUCUGAGAAAGAGGAACGUAAUAGAAAUCGGUGGAUUUUGGGGAUUAGGGGUGUAAUGUAAUAGACGGGUAUUAGCCAAUACCCUGAACCAAACAGAGGAUUGAAGUGGGAUUAAAUAGGGCCCACCGAUUAGGGGUGUAUUGGCUUAGCCAAUACACCAAACCAAACAAGCUCUUAAAGUUAUGGGGCUUAUUAAGAUUAAAUACGAGCAAUGCUGUUGCCUGUUGCCUGCUUGAAGUACGGUAACGGUAUUUAUAAUCUUUACUUCUGUUUAAUGCAUUUACGGAUAAUAUUAUUAAUUUCAUCAGCUCACUGAUCUUGUUCUUCACACUUCCAUUCGUAUUUGUGAUUGAAUCUGAAACCCUGAUCGGUUUAACCUUUGUUUCAAAUUUUUUUACUCAUCAUUGUAAUUUGAUGGAAAGAAUGAUUAUACCAUAUACUGUGAUCAUUUGUUAAAAAACAAAGCGUAAAAUGAAAAAUCACAAAGAGGCUUCAACUUCAAGACCAAAAUAUGAGCAAAGUAAAAUUUAAGACGAGCAAGUCAAACUCUGAUAGAUUUUAUGUACAUAUUGGAAGACAAGUUCUAAAAUUAGCACUGGAAGUCAUAUAUUUGAGCAAUGCUAUAUAUAUACAAGAGAAAGCCAAAAAAGCUAGCAGAAGGCGUUUCAUGUUUUGUAUGAACAGAGGUUGAAAGGGAAAUUCUGUUUUAUAGUUCUUUAGAUAAUUCUUCCCUUUGCCUACGCAUUCGAGCUCCCCAUGACAUGUUUCCUCCGGCAUCCCUGUUCAUGCUUCUUCUCUUCAGCUCUGAUAGCUGAGAUUGCCAUCGAUUUUUCCACUCACUCCGAUCUUCUAGGUCCUGGUUGUGAAGAAAAUGUAAGAAUUUAAAGCGAAAACGUAAUGGAUUCUCUCAACGGACCAGAAAAUACGACAUCUGACAGUAACGCAGGAAUGUCGAAAGACUCUAAACAGUUAUGCGUAUUUGUCAGCCCUGAAACAAAUUAUUACAGGCUAGAAGGAAAGCAACUUUCAUCAGAAAACAAUCCAAAAGUAGAAGGUUCAGAAGAAGAUAACAAAAGCUUAAGACUUGCCGAAUAUCAUAUAGUAUAAUUAAGGGACCAGACAAAACUUAAGGACUUCAUCAUUAGCGGUAUUUAGUCACAACAAGCAAAUCCUACUUGCAAGGAAAGCAACAAAUGAGGUCUCUCUGCUUUGCUUUAAUAACCAUGGCAAUUUGAGGGAGUAUGGCAGGUGCCCAUGUUUAAACCCGAGAGUUUUAAAGCAUACACGUGUGGCAAUCACAUCUUGCUCAUAUGAAAUCUAUCAAAGUUAAGGAAAUGUUUGAAAAUGAUGCAUCAAGAAACAACUAAUAAGUUCCAAAGCAAAGGAGAAGGACUAGUUAACCAUCAUUAACAUUUGCAAAGACAAGGGAGCUAGCAAAGGCAGUUUCAUCGUAUUGCAAAGUAUAUGAAAACUCCAGGUAACUUAUAAACGGAAGUCGAACUAACAGCUUAGACUCAAAGACAAAAUGAACACAUUAAACACUAUAAGUGUCCAUUAAUUUUGCAGAAAAUGACUUCUAGAAACGAUGUCCUCGUUUACUAGUAUUUCUUUCACGAGAGACAACUUGGUCAAUGAAAAAUUAACCCAUUCUUCCGGAAAAUGUCUUAAGCUUUAAGCACUAUAGAUCCCCUACGAAUUGAGUUCGAUCCCACUUUAAAGCAAAGCAUAAAAAAGAAAUCCUAAGUAUUGUUCAAUUCUGUUUAUAUCAAUAGAAAUUUGCAGAAAAAACAACCACCGACAAAAGUUAUAUUAAACUGGAUGACCCAACAAAUAGACUAUCAAUUUUCUGAAAAAAAAAAGUAGAAUUUUCAUAAACCAAUUUUCUAAAAGAUGUACCUAGUCUACACUUCAAUACCCUUGAAGCUUUAGCAAAUACAAUAAUUUUUUCUAUGUUCUAAUUAUAUUGGAAAGGACCAAGUUUCCAUAUGUUUCUCUCAAUUUCAACAGACAAAAUAUACUAAAUUUCAACCAAUCCCAACUACAAUAUAAAUUGAAAAGUUUGUCAAACCAUCAAUCCAAUACCCUAAAUAGACAUCAAAAUUAUUACAAUUUGAAAUUCCAACUUAAAAGCUACCAAAGUUCAAAUCUUGGAGAAAGAAAUUAGAUUCAUGGAAUAGAACCAAAAAAGUUUGAAAAUUCCCAUAAUAAAAAGUGAAAAGAAAAAUAAUUGGUCAAAAACCUAUUUCAAGAGCAAAACAAAUAAAACCCAGAUAUGAAAUGCUCCCAAAAACAUUAAAAAAAACCCAAAGUUAGAAUUAAUAAGAAAAAUAGAAUAGAAUAUAAAAGAAGAAUACCUCAUCGUAUUGAUAACGUCGUCUAGCAGAGAAAGCAAGGUGAAUCCCCAAAGCUAAAUCCUUAUCAUACAAAGCCCUCGUCCUUGGAUCCGACAAAGUCUCAUAAGCUUCCUGGACCCGUAUAAAGCGCUCCGUAUACUCCUCGACCCGAUCCGGCGGCGAAACAUCCGGGUGGUACUUCCUUGCUAGCUGCUUAUACGCUUGUUUUAUCUCCAACGAAGUACCCGUUUCUGAUAUCCCCAGUAACUCAUAAAAACUCAUCUCUUUCCUCGCUUCAUCGAUUUUCGCCUUGAUUUUGAACGACCCAAAUUUAAUCCGGGUCGGUUGGAACGUUCUACGUAACUUGAGGAAGGAAGUUUCCGGCGAAAAGAAUCGGGCGUCUGUCCCCGGUAUCGCUGUCAAUCCAUAACUGCAACGCAUCUUGGGGGGGGGAAUUGGAAAGGAUUUCUUAGCCAAUUAUGAGGGAAAUUUGUUCAUUAGUUAAGUUUUGCAAAAAUUGAGAUGAAAUUUAGAAGCAAAAAUGGCAAUAAAUUAUGAGAAAAAGGGAGAAAUUAUUGGUUGUGUGGAGAGGGAAGGAAGAAAGGGAGAUUAGGAAGGGAAAGUGAUAUUUUGUGGGGGAUGAAAGUGAAAGGAUAAUUUGUUUGGAAGGUUUUGAAGACACGUGUCCCUUCUAAACUCGAAACCUUUAUUAAGCUUUGUUAUAUUUACCUUUCUAAUUACGAAAUUGAUAUGAACUUCAUCAAUGAAUCUUAACUCGAUUGUCAUAAAUAAAAAAUAUGAAUUCAAGUGUAUUAAAAUAUAUUAUUUUAAUAAAAGAUUAAGGAAACUUUUAAAUAUUAUAUAAAAAAAUUAGAUAUGAUAAGAAUAAAAAAUUUUCAAAUUCUUUUUAAUAUUACGUAAACAUAACAAACUAACAUAGUAUUAUGUAUAUAUUCUAUGUUUGAUAGGAGCAUUAUUUGUUCAUCACGUUUUUUGAGUUAACAAUAAAUUAAUUUCAAUUAGUAAUUUUCAACCACUCACUCGAUUUGUUUUGGGAGAAGAGAAAAGUUUUUUUCUUCUUAUUUUGUAGAGGUCAUAUUUUUAUACGAGUUUUUACUUAUUUUUUCAGUUUUAAGUUUAAAUUUAUAGUAAUUAUUCUUUAUUUUAUGUCUAAUUAUUAUAGCAUAUAAUUAAUAAAUAAUAAUUUUCUUCAUCUUAUUAUUUAGUAACUGAACAAGAUAAUAACGACAAUUGGAUUAGAAUUAAAAUUUUAAAUUUUAGAAAUUAAAAAAAUAUCAAAUUAAAAUACAAAGAUUAUAUUGAAUUUGAAUUAUAUAAAUUAUAUGGAUAUGUUUAGCAAAAAAAAUUACUCAACAAAAUGGGAAUGAAAAAUAAAUAAAUAGUCAAAUAUUGAAAAUAGUCUUAGACUAAAAUAAAUAAAUAAAUAAAUAAAGUAAACUUAACAUGUUUUUGUUAAGUGACAAAAUAACUUUUAUUUAUCUAUCAUUUUCAAUAUUUUUAUUGAGAAAUCCAAUUAAGUAGUUUUUAUCCUAAACAUGUUUAGAAAAGUAAAUUAUUGAAAAGAUGAAUUUUCAAUUAGUUAAAUGUUUUUAUUGACUAGUCAAAUAAACCCUAAAUCUAUAUAUAUAAUUAAUAUAAUUAACAUAUUGUUUAUACUUUAAAGGAAAUUUGGGAAUUGUUUCAUUUUAUAAAAAUAUAAUGAUUUAUUUGACCCUUUAAUUUUAUAAAAAAUAAUAUUUAAUUUUUCGUUUUUUAAUUUUUAAACUUAUUUUUUUAUCAAAUCAUCCUAAAAUAGAUGGAAAAUUAAUAUUUUUAACUUUGCUGACUAGACAUACACAUGGAUUAUCAAGUGGAUGUCAACAUUUAAUUAAUUUUAAAAAUUCAAAUAUAUAUAAUAUUUUUUAAAAUUGAAAAUCAUCAAAAUUAUUAAUAAAGUAUAAAAAUUAUAAAAAAAUAUUGUUUUAAUAUUCUAAAAAUUAAUUAAAUGCCACGUGUAUACCACACCAAUAAAAACACAAAUUAAAAAAAAAAGACGAAAAGAUGAAUGAAGUGUUAAAAUAAGUGAUUUAAAAUUAGAGGGAGACUUUAAUCACUGUCUGAGAAAAUACUCACAUUUUGAGGCAGAACUUUAGGAUAUUCUAGACGGACUCGUCAUAUUAUUAAAUAAAGGAUACAAAUGAUCCACAAGUUAGACUGAUAAUCUAGAGGUGCUUAAAGCUUUGACUAUGAAAGAGAUGAUGGACUCCAGAAUUACUUUACUCAAAAAGAUUCAAAGACUUAUGCUUUCUGAAGGACAUCGGAAAGUAAGGUGCACAAAUAUUGCAUUUUAAAUGCAAAUCAAUUGGCAAAGACUAACUUUACUUAAUAGACAAGCUUACAAAUCCUUGAAGUGCCUCCUAAUAUAGUGUCUUCGGUUCUUCGACAAGACAAAGCAUUUAGUAUUUCUUAAUAAUUGAUUUGAUAUUAUUUUAUUUUAUUUUUCAAAAUAAAAAAUAGAGGGAGAAGUUUGGUUUGUAUAAAUCCUAACCCCUAACCACGUGACAUCUCAGAACCGUUACUUUCAAGUCUAAUCAUAAAAUCAUUUACUCUGGAGUUUGGUUUUAUCUAUUUUCUCAAAAAAAUUGCAAUACCAUUUGAGAAAUGUCCAAAUCAACUUUUCAAAAUUUCCACAUCAUGUCACGUAACCCAUCAAUUCUCUUCAAUUUCAUUUGUUCUUUUUUUCUAUAAUAUAGUUUUAUAUAUUAUGGUUGAGUCAAUUGUUAAAUUUUUAGAUUUAUUAUUAAGUUUAAUUUACAAUCCUGCAAAUUUUUAAAAAUUCAAUUAAUUCGCUUUUUUUUUUUACCUUACACAAAAACUUAUCAAUUUCAACCCAAUCUCCCUUUUUUUAUUUUUUUCCUUUUUAACUUGCUCAUUAUAUUUUAUCCUUUAAUCAAUUAAGUCUUAACUCGAUUAGUAUAAACAUUAUUACUAGUACAGGAAAACACAUUAUCCUCAUAUUUAAAUAUUAAGAAGAGAUUAUGAAUAAAAAAAUUUCUAUAACUUUUCUGACUUGGACUGUAAUUAUUUUUAAUUUUUAAAUUUUAAUUAAAGGCAUGCAAAUGAUUUUCUAAUCCUAGUUGUAAUAUAAAAAAACUCCUACCCUAGUAUAUAUUCAGUGACUAUCCUUUAAACAUUGUAAUAUAUAUUUGGGACAAAACAACAUUUAUUAAUUUUUUAUUGACUUGAUAGCCUUUUUUUCUUAAAAUUAUAUUAUUUACAUAGACAAAUAUUAUGUUUCAAAAAUUUUGGGACUCAAAUGAAAAAAAGGGAACUGAAAUAGAACCAAAAAGAAAAAUGUUUGGUAGAGACUUAAAGAGAAUUGACCCAUUUAUCCUAUAAUGCAUAAAUGAUAAUGAUAAUGAUUUCAAAUUAGGAGCUAAAUUACAGAUUAAUUAAGAAUUUGUAGUUAACAACAAAGAACACAGCUAAAUAAAGAAUACAAAAAUUAUGAAGUACAGUGUGACAUCCAAUUAGGGUUUAGAGAAUUAGGUUAAAAAAUUAUCUUAAAUGCAGCAUCGUUUUGAUGUCUGCUUCAUCGCAUUCCACACAUGUUCCCAGAUAUCCUCUAAAGGCCAUCCAAACACGUUUAAAAAAAUAACUAAAAUAUUGCUUUGACUCUUCAUUUUUCUUGAAAUAUACCCUCUAAACUCUCCAAACCAUGAAAAUGAAAAAAUUGAACAGUCAUGUUAGAAAAAUAUUAGUAUCAAUCACGCACACAUGAAUCCAAGUAAAUAUAGUGCUGCAUGCUAACUCAACAAUUUCCAGUGUUUGACAUCAAGGCUGCGCUCUUAUACCACCAUAUCCAUGCCUCCUAGAACAAAAAUACAAGCCAAAAAAAAGGGGGUGGGAGAGGAAAAAGAAAAAAAAAAUCUGGAAAGAAGGGGGAAAAGAAAAAAAGAAAAAGAAAGAGGAAGACCGAAGACGAUAAAAAAUGGGUGAGAUUUCGACAAUACCAUCACAGGCCUAAUAGAAAUCAACCAUAACAAAUCAUCAGCUGUCUACCAAUUCCAAAUUAAAACAAAAAUGACUAAAAUAAUAAUAAUAAUAAUAAAAUCCCUUGAGUGUCAUCACUUUAUCUAUGCAAGUCCCUAUACUUUUGUUACACUCAAAUAAACCCCUACCCUUUAUACCUUUCAUUUGAAAUAAAAAUCUUUAAUCAGGUACAAAUCAAAAGAUAAAAAAACUAAUUUGGGACUUGCUUAAGAAAAGUGAAAUGGUUCAGGAUUAAUUUUUUUAAUCUUUUAGCCAACAAAAAUUUCACUCUCAAGUAAGUCUCAACUACAAGCUAAACCCCAAAGGAAAGGCCAUGUAAUGUUUCAAUUCUAAAAUAGGAAACCUGGAAAUGGUUGACAUUAAUUUUUCCAGGAGACAACCAUGCAACAAAGUAGAAUGUAAUGAUUUCAAAUUUCUUCCUUGAUCAAAUAGAGUUUGAGGGAGCAAUUGCAUCAAACUACCACAGCCAGAGCAGUACUAUGUAGGCCACAAAUGGAAGCAAAUCCAACUGAACAAGUACUACCAUAUACAGAACUGAGACAAGCAGUAUCAUGAAAGAUUACCUGUGAAUAAACCACGAAAUUAUUUUUAUGAUCAACCAAUCUGGCUAUGGGGCUCAAAUAUAGACGCUAUUCAUCCCCGCGGAGUCUGGUUACACAGGACCUUAAAGUAGCUUUGGAAAAGAAUUUUCCUUGGAAAUGACGAAAAAAGGGAAAAAAAAAGGGAAAAAAAAGGAGGAAAAAGAAAGAAAAAAAAUACAAGCAAAGUGAAAAGAUAGAACCAAGCCCAAAACGCAGCAGUCACCUAAUUUGAAUCAAUCAACACUAAAGAAAUUUAAUCAAAAUAUAUAUCUUAUAGCAUUAGCUCUCUGCCACAAAGCAACUGCAUACCUUCACAUAGAUAAAGUUAAAAAUCAACCCUCCAAACUGAUCACUGACAGGUCCAACAGGAACACCGUGAAUAAACCUGCAUGAGUUGGGAUAUAACAGGCUGUCUAGACCAUCAAAGGCAAAUAAAACAGGUCCUAUGAUCAAGCACAUCAAUCAAAGGCCAAGAGUCGUAGGACAUCAAUACGGCUAGAAGACAAAAACGAUCGAGGAAGAUAAGCAUGCGUUGGAAUUUAAAGAUGUACGCACGAAGAACACUUUGCUAAUACAUACAUAAACAUAAAUAGAGGCAGAAAGGAUAGAUCUAAACAAAGAUGCAAACUUUCAAGUAAACACUUCAUAAAUUACAGUUCAUAAGUAGAGAUAAUGGUCCAACAUACAUCUAGCAGUAAAAGAGCCCUGCUACAAACAUUGCAUGGUUGAUUGCAGAAGAAAGCAGAACACUGCUUGAAAUACUUUAUCCAUUGUAAAUGUGAGCUCAAAGACUUCAAUGCCAAUCUGUUCCACAUGCCUGCAAAGGAUAAAAGAGCACAAUGGCGUACAUUUAUGAAGAAACAACAAUUGUCUGAAAAAUCCAAACACCAAAAGAAACACUAAGCAAUGUCUUAAGUGAACUGCUGUUCAUAUAGGAGCCAAAAGCUCUCAUAGAUCUUAAUAGCUUGUUCAUAUCUGAACAAGCUUGAAUUGAUCAAAGGGUAAAGUGGAGACUGAGUCAGACAGCUUGGAACAGCUUUAGUCUAAAAAAUCCCCAAGGUUCAGUAACACAUUAAGCCCACGGCUCAUUUCUGACGAGGAGAAAUGGAUUGAUCUCCUGACCCUGCAAAUAAAAACAUUAAUCACCAACCGUACAACUUUAUUAGUGUUAUUUCAUUUUUGGUGAUUUUUGACAUUACCAUUACUACCAAGCCACUGCUUACUACUUGAUCUUUCAAGUCUGUCUGGUUCAUCUGCAUUCAAUUUGCUAUUUGGUGAGUACCCUUCAUCACUGUCAAAUAUUGGUAAAUAUUUGCUUCUCAGCUCCUGAUCAUCAUUCACUGAAACUUUCGUGUCAUAAGCCUCCUCUUUUGAAACCAGCAUUCCAUCAUCCCCUGUAUUUUUCAAAUAAUUAAAAACGGAAGUAAGCAGAGCCCAUUACCAUAUCCAGUCUUUCCUAUUGUUUUGCCAAAAUGUGAACUUUUAUUGUUACGAUCUAAACAAUACUUACCUUCAGCUGACUUUGGCCUUGAAUGCCUUCUGUGCCUCGAAUCAUUGUCUUCAGAACUUCUUGGUGAAGACCUGCUUCCUCUAGGAGGCUGAGCUUCAGCAGAUGCUAAAUGCUUUUUGUCAUGACGUUUUGAUCUUUCAUCUACUUUAUCAAUGGAUCGAUGUUUUCCCUCAGUAGACUUUGACCUAGAGCGCCGUCGGUGUUUUAAUCUAUUUUCAUCUGAAUUUCUGGGGGACCUCCUGCUUCCUCUGUGAUGCUUGCCAUCAAAAGAUCUUGACCUUGACCUCUUUCUAUCCCGAUGCUUGCCAUCAGCAGAUCUUGACCUCGACCGCCUUCUAUCCCGAUGCUUAGAUUUCUUAUCUCUGAUUCUCUCACUCCUCUCUUUGGUGUAAUGCCUACCUUCAGCAGAUCCUGAUCGUGAUCGCCUUCUAUCGCCAUGUCUCAAUUCAUCAUUUCUCACUUCAUCAAUUUUACUGCCGGAGCGAACCUUGCCUUCUACAGAAAUUGAUCUGGACUGCCUUCUGUGUUUUGAAUUGUUUUCAUCUGAACUUGCAGAAGAAGACCUGCUUCUUCUUUGAGGUCUACCUUCUGAAGAUAAUGACCUGGAUCGCCUUCUACUGCGGUGCUUUGUUUUUUCAUCUGGGGUCUCAUUCUUUUUGUUAUCCGAAUCAACAGACUUUGACCUAGAGCGCUUUCUAUAUUUCAAUUUCCUUUCAUCAUCAUUCUUUGGGGAUGACCUAUUUCUUCUGUGAUGCCUUGGUGAUGUUGAACCUGGAUGGGAUGAUUUCCUAAGCUUAGGUGAACUUUCUCUACUAUGUUUAGGGGAGUCAGAAUCUACAGGAGUUAAUUUUCUAGUUCGAGGACUAAUACUCCUAUUUCUCCUCGAAAUAGAUGAAUGACGAUCACGCGAUCUCUCCAAAUCUCGUCUGCCACUCCUGUCAUUGUCAUCUCUAUCUCUAUAUGAACGUCGUUCACUUUCAUAUCUUGAACGAUGAUGAGAUCGCACAGGUGAUCUGGACCUACGGUCUCGUUGGAAACGGGGCAGAGGUGAAUAAGAGCGAGACCUCCUCCUUCGCCUAUAACUGAUAGGUGAUCUUGACUUUGACCUUGACUUUCGCCUAUAAAUGAUCGGUGAUCUUGACUUGGACCUUGAUCUUCGCCGAUAACUAAUUGGUGAUCUAGUCUUUGAUCUUGAUCUUCUCCGAUAACUAAGGGGUGAUUUUGAUUUGGAUCUUGACCUUGCACGAGAAGGGGAUGGUGACCUAUAAACAGGAGUUAUAAAUUAGUAUAACUCUGAUUUAUCAUUAUGGAAAUUGAAACCUAGGAACAUACAGACAAACAAGGGAAGACUUUGAUUUUUUGAUUCCCAAUAUGUAAAAUAUCAUCUGUAAGACAACGAAGAUUUAAAAACAUGAGAGAAUCAGUGCAAAAAAGACAUGUGCUACUCAUGAUAAAAUACACAUCAUAAACAGUAUUGAUUGGAAAACAAUGCUGCAGACAGCAACCUAUUGUAUACCCAUAAACCAAAAGGACCAACAUAUAGAUACUCCAAACAUGCUAAGCAGUGACAUUCUGCUUGCAAAUCACUUAAUCCCAUGCAACUUUAUAAUAACAGCUUUUAGGCAAACAUAGGAGAACACAAGUAACUCCAUAUUCUUUAACAAUAUUAAGCCUUAAGAAACAAUACAUGCUUGCGGGGAAAUAAACUUGUCCUGAUGAGGAGACAUACCUAGACUUACUCUUGGUUUCCUUCUCUUCAGUAACAAGUCCAUCAGCUUUUAGCUUCCUACUUAUUUCUGCAGCUCUUGCUGCAGCUAAUUCUGUUGCAGACUUCAUGCUUGCAGCUCGGUUAGCUGCCUGCUGAGCAGUCAAUGUUUGUUGCAUAAGCAAAGCCUGUUGGAAUUGCAUCUGUUGCAUGGCAACAGCUUGCUGCAUCAUCAAAGGUAGAGAUGAAGAAGUCAAGGAUGAAAUAGCAGGUUUCGGAGGAAGUGUUUUGGCCAUUUCCACAUUUAAUGGUCGACCACCAAUAUCCAUAUUGUUCAAUGCCAAAGCAGCCGUUGCUUCCUCUGGUUUUGAAUAUUCUAUGUAUGCAAAAUGCUUUGAAUCAGUGAUUGUACACUCAACAACUGUACCACAGAAGCUAAAAAGCUGCUUCAACUGUUCCACUGUGAGAAGUGGGUUAAGAUUGCUAACUUGUAGGGUUUUUUUCAAUGCAUCAGCCUUUGCAGCUUUGUCAGGAGAGUCUGACAAGGAGCAGAUAACUGUGAGGUUGGACACUUAGCUAAAAAGGAAAUAUAUAGGACUUGGAAAGUAAAUUAAAGAAACGACAGUAGUGGAAAGCAAGAUAGUAUAAACAGUACCAGAUGAAUCUUUGGUUGACUGAGUUUGUGAUUGCACCUGAGCAGCAUGAGCUUGAAGGGCCUGAGCAGCAACAAUAGCCUGAGCAGCAGCCAUUGCAGCUGCAGAAGGUGCCAUAGGAACCUGACUGAGAGUUCCCAUGCUGGUUGUUGCUGCCAAAGCAGUCAUCAGCAAAUUGUGGGGAGGAUGGUUCAAUUUGCAAUCAGUUUUAGCACAACGGCCAUUGAGGUAUUCUCGACAAACUUCCCCAAGAGAUGCCCCCAUUCCUGGUAAAAUAGCACCACCUGAAGCACCAGAAACAAUGCCUGGGAUCAUACCCAACAAGCCGGGGAAAGCUCCAGAAACAGAUCCUGUGUAGUUUGGCAUGUUGGGCAUUGUUUGAUUUACUAGAUUUGGAUAUGUGGAUGCAGGCGCCACCCCUAGUACAGCUCCAGUAGAAGUACCUGCAUUACAACAAAUUCAACAUCUGCACCAUGAGCGCUAAGAAUGCAAUCAAAAGCUAUGCCCGAAAGUGAAGUCAAACAUCUCAACACUAAGCAAUAACAGAAAUUCUACAGCAAGUUAGAUGGCAGUGGGCAAAAUUAUAUGAAGGUGAAUCACAUCAGGAACUUUUCUCAUUCCAAAUUGUGAGACUUCUUCACAACGAACAAGGUAAAUAAUACUAUUUCAACUACUUGGACAUUAAGAAAUUUACAUUAUAUAGGACAAUCAAAUAGGGUUAACGAAUAUAGAAAAAUCUACAUGACAAGUGAUAGCAAAAGAUACAACUAAAAAUGAAUAGACGUAGCCUUAACAAUGUUACCUGCACUAAAGAACACUGGGAAUGGGCUGCCCAUGAUGGGUUUCCCAUUGCACUCAAUGUUCACCAUAUAGUUCCCUCUCUUGGGCACCACAUAAGUCACCGUGUAAGUCCCAUCUCCCAUAUCCUUCACAAUGCCCUCCUGUUCCGCACCCCCAACACCCACACCUGGCGAAACUUUCACCUUAAUCUGCGCACCUCCAAUCUGCACUUUCCUCCCAUCUGCAUCCUUUGUUACCACCAUAAAGGUGGAUGCUGCGCAUGCUGUGCCACCAGCUAUUCCUGGUCCUGCUGCCAUGCACUUAGCAGGAUCCACAGGUCCAACCGGUUUGUCCACCAAGUCAUUGGUGUCCUCAGACUCACUAUCCGAUGAAGCUGCCACCACCUCCUUGUUACGGCCCUUAUCAACAUCUUUGAAUGUGGCUUCGAAAGCCGCUUUAGCAGCAGCAGCUUUUUCAGCCUCACUUUUCAGCUUGGCCUCUUCAGCUUGUUUCAUCCAUAUAGGCUUUGGAGCAGCUGAGGUCCGAUCCGCCAUCAAAUUUUAAAAAAACCUAAAGAUCUAAAAGUCAAAAAAAUAAAAUUAGCAAUUACCCAAAUUCUAAAAUCUAAAAAUACCAAUUCCACUUCAAUUAUUGGAAAAAAAAAAAGCGAUCUGAUGUACUUCAAUAAUCCUAGAAAACUCCAAAACUAAAAACUAUACCAAUUUCAAUUUGCAAUUCGAAUGCAACCCUAGAAAGAGAACCUACCGAAUAGGUGAAGCAAAACCUUAAAUUCGAAGCUAAAAAGGGAGAGAAAUACGUUAAAAUUAAGCAUUUGAGAUUCCAUUUUUCAUAAUUUGAUAACUUUUGGAGUCCCUUAGGCUAUGUUUGGAUGCAAAGAAAAUUAAGGAAAAUGUAAGAAAAUAUAUAUAAAAAGAAGAAGGAAAGGGGCAUUACCUUAUGCUGCAAUUUUGGGAUCCGACGGCGAAAUCGGGCGGAUAACGAAUAUGUGUACAUAUAUAGGGCUGAAAGCGAUGUGAUGGGGGCAAAAGCGGGAUUUAAUUAUAAACCUUUCGAAUAAACAAAAAAAUUUGGUCAAAUUUUGGCUUGGGUCCGUCUAUUAUGUAAACAUUUGGCUUGAUUAUUUGCUUAUGUAAAAUUAUAAAGUAAAAAUUUAAAAAUGAAAAUAUACUCUAGGUUCUCAUAACUCAUGCAUUGUUUGUAUUGUUAGAUUAAAUAAAUCAUCAAAAACCUAUCAAAUAAAAUAAAAAAUUGAUUCAAUCAGUUUUUAGCCUAGUUCAACUGACCCAUACCAAUUCACAGGUCAACCAGUUUGAUGCCUCUUUAGACCGAUGUUCUAGUCAGUCCAGUCAAAUUUAAACAAUCAUGACUUUAAAUUUCUACACUUUUUAUAUAUGAAAUUUAGUGCAAAUUAUGUUAAAAAUUAAAAUGUAAAAAUUAAAUCUCAAAUUUAAACGUAUCAAAAAUACCAUAACCGAAAAUGAUCCAUUUUUUCAUAAAAUGCAGAAAUAAAAGGAGCUUAUGGGAAUGUGUCAUGUCAACCUUCCUUUAAUAACUGAAUUAACUAACACAUUUAGAUUUAUUGGUUUGAUUAAAUCGAUUUAAGAUCCAAAUAAAUGUUAAGUCAAUCGAUUGUCGAUUAAUGAAUUCUAUAAUCGAAUAGAAUGAUUUAACCAAAUUUAAUUCAUAUUAUUUCUAGUUAUUUUAAAUAUGUAAUAAUAUAUAAUAUAAUUUAAAUUAAUUCAACCUAAUUAUUCGACUAAAAAAAUAAAAGUCAUUUGGGCGAAUAUAAGAUUAAUUUAAUUAGAUCGAUAAGUGAUUGAUUAAUUGAUUAUAUUUAAAGCUGGUGAGUUAAAUCGAUUAAAUUAUAAAAGGUGAUUGAAUUAUACAAAAAAUCUUAAUGACGUGGACAAGCUCUUUUUGUGUGUGUGAAUUAUAAUAACAGAGCAAAACCCGAACAAUAAAUGCAACUAGUGGAAUUCGAACUCAGACCACACCUGAGAUAGUAAACACCCUUGACAAUUAGACCAUCACAUGAGGUCCAAAUAAGCUCUUUUUUAAUUCCUUAUGUUAGCAUAAAUUUUAUUUUGUUGGAAGUGGUGUUUUCAGAAAAAUUUGUCAUUAAGUUAAUUGAAAUAGUUAACGAAUAAUUAUUUAAACUAAUUAAUGAUAUUUUAAAAAUAAAUUGAAUAGAUUAUGCUAAAUUAAAAUCCAAAAUUUAAAUUUUAAAUUUGAGUAUAAUAAAAGGAUAAAAAAUAAAUGAAAGGAGGAUCAAUGGAUUAUUCACGUAAGGAUUAAAAUUUUCAAAAUAGUCAUAUAAAUACUGCUUAAAUAAAAGGCUUCUCAAAUACUGUAUAUCAUGUUUCAAAUUAUAUUUUUUUUCUUUUCAUUUUAAUCAAUAUCUAAUUCAACUAUCACGUGUUUUAUUUUAAACACGUCAACAUUCACCUAAUUUUUACUACAAACCAGGUUAAAAGUUAGUAAAAAGCCCUUUUUUGAACAUUUCUGUCAAAAUCGAACCCUUAUAUGACUAUUUUGAAAGAUUUGGUUUUUAUAUGAGUAAUUCCUAAAAAGUUGAGCCCUAAUUUAAACAUUUAGAUUUUUUUUUUUACCUCAAUUAGGUGGAAAAACUAGGGAUUUUAGUUUCCUUUAAAACGCAAAAUGCCUUUUUUAUCCUAUUAACAUUUGACCUAAGUUAUUUUAUACAAAAAGAAUAUAAUUAAAAAAUUUUAUUAUAACCAAUCAAUUUAUUGAUUAUGUCCAAAUAUAGAGAGAUAAAGAGGUCAUUCUAUUAGAGUUUAUGUCCAAAAAAGAUGAUAUAAUUCGAGUUUAUAAAUACCUCGCAUCAAUUAGAAAUAAAGAAAUAUUUUUACCUUGUUAUGAUCCAUAAAACUAACAACAAGGACUAAAAGGGGUGAAAAGUUAUUGGAGGAGCCUUGGCUCUCAAAAUUUUAGAAAAUUUCUAUUAAACCCUUUGAAAUUCUUUGAAAUUUCAAUUAAAUUCUCAAAUUCAUUAAAAACUUUAAUUAGGUCCUUGAAACGUUUCAAAAAUUUUAAUUAGACCCUUUAAUAUUUUUGAAAAUAUUCAUUAGUCCUCGCAAAAAUAUUAAACCUUAUUAUUUUUGAAAAUUCAUAUUAAAUCCUAAAAUUUUUAAAAUUUUAAGUGAACUCCCAAAAUUUAGUGGCACAUUAUACUACCAAGGACUACUGUGGAUAAAUUAAAAGGUUGGUACCACACUGUGCCUUCUAACUUUUUCAAUAUAUUUAGUCAAAAUACCUAAUUACACUGAAAAAAAAAAAGAUCAUGUUGAAAUGAGGGAUCACUUAUUAGAACUAAGGGGCUUCAAGCACAACAUGAUUCUUAACAAGAAGUUUGAAUUGGUCAAUUAAGAGAGCUAAGGGCAAGUCCCUAACCUCUACAAUCUCUAUGAGGCUUUUAAAGCUUUUAAGGUUUCACGUGUCUGUUUUAUAUUUCAAAAAAAUUAAUCUCUUUAGAGUUCAUGGCUGCUUUUAAUAGUAUUAUUCCACGUUUUUAACUAGAGUUCUUUCACUGAAAGUGUAAUGUACUUAUUGGUAAGAUUACCAUUUUUACUAAAUAGUCUAACGAGACAACUGUAUAUUUUUGGGUAAGUUUGUAACCAUUGCCAUCUUGUAGUUCGAGAUUGGCUCGAUGAUUUGAAAAAUUCAUUGAUUUUACUUUAGACAUGAAUUUUUUUUUUAAGAUUUAAUGAUUUUUCUAGUUUAGUUUUUGUAUUUUUUAGAUUUUCAAAAUUUAAUCCGUUCGUUUGUUUUUACUUUUAAGAAUUUAGUCAUGUAAUUGUCUAAUUUAAAACAUAAAGUGCAUUUAAUAACAUUAUUAAUUGAUGUUUGUUAUAUGUAAUAUAUGGUAAGUUCUUAUUCGGAAAUUAAAGCUGAAUUAAUAAAAGAUAUUCAAAUUUAAUGAAAGCUAAUUAAUUAGGUUAUCAAUUAGACUUUAUUUUUUAAAUCAAAUAAGUAGAAGUUUUAAAUUCUAAAAUUAAAAGUAGAAAAAUUAAAUUUUAAAGCCUCAAAGAGUACAUGAACUAAGAGCAUAAUUAAACUAUUUUUUAAGGGUAAAUUAUCAAGAUAAUUAUUUUUGUUUGUCUCAAGUUACAUUUUAGUCAUUUAUGUUUGAAAUGUUACAUUUUAGUCACUUACAUUAUCAUGUUGUAACAUUUUAGUCACUAAGCCAUUAAUUGUUGUUAACGGUGUAAUAAUAAGUUGACGUGGCACGUUAAAUAAUCGUUUCAAAUAAAAAUUUUAGCUUAAAUUCUACAAUUGGUCCCUAUAUUUUUUUAAUUUUGAGCAAUUUAGUUUUCUUCUUUUAUGUUCUUUUAACUUUCUUUCUUUUUUUCAUUCUCUUCUGUUUCUUCCUCUGUUUUCCUCCCUUCUUCAUUUCUUUUAAUGUAGUUCUUCUAUAUUUUCCAUUUGUUAAAACAAGUUCACAAGCUCGCCUCACUCAGAAAAAGAAAUUGUUCAAAAAAAAACAAAAGUACAGGGACUAGUUUUAACAAAUGGAAUACAUAGUAAACAUACGUUAAAAGAAAUGGAGAAGGGAAAAAAAUAGAGGAAGAAGCAAACGAGAAUGGAAAAUAAAGAAAAAAAACGUUAAAAGAACAUAAAAGAAAAAAAUUAAAUUGCUCCAAACGAAAAAAAUGAGGACCGAUUGUAUAAAUUAACUUAAAAUUUUUGUUUGAAAUGAUGAUUUAACAUGACACGUCAGCUUACCGUUACACCGUUAACGGUAAUUAAUGGCUUAGUAACUAAAAUAUUACAAUGCGAUAACGUAAGUGACUAAAAUGUAACAUUUCAAAUAUAAGUGACUAAAAUGUAACUUGAGGUAAACAAAAGUGACUAUUUCGGUAGUUUAUCCUUUUUUAACAUUAUCUCUUAUUAAAAAAGCUAUUGUUUUUAGAAUCGGACUGAAGCGAUUAGACCAUGAACUAUUCAGGGGUAUCAGACUAGAGUUGAUGGUUGAAUCGUGAUAAAAAAAUCGAUUGAACUGAUUUUUUUUAUUUUUAUUUUUUAUUAAUUUUAAAAUAAUUUAUUAAAUUAAACCAAAAAAAUUAAGCAAACUGAUUGAACUGAAAACUAGUGGCCUGAUUUGUUCUAUCAUCGGUCCCGAUUUUGAAAACAUUGUAAAAAAACAAAAGAAUUAGCAAAAUGAUGAAAAAUGAAGGACUAUAAGUGAAAAAAAGAGAUUAACGCGGGAUUCGGAGGCGAUAUAAAGUAGUAGUUUGUUUCUACAACGAUUGUGUAAACCUAAGUAACGAACUUAGCUUAUUUUACAACUCUUUUUCUCUAUGCAAUUCCUUUUCUUUUCAAAGAAAAGAAUAUAUUUUUCAAGAAAUUCACUAUUUUUAUUUUUUUUUCUCUUCAAAUUCUUGAUUGUUAUUAUGAUAUGAAUCUCUAGUUUUCUCUCUUUUUUUUUUUUUUAAUUUUGCAGUGUGCCAAGAAAAAAAUUGAAUAAAAGGUAUAUAUAAGUUAAAAGAAUCAUGCUUUUUGAAAGUGUUUUUUUUUUUCCAGAAUUGUUUAGUGAUAUUUUGAUUUGAUUUGGGUAUAGGAAUAUCUGGAUUGAAAAUCUUGGCCCUGCGAAAGAAGAUUUAAGUCUCUUUUUUUUUUUUGGUACGAAAGAUGAACGGAAUGUCAAUGGACAAUUUUCGUGGCCUCAUUUUGGCUGUUUCAUCGAGCGUUUUUAUUGGAUCUAGCUUUAUUAUCAAGAAACAGGGUCUUAAGAAAGCUGGAGCAUCGGGACCAAGAGCCGGUUUCUUUCUUUGCUUUCUCUUUGAAUUUUUGUUGAUUUUAAUUUUGUUAAAGUAUUUGAAUUAGAGUCUAAUUUCAAGUGUUUUUUUAAUGGAUAUUUGAAAAUUUUGAUAUUAGGGCAAGGAGGACACUCUUAUUUGUAUGAACCUUGGUGGUGGGCUGGAAUGAUAACCAGUUAGUUCAACAAUCCACUUCUAAUUUUGUUGAUUUCUUAUCAUUUUUGUUUCUUUGUUUUUAAGUUGUGAAUUGUAAUUGAUGAGAAUUAGUUGGAAUGUCGGAAGAAAUGAAGUUUUGAGAUUAAGGAGGUCCUUUGUUUGUAGGAUAAAUUGUUAACGGAUUUGUGAUCAAUAUGACUAUGUUCAGUUUUUUUAUGGUUUUCGAUAUACAUGUAUGGAUAUGGGUGAGACAUGUCUGUCACUGUCGUCCAUUGGUACUUCAAUGAAAGCAAAAGUCGAAAUAAUGUAGACAAUGACAUGCUUUGUAGCUGCCUUUGUUGGAAAUUCGCACCAAUUUUUUUAUAUUCUCUCAAUUAUUCGUGUUCGGUAUUUGUGUUUAACACCCGAAUAGUUGUAUAGAUAUACAUGUAUGAUCAACAAUACUUAAGUUGUAUUAAUGCUAAUAUCCAACACUUUUCUUCAAGUCUAAGUAACAUACAUCUUGUCCUUUCAAGUGAAUAACCAAAUUGAAGGAAAAGAAUCUGUUUGCUUUUAGAUGUGUUUUGAAGUGAUGUAUAAUAGGAGAAUUUUACUUGAACGAUAAUACCAAAUCUGCAAAAAAAUGUUACAAGGCAGAGGGAAAAUUAGCAAUGAAUCUUUCUUCAGUUUUCAAGGAAUUUAUCAUCAAAGCAAAUCUGUAUGCAAUGCCAUAGGGCAGUAGUGUGCCAAAGUAGAUAAUUGUACUAGGUUGUUAUGAUCUUAUUUUACUCAGACUCGGGUGUGAGUGUUGGGUAUGAGAUUGGUAUGUUGAAAAAUUUGAAGCUUUUUUGUGUAUUUGAAGGGUUAUGUCCCUUAUCUUUAUCUAGAUAUGUCUUGGACAAGAUGGUCAAACACACAUGCUUAAAAAAAUGAAGAGUCUGAACAACGUUAGUUAUGGCCUUUAAUACUGCAUGUUUACUUACUGUAGCAUCUUUUUUUCCUUACUGCCAGAUAUAACUGCUUGAGUUAAGUUAAUGUGCUUUAAUUUUAUAGUGAUAAUCGGGGAGAUAGCUAAUUUCGCUGCUUAUGCGUAUGCUCCUGCAAUUCUUGUAACACCAUUGGGAGCCUUAAGUAUUAUUUUCAGGUAUGUAUUAAGUUCCAUUUUUGUUAAAAAUAUGAGAAUCAUUUAACAACCCAGUUGCGUUCAUGCUCAUAUAAGAAAUGGUGUUUAUAAGCUUACAUCUUUUUCUAUGUUGCUCUUACUCGUUUUCUUGAAGGACUCAUGUCUAACAUUUGUGUUCAACACAUUUGGACAAGAUACAGGGAUGUGACCUUCUAGAUACAUUUAAAGAUUUGAAAAAACUUUAAUAGACCCAUGUUGGAUAAUUCUUGCCUCCAACAUUCACACUCAAGUUCGAGUAACAUAGCAUAUUUAUUUAUGAAGGCACGUGGAGAAACAUGUUUGCCAUUGAUGGAUGGGAUUGGCCUGUAGAUUUGACUAAUUUUAUGAAGAAAACAUUAUUAUGCAGUGCAGUGCUAGCACAUUUUAUUUUGAAAGAGAGAUUGCACAUCUUUGGUAUGCUUGGAUGUGCUCUUUGCGUAGUUGGCUCUACAACCAUUGUCUUACAUGCUCCCAAGGAGAGACAUAUUGAAUCUGUGAAACAAGUAUGGCAUCUUGCAACUGAGCCAGGUAUGUAAGAACAUUCCAAUAUAGCUACUUAUUUUUUAAGAUUUACUUUAAAAUAACGUAAGUUGUUUUGAGUUUUUAUUUUUCUUGAAGGAUCUGUGUCCAACACUUAUGUUGAACUAAUAUAUGCAUUUUUGCGUUGACAGGAUUUCUUGUAUACUUUUGGGUUGCUUUGGCUGUGGUAGCAGUGAUUAUUUUUCAUUAUGUUCCACGCUAUGGCCAAACCCAUUUGGUAGUUUAUAUCGGAAUCUGCUCUCUUAUGGGAUCUCUUACGGUUUGUUGAUUACUUUUAAGGCUUCUUCCUCUUUCUCUUUCUCUUCUUCUUCUUUUAUUUUUAUUUUUAUUUAUAUUAUAUUUAUUCUUCAAUUUUUUGAAGAUCUUCAUCUGACACACUUCAGGAUAUCAUUAUGAGGAUAUGAAUCUUCAAAGAUUCUUUAAAUGCAUGAAAAGUUUAGAAAAAAAAUGAAUAUAUCUGUAUCGAAUACAUAUCCAUAUUCAACUUGCAUUCCAAUACAUUUGUUUUAACAACCAUCUUUUCGUUCUCAUAGGUAAUGGGUGUUAAAGCAGUAGGAAUCGCGCUGAAGCUGUCGUUUGGAGGAGUGAAUCAGUUUAAAUACUUCGAAACAUGGAUUUUCACAAUAAUUGUGAUCUUUUGCUGUCUUCUGCAAAUAAAUUACUUGAACAAGGUGAGUGAUGAGACUUAGAUUUCAUUACCCUUUGUCAAUCUGCAUACUUAUGUAUUGGUUUAGUUUGUGUCACUCGAAUUUUGUUUGAAUGUUGAAUACAGGCAUAUUAGACAUGGAGGUUUUUAUUUUUUAACUGUUUUCCAUGUAUUUAAAGGAUUUUAUUCCCAUACACGAGUCUAGAUAUAUAUAUGUAUAUGUGUGUGUGUAUGACAUGAGUAUUUUAAUGAAACUGAAAGUUGAAAUACGUAAAUUAAGUGCUUUACAAGUUUUGGCACUACGAGUAAUUUGGACAUCAACAUUGUUAGUUACUCGUUAUUAAGUCGUUUAUAGGAUAAAAAAGCAUAAAUGUGUUUUUUUUAAAAUAAUUUCUUUCAACCUUAUUUUCUUAAUUUAAUGUGAUGAUUGACUCUAAAUUUAUGUUAUUGUUGUUAUUCUUGAUGGUACUGAAAGCUCAAAAUUUUGCAGGCUUUAGACACCUUUAAUACUGCUGUUGUGUGUCCUGUUUACUAUGUCAUGUUCACAACAUUCACCAUUAUUGCCAGCAUUAUCAUGUUUAAGGUAAGGUUUUUUUUUUUUUUACAGCCUUAAUCCACUUAUAUAUUGGUAGGGAGGGCGAGUGAAUUGAUCUUUUAACCAACAAUAUAUUUUUUUUUUUUUACUUUUGAGCUUAACUCUCCUUCUCAUGGAGAUAUGUUUGACCACUUUCAUGAACAUCACAAACACAUUUUGUUAGUUUAUAUGAAUAAACGUGAGCACAAAUAGACCAAAAAAUAAACCAACUGAUCAAACUUGAUUCCUAUACAAUCCUACUUACAAAAAUCUUGUGUUUUUGUAUAUAAUAAUGCAUUCUUUUCUUUUUUGUUUUCUUGAAGGAUUGGAAUUCACAAGGCGGGACAGAGAUUACAACAGAAUUAUGUGGAUUUAUUACAAUUUUAUCAGGCACAUUUCUCCUUCACAAAACCAAAGAUAUGGGAAAAAGUUCCAGUGGCAGACUCCCUGUUUAUUCAUCUCCUGAAUCAAAUACAGUUGCCGAAUCUAGAUAGUUAGCCCUACAGGUUUGGAAUUCGUAUUUGGAUUCUAAUCCUUAGUUUUCUUGCAUUUAGUUUCGUACAAGAAAGAUAAAAAAAGAAAAAAGAAAAAAAAGAGAAACAAAACUAGAAUUAGGAUGGUUUUUUUUUUUAAUUUGAGGUUUUUGGACAUUUUCUAUGUGAAAAGUUGCUACUAAAAUGUUUAAGAAAUAGGUUUUUCUUAGUUUCCUUCUGUUUUUUUAUUUGUUACUUUUUUUCAUAAUAUGUUUGAGUUUGAUAUUCAAUCAUUAGAAUUAAAAAUCCAAUUGUCUACUAGUAAAUCAAAUAAUUGUUUUUUUUAGUGUUAUUUUUGAGCUCUUAUGUAUUUGUAUUUGACCGUUUAUAGUGUUGACUGGUCAAAAUUAUAGGGUAUAUAAAAAAUAUUAUGGUGUGAAAUUGUUUGAUUUAAAUUAAAAAAUUAAGCAUGUCAAAUUAAAAUUUUGUUAUAGUAUAAUUAAUAUUUGAAAUCAUAAAUAUUUGAAAACUGUUUCAAAGCAAAAUAAUAAAAGAAAUUAUUAUAGUUUUUACAUAAUAUAAAUUUUAGAAUUUUUAUGAAUAUUUUGAUUUUAAAAAUUAUUUUAAUUUUUUUUGUAAUUUUUGUUGAGAGAUUAAUUUGUUAAUUUUUAAAAUUGAUAGGAAUCAAAGGAGUAUAUAUCAAUCUGUUGUUUGAAUUAUUCGAGUUAUUUAAAUUAUAAAAUUCAACUCGAAUCUCGAAUUAUAAAUAUUUUUAAUAAUAUAAAACAUAAAAAAUAUUAAAAUUAAAUAAAAAUUAAAUAAUAAUAUAGAAAUGAAAAUAUUUCUCACGCUCUAAGAAAGUUUGAAAGCUAAAACUUAAAUAUGUUUCUUUCAAAAGUAAAAAAAAAAAAUAUAUUCUAUCAUCAAAAUUUCCACUCAUUGUGUCCAUCAAUCUAGAAUGUGACUUGACUUGUACACAUUGGUUGAACGAUGUUUUUGUACAAUAAAAACUUGGACAUUUGCAAUUGCAUGCAAUGCCAAAGACUUAAGACUUAAAAGGCCUAUAAUAUUUCAUACUAUCAUUUUUUUUUUGGUCCUAAAUUAAGGAUUUUAAAAAUUUCAAAUUAAAACGUUACUCAUAAUAUGAGAACUUAAUGAAAACAUUGUAAAGUUUAGGGGUCAAUUUAAAAUUUGAUGUAUAAUUUUGAGAUGUAGGGUGAAUUAAACAUUUGAUAAAUCAUUACAUAUUUACAAGUUGGAUACUCAUUAACAAAUUGAUUUUAUAUUAUAAGUUAAAAUUUAUAUUUUUGUGCUAAAAAGUCGAUACCUAAAAUAUAUAAUUUAAACUCAAAAUAUCAAUUGAAUUGUCAUCUUUGCUCAUUCUAUGCGUAGUAAUGGUUCUAAUAUGGUUUAAAGUGCUAUGGUUUAGUCUUUUUUAAUGACUUAGAUUUAGACGAUUAUUUUUAUAGAAUAUAGAGUGGGUGAGAAAACUACAGCCUUGACAUUAAUAGGUUAAUAAGAUCGAUAAAAUAUUAAAAUCUUCUCCAAAAUUAAAAUUAACAAAAAAAGACAAAUUAAGUGUGAAUUUAACAACUCAUUUCUAAUACUAACAAUAAAUAAUUUAUGCAUCAUCACUAACAGCUUUAAAUAAUACAUUAUUAUCCCUUGCUGGAAAAGGUUGACCAAAAAGACUUAACCAAAGUGGUGGAACAGUAUUUUGAUGGAGUCUUGAUUUGGCAAAAUGACUUGGAAAUUGCAUGCAAUGCCAAUCACUCAUAAACAUUGUUCUAUGGAAACUACACAUUUGUGUAUAAAUAUGUUGUAUGCCAGACACAUUCCUCCUUCACACCCACCCAACAUGAACACUCUUCAUUCCCUUAUUUCUCCACUCUUUCUCUUGUCAUGCUUCCUUCCUCUUCUCUUGUCCUUUUCAUCUCCUCAAACUCAUUUCCCAAUGCAAUGCCUUGAUGACCAGAGAUCUCCUCUGCUGCAAUUCCAACAUAAUCUUUACUAUGCCCCUAAUUUUACUUUCUCUUCCAAAUUUGAGCUUUGGGAUCCCAACACUGAUUGUUGCUCCUGGAAAGGAGUCACUUGUGAUGCUUAUGGUCAUGUCGUUGGCAUUGAUCUUAGUUACAAAAACCUUUCAGGCAGCUUUCACCCCAUAUUCAAUCUCCAUCGUCUUCAACGCCUUAAUCUUGCUGGAAACAACUUUAAUACCACUCUGUUUUCCUAUGGGUUUGAUAAACUCCAAAAUCUAACUCAUCUCAACCUUUCAAGCUCAUGUUUCCAUGGCCAAAUUCCAAUGAAGAUCUCACAACUGACAAGGUUAGUCUCUCUGAACCUAUCUUUUCAAGAUGAUUGCUAUUGGAGAAAUGGUUACGAUUAUAAUUCAGCUACUUUAAAAUUGGAGAAACCAAACUUCAAGACAUUUAUCAAGAAUUUGAAGUUUCUCAUGGAGCUUUAUUUGGAUGGUGUCGACAUUUCAACUUAAAGUACUAAAUGGUGUGAAACCACAUCUCUUGUACUUCCAAACCUGCAUGUGUUGAGUCUGUCAAGCUGUGGUUUGAAAGGUCCAUUAUGUUCCUCACUCUCAAGACUCUCUUUUCUUUCCAAACUUAUCCUUGAUGGGAACACAAUCUCUUAUUUACCUCCCAAUUUCCAGCAAGCAAUGCUUUACAUAGUUUGUCUCUUUCUUAUACAAAUUUCAGUGGAAAACUACCUGAAUCGAUUGGUAAUCUUAAGUUCCUGACAAAUUUUGAGCUUUAUGAUUGCAAUUUUUUUGGACCCAUUCCAUCGUCAAUUGCAAAUCUUAGUCACCUGGUGAACUUGGAUCUAAGUUCAAACAAGCUUUCUGGAUCAAUACAUUCUUCUUUAUUUACUCUUCCAUCGUUGAAGAUCUUGUAUCUUGAAGAGAAUCAAUUGGUUGGGAAAAUUGAUGAGUUCCCCAAUGCAUCUUCUUCUUUGAUUCAAGUAUUAUAUAUAGGCAAGAAUUAUUUAACAGGACCAAUCCCGAAGUCAAUCCUUCAACUUCCAAGGCUUGAAGGGCUUUAUAUCGGAGACAAUAGCUUCAGUUCCAUGAAGCUUGACAUGUUUGUCCAACUCAAGAACUUAAAGGGUCUCGACUUAUCCAACGUAAGCUUGUUAAUUGACAGCGACAACAGAAGUCUUACUUUUCCCCAAUUACAGAGCCUAGGGCUAAGCUCAUGCAACCUUACUGAAUUUCCAGAAUUCAUUAAAAGGCAAGACAAGUUGGUUGACUUAGAUCUUUCUAACAAUCAUAUCCAUGGUGUUGUGCCUAAUUGGUUGUGGAAGAGCAGCCUUUCAAGGGUAAACCUUUCUUUCAAUGUGAUUGAUUUUCCAAAACAGCUUCCCUUAAGUGAUGCAAACUUCUCUUUCCCAAUGUUGAUGGAAUUUUAUCUGGAAUCUUGUAACAUAAGCUCAUUUCCAGAGUUCUUAAAGAGUCAAAAAAAUUUAGAAGAAUUCGACGCAUCUUCUAACAAUUUGAGUGGCCCAAUUCCAAAUUGGUUAUGUAAUAUGAGUCAACUUUACAGUUUCGAUGCAUCUUAUAAUAAUUUGAGUGGCUCAAUUCCAAAUUGCUUGGACAAUAUGAGUCAACUUGUCAGUUUCGAUGUAUCUUAUAACAAUUUGAGUGGCCCAAUUCCCAAUUGCUUCGGCAAAAUGAAUGCUCUCUUUUUCUUGAAUCUGCAAGGAAAUAACUUCAGUGGAAUGUUACCAAAAUUUUCAAAAGCAACCCAACUAAACUUUCUCAAAGUUAGUGAGAAUAGAUUGGAAGGGAAGUUGCCCAGAUCACUAGCGGAAUGCACUCAGCUUGUAGUUUUGGACGUGGGAAAAAACAUGAUGAAUGAUACUUUCCCUUUUUGGUUGGGGAAAUUGCCUGCGCUAGAGGUUCUCAUUUUGCGGGAAAACAAAUUUUAUGGUCAAAUUAAACAUUUCAAACAUAAAUUUGUUUUCCCAACUUUGGAUGUGUUGGACAUUGCUUCAAAUCAGUUUUCUGGUGAACUAUCUAUUGAUUUCCUUCGAGCCACUCGACUAAGGUCACUCAAAACAGGUGGGAAUAAAUUGAAAGGGAAGCUGUCGAGAUCAUUAGCCAAUUGCACAGCACUUGAGGUUCUGGACCUUGGAAAUAAUAUGGUUCAUGAUACAUUCCCAUUUUGGUUAGAGAAGCUGCCUUCCUUGAAGGUUCUUGUUUUGCGAGCAAACAGAUUCUACGGCACAAUUACAAAAUUUGACACGAAACAUGGGUUUCCAAAGCUACGCAUAUUGGACAUUGCUUCCAACAAAUUUUCAGGUGACUUGUCCAUUGAAUUUUUGCAAAGUUUGAAGGCAAUGGCGAAGAUGACUAAUGACGAAAAGGCUAAGCUGGAUUAUAUCGGAGAGAAUUAUUAUCAAGACUCUGUGACAAUUGUUAACAAAGGGAUUGAAAUGUUGUACCAAAAAGUCUUGACAAUUCUUACUUGUCUUGACCUUUCCAACAAUAGUUUCCAUGGGAGAAUACCAGAAGAGAUACAAAUGCUGAGGUCACUCAGAGUGAUGAACUUAUCCAACAAUGGCUUUUCUGAUGAAAUCCCAUUAGCAUUUGAAAAUCUAAAAGAUAUUGAAUCUUUGGAUCUCUCACAGAAUGAGCUUUCAGGGAAGAUUCCUGCACAACUUACAAGUUUAACUUUCUUAGCGGCAUUGAACUUGUCUUACAACCAACUCGAAGGGAGCAUACCAUAAAGCAACCAAUUCAUUACAUUUACAAAUGAUUCCUACCGUGGGAACCCAAAAUUGUGUGGGCUGCCAUUGUCAAGGAAAUGCAAUGAAGUCGGUCUUCCAGUGGCACCACCUCCACGGGGAGAUGAAGAAUCAUGGUUAUAUGCUAUGUCUACUUGGAAAAUUGCGUUGAUAGGUUAUGCUAGUGGAUUAGUCGUUGGGCUAUGUAUCGGAU
rnacentral:lncRNA from 1 species